rnacentral:lncRNA from 1 species
CCCUCAGUUUUUGAGAAGCAAGGUAUCAAUCCAGUAGGAGGCCACGCACGAGUCCCUCGCACCUACACAAACAAAUAAAAUCCUCGCAACCAACGCAAUAAAGGGGUUGUCAAUCCCUUCACGGUCACUUACGAAAGUGAGAUCUGAUAGAUUUGAUAAGAUAAUAUUUUUGGUAUUUUUAUGAUAAAGAUGCAACGUAAAGAAAGCAAAAUAAAAACAGCGCUAGAAAUAGCUUGUUGACGGGAGAUUAAAUAUGAUGGAAAAUAGACCGGGGGGCCGUAGGUUUCACUAGUGGCUUCUCUCGAGAGCAUAAGUAUUUCGGUGGGUAGACAAAUUACUGUUGAGCAAUUGACAGAAUUGAGCAUAGUUAUGAGAAUAUCAAGGUAUGAUCAUGUAUAUAGGCAUCACGUCCGAGGCAAGUAGCCCGACUCCUGCCUGCAUCUACUACUAUUACUCCACACAUCGACCGCUAUCCAGCAUGCAUCUAGAGUAUUAAGUUCAAAAGAACAGAGUAACGCUUUAAGUAAGAUGACAUGAUGUAGAGGGAUAAACUCAUGCAGUAUGAUAUAAACCCCAUCUUGUUAUGCUCGAUGGCAACAAUACAAUACGUGCCUUGCUGCCCCUACUGUCACUGGGAAAGGACACCGCAAGAUUGAACCCAAAGCUAAGCACUUCUCCCAUCGCAAGAAAGAUCAAUCUAGUAGGCCAAACCAAACUGAUAAUUUGAAGAGACUUGCAAAGAUAACCAAUCAUACAUAAAAGAAUUCAGACAAGAUUCAAAUAUUGUUCAUAGAUAAACUUGAUCAUAAACCCACAAUUCAUCGGUCUCAACAAACACACCGCAAAAGAAGAUUACAUCGAAUAGAUCUCCACAAGAGAGGGGGAGAACAUUGUAUUGAGAUCCAAAAAGAGAGAAGAAGCCAUCUAGCUAAUAACUAUGGACCCGAAGGUCUGAGGUAAACUACUCACACAUCAUCGGAGAGGCUAUGGUGUUGAUGUAGAAGCCCUCCAUGAUCGAUGCCCCCUCCGGCGGAGCUCCGGAAAAGGCCCCAAGAUGGGAUCUCAUGGGUACAGAAGGUUGCGGCGAUGGAAUUAGGUUUUUGGCUCCGUAUCUGGUAGUUUUGGGGGUACGUAGGUAUAUAUAGGAGGAAGAAGUACGUCGGUGGAGCAACGUGGGCCCCACGAGGGCGCGCCCCCUACCUCAUGCCUUCCUGGUAGAUUUCUUGACGUAGGGUCCAAGUCCUCUAGAUCACGUUCGUUCCCAAAAUCACGUUUCCGAAGGUUUCAUUCCGUUUGGACUCCGUUUGAUAUUCUUUUUCUGUGAAACUCUGAACUAGGCAAAAAACAGCAAUUCUGGGGUGGGCCUCCGGUUAAUAGGUUAGUCCCAAAAAUAAUAUAAAAGUGUAUAAUAAAGCCCAUUAAUGUCUAAAACAGAAUAUAAUAACGUUGGAGACGUAUCAAGCAUCUCCAAGCUUAAUUCCUGCUCGUCCUCGAGUAGGUAAAUGAUAAAAACAGAAUUUUUAAUGUGGAAUGCUACUUGGCAUAAUUUGAAUGUAAUUCUCUUAAUUGUGGUAUGAAUAUUUAGACCCGAAAGAUUCAAGACAAAAGUUUAAUAUUGACAUAAAAAUAAUAAUACUUCAAGCAUACUAACUAAGCAAUUAUGUCUUCUCAAAAUAACAUGGCCAAAGAAAGUUAUCCCUACAAAAUCAUAUAGUCUAGCUAUGCUCUAUCUUCACCACACAAAGUAUUUAAAUUAUGCACAACCCCGAUGACAAGCCAAGCAAUUGUUUCAUACUUUUGAUGUUCUCAAACUUUUUCAAUCUUCACGCAAUACAUGAGCAUGAGCCAUGGACAUAGCACUAUAUGUGGAAUAGAAUGGUGGUUGUGGAGAAGACAAAAAAGGAGAAGAUAGUCUCACAUCAACUAGGCGUAUCAACGGGCUAUGGAGAUGCCCAUUAAUAGAUAUCAAUGUGAGUGAGUAGGAAUUGCCAUGCAACAGAUGCACUAGAGCUAUAAGUAUAUGAAAGCUCAACAAAAGGAACUAAGUGGGUGUGCAUCCAACUCACUUGCUCAUGAAGACCUAGGGCAUUUUGAGGAAGCCCAUCAUUGGAAUAUACAAGCCAAGUUCUAUAAUGAAAAUUUCCCACUAGUACAUGAAAGUGAUAUCAUAGGAGACUCUCUAUCAUGAAGAUCAUGGUGCUACUUUGAAGAACAAGUGUGGUAAAACGAUAGUAACAUUGUCCCUUCUCUCUUUUUCUCUCUUUUUUAUUUGGGUCUUUUAUCCUUUUUUUAUGGCCUCUUUUUUUUUAGUCCGAAGACUCAUCACGACUUGUGGGGGAAUCAUAGUCUCCAUCAUCCUUUCCUCACUUGGGACAAUGCUCUAAAAAAAUGAUGAUCAUCACACUUUUAUUUACUUACAACUCAACAAUUACAACUCAAUACUUAGAACAAAAUAUGACUCUAUGUGAAUGCCUCCGACGGUAUAUCGUGAUAUGCAAUGAAUCAAGAGUGACAUGUAUGAAAGAAUUAUGAACGGUGGCUUUGCCACAAAUACAAUGUCAACUACAUGGUCAUGGAAAGCAAUAUGACAAUGAUGGAGUGUGUCAUAAUAAACUGAACGGUGGUAAGUUGCAUGGCAAUAUAUCUCGGAAUGGCUAUGGAAAUGCCACGGUAGGUAGGUAUGGUGGCUGUUUUGAGGAAGGUAUAUGGUGGGUGUAUGAUACCGGCGAAAAGUGCGCGGUAUUAGAGAGGCUAGCAAUGGUGGAAGGAAGAAAGUGCGUAUAAUCCAUGGACUCAACAUUAGCCAUAAAGAACUCAUAUACUUAUUGCAAAAAUCUACAAGUUAUCGAAGCAAAGUAUUACCCGCAUCAUUCUAGGGGGAUAGAUUGGUAGGAAAAGACAAUCACUCGUCCCCGACCGCCACUCAUAAGGAAGACAAUCAAUAAAUAAAUCAUGCUCCGACUUCAUCACAUAACGGUUCACCAUACGUGCAUGCUAAGGGAAUCACAAACUUUAACACAAGUAUUUCACAAAUUCAAAACUACUCAACUAGCAUGACUCUAAUAUCACCAUCUCCAUAUCUCAAAACAAUUAUCAAGUAUCAAACUUCUCAUAGUAUUCAACACACUCAUAAGAUUUUUUUACUAAUCUUGAGUGCCUAUCAUAAUUAAAGCAAAUUACCACGCUGUUUUGUAGGACUAUCAAAAUAAUCUAAGUGAAUCAUGAGAGAACAAUAGUUUCUAUAAAACAAAACCACCACCGUGCUCUAAAAGAUAUACGUGAAGCACUAGAGCAAAAACUAUAUAGCUCAAAGGAUAUAAGUGAAGCACAUAGAGUAUUCUAACAAUUUCUGAAUCAUGUGUGUCUCUCUCAAAAGGUGUGUACUGCAAGGAUUAUUGUGGCAAACUAACAAAUAAAGACUUCAAAUAAUACAAGACGCUCCAAGCAAAACACAUAUCAUGUGGUGAAUAAAAAUAUAGCUCCAAGUAAAGUUACCGAUGGAAGUAGACGAAAGAGGGGAUGCCUUCCGGGGCAUCCCCAAGCUUUGGGUUUUAGGUGUCCUUAGAUUAUCUUGGUGUGCCAUGGGCAUCCCCAAGCAUAGGCUCUUGCCACUCCUUGUUUCAUAAUCCAUCAAAUCUUUCACCCAAAACUUGAAAACUUCACAACACAAAACUCAGCAGAAAAUCUCGUGAGCUCCGUUAGCAAAAAACAAAACACCACUUCAAGGUACUGUAAUGAACUCAUUCUUUAUUUAUGUUGGUGUUAAACCUACUGUAUUCCAACUUCUGUAUGGUUUAUAAACUAUUUUACUAGCCAUAGAUUCAUCAAAAUAAGCAAACAACACACGAAAAACAGAAUCUGUCAAAAACAGAACAGUCUGUAGUAAUCUGUAACUAACGCAAUUUUCUGGGACUCCAAAAAUUGACCCAAAAUAGGAAGACCUAGACAAUUUUUUUAUUGAUCAGCAGCAAUUGGAAUUAAUAUUUUAUCACGUCCUGGUGAUUUUUAACAAUUAUUUUCGUGAACAGAAAGUUUCUGGAAUUUUCAGCAAGAUCAAAUAACUAUCAUCCAAGAAGAUCCUAUAGGUUAAACUUGGCACAAACACUAAUUAAAACAUAAAAACACAUGUAACCAGAGGCUAGAUCAAAUAUUUAUUCCUAAACAAAAGAAAAAAUCAUAAAAACUAAAAAUAAAAUUGGGUUGCCUACCAACAAGCGCUAUCGUUUAACGCCCCUAGCUAGGCAUAAUAGCAAUGAUAGAUCUAGGUAUUGCCAUCUUUGGUAGGCAAUCCAUAAGUGGCUCUCAUAAUAGAUUCAUAAGGUAAUUUUAUUUUCUUUCUAGGGAAGUGUUCCAUGCCUUUCCUUAAUGGAAAUUGGAAUCUAAUAUUCCCUUCCUUCGUAUCAAUAAUUGCACCAAUCGUUCUAAGGAAAGGUCUACCAAGAAUAAUAGGACAUGAAGGAUUGCAAUCUAUAUCAAGAACAAUAAAAUAUAUGGGCACAUAAUUCCUAUUUGCAACAAUAAGAACAUCAUCAAUUCUUCCCAUAGAUUUCUUAAUGGUGGAAUCCGCAAGGUGCAAGUUUAAAGAGCAAUCAUCAAAAUCACGGAAACCUAGCAAAUCGCACAAAAUCUUUGCAAUCGUGGAAACACUAGCACCCAAAUCACACAAAGCAUAGCAUUCAUGAUCUUUAAUUUUAAUUUUAAUAGUAGGUUCCCACUCAUCAUAAAGUUUUCUAGGGAUAGAAACUUCCAACUCAAGUUUUUCUUCAUAAGAUUGCAUCAAAGCAUCAACGAUAUGUUUAGUAAGGCUUUAUUUUGACUAUAAGCAUGUGGAGAAUUUAGCACGGAUUGCAACAAGGAAAUACAAUCUAUCAAAGAGCAAUUAUCAUAAUUAAAUUCCUAGAAAUCCAAAAUAGUGGGUUCAUUAAUAUCUAGAGUUUUGAUUUCUUCAAUCCCACUUUUACCAUUUUUUGCAUCAAGAUCUAAAAACUCCGAAUUUUUGGAACGCCUUCUAGGUAGAGGUGGAUCAUAUUCAGUCCCAUCAUUAUCAAGAUUCAUAUUGCAAAACAAAGAUUUAAUAGGGGACACAUCAAUAACUUUUAGAUCUUCAUCUUUAUUUUCAUAGAAACUAGAAGAACACGCUUUCACAAAACAAUCUUUCUUAGCACGCAUCCUAGCGGUUCUUUCUUUGCACUCAUCAAUGGAAAUUCUCAUGGCCUUGAGAGACUCAUUGAUAUCAUGCUUAGGAGAAAUUGUAUCAGCGUUCCUAGCCAAUUCAUCAAAUUUAAGCAAUUUUUCUUCAAGCAAAGCAUUGAAAUUGUUUUGCGAAUUCAUAAAUUCUUUAACACUAGUCUCAAAUUCAGAAGGCAUCUUAUUAAAAUUUCCAUAAUAAUUGUUGUAGGAAUUACCAUAAUUAUUAGAGGAAUUACUAGGAUACGACCUUGGAUUAAAGUUUCCUCUAUACGCGUUGUUACCAAAAUUAUUCCGACCAACAAAAUUCACAUCCAUAGAUUCAUUAUUAUUCUCAAUCAAAGUAGACAAAGGCAUAUCAUUAGGAUCAGAAGAAACACUUUUAUUAGCAAAUAAUUUCAUAAGUUCAUCCAUCUUUCCACUCAAAACAUUAAUUUCUUCUAUCGCAUGCACUUUUUUAUUAGUGGAUUUUUCGGUGUGCCAUUGAGAAUAAUUAACUAUAAUAUUAUCUAGGAGUUUAGUAGCUUCUCCUAAAGUGAUUUCCAUAAAAGUGCCUCCCGCGGCCGAAUCUAAAAGAUUUCUAGAAGAAAAAUUCAAUCCGGCAUAAAAUUUUUGUAUAAUCAUCCACAAAUUCAAACCAUGAGUAGGGCAAUUACGUAUCAUUAAUUUCAUCCUCUCGCAAGCUUGUGCAACAUGUUCAUGAUCAAGUUGCUUAAAAUUCAUAAUAUCAUUUCUAAGAGAGAUGAUCUUAGCGGGAGGAAAAUACUUAGAGAUAAAAGCAUCUUUGCACUUAUUUCAAGAAUCACUACUAUUUUUAGGCAAAGACAAAAACCAAGCUUUAGCACGAUCUCUAAGCGAAAAAGGAAAUAGCUUCAAUUUAACAAUAUCUUUGUCCACAUCUUUCUUCUUUUGCAUAUCACACAAAUCAACGAAGUUGCCAUGUCUAGGAAUGCUUGAAGCUUCAAAGAUUUCCUAUAAUACAACAUGCCUCUAACUAUUCACAAUAAGAAAAACAUGUAAAUGCGGAAUCAACCAAAUGAUGGUAAAUUGUAGUUGAUUUUGGCCAAGCAAACGUGAGAUGAAAGAAACAUACAUGAGUGAACAUCACGAUUGGAUGUUUUAUUCAAAUUUAACAGGUUAAACUCACCAAAUCCAUCUGGAUAUUUAGUAUUAAACUUUAACAGAUGGUCAGUUGUAGCUAGAUUCACACCACUGAAGCAAAAUUCCAUCUGCCACGGUUACAUCACACCAUCUUUUCAUCGUUACUAUUUAAAUUCCAAAUGCCUGCAACUCAUUUUUUUGUUAUGAUGUAUGCAUGAUUUUUAACUCAAGAGGAAGAGGGGAAACUAAAUCCAAGAAAAGAACACCAAGGAAGCAUCCAAAAUAGAGAAAGGAAAAAUCCAAAAUAGAGGCAGAAUCGAAGGGAAGAAACCCCAUAAAAAAUAGGAGAUCAAACGGUGAAAAAAAUCUAAGAGUCAAACAAUUCCAGGUAAGACCAAAUCGACGGCAAAAUAGCACAAGAGGGACUCACAUUAACAGGUAUACCAGGUAUACCAAUUCAGAAAGAAGUGUAAAGCGAACAGUGCAAUGGACCACUAGUAUAAAUUGGAUGUACACAAACAUGGGACUUAAACAGGAACUGCGAGAUGCAGGGUUCACGUGCAAACCCAAAAAACGGAAAACUGAAACCCACAACAAGAUUUUAUCUUCAUGUUUGUGUAUUAGUUGCUUCUUCCGAAUCCCCACCUAUCAAGCGUUUUCUCUGAAUAAACAAACAGAAUAGUAUUCUCUGAAUUAUACUGUACAACGGUAUUUAACAAAGCGACUGGAAUUAACAAUAUUAUGAGCUAUUGGCUUUUUAGUCAGGUAAAUAUCAUUCUUAAGACUACGGAAAACAGCAGGCGGCGAAGAAAACAUCUAUUGAUGAGAACUAUACACAUACUUAAGAAGGAAGUGACAUCUAUGGUAGCAGAACAUAUAUCAAGCUGUUGCAGCUACAUUAGCAGUUUAGCACAGUUCCUCCAUAAUACACAGGCUAGUGUAAUUUCACAAAUACAAUAAGCUAACAAUAUAUAUUUGGUAGAUGGAAAUGGCUGGAUCAUGACCAAUAUACCAUUACACAUCCGAUGAUGCAAAUAAAGAAACGAGGCCCAACAAUAGUGGAAAAUAAACCACAAUAGAACAUGUAUUUGGCGAAACCUCCAUACUGCAAUAUCAAACAUGAAUUGAAAUUAACAAUCUAGCAAAAAAACAUGACAGAUGCAGUCUUGGUCAUUUUUCCUUUUGUGACAUCCCCUAAAAAAGUAAAAACAAUGUUGUUCGUAUUUUACCAGAGAUACACUGAGCUGGGACAAUUCGGUCUGAAAUAAAAUAUGAUGGCUUCGGAGGAUUCGGAAGGCAAGAAAUUUGCUUUCUUCCAACAUAUAUGGUCUGCUGAACUAAACUUCGUUUCAACGGGCUUUGGCAAAAAUUUGUAACUGCAAACAUCAACUUGUGUGCCCGUCCUACGUCAAACUUUAACCCUGACGGAUUAAAUAUUUUAGGUUAGGCUGAGAUCAGUGUACUUUAUGAGUGUUAAGUGUACUUUCUAAAUAGCAGAGAAACCAUAACAUCUAAGCACAACCCAGCAACUUGUACAAGCUAACAUCAAAUCUGAAAGAGGAAAUGUCGAGAACAGGUGAAGGUACCAUGAUCCACGACUGAGCAAAGUUAUCUAUAAUCCUCGGUGAAUAUCAUAAAUUAGGAUCAACUACGCUGAAGAACAAACGGGAAAGGAACCUAGAAAGAUCUUCUGCCGGUAGAAUAUAACUGAUACACUAUCCUCAUUCUCGAGAUCAAGGUCGUUUCUUGAAUUGCAGUUUCCUCACUGUAGUAUGGGGUCAUUACACUGCGAAGAACAAAGUGUCAUAUGAAUCAUUUAGAGCCCAAUAUUUUUCACUGAAACUCUUAUGAUCACAUAACGAAUUUAAACAUAAGGUUUAUUAGAUAUUUGUUGUUGUGAACAGAUAAUAUAUUUCUGGUGUUGACAAUGUUUUGAUUAUGGAUGCACUUCAAGAUGGGUGGCACAGAUUCUGUUGUACAGGCCUCCACCUGGAAUUUCAUCACUUGUUAUUUUUGUUUUAGAAUGUCUAGGUGCAUUUUUCCUUUAAGGUGGAAACAGAUGUACUUGUAUAAGCAACAAGAAUACAAAGCGCCACUGCCAUACAUUGUGGAAGUUCAGUGCUUCUGUUUACAAAAUCUGCUUCCCAAAACAGAAGGAUUUAUAAUUUUUUAUUACAAUCAAGCGGACAUGAGCUGAUGAGUACAGAUGUAGACAUGUACUGAGAGCAGCACCCUUUCAAAAGUGGAUCAUUUACAAGUUGGAUAGUUUGAUGGUCUGAAAUUAGUGGUCGUGUUUCAGAAUUGUUAUCGAAUAGUAGGGGAUAUAUAUUAACUUCUGAAAUUAGUGGCUGUUUGUCAGAACUGUUAUCGAAUAACAGAGCACAUAUAUUAACUUCAAUAAGUGGAGUAAUAUUUUUGGAUUCGCUGUGAGGAAAGAUUACCAAAACAAAACAGAAGUGAGUGCGAGGACCCAGAUCAAGGCGCUCUUGAGCCUCUUCCCGACCGACCUAGAUGCAGGAGCAGAACACGGCGGAUCUAAUCAGCCAACGAAUAAAGCUGAGGCAGGUAGAGGAAGUAAGGGAGGAAGAAGACUGACUUUUCCUGGUCGCCCUCGUAGUAGAACCUGUGUUUUGAUUUUCGGCCGAAAAAAGUGGAUUUCGGCCAUCUCGGCCUGGGGCGAAAAGUGUAUUUAGGCCGAAAUUGUUCAAAUUUAGCAAAUUUUGGUCAAAUUUAAGUCAAAUUGCAGUCAAAAUUUGGUCAAAUUUCAGCCGAAAUUUUUGAAAAUGGCCGAAAUUCGGCCAUCUCAGCCUAGGGAGAAAAAAAAGCUCAAACCGAAAAUCAAAACACAGAGUAGAACAUGGCGAACAGGAUGACGAGGAAGACGAGGACAGCGUCGAGGAUGUAGACGACGAGCCAGAGCGUGUUCAUGGGCAGGAUCAAGCAUGGGCAGGAUAAGGGCGCAGGCCCCGUUGUAGGCGGCGUGCUUGCAGGCCUGGCGGUUGGCGACGUCGGCGGGGAGCAUGAGGAUGGCGAGGACGGCGACGGUGAUGCCGAGCACGACGACGAGCUUGAGGAAGUAGGCCUGGUUGGCAUCAUCCGGCUGCUGGUAGUUGACGAGCAGGUAGACGCUGACGAGGAGCACCAGGAUGCUGACCACCGCCGCCACGAUCACUAGCGCCACGUUAAAAACCCCAUCUCCUCGGGGCUCCGGUCCCGGUUCCGGCCCGCCGCCUCGCCCCCAUUGGUCGGUCAGAUCUCUCUGUCCCUAGAGGCGGGGGGACACAGGCUAGGGUUUGGGCGUGGGCGGGGAAUAGGCUGCUAUGGUGCCGGCAGCGGGGCGUGUAGGAGAGAAGGAUUAGGAGGAAUAAUUCACCACACUUUGCUUAAGCUCUCGGCUGGUUCUUAUGUAUAGAUUACAGGGCCAGCCAGGGAGAUCAUGGGGUGAUCCACUACCUGGGAUCGUGCGCCACGAUCACUACAUGCGUGCGCCACGAUCAUAUACACACACGCUACACCUAGUGUCUACGCAACUACGGUAUAGCAGUACAGUACAGUCUAACACCCCCCCGCAGUCGUGACGUCGUCGGCGGCGACGCAAAGACUGGACCGGAACUCAGAGAAAACAUCCGAUGGCAGGCCUUUGGUCAUGAUGUCCGCGAGUUGUUGGCGCAUGGGGAUGUGAAGAACACGGAAGUGGCCGAGGGCGACGCGCUCCCGCACGAAAUGGAUGUCCAGCUCCACAUGCUUAGUGCGGCGAUGAUGCACCGAAUUGGCUGACAGGUAGACUGCGGACACAUUGUCAUAGUACACCAGUGCCGCCUUGGUCACUGGAGCGGAGAGCUCGCCGAGAAACUGGCGGAGCCAGAUGCAUUCAGCGACCGCGUUGGCAACGCCGUGGUAUUCAGCUUCGGCACUGGAGCGCGAUACGGUCGCCUGGCGCUUGGAGGACCAGGAGAUGAGAGCAUCGCCGAGGAAGACGCAGAAGCCCGACGUGGAGCGUCGGGUGUCGGGGCAGCCGGCCCAGUCCGCGUCGGUGAACGCACGGACGUCGAGCGUGGUCGAGGCGCGAAGAUGAAGCCCGAGUGUGCAGGUGCCCUUCACGUACCGGAGCACGCGCUUGACGAGCGCGAGGUGACAUUCGCGCGGGUCAUGCAUGUGCAAGCAGAUUUGCUGGACGGCGUAGGCGAUCUCUGGGCGCGUGAUGGUGAGGUAGUGCAGGGCCCCGGCGAUGCUCCGAUAGGCUGAGGGGUCGUCGACGCAGGGCCCAUCGGCUGAGGGGAGUUUGCUCUUCGUGUCGAUGGGUGUCGGGGAAGGGUGGCAGGUGUCCAUGCCGGCGCGUUCCAGGAGUUCGUCGGCAUAUUGUUGUUGCGACAGGAAGAAGCCAGCUCGGGUGCGGGUCACGCGGAUGCCGAGGAAGAAGGCGAGCGAGCCCAGGUCCUUCAUGGUGAAUUCGCCUGUGAGGCGUUGGAUGACAUGGUGAAGCACGCGUGACGAGGACGCGGUGAGCACGAUGUCGUCGACGUAGAGGAGGAGGAACGCCAUGUCGUUGCCGUGCCGGAAGGUGAACAGCGACGAGUCCGAACGCGUAGCUGCGAAGCCAAUGGAGCGGACGAAGCCGGCGAAGUGGAGGAACCAGGCACGGGGCGCCUGCUUGAGCCCGUACAAGGACUUGGAGAGGCGGCGAACGUGCUCUGGUUUGUCGGGGUCGACGAAUCCGGCGGGCUGGAGGCAGUAGACUUCCUCCUCCUAGUUGCCGUGGAGGAAGGCGUUGGAGACGUCGAGGUGGUGCACCGGCCAGCCGCGUGACGCGGCCAGAGUGAGCACCGUGUGGAUCGUCGCUGGCUUGACGACGGGGGAGAACAUCUCGCCGUAGUCGACGCCGGCACGCUGAUGAAAGCCCCGCACGACCCAGUGUGCUUUGUAGCGGGCCAGCGCGCCGUCGGCGUCGUUUUUGUGCUUGAAGAUCCACUUCCCUGUGAUCAGGUUGGCGCCCGGGGGGCGGGCACCAGCUCCCACGUGCGAUUGCGCACGAGCGCAUGGCACCGAGCCAGUUCGGGUCGCGAACAGCAGCGCGAAGCGAACGUGGCACCGGCGACACCGAUGAUGAGGUAGAGGCGGUGGCCGCGUCGUAGUAGCGUGGGUUGGGGCGGAAGAUGCCGCGCUGGGCACGCGUGACCAUGGGCACAGGAGGCGCCGGUGCGCGGCGCGCCGCUGGUGGCGCGCUCGGAGACGAGCUGUCGGAGGAGCCGCUGGCGGAGUUGUCGGAGGAGCCGCUGGCGGAGGCGAAGACAGGCGGACCAGGCGCGGAUGGGCACGUCGAGGAUGGAGCCGAGCCGCCAUCGGAAGCGCCCGCAGCGUACCGCGAGCUGACGCGGCGCGCCUCGCUGGUUGGCGAGGAUGAGCGGGGCAGGCCGGUGAUGGAGAUCGGGCGCGCCGGCAGCACGGGUGACAUGCUGCUGUCAGGCACCAGUGGAAGCGCGGGCAGCGCAGGAGGCCGGACGACGAGCGGGAUCUGCAGGGUAGAGGGUAUGACGGGUGGCGUAGGCGACGGGGAAGAGGAUGCGAACGGGAAAACGUGUUCGUGGAAGAGAACGUGGCGAGACGUGAGGACGCGGCGAGAGGUGAGGUCAAAGCAGCGAAAACCACGAUGAUCGGGAGGGUACCCGAGGAAGACGCAGGCGAUAGAACGUGGCUCGAGCUUAUGGCGGGUGGUGGCGGUGACGUUCGGAUAGCAGAGGCAUCCAAAGACGCGGAGCUGCGAGUAAUCUGGGGCGACGCCGAGCAGGAGUUCAUGCGGAGUGCAGGGCGCCGAGGCGCGGUAGGGCCGACGAUUGAGCAGGUAGGUCGAGGUGUUGAGAGCCUCUGCCCAGAAGCGAGCGGGCAUGUGCGCAUGACAGAGAAGCACACGAACGCCGUCGUUGAUCGUGCGGAGAACUCGCUCGUCCUUGCCGUUCUGCUGACUGGUGUAUGGGCAGGUGAGACGGAAGUGUGUGCCGUGGCGAGCAAGCAGAGAGCGCACGGCUGCGCUGUCGAAUUCACGACCAUUGCCCAUUUGCAGUGCAAGUAUGGGUAACUGAAACUGAGUCUGAACAUAGGCAAAGAAAUCAACAAGUAUGGGAAGAACUUCAGACAUGUGUUUCAGAGGGAAAGUCCAGACAUAGUGACUGAAAUCAUCUAGUAUAACUAAGUAAAACUGAUAGCCGGAUAUGCUUACAACGGGAGCGGUCCAUACAUCAAGGUGUAAAAGCUGGAAAGAACUAGCAGUGGUGGAUGUCUGAAACGGGAGCCAGGUGUGUUUGCCAACACGACAGGCAUGACAGACAGGCGGAUCACGGCAGAACUCCAGGGACUGAUCAACAGCAACAGUGCGGAGUGCGGCAGCCCCUGGGUGGCCAUGCGUUGGUGCCGGGUGCAGGCGUGGGGUACGCCGGGGGAGGGCGGGGAGCCUGGGAGGACGGCGUGGGCGGGCCACCAAUGCCGUUGCCACGUCUGCGGCGGCGUCCGCGCCCACGCCCUUGGUUGGUGUUGCUGGGCGGGGGUGUGGGUGGUGUAGGAGAGCCGCCACGCCCGGCGACGAGAGCGUGCGCAGACUGCUGGCGAGUGGUCGACUGCUCUGCUCGGUGUUCCUCAAGCAGGACGAAGGAGCGCACCUGCAGGAACGACGGGAGCGGGACCUGCGAGGUGAUGUGAGGGAUGGCGGAGUGGAACUGCUGGUUCAGACCGCGGAGCAGGUUGAAGACCUGCCGCGAGUCGGUUACCGGCUGCCCGAGGUCGCGGAGUCGAUCCGUGAACGACUUCAUCUUGGUGCAGUACGCCAUGAUCGACAUGUCGCCCUGAACGACAUAGUGGUACUCGGCGUCGAGGUAGACAGCGCGAGCGAGGUGGUUGUCGCGGAAGAUUCCAUCGACCGCAGUCCAGAUGGCCAGAGCAGUGUCGUCCGGCUGCAUGACGACGUCGAGCAGGUCCGGCGAUAUGGUAGUGUAGAACCAGUGGACGACGACGUGAUCAGCCAUGCCCCACUCGGGAUCAUCGUGGCGGUGGAUGGCCAUGGCGUCGACGUGAGUGCGGAGGCCGAACAUGCCGAUGACGGUGUCGAAGUGGCGGCGCCACUGCGUGUAGUUGCCGGCGAGAAGGUCGAGGGUGACCGGGACAUGACGACGGAUGUCCACGGUCUGCAGGAUCGCGGAGGCGACAGGUGCUGUAGGAGGAGGAGGAGGGAUGACGGGCACCGCGGGCGCGACAGGUGCUGGAGCCGGCGGUGCGUUGGCCAGGGGGACAGCGUUGAGGACGCCGUCGGCGCCGUGCUGCGAGGAGCGAGGGGACACGACGGGGUUGUCAUCCAUGGCGGUGGAAGCGGGACUGGCGACCUGCGCGAAGGGAUUGAGCAGGUCGGGGGAGUCUGAUACCAUAUAGGAAAGAAGGAUUAGGAGGAAUAAUUCACCACACUUUGAUUGAGCUCUCGGUUGGGUCUUAUGUACAGAUUACAGGGCCAGGGAGAUCAUGGGGUGAUCCACUACCUGGGAUCGUGCGCCACGAUCACUAUAUGCGUGCGCCACGAUUAUAUACACACAUGCUACAACUAGUGUCUACGCAACUACGGUAUAGCAGUACAAUAAAGUCUAACAGGGCGGCCACCGGCGGGGAGGGCGGGAUCCGUGCGGGGUGGCGGGAUUUGGGCAGGCGGUGGGCUCGGGGGAGGGCGAUGGCAGCGAAGCAGCAAGGAGGGGCUGGAGGAGAUGAAACGAAAGAGGUCGCGUGACACAGCGACAGCGUAGUCCAAUCCCCUCGCUGCUGAUUUAAAAAAAAGGUAAUGAUAACUCCCGAACGUUCGGGAGUUAAGCAUGGCAACCCGAACGGGUUUAGAUGGCAAGUUUAGUUUGCGUGAGAUUAGGGAAACAUGGCAAUUUUCUGACAAAAGAAAUGAAAAAGGACGAAGUUGCCAUCCCCUAUCAACUAAAGUUGCCAUCCCCUAUAAAUUAAAGUUGCCAUGUAAAAACGUUCGGGACGAAAUGCUCAAAAUCCGAACGUUCGGAAGUUACUGGAUUCAAAAAAAUCCCCUUGCUGCCAAUCGCUGGCCCGUUUCUUUUUUCGCCCAAUCGCUAGGUGAUGACGUGGCUAUCGCGGGAAGGCGCCCUUGAUGCGUAGUCGAAUGGUUUUAAUUAAUAGGAAACGAGUGCUUACUCUAGUUACUGAAUCAUGUACACCAAAUAAAGCCAUUUACACGUAGUUAAUGACAAAAAAAGUUGAUGUUUGCUACGCAAAUGUGUAGUACAAAUUAAGAAGUGCAAGAUUAAAAAAAAAUGCUGGUCCUUGAUUCGUUGUUGAUCGUCAGCAUGCCAUCAUCAAUUUGUAGUUAAUUAUCAUACAAAUUGGCUCUUUCAUAGAGUUGGAGGCUAGCUCCUUUGAUCAGCACGCGCUUAAACACAAACAGCACGUAUAUGUUUUGUCUCCGGAGUUCAAUUCUUCAUCGGCCAGCAAAAAUGGCCCGACCGGGUAGAGGAAAAGGCAUGUUUGUUAGUACGCCUGGAGGAAAUGCCUUUGAUUACGGCAUCUUCAACAGCGACCAGUAAAUUUCCUUCCGCGUUCGUUCACGGAUAGGGGAUCAGUCUGCGGAUACGAAUACAGGAAUCAUCCAUCCAACGCUGUCCGCGUAUAUUUCAAACACAUUUUUUUUUUAAAAUAGGAUGAAAUUCAUGCAAACACAAUGGAUUUCAUACAAACCGGACAAAAAUGUUUACAUUUUGGACAUAUUUUUUUACUAAAAACUCUACAGCCGGCGCCGGCGAAUAUCCACCCCGGCGACAUGGAUACCCUUGACUAGUCUACUGCCGGCCGCAGCGGAUCUCCAAUGUCGUCCCCAUAUCCGGCAGCUAUGAGCCCUAGAGGUAUAUGCUUCAGCGCAAAGAGCGGCUCGCCUCCCUACCGCUCAUCGGAGUGGAACAACCAGCUGAUGCUUCUGCCGAUGGAAAGGGUCCCUACGCUACACGGAUUAGAGUUGGUUUUCGGCUGGGAACGGCGGUGGCCUGCCAGAGGGCAAGACACCGACUGUGUAUGCUGGUGUCACCUGGUGUGGCAUUCGUGGGACCCAAGCGGCAGCGCCUCCUCGAUGAUGGCGGCGAGCGCGGACGUGUUUGACACCACCUCGUCGAUGUCCGUGCAGCCGGCUUCUUUCUCUGUAGGAAGGACGCGGUUACGCUUGCGUUGACAUCGGAUGACUCGGUCACAUGCACGGGAGGGGCGGUACGACAUGGCACCGCCAAUGGCAGCCAUGAUGCCCACGCCACCGUGCUCCCUCCCAGUGCCGAUCUAGAGCAACUUGCCACUCCUCUGCUCGUGACCGGUGGGCUUGACGGGCCACCUAGCCAUUUUUUAUGCCAGACAACUCUUCUUCCUGCUCGUCAGAUGUCAUGGAUAAAACUGUUUAAGGAGGAAAAUGAUGAGUGGACGUGUGAUGCGGUUCUUGCCCAACAUCUGACAUUGUUUAAAUAGCGAGGGGAGACGAGAGGAGCCAACCGGCGUACUGUUUAAUGCCAACCGGCUCGCGAACGAACAUGUGGCCGGAGUAAUUAUCCUAGCACACACGCGGGUUUAAUGGUGGAAGGCGGGCAGUCUGCAGGAAUGAGGCGAGGAUGUGUGCUUAGCCGGCGUGCAGCAGGCGGCGCCCUCGGCCGGCGUGCUGCUUCCAUUGCGGAGGCAGUGAGAGGUCGCGUCCGCUCUGCAGCGCAUGAAUGCGGGCAGCUGGCGCAGAGCGGGAACGCGUGCGGGCGAGGGAGGAGGGGGUUUGGGCGGGUGGUCAGAAGAGGUCGUGGGUGUUGUCCGAACGCCUGCAAAGCCCCCCUCCAUGUUUGUCUCCAGUUUGCGGGAGAAAGUACGUCCGGACCGUCUCCAAUGGACCAAUACAGGCCCGCAUUGGAUAGCACAACACGUCCGGACCAUGUGGUCCGGAUGGUUGUGGACAGUUUAAUUGAGGGUCGGCGUUGGAGAUGCCUUAGAGUUUAUGAAUCCAUUGUGUUUUUCUAAUCAUAAAAAAUCACUUACAAUAAGUUAUAAGGAAAGACACGUUUAUAUGUUAGGUUCAGACUCCAGCUUUCGUUUUACAUAUGCUUUAUUCAUCCGACUGAUUCCAAUAGAGUGAGCCUAGCGUUGUUUUUCUGGAAACUCGCGGGAUAAGGAGACAUGCAUACACAUUCUUUCAAGCAAAUCACAUCCAUUUUUUUUAACUCAUUUUUCUUCUUUUAAUAAUAUAAUAGAUCAUUUAUAUUUUUUAUCUGAAACAGUUGACGUGUAAUUUAUAUUGUAAUCUGAGGAUAAUGUUUGGAUUUUACUUUCAAAUAUAUUUGAAAUGGCCAUGAUGGAAUCACAUCCAUUUAUUUUAUUAUUAUUUGAAUUUGAUCCAAAAGAUAAAUAAUGAGUAGAGGUCAUGUCAACUUUUCUGAGAACUUUGCUAAUCAAAAUAUAAAUUGUAUUUAAAAACAUCUAUUUUUUAGCACGCAUGAAAAACAUAACACGUAUCUUUUCACACAUAAUGAACGGUUGUCAUAAGAACUCAUGCCAUGCCACAACCUCCCUCCGACCCUGCCAACAUUGUUGCAGCUGCACUCGCAAGCCUUAGCGUAGAUGAUAAUUUAUACAAUUUGCGUAAAACAAAAUAAGAUCUACAAAUGAAUAGAAGCUAGAACGUACAUUGGCAUGCACACACAUUGCAAGCCAUACUAAGCUGAUAAGUGUUAAUAACUUGUACAACAUAUACAACACUUAAGACAAGUAAAAGCAAUUUGAUGAGUCAUGGUCUAUCAAAGCCACAUUACUAGUCUAAUCCAUCUUAACAGGUCACACAUGAUUAAAAUCUUGUUUGUGUGCAAGUCAAGCUUAUCUAGUUUACAUGUAACAACUUGUAGAACAUUACAAAAUUUAUGUUUGCUAAUAACUUCUAGAACACUACAACACUUGACAUGUAAAAGGAAUUUGAUGAGUCAUGGCCUACUAAAGCAAGUUAUAUUACUAGUCUUAUCUACCAUAACAGGCCACACAAGAUUACAAACCAAGUUCUGUGCCAGCCAUGCUUAUCUAGUUUAUGCGUAACAAUUUGCAGAAAAUUACAAACUUAGUUUCAGAAAAAUAGGCAAUCUAGAUUAGUGUUUGAGCUGUAAAGUGAAUAAAAUGAGUCAUGCGUGUUAUCACACCUUUUUGGUUGUGGAAUGAUAGUGCAACAACAAGGAACUUUAAUGACCAGUUCAAGAAUACACUUGUAAGUAGUGCCACCGAACACAACAUACCAAAUUAUGAUUUUGAGAAGCAUCCAAGCACAUCCACACAAGCAAAUGCCAAUUGUGAAAGAGAUCAUGCCAUGGCAGCUAUAAAUAGGCCCGUAGCAUGACGAUCAUCCUUCCUCAUCCAUCAUUCUCAUAAGUAGAGCGCAUCAUUUAAGCCAAGCAAGCAGUGCUCAAUACAAAUCCACCAUGAAGACCUUUCUCAUCCUUGCCCUCCUUGCUAUUGUAGCAACCACCGCCACAAUUGCAGUUAGAGUUCCAGUGCCACAAUUGCAGCCACAAAAUCCAUCUCAGCAACAACCACAAGAGCAAGUUCCAUUGGUACAACAACAGCAAUUUCCAGGGCAGCAACAACCAUUUCCACCACAACAGCCAUAUCCGCAGCCGCAACCAUUUCCAUCACAACAACCAUAUCUGCAGCUGCAACCAUUUCCGCAGCCGCAACUACCAUAUCCGCAGCCGCAACCAUUUCGACCACAACAACCAUAUCCACAACCGCAACCACAGUAUUCGCAACCACAACAACCAAUUUCACAGCAGCAGCAGCAGCAGCAACAACAACAACAACAACAACAACAGAUCCUUCAACAAAUUUUGCAACAAUAACUGAUUCCAUGCAGGGAUGUUGUAUUGCAACAACACAGCAUAGCGCAUGGAAGCUCACAAGUUUUGCAACAAAGUACUUACCAGCUGGUGCAACAAUUGUGUUGUCAACAGCUGUGGCAGAUCCCCGAGCAGUCGCGGUGCCAAGCCAUCCACAAUGUUGUUCAUGCUAUUAUUCUGCAUCAACAACAACAACAACAACAACAACCGUUGAGCCAGGUCUGCUUCCAACAGCCUCAACAACAAUAUCCAUCAGGCCAGGGCUCCUUCCAGCCAUCUUAGCAAAACCCACAGGCCCAGGGCUCUGUCCAGCCUCAACAACUGCCCCAGUUUGAGGAAAUAAGGAACCUAGCGCUAGAGACGCUACCUGCAAUGUGCAAUGUCUAUAUCCCUCCAUAUUGCACCAUUGCUCCAGUUGGCAUCUUCGGUACUAACUGAGAAUAGAAUAACUCUAGUAGUAGAUAUAUGAUACACCGUUUUCUUAGUCCAUGGUUUGGUCGUUGUAGCGGUGAAAAAAUAAAGUGACAUGCACUAUCAUGUAAGAACCCGAACUAUACUAUUUCAAACAUGGGAAUAAAAGACAAACACAUGUCUUGUCUACAUAUGAUUGUUUGUUUGAGUUCCACUCAUGUGCCCACUCACAAGUUCACCCCUAAUUAUAUAUAUUAUGCAUUAAGUAGAUAUUUAUGUUGCAUUAAUCUAAAGAUAACAAAAUGAGUCUGAAAUUUGAAUUAAAUUGAAGUAUUUCCUUGGACUUUCAAAUGGAGUAUUAUUAAAGUAGUAAGGACUAUCCACAUCCUUGGCUUGCCCUUGAUCAAUUAUUUCCAGAGAAGCAUUCAAUUCAUCAAUCAAUUACAUUGAUUUUUGUGGCUGGUACUUCUCCUCAACAUGAGUAUAUUCAUCGCGGCUACUCCAAAUAGCCAUGAAUGAGGUACCGGUGCUCUGGAGCACUGGUACCUAACUGCUUCUCAUGUGAAGGGGUGCGGGCGCGGGAGAGGUGUUUUUGGUGGGCCAGGGGAGUAAGAAGCGGCCGUGGCAGCGGUCCAGACGCCCACAAAGCCCCGUAGUUUGUUUUUGGUUUACAGGAAAAUGCACAUCCAGACUGGCCUGCGGGCCGAUAUAGGACCGUAUUGGAUGGCAAAACAUGUCCGGAUGGUCGCGAGCGGUUUAAGGGUUAGCUUUUGUAACACCCGGUUAGUUAUGCUAUGGUAAUUCCCUGCUAAUGAUGUCACGUCAGCACGAUUACUGUUGUUAACCUCACAAUGAUUCAAUCCCAUUCAAAUUCAAAUUUAAAAUAAAGGCAAACAUCAAAAGUUUCAAACAUUAAAACUAAAAUCUUCGAGAGGUGAAAAAUAAUGCAUAAGUAAUUAUGGUGGAGAAACCACACUUUUAUAAAAUGUUUAAAUACUCUAAAAAUAAUAAAACAGUGGCUUAAACUAUUAUUUAAAUGCUUUUAAAAUAGUAAAAAUGUUCUAACUAAAUUAAUUGGGUACCAAACUUUUGGUGGCAGUGGUAUAUUUAGUAGAACUAAUUUAGAUGCUAAUAAAACAUAAAAGGAAAGACAAAACAAAUAAAAGUAAAAGGGGGCAACCCUUGGCUGGGCCUCGGCCAAGCUGGGCACUUGGCUAGCUAGGUUGGCCCAACCGCCUCCCUUAACCCCCCACUCCCCAUCGAACCCUAGACCGAUCGCCCCACUUCCCCCCCACCCCCUCGUCAGCCUCCCCACCUCUCGAUCCCAUCUGGAUCGGGGAGGGGAUCGCCUUCAUCGACCCCGUCGCGGUCGCUGGAUCGCCCGCUCGCCCAUCGCCCGCCGGCGUCGCCGGACCUCCUCCCCGUCGCAUGUCUCCGGCUCUCCUCCCCUCUCGCUCCUCUUCCCCGACCCGAUCUAGAUCGGGAAGGGCCAAUGAGCCCAACGCCCCCCUCCAUCGACGCUGUGCUCCAGCACCGCCGCCCGAAGACCUCGCCAUCGCCGGACCUCGCGUCGCCUCCUCGUAUCCCUCCCCGACUCGCCUCCUCAAGCCACGCCGACCCCCUCUCGGCAACGCCGUGAGCCGCACCCGUUUCCCUCCUUCUCUUUCCACCGUGUUCACCGCGCCGCCUGCCGUGCCCCUCGCCGCGCGCACGCCCACCACCGCGCCAGCCCCCGCUCCCGCCCUCUCCUGCACGCUUGUGCGCGCAUGACCCUAGCCGCGCCCACGCCGUGAUCCCCUUGUCCCGCCCGCCUUCGUCCCGCGCUCGCCGCGGCCCCCAUGCUCCCCUGCGCCCUCUUUUGGGGCCGUCGGCUGCCCCUGUCCCGCAGCUCGCUGGCAUGCGUCCCCGCCUGCGCCUCGCCACCGCUCUACUGCUACGCUACUAUUGCGCUGUGGCCGCCGCCGCUUCCCGCUGCUCUGCCAGCGCCAAAGCUCCUGGUUGGCCCUGCCGCUGCUCGCGUUUAACCGCCGGCCUAAGCGGCCUAACCUCCCCCCUCGCUAAUGAACCCCCACCGACCCGCUGACACCGGGACCCACAUCCCCUAAUUAACCAUUUAAUAAAUUAAAACUCUUAAAUUAACAUUAGUGUAUGACAUGUGGGUCCCCUAUUAAUUAAACUGAUUUAAUUAAAAUCUAUUAACUUUGAGUCUAUGACAUAUGGGCCCCACUAAACAUUUGACCAAUCAACGGUCCAGUCAAAUGCUGACCGGACAGUUGACCAGAGGGCCCCGCCAGUCAGCCAAUGUGCUGUUCUGCUGGGUACCUUUCUAAGUACACCUAGCAUUUUGCAUUUACAAUAUUUGUUUUAAAAUAAAUUAGAAUAAUUUCAAAAAAAUAUUAAAACUUUUAAAAUUAAAAUAAAAUAAUCCGUAACUCGGAUGAAAUUACUUUAUACAUGGAAGUUGCUCAAAAAAUGAGACGAAUCCGAAUACACAGUCCGUUCGUCUGCCACGCGUCCCUAGCAUAGCGAACAUGCAACCAUCCCCCUCCGGUUCGACUGUCCGAAAAAUUAUUAUUGCACAUGCCCGCUAAGAGGUUGGCUGUAUAUGACAUGACAACUUCUUAUAGCCGAGCCUUGGCUGUAUUAUUAACCAUGCUCUUAGUGAGGUAGCUAGUAUAUCAUAGACGACUAGCUAGUAUCAGACUAGCCAAAGUGGGAGUAACUUCAGCAGUAACAUCGACUCCAACUCAGCAAACUUCCUUAUGUGGGAGUAAACCGUGCCCAAUGCAAAAUACAAUCCCAGUCGUAAUUUUUUCAGGAAACGUGUGGGAUCCCAAACGAAAAGCACACGUCACUCUUGCGGCAACCGUCGGUGACACCCAAUAAAUCACAAACGGUCUGCAGCAGCUGUAUGUGUGCAAAGGGGCUCCUGAACCGUUUGUGAUAGAACAUUAUCGCAGACGGUAAUUGUUGGCAAACGUGUGCGAUGGAGUCUAGCAUGGCAGACGGGUUACGCAGAAAACUCGUGUGUGAUGGGGCACAAAUCGCACACAGUUCAUAUGUUGGUCCAUGUGCCUUACAUACUAUUUCCCAAAUGGUUUGUUACGACAGACCGUAUCGUUUCAGUGCGUCAUUAGAAACGCUUAAUCACUGAUACCACACGUGCGAAAGAAAUUAGUGCGUGAUGCAUCGCACACGAUUACAUUUUGGAAGGCCUCUGGAUCACUGCUCCAUAUCCCCGACGGUUUCUGGGCCGUGUGGGAAGGACACCCUAUCGCACACACUCACUUGGCGAUGGUUCCAAAUGCUGUCGCAGAAAAGGGUUAAAAACAGUUUGUUUAGGACCGACGCGUACCAGUGUCUAUCUAUCUAUCUAUCUAUCUAUCUAUGUAUCUAUCUAUCUAUCCAUCUAUCUAUCUAUCUAUCUAUCUAUCUAUCUAUCUAUCUAUCUAUCUAUCUCAAUCCACCUAUCUAUCUAUCCAUCUAUCUAUCUCUCCAUCUAUCCAUCUAUCUAUCCAUCUAUCCAUCCAUCUACUAUCCAUCUAUCUAUCCAUCCAUCCAUCUAUCUAUCCAUCCAUCCAUCUAUCUAUCUAUNNNNNNNNNNNNNNNNNNNNNNNNNNNNNNNNNNNNNNNNNNNNNNNNNNNNNNNNNNNNNNNNNNNNNNNNNNNNNNNNNNNNNNNNNNNNNNNNNNNNNNNNNNNNNNNNNNNNNNNNNNNNNNNNNNNNNNNNNNNNNNNNNNNNNNNNNNNNNNNNNNNNNNNNNNNNNNNNNNNNNNNNNNNNNNNNNNNNNNNNNNNNNNNNNNNNNNNNNNNNNNNNNNNNNNNNNNNNNNNNNNNNNNNNNNNNNNNUCUAUGUAUCCAUUUAUCCAUUGAUCCAUCUAUCGAUCCAUCCAUCCAUCCAUCUAUCCAUCAAUCUAUCUAUCCAUGUAUCCAUGUAUCCAUCUAUCCAUCUAUCGAUCUAUCCAUCCAUCUAUCUAUCUAUCUAUCCAUCUAUCCAUCUAUCGAUCUAUCCAUCUAUCUAUCUAUCCAUCCAUCUAUCGAUCUAUCGGUCUAUCCAUCUAUCGAUCUAUCCAUCUCUCCAUCUACCCAACUAUCCAUCUAUCCAUCUAUUCAUCUACCGAUCUAUCUAUCCAUCUAUCUAUCUAGCUAUCUAGCUAUCUAGCUAUCUAUCUAUCUAUCUAUCUAGCUAUCUAGCUAUCUAUCUAUCUAGUUAUCUAGCUAUCUAUCUAUCUACCUACCUACCUACCUACCUACCUACCUAUCUAUCUAUCUAUCUAUCUAUCUAUCUAUCUAUCUAUCUAUCUAUCUAUCUAUCUAUCUAUCUAUCUAUCUAUCUAAAGGAAAUAUGCCCUAGAUGCAAUAAUAAAGUUGUCAUUUAUAGUUCGUUAUAUCAUGAUAAACUAGCGGAGUCACCCGCGCAUUUGCGCGGCUAGAUUGACUACAUAUAUUGUUAUAUUUGGGAUUAUUUUUCUAUGCCAAUUUUAUGGCCUCUUACUCAGAUAUUAUCUAAUUGAAUUUACCACCACCAUAUGUUAUAUCCAUAGAUUAUAAUGAAAAGGCAACUUCCGACGAAACAUGGACAGAUUAUUGAGUGCUCAGAAGACGGACGCAAUAUCAUAUAUAGACUUCUAUACCAAUCUUCAUGGUUCCCAUCUUUGAUCCUCUCCUCGUCCCUUGGUAUCUAUCUUUGCACCCAAUAUGUCUUUGGAGUUCCAAGAAUUGAAUCUUAGCAUGAAUGGCUUCAAUGUGUACCAAAUGUUCUCUUGUUCCUCCCAAAUUAAUUACUGGUUGCAUUCUUAGUUGCUUUGACAUUCUUGGUUAAUGCAAUUUCUUGCCUACCAAUAUAUGCAUCCACACACGAUCAUAUUUAUAUGACCACUUACCUCUGUAUUCUGGUAUUUGUGCUUCAGAAUUUUUCUCUCAUUCAGUUUAUUCAUAGAUUAAAAACGUCGAUCGUUUCUUUAUUGGUUUGCAUUAUCUUGUUUGCCGAACGUAAGCAUCCACACAUGCUCGUCAUGAUAUGAUUGGUCAUCAUUGUAUAUUUGUAUUUGUGUGUUGAUAGCUUAAGGAUUUUCUCGGAUUCACUUCAUAGUUUAAGGAUUUUCUCGCGUUCAAUUUAUUCUACCUUAUUCAUUUUCAUGUUUCUUUAUUGCAUUUAUAUCAAUUCUUACAAUAUAUUUUCCAAGAUAUGAACUCAACUACUAAUUACGUAGUUUUUCAUCAAAAAUUACAUGUAAAAAUGUUACAAAUGCAUAAACAUGAUAAAAAUAUAUAUCAUAUUCCAUUGAGAGAUCGCCCAUUUAAAAAAAACACGUUGACUUACAAAAAGGACAAUUCAAGCUGCAUGUACGUCCGACUCAUGUUUACCUGACAAUGUCGAUGUUGAUUUCAGCAGUAAAUGAGCUGUGUGUGACCUUUGCGCUUUCCGGUAUUCUUCUAACCUGUGUGCUUUAUGAUCAGUUUGUUGUGCUUAGUACUGGACACUUGAGUAUACUAUCAUAUUUGGUACAAAUAAAUCUGAACUACUAUAGUUAUGAUCCACUGUAUAGUUAAUGGUGGUGGUAAUUAAUAUAUGUGGUUAAAUACUUGCGCUCCUUAGGUGGGGAGUUGGAUUUGUAUUUCCCUAAAAUAAAUUUCAGAUUUCGUAAUAGUGGUGAAGCCAGCCGGAAGAACCUCUGCGUCAUUAUUAAUUUUGGUGAUAUUUUUCUUCAUAGUGUAGAAUAAUUUUAGUGCUUAUUCCGCAAAAAAUAUGGCCUCAACUGACCCCAUAGCUUGUAUGUUGCGCCACCACUGUUUCCUAUAUCCUAUUACAUCCGUUGUUUUUAGAUCUUGAUGCAUAACUUUGACAAUAUUUAAUAGAUAUGUGUCUGUAUAAAAAAUUAUAAAUGCUAUGAUAAUUUGAUUAAUUAUGAUGAAUAAAAUGUUAUUGCUCUGACUUGAUCCCUCUAGAAUUUUCCAAAAUUUCACAUUACAGUUGUAGUAGUGCAUGCUACCUCUUGAGCACUGCGUUAGUUUUCCCUUGAAGAGGAAAGGGUGAUGCAGUAAAGUAGCGUCAGUAUUUCCCUCGGUUUUUGAGAACCAAGGUAUCAAUCCAGUAGGAGGCCACGCAUGAGUCCCUCGCACCUACACAAACAAAUAAAAUCCUCGCAACCAACGCAAUAAAGGGGUUGUCAAUCCCUUCACGGUCACUUACGAAAGUGAGAUCUGAUAGAUUUGAUAAGAUAAUAUUUUUGGUAUUUUUAUGAUAAAGAUGCAACGUAAAGAAAGCAAAAUAAAAAAAGCGCCAGAAAUAGCUUGUUGACGGGAGAUUAAAAUAGACCGGGGGGCCAUAGGUUUCACUAGUGGCUUCUCUCGAGAGCAUAAGUAUUUUGGUGGGUAGACAAAUUACUGUUGAGCAAUUGACAGAAUUGAGCAUAGUUAUGGGAAUAUCAAGGUAUGAUCAUGUAUAUAGGCAUCACGUCCGAGGCAAGUAGCCCGACUCCUGCCUGCAUCUACUACUAUUACUCCACACAUCGACUGCUAUCCAGCAUGCAUCUAGAGUAUUAAUUUCAAAAGAACAGAGUAACGCUUUAAGUAAGAUGACAUGAUGUAGAGGGAUAAACUCAUGCAGUAUGAUAUAAACCCCAUCUUGUUAUCCUCGAUGGCAACAAUACAAUACGUGCCUUGCUGCCCCUACUGUCACUGGGAAAGGACACCGCAAGAUUGAACCCAAGCUAAGCACUUCUCCCAUCGCAAGAAAGAUCAAUCUAGUAGGCCAAACCAAACUGAUAAUUCGAAGAGACUUGCAAAGAUAACCAAUCAUACAUAAAAGAAUUCAGACAAGAUUCAAAUAUUGUUCAUAGAUAAACUUGAUCAUAAACCCACAAUUCAUCGGUCUCAACAAACACACCGCAAAAGAAGAUUACAUCGAAUAGAUCUCCACAAGAGAGGCGGAGAACAUUGUAUUGAGAUCCAAAAAGAGAGAGGAAGCCAUCUAGCUAAUAACUAUGGACCCGAAGGUCUGAGGUAAACUACUCACACAUCAUCGGAGAGGCUAUGGUGUUGAUGUAGAAGCCCUCCAUGAUCGAUGCCCCCUCCGGCGGAGCUCCGGAAAAGGCCCCAAGAUGGGAUCUCACGGGUACAGAAGGUUGCGGCGAUGGAAUUAGGUUUUUGGCUCCGUAUCUGGUAGUUUGGGGGUACGUAGGUAUAUAUAGGAGGAAGAAGUACGUCGGUGGAGCAACGUGGGCCCCACGAGGGCGCGCCCCCCUACCUCGUGCCUUCCUGGUAGAUUUCUUGACGUAGGGAACAAGUCCUCUAGAUAACGUUCGUUCCCAAAAUCACGUUUCCGAAGGUUUCAUUCCGUUUGGACUCGGUUUGAUAUUCUUUUUCUGUGAAACUCUGAACUAGGCAAAAAACAGCAAUUCUGGGGUGGGCCUCCGAUUAAUAGGUUAGUCCCAAAAAUAAUAUAAAAGUGUAUAAUAAAGCCCAUUAAUGUCUAAAACAGAAUAUAAUAUAGCAUGGAACAAUAAAAAAUUAUAUAUACGUUGGAGACGUAUCAAGCAUCCCCAAGCUUAAUUCUUGCUCGUCCUCGAGUAGGUAAAUGAUAAAAACAGAAUUUUUAAUGUGGAAUGCUACUUGGCAUAAUUUCAAUGUAAUUCUCUUAAUUGUGGUAUGAAUAUUCAGACCCGAAAGAUUCAAGACAAAAGUUUAAUAUUGACAUAAAAAUAAUAAUACUUCAAGCAUACUAACUAAGCAAUUAUGUCUUCUCAAAAUAACAUGGCCAAAGAAAGUUAUCCCUACAAAAUCAUAUAGUCUAGCUAUGCUCUAUCUUCACCACACAAAGUAUUUAAAUUAUGCACAACCCGGAUGACAAGCCAAGCAAUUGUUUCAUACUUUUGAUGUUCUCAAACUUUUUCAAUCUUCACGCAAUACAUGAGCAUGAGCCAUGGACAUAGCACUAUAUGUGGAAUAGAAUGGUGGUUGUGGAGAAGACAAAAAAGGAGAAGAUAGUCUCACAUCAACUAGGCGUAUCAACGGGCUAUGGAGAUGCCCAUUAAUAGAUAUCAAUGUGAGUGAGUAGGAAUUGCCAUGCAACGGAUGCACUAGAGCUAUAAGUAUAUGAAAGCUCAACAAAAGGAACUAAGUGGGUGUGCAUCCAACUCGCUUGCUCAUGAAGACCUAGGGCAUUUUGAGGAAGCCCAUCAUUGGAAUAUACAAGCCAAGUUCUAUAAUGAAAAUUUGCCACUAGUACAUGAAAGUGAUAUCAUAGGAGACUCUCUAUCAUGAAGAUCAUGGUGCUACUUUGAAGAACAAGUGUGGUAAAAGGAUAGUAACAUUGUCCCUUCUCUCUUUUUCUCUCAUUUUUUUAUUUGGGUCUUUUAUCCUUUUUUAUGGCCUCUUUUUUUUAGUCCGAAGUCUCAUCCCGACUUGUUGGGGAAUCAUAGUCUCCAUCAUCCUUUCCUCACUUGGGACAAUGCUCUAAAAAAUGAUGAUCAUCACACUUUUAUUUACUUACAACUCAACAAUUACAACUCAAUACUUAGAACAAAAUAUGACUCCAUGUGAAUGCCUCCGGCGGUAUACCGUGAUAUGCAAUGAAUCAAGAGUGACAUGUAUGAAAGAAUUAUGAACGGUGGCUUUGCCACGAAUACAAUGUCAACUACAUGAUCAUGGAAAGCAAUAUGACAAUGAUGGAGUGUGUCAUAAUAAACUGAACGGUGGUAAGUUGCAUGGCAAUAUAUCUCGGAAUGGCUAUGGAAAUCCUAUGGUAGGUAGGUAUGGUGGCUGUUUUGAGGAAGGUAUAUGGUGGGUGUAUGAUACCGGCGAAAAGUGCGCGGUAUUAGAGAGGCUAGCAAUGGUGGAAGGAAGAAAGUGCGUAUAAUCCAUGGACUCAACAUUAGCCAUAAAGAACUCAUAUACUUAUUGCAAAAAUCUACAAGUUAUCGAAGCAAAGUAUUACCCGCAUCAUCCUAGGGGGAUAGAUUGGUAUGAAAAGACCAUCGCUCAUCCCAGACCGCCACUCAUAAGGAAGACAAUCAAUAAAUAAAUCAUGCUCCGACUUCAUCACAUAACGGUUCACCAUACGCGCAUGCUAAGGGAAUCACAAACUUUAACACAAAUAUUUCGCAAAUUCAAAACUACUCAACUAGCAUGACUCUAAUAUCACCAUCUCCAUAUCUCAAAACAAUUAUCAAGUAUCAAACUUCUCAUAGUAUUCAACACACUCAUAAGAUUUUUUUACUAAUCUUGAGUGCCUAUCAUAAUUAAAGCAAAUUACCACGCUGUUUUGUAGGACUAUCAAAAUAAUCUAAGUGAAUCAUGAGAGAACAAUAGUUUCUAUAAAACAAAACCACCACCGUGCUCUAAAAGACAUACGUGAAGCACUAGAGCAAAAACUAUAUAGCUCAAAAGAUAUAAGUGAAGCACAUAGAGUAUUCUAACAAUUUCCGAAUCAUGUGUGUCUCUCUCAAAAGGUGUGUACUGCAAGGAUUAUUGUGGCAAACUAACAAAUAAAUACUUCAAAUAAUACAAGACGCUCCAAGAAAAACACAUAUCAUGUGGUGAAUAAAAAUAUAGCUCCAAGUAAAGUUACCGAUGGAAGUAGACGAAAGAGGGGAUGCCUUCCGGGGCAUCCCCAAGCUUUGGCUUUUAGGUGUCCUUAGAUUAACUUGGGGUGCCAUGGGCAUCCCCAAGCUUAGGCUCUUGCCACUCCUUGUUUCAUAAUCCAUCAAAUCUUUCACCCAAAACUUGAAAACUUCACAACACAAAACUCAGCAGAAAAUCUCGUGAGCUCCGUUAGCAAAAGAAAACAAAACACCACUUCAAGGUACUGUAAUGAACUCAUUCUUUAUUUAUAUUGGUGUUAAACCUACUGUAUUCCAACUUCUCUAUGGUUUAUAAACUAUUUUACUAGCCAUAGAUUCAUCAAAAUAAGCAAACAACACACGAAAAACAUAAUCUGUCAAAAACAGAACAGUCUGUAGUAAUCUGUAACUAACGCAAUUUUCUGGGACACCAAAAAUUGACCCAAAAUAGGAAGACCUAGACAAUUUUUUUAUUGAUCAGCAGCAAUUGGGAUCAAUAUUUUAUCACGUCCUGGUGAUUUUUAACAAUUAUUUUCGUGAACAGAAAGUUUCUAGAAUUUUCAGCAAGAUCAAAUAACUAUCAUCCAAGAAGAUCCUAUAGGUUAAACUUGGCACAAACACUAAUUAAAACAUAAAAACACAUGUAACCAGAGGCUAGAUCAAAUAUUUAUUCCUAAACAAAAGAAAAAAUCAUAAAAAACUAAAAAUAAAAUUGGGUUGCCUCCCAACAAGCGCUAUCGUUUAAUGCCCCUAGCUAGGCAUAAUAGCAAUGAUAGAUCUAGGUAUUGCCAUCUUUGGUAGGCAAUCCAUAAGUGGCUCUCAUAAUAGAUUCAUAAGGUAAUUUUAUUUUCUUUCUAGGGAAGUGUUCCAUGCCUUUCCUUAAUGGAAAUUGGAAUCUAAUAUUCCCUUCCUUCGUAUCAAUAAUUGCACCAAUCGUUCUAAGGAACGGUCUACCAAGAAUAAUAGGACAUGAAGGAUUGCAAUCUAUAUCAAGAACAAUAAAAUCUACUGGCACAUAAUUCCUAUUUGCAACAAUAAGAACAUCAUCAAUUCUUCCCAUAGGUUUCUUAAUGGUGGAAUCCGCAAGGUGCAAGUUUAAAGAGCAAUCAUCAAAAUCACGGAAACCUAGCAAAUCGCAUAGAAUCUUUGGAAUCGUGGAAACACUAGCACCCAAAUCACACAAAGCAUAGCAUUCAUGAUCUUUAAUUUUAAUUUUAAUAGUAGGUUCCCACUCAUCAUAAAGUUUUCUAGGGAUAGAAACUUCCAACUCAAGUUUUUCUUCAUAAGAUUGCAUCAAAGCAUCAACGAUAUGUUUAGUAAGGCUUUAUUUUGACUAUAAGCAUGUGGAGAAUUUAGCACGGAUUGCAACAAGGAAAUACAAUCUAUCAAAGAGCAAUUAUCAUAAUUAAAUUCCUUGAAAUCCAAAAUAGUGGGUUCAUUAAUAUCUAGAGUUUUGAUUUCUUCAAUCCCACUUUUACCAUUUUUUGCAUCAAGAUCUAAAAACUCCGAAUUUUUGGAACGCCUUCUAGGUAGAGGUGGAUUAUAUUCAGUCCCAUCAUUAUCAAGAUUCAUAUUGCAAAACAAAGAUUUAAUAGGGGACACAUCAAUAACUUUUAGAUCUUCAUCUUUAUUUUCAUAGAAACUAGAAGAACACGCUUUCACAAAACAAUCUUUCUUAGCACGCAUCCUAGCGGUUCUUUCUUUGCACUCAUCAAUGGAAAUUCUCAUGGCCUUGAGAGACUCAUUGAUAUCAUGCUUAGGAGAAAUUCUAUCAGCGUUCCUAGCCAAUUCAUCAACUUUAAGCAAUUUUUCUUCAAGCAAAGCAUUGAAAUUGUUUUGCGAAUUCAUAAAUUCUUUAACACUAGUCUCAAAUUCAGAAGGCAUCUUAUUAAAAUUUCCAUAAUAAUUGUUGUAGGAAUUACCAUAAUUAUUAGAGGAAUUACUAGGAUACGGCCUUGGAUUAAAGUUUCCUCUAUACGCGUUGUUACCAAAAUUAUUCCGACCAACAAAAUUCACAUCCAUAGAUUCAUUAUUAUUCUCAAUCAAAGUAGACAAAGGCAUAUCAUUAGGAUCAGAAGAAACACUUUUAUUAGCAAAUAAUUUCAUAAGUUCAUCCAUCUUUCCACUCAAAACAUUAAUUUCUUCUAUCAUGCACUUUUUAUUAGUGGUUUUUUCGGUGUGCCAUUGAGAAUAAUUAACCAUAAUAUUAUCUAGGAGUUUAGUAGCUUCUCCUAAAGUGAUUUCCAUAAAAGUGCCUCCCGCGGCCGAAUCUAAAAGAUUUCUAGAAGAAAAAUUCAAUCCGGCAUAAAUUUUUUGUAUAAUCAUCCACAAAUUCAAACCAUGAAUAGGGCAAUUACGUAUCAUUAAUUUCAUCCUCUCGCAAGCUUGUGCAACAUGUUCAUGAUCAAGUUGCUUAAAAUUCAUAAUAUCGUUUCUAAGAGAGAUGAUCUUAGCGGGAGGAAAAUACUUAGAGAUAAAAGCAUCUUUGCACUUAUUUCAAGAAUCACUACUAUUUUUAGGCAAAGACAAAAACCAAGCUUUAGCACGAUCUCUAAGCGAAAAAGGAAAUAGCUUCAAUUUAACAAUAUCAUUGUCCACAUCUUUCUUCUUUUGCAUAUCACACAAAUCAACGAAGUUGCCAUGUCUAGGAAUGCUUGAAGCUUCAAAGAUUUCCUAUAAUACAACAUGCCUCUAACUAUUCACAAUAAGAAAAACAUGUAAAUGCGGAAUCAACCAAAUGUUGGUAAAUUGUAGUUGAUUUUGGCCAAGCAAACGUCAGAUGAAAGAAACAUACAUGAGUGAACAUCACGAUUGGAUGUUUUAUUCAAAUUUAACAGGUUAAACUCACCAAAUCCAUCUGGAUAUUUAGUAUUAAACUUCAACAGAUGGUGAGUUGUAGCUAGAUUCACAACACUGAAGCAAAAUUCCAUCUGCCACGGUUACAUCACACCAUCUUUUCAUCGUUACUAUUUAAAUUCCAAAUGCCUGCAACUCAUUUUUUUGUUACGAUGUAUGCAUGAUUUUUAACUCAAGAGGAAGAGGGGAAACUAAAUCCAAGAAAAGAACACCAAGGAAGCAUCCAAAAUAGAGAAAGGAAAAAUCCAAAAUAGAGGCAGAAUCGAAGGGAAGAAACCCCAUAAAAAAUAGGAGAUCAAACGGUGAAAAAAAUCUAAGAGUCAAACAAUUCCAGGUAAGACCAAAUCGACGACAAAAUAGCACAAGAGGGACUCACAUUAACAGGUAUACCAAUUCAGAAAGAAGUGUAAAGCGAACAGUGCAAUGGACCACUAGUAUAAAUUGGCUGUACACAAACAUGGGACUUAAACAGGAACUGCGAGAUGCAGGGUUCACGUGCAAACCCAAAAAACGGAAAACUGAAACGCACAACAAGAUUUUAUCUUCAUAUAUAUAUAUUAUGAGCUAUUGGCUUUUUAGUCAGGUAAAUAUCAUUCUUAAGACUACGGAAAACAGCAGGCGGCGAAGAAAACAUCUAUUGAUGAGAACUAUACACAUACUUAAGAAGGAAGUGACAUCUAUGGUAGCAGAACAUAUAUCAAGCUGUUGCAGCUACAUUAGCAGUUUAGCACAGUUCCUCCAUAAUACACAGGCUAGUGUAAUUUCACAAAUACAAUAAGCUAACAAUAUAUAUUUGGUAGAUGGAAAUGGCUGGAUCAUGACCAAUAUACCAUUACACAUCCGAUGAUGCAAAUAAACCACAAUAGAACAUGUAUUUGGCGAAACCUCCAUACUGCAAUAUCAAACAUGAAUUGAAAUUAACAAUCUAGCAAAAAAACAUGACAGAUGCAGUCUUGGUCAUUUUUCCUUUUGUGACAUCCCCUAAAAAAAGUAAAAACAAUGUUGUUCGUAUUUUACCAGAGAUACACUGAGCUGGGACAAAUUGGUCUGAAAUAAAAUAUGAUGGCUUCGGAGGAUUCGGAAGGGAAGAAAUUUGCUUUCUUCCAACAUAUAUGGUCUGCUGAACUAAACUUCGUUUCAGCGGGCUUUGCCAAAAAUCUGUAACUGCAAACAUCAACUUGUGUGCCCUUCCUACGUCAAACUUUAAACCUGAGCUCAGUGUACUUUAUGAGUGUUAAGUGUACUUUCUAAAUAGCAGAGAAACCAUAACAUCUAAGCACAACCCAGCAACUUGUACAAGCUAACAUCAAAUCUGAAAGAAGAAAUGUCGAGAACAGGUGAAGGUACCAUGAUCCACGACUGAGCAAAGUUAUCUAUUAUCCUCGGUGAAUAUCAUAAAUUAGGAUCAACUACGCUGAAGAACAAACGGGAAAGGAACCUAGAAAGAUCUUUUGCCGGUAGAAUAUAACUGAUACACUAUCCUCAUUCUCGAGAUCAAGGUCGUUUCUUGAAUUGCAGUUUCCUCACUGUAGUAUGGGGUCAUUACACUGCGAAGAACAAAGUGUCAUAUGAAUCAUUUAGAGCCCAAUCUUUUUCACUGAAACUCUUAUGAUCACAUAACGAAUUUAAACAUAAGGUUUAUUAGAUAUUUGUUGUUGUGAAUAGAUAAUAUAUUUCUGGUGUUGACAAUGUUUUGAUUAUGGAUGCACUUCAAGAUGGGUGGCACAGAUUCUGUUGUACAGGCCUCCACCUGGAAUUUCAUCACUUGUUAUUUUUGUUUUAGAAUGUCUAGGUGCAUUUUUCCUUUAAGGUGGAAACAGAUGUACUUGUAUAAGCAACAAGAAUACAAAGCGCCACUGCCAUACAUUGUGGAAGUUCAGUGCUUCUGUUUACAAAAUCUGCUUCCCAAAACAGAAGGUUUAUAAUUUUUUAUUACAAUCAAGCGGACAUGAGCUGAUGAGUACAGAUGUAGACAUGUACUGAGAGCAGCACCCUUUCAAAAGUGGAUCAUUUACAUGUUGGAUAGUUUGAUGGUCUGAAAUUAAUGGUCGUGUUUCAGAAUUGUUAUCGAAUAGUAGGGGAUAUAUAUUAACUUCUGAAAUUAGUGGCUGUUUGUCAGAACUGUUAUCGAAUAGUAGGGCACAUAUAUUAACUUCAAUAAGUGGACUAAUAUCUUUGGAUUCGCUGUGAGGAAAGAUUACCAAAACAAAACAGAAGUGAGUGCGACGACCCAGAUGAGGGCGCUCUUGAGCCUCUUCCCGACCGACCUAGAUGCAGGAGCAGAACACGGCGGAUCUAAUCAGCCAACCAAUAAAGCCGAGGAAGUAAGGGAGGAAGAAGACUGACUUGUCCUGGUCGCCCUCGUAGUUAGAACAUGGCGAACAGGAUGACGAGGAAGACGAGGACAGCGUCGAGGAUGUAGACGACGAGCCAGAGCAUGUUCAUGGGCAGGAUCAAGCAUGGGCAGGAUAAGGGCGCAGGCCCCGUUGUAGGCGGCGUGCUUGCAGGCCUGGCGGUUGGCGACGUCGGCGGGGAGCAUGAGGAUGGAGAGGACGGCGACGGUGAUGCCGAGCACGAUGACGAGCUUGAGGAAGUAGGCCUGGUUGGCAUCAUCCGGGUGCUGGUAGUUGACGAGCAGGCAGACGCUGACGAGGAGCACCAGGAUGCUGACCACCGCCGCCACGAUCACUAGCGCCACGUUAAAAAACCCAUAUCCUCGGGGCUCCGGUCCCGGUUCCGGCCCGCCGCCUCGCCCCCGUUGGUCGGUCAGAUCUCUCUGUCCCUAGAGGCGGGGGAUACAGGCUAGGGUUUGGGCGUGGGCGGGGAAUAGGCUGCUAUGGUGCCGGCAGCGGGGCGUGGAGGAGAGAAGGAUUAGGAGGAAUAAUUCACCACACUUUGAUUAACCUCUCGGCUGGGUCUUAUGUACAGAUUACAGGGCCAGCCAGGGAGAUCAUGAGGUGAUCCACUACCUGGGAUCGUGCGCCACGAUCACUACAUGCGUGCGCCACGAUCAUAUACACACACGCUACACCUAGUGUCUACGCAACUACGGUAUAGCAGUACGGUACAGUCUAACACCCCCCCCCCCCCGCAGUCGUGACGUCGUCGGCGGCGACGCAAAGACUGGACCGGAACUCAGAGAAAACAUCCGAUGGCAGGCCUUUGGUCAUGAUGUCCGCGAGUUGUUGGCGCGUGGGGAUGUGAAGAACACGGAAGUGGCCGAGGGCGACGCGCGCCCGCACGAAAUGGAUGUCCAGCUCCACAUGCUUAGUGCGGCGAUGAUGCAUCGGAUUGGCUGACAGGUAGACUGCGGACACAUUGUCACAGUACACCAGUGCUGCCUUGGUCACUGGAGCGGAGAGCUCGCCGAGAAGCUGGCGGAGCCAGAUGCAUUCAGCGACCGCGUUGGCGACGCCGCGGUAUUCAGCUUCGGCGCUGGAGCGCGAUACGGUCGCCUGGCGCUUGGAGGACCAGGAGACGAGAGCAUCGCCGAGGAAGACGCAGAAGCUCGACGUGGAGCGUCGGGUGUCGGGGCAGCCGGCCCAGUCCGCGUCGGUGAACGCAAGGACGUCGAGCGUGGUCGAGGCGUGAAGAUGAAGCCCGAGUGCGCAGGUGCCCUUCACGUACCGGAGCACGCGCUUGACGAGCGCGAGGUGGCAUUCGCGCGGGUCAUGCAUGUGCAAGCAGAUUUGCUGGACGGCGUAGGCGAUCUCUGGACGCGUGAUGGUGAGGUACUGCAGGGCCCCGGCGAUGCUCCGAUAGGCCGAGGGGUCGUCGACGCAGGGCCCAUCGGCUGAGAGGAGUUUGCUCUUCGUGUCGAUGAGUGUCGGGGAAGGGCGGCAGGUGUCCAUGCCGGCGCGUUCCAGGAGUUCGUCGGCAUAUUGUUGUUGCGACAGGAAGAAGCCAGCUCGGGUGCGGGUGACGCGGAUGCCGAGGAAGAAGGCGAGCGAGCCCAGGUCCUUCAUGGCGAAUUCGCCUGUGAGGCGCUGGAUGACAUGGUGAAGCACGCGUGACGAGGACGCGGUGAGCACGAUGUCGUGGAUGUAGAUGAGGAGGAACGCCAUGUCGUUGCCGUGCCGGAAGGUGAACAGCGACGAGUCCGAACGCGUAGCUGCGAAGCCAAUGGAGCGGACGAAGCCGGCGAAGCGGAGGAACCAGGCACGGGGCGCCUGCUUGAGCCCGUACAAGGACUUGGAGAGGCGGCAGACGUGCUCUGGUUUGUCGGGGUCGACGAAUCCGGCGGGCUGGAGGCAGUAGACUUCCUCCUCCAAGUUGCCGUGGAGGAAGGCGUUGGAGACGUCGAGGUGGUGCACCGGCCAGCCGCGCGACGCGGCCAUAGUGAGCACAGUGUGGAUCGUCGCUGGCUUGACGACGGGGGAGAACGUCUCGCCGUAGUCGACGCCGGCACGCUGAUGAAAGCCCCGCACGACCCAGCGUGCUUGCUAGCGGGCCAGCGCACCGUCGGCGUCGUUUUUGUGCUUGAAGAUCCACUUCCCUGUGAUCAGGUUGGCGCCGGGGGGGCGGGGCACCAGCUCCCAUGUGCGAUUGCGCACGAGCGCAUCGUACUCAGCACGCAUGGCACCGAGCCAGUUCGGGUCGUGAACAGCAGCGCGAACCGAACGCGGCACCGGCGACACCGAUGAUGAGGUAGAGGCGGUGGCCGCGUCGUAGUAGCGCGGGUUGGGGCGGAAGAUGCCGCGCUGGGCACGCAUGACCAUGGGCACAGGAGGCGCCGGUGCGCGGGGCGCCGUUGGUCGCGCGCUCGGAGACGAGCUGUCGGAGGAGCCACUGGCGGAGUUGUCGGAGGAGCCGCUGGCGGAGGCGAAGACAGGCGGACCUGGCGCGGAUGGGCACGUCGAGGACGGAGCAGAGCCGCCAUCGGAAGCGCCCGCAGCGCACCGCGAGCUAACGCGGCGCGCCCCGCUGGUUGGCGAUGAUGAGCGGGGCAGGCUGGUGAUGGAGAUCGGGCGCGCCGGCAGGACGGGUGACAUGCUGCUGUCAGGCACCGGUGGAAGCGCAGGCAGCGCAGGAGGCCGGACGGCGAGCGGGAUCUGCAGGGUAGAGGGUACGACGGGUGGCGUAGGCGACGGGGAAGAGGAUGCGAACGGGAAAACGUGGUCGUGGAAGAGAACGUGGCGAGACGUGAGGACACAGCGAGAGGUGAGGUCAAAGCAGCGAAAACCACGAUGAUCGGGAGGGUACCCGAGGAAGACGCAGGCGAUAGAACGUGGCUCGAGCUUAUGGCGGGUGGUGGCGGUGACGUUCGGAUAGAUGCGGAGUAAUUUGUGCGACGCCGAGCAGGAGUUCAUGCGGAGUGCAGGGCGCCGAGGCGCGGCAGGGCCGAUGAUUGAGCAGGUAGGUCGAGGUGUUGAGAGCCUCUGCCCAGAAGCGAGCGGGCAUGUGCGCAUGACAGAGAAGCACACGAACGCCGUCGUUGAUCGUGCGGAGAACUCGCUCGUCCUUGCCGUUCUGCUGACUGGUGUAUGGGCAGGUGAGACGGAAGUGUGUGCCGUGGCGAGCAAGCAGAGAGCGCACAGCUGCGCUGUCGAAUUCACGACCAUUGCCCGUUUGCAGUGCAAGUAUGGGUAACUGAAACUGAGUCUGAACAUAGGCAAAGAAAUCAACAAGUAUGGGAAGAACUUCAGACAUGUGUUUCAGAGGGAAAGUCCAGACAUAGUGACUGAAAUCAUCUAGUACAACUAAGUAAAACUGAUAGCCGGAUAUGCUUACAACGGGAGCGGUCCAUACAUCAAGGUGUAAAAGCUGGAAAGGAAAGAAACUAGCAGUGGUGGAUGUCUGAAACGGGAGCCAGGUGUGUUUGCCAACACGACAGGCAUGACAGACAGGCGGAUCACGGCAGAACUCCAGGGACUGAUCGGCAGCAACGGUGCGGAGUGCGGCAGCCCCUGGGUGGCCGAGACGUUGAUGCCACAGGUCGGUCGUGGCGGCGCCGGCGAAGAUGCCCGGGGAAUGGACGGAUGGCCGCACCACGGGAUAGAGAUCGCCGUCGGAGUCACAUCGGAGAAUCACUACCCUGGUUCGUAGGUCCUUGACAGAGAAACCACGAGCGUCAAAUUCAACAGAAACGGGGUAGGAACGACAAAGCUGCCGAACUGAAAGUAGGUUUUUGACGAGAGAUGGAGAGACGAGAACGUUGCGGAGAGGAAUGGGGGAAGUGCUGGUGAUCAGCGCGCCCGUGCCAACGUGGGUGAUGGGCAGGCGGUCACCACUGCCCACGAUGAUAGAUGCAGUAGUAGAGGACGGGCGAGUGGAGAGGAGAUUACCAGGGGAGGACGUCAUGUGCGCCGCGGCGCCGGAGUCGAGGUACCACUCCGGUGCGCUGCCAGAGGAGGAAGGGCUGGCCGAGGCGCUGUGGAGGGCGGCCUGGAGCGAGGCCAUGUCCCAUGGCUGGUGGGUUGCAGUCGACGAGCUGGCGCCGGGGUGCCCGUAGCCUGACAGGACGUCGGAGACGGGUGGAGUGACGCCGUAGCCGGGGAGGGUAGCGCCGUAGCCGUAUGGUGCAGCCGGCGACGGGGCGGCGAACAUGGCCUGCUGGUACGGCGUACCAGGGCGGGGGCCGAGCACUUCAGCUCCAGCCGCGCGCCAAGGCAUCGGCCAAGCCUGGACCAUGCCGGUCCAUGCGUUUGUACCGGGUGCAGGCGUGGGGUACGCUGGGGGAGGGCGGGGAGCCUGGGAGGACGGCGUGGGCGGGCCACCAAUGCCGUUGCCACGUCUGGGGCGGCGUCCGCGCCCACGCCCUUGGUUGGUGUUGCUGGGCGGGGGUGUGGGUGGUGUAGGAGAGCCGCCACGCCCGGCGACGAGAGCGUGCGCAGACUGCUGGCGAGUGGUCGACUGCUCUGCUCGGUGUUCCUCAAGCAGGACGAAGGAGCGCACCUGCAGGAACGACGGGAGCGGGACCUGCGAGGUGAUGUGAGGGAUGGCGGAGUGGAACUGCCGGUUCAGACCGCGGAGCAGGUUGAAGACCUGCCGCGAGUCGGUUACCGGCUGCCCGAGGUGGCGGAGUUGAUCCGUGAACGACUUCAUCUUGGUGCAGUACACCAUGAUCGACAUGUCGCCCUGAACGAUAGCGUGGUACUCGGCGUCGAGGUAGACAGCGCGAGCGAGGUGGUUGUCGCGGAAGAUUCCAUCGACCGCAGUCCAGACGGCCAGAGCAGUGUCGUCCGGCUGCAUGACGGCGUCGAGCAGGUCCGGCGAUAUGGUGGUGUAGAACCAGUGGACGACGACGUGAUCAGCCAUGCCCCACUCGGGAUCAUCGUGGCGGUGGAUGGCCGUGGCGCCGAACAUGCCGAUGACGGUGUCGAAGUGGCGGCGCCACUGCGUGUAGUUGCCGGCGAGAAGGUCGAGGGUGACCGGGACAUGACGACGGAUGUCCACGGUCUGCAGGAUCGCGGAGGCGACAGGUGCUGUAGCAGGAGGAGGAGGGAUGACGGGCACCGCGGGCGCGACAGGUGCUGGAGCCGGCGGUGCCUUGGCCAGGGGGACAGCGUUAAGGACGCCGUCGGCGCCGUGCUGCGAGGAGCGAGGGGACACGAUGGGGUUGUCAUCCAUGGCGGCGGAAGCGGGACUGGCGACCUGCGCGAAGGGAUUGAGCAGGUCGGGGGAAUCUGGUACCAUAGAGGAGAGAAGGAUUAGGAGGAAUAAUUCACCACACUUUGAUUAAGCUCUCGGUUGGGUCUUAUGUAUAGAUUACAGGGCCAGGGAGAUCACGGGGUGAUCCACUACCUGGGAUCGUGCGCCAGGAUCACUAUAUGCGUGCGCCACGAUUAUAUACACACAUGCUACAACUAGUGUCUACGCAACUACGGUAUAGCAGUACAAUACAGUCUAACAGGGCAGCCACCGGCGGGGAGGGCGGGAUCCACGCGGGGUGGCGGGAUUUGGGCAGGCGGUGGGCUCGGGGGAGGGCGGUGGCAGCGAAGCAGCAAGGAGGGGCUGGAGGAGAUGAAACGAAAGAGGUCGCGUGACACAGCGACAGCGUUGUCCAAUCCCCGCGCUGCCGAUUUAAAAAAAAGGUAAUGAUAACUCCCGAACGUUCGGGAGUUAAGCAUGGAAACCCGAACGGGUUUAGAUGGCAAGUUUAGUUUGCGUGAGAUUAGGAAAACAUGGCAAUUUUCUGACAAAAGAAAUGAAAAAGGAUGAAGUUGCCAUCCCUAUCAACUAAAGUUGCCAUCCCCUAUGAACUAAAGUUGCCAUGUAAAAACGUUCGGGACGAAAUGCUCAAAAUCCGAACGUUCGGAAGUUACUGGAUUCAAAAAAAUCCCCUUGCUGCCAAUCGCUGGUCCGUUUCUUUUUUCGCCCAAUCGCUAGGUGAUGACGUGGCUAUCGCGGGAAGGCGCCCUUGAUGCGUAGUCGAAUGGUUUUAAUUAAUAGGAAGCGAGUGCUUACUCUAGUUACUGAAUUAUGUACACCAAAUAAAGCCAUUUACACGUAGUUAAUGACAAAAAAAGUUGAUGUUUGCUACGCAAAUGUGUAGUACAAAUUAAGAAGUGCAAGAUAAAAAAAAAUGCUGGUCCUUGAUUCGUUGUUGAUCGUCAGCAUGCCAUCAUCAAUUUGUAGUUAAUUAUCAUACAAAUUGGCUCUUUCAUAGAGUUGGAGACUAGCUCCUUUGAUCAGCACGCGCUUAAACACAAACAGCACGUAUAUGUUUUGUCUCCGGAGUUCAAUUCUUCAUCGGCCAGUAAAAAUGGCCCGACCAGGUAGAGGAAAAGGCAUGUUUGUUAGUACGCCUGGAGGAAAUGCCUUUGAUUAGGGCAUCUUCAACAGCGACCAGUAAAUUUCCUCCCGCGUUCGUCCACGGAUAGGGGAUCAGUCCGCGGAUACGAAUACAGGAAUCAUCCAUCCAACGCUGUCCGCGUAUAUUUCAAACACAUUUUUUUUAAAAAUAGGAUGAAAUUCAUGCAAACACAAUGGAUUUCAUACAAACCGGACAAAAAUGUUUACAUUUUGGACAUUUUUUUUUACUAAAAACUCUACAGCCGGCGCCGGCGAAUAUCCACUCCGGCGACAUGGAUACCCUUGACUAGUCUACUGCCGGCCGCAGCGGAUCUCCGAUGUCGUCCCCAUGUCCGGCAGCUAUGAGCCCUAGAGGUAUAUGCUUCAGCGCAAAGAGCGGCUCGCCUCCCUACCGCUCAUCGGAGUGGAACAACCAGCUGAUGCUUCUGCCGAUGGAAAGGGUCCCUACGCUACACGGAUUAGAGUUGGUUUUGGGCUGGGAACGGCGGUGGCCUGCCAGAGGGCAAGACACCGACUGUGUAUGCUGGUGUCACCUGGUGUGGCAUUCGUGGGACCCAAGCGGCAGCGCCUCCUCGAUGAUGGCGGCGAGCGCGGACGUGUUGGACACCACCUCGUCGAUGUCCGUGCAGCCCGCUUCUUUCUCUAUAGGAAGGACGCGGUUACGCUCGCGUUGACAUCGGAUGACUCGGUCACAUGCACGGGAGGGGCGGUACGACAUGGCAUCGCCAAUGGCAGCCAUGAUGCCCGCGCCACCGUGCUCCCUCCCAGUGCCGACCUGGAGCAACUUGCCACUCCUCGGCUCGUGACCGGUGGGCUUGACGGGCCACCUAGCCAUUUUUUAUGCCAGACAACUCUUCUUCCUGCUCGUCAGAUGUCAUGGAUAAAACUGUUUAAGGAGGAAAAUGAUGAGUGGACGUGUGAUGCGGUUCUUGCCCAACAUCUGACAUUGUUUAAAUAGUGAGGGGACACGAGAGGAGCCAACCGGCGUUCUGUUUAAUGCCAACCGGCUCGCGAACGAACAUGUGGCCGGAGUAAUUAUCCUGGCACACACGAGGGUUUUAUGGUGGAAGGCGGGCAGUCUGCAGGAAUGAGGCGAGGAUGUGUGCUUAGCCGGCGUGCAGCAGGCGGUGCCCUCGGCCGGCGUGCUGCUUCCAUUGCGGAGGCAGUGAAAGGUCGCGUCCGCUCUGCAGCGCAUGAAUGCGGGCAGCUGGCGCAGAGCGGGAACGCGUGUGGGCGAGGGAGGAGGGGGUUUGGGCGGGUGGUCAGAAGAGGUCGUGGGUGUUGUCCGAACGCCUGCAAAGCCCCCCUCCAUGUUUGUCUCCAGUUUGCGGGAGAAAGUACGUCCGGACCGUCUCCAAUGGACCAAUACAGGCCCGCAUUGGAUGGCACAACACGUCCGGACGAUGUGGUCCGGAUGGUUGUGGACAGUUUAAUUGAGGGUCGGCGUUGGAGAUGCCUUAGAGUUUAUGAAUCCAUUGUGUUUUUCUAAUCAUAAAAAAGCACUUACAAUAAGUUAUAAGGAAAGACACGAUUAUAUGUUAGGUUCAGACUCCAGCUUUCGUUUUACAUAUGCUUUAUUCAUCCGACUGAUUCCAAUAGAGUGAGCCUAGCGUUGUUUUUCUGGAAACUCGCGGGAUAAGGAGACAUGCAUACACAUUCUUUCAAGCAAAUCACAUCCAUUUUUUUUAACUCAUUUUUCUUCUUUUAAUAAUAUAAUAGAUCAUUUAUAUUUUUUAUCUGAAACAGUUGACGUGUAAUUUAUAUUGUAAUCUGAGGAUAAUGUUUGGAUUUUACUUUCAAAUAUAUUUGAAAUGGCCAUGAUGGAAUCACAUCCAUUUAUUUUAUUAUUAUUUGAAUUUGAUCCAAAAGAUAAAUAAUGAGUAGAGGUCAUGUCAACUUUUCUGAGAACUUUGCUAAUCAAAAUAUAAAUUGUAUUUAAAAACAUCUAUUUUUUAGCACGCAUGAAAAACAUAACACGUAUCUUUUCACACAUAAUGAACGGUUGUCAUAAGAACUCAUGCCAUGCCACAACCUCCCUCCGACCCUGCCAACAUUGUUGCAGCUGCACUCGCAAGCCUUAGCGUAGAUGAUAAUUUAUACAAUUUGCGUAAAAACAAAAUAAGAUCUACAAAUGAAUAGAAGCUAGAACGUACAUUGGCAUGCACACACAUUGCAAGCCAUACUAAGCUGAUAAGUGUUAAUAACUUGUAUAACAUAUACAACACUUAACACAAGUAAAAGCAAUUUGAUGAGUCAUGGUCUAUCAAAGCCACAUUACUAGUCUAAUCCAUCUUAACAGGUCACACAUGAUUAAAAUCUUGUUUGUGUGCAAGUCAAGCUUAUCUAGUUUACAUGUAACAACUUGUAGAACAUUACAAAAUUUAUGUUUGCUAAUAACUUCUAGAACACUACAACACUUGACAUGUAAAAGGAAUUUGAUGAGUCAUGGCCUACUAAAGCAAGUUAUAUUACUAGUCUUAUCUACCUUAACAGGCCACACAAGAUUACAAACCAAGUUCUGUGCCAGCCAUGCUUAUCUAGUUUAUGCGUAACAAUUUGCAGAAAAUUACAAACUUAGUUUCAGAAAAAUAGGCAAUCUAGAUUAGUGUUUGAGCUGUAAAGUGAAUAAAAUGAGUCAUGCGUGUUAUCACACCUUUUUGGUUGUGGAAUGAUAGUGCAACAACAAGGAACUUUAAUGACCAGUUCAAGAAUACACUUGUAAGUAGUGCCACCGAACACAACAUACCAAAUUAUGAUUUUGAGAAGCAUCCAAGCACUUCCACACAAGCAAAUGCCAAUUGUGAAAGAGAUCAUGCCAUGGCAGCUAUAAAUAGGCCCGUAGCAUGACGAUCAUCCUUCCUCAUCCAUCAUUCUCAUAAGUAGAGCGCAUCAUUUAAGCCAAGCAAGCAGUGCUCAAUACAAAUCCACCAUGAAGACCUUUCUCAUCCUUGCACUCCUUGCUAUUGUAGCAACCACCGCCACAAUUGCAGUUAGAGUUCCAGUGCCACAAUUGCAGCCACAAAAUCCAUCUCAGCAACAACCACAAGAGCAAGUUCCAUUGGUACAACAACAACAAUUUCCAGGGCAGCAACAACCAUUUCCACCACAACAGCCAUAUCCGCAGCCGCAACCAUUUCCAUCACAACAACCAUAUCUGCAGCUGCAGCCAUUUCCGCAGCCGCAACUACCAUAUCCGCAGCCGCAUCUACCAUAUCCGCAGCCGCAACCAUUUCGACCACAACAACCAUAUCCACAACCGCAACCACAGUAUUCGCAACCACAACAACCAAUUUCGCAGCAGCAGCAACAACAACAACAACAACAACAACAACAGAUCCUUCAACAAAUUUUGCAACAACAACUGAUUCCAUGCAGGGAUGUUGUAUUGCAACAACACAGCAUAGCGCAUGGAAGCUCACAAGUUUUGCAACAAAGUACUUACCAGCUGGUGCAACAAUUGUGUUGUCAGCAGCUGUGGCAGAUCCCCGAGCAGUCGCGGUGCCAAGCCAUCCACAAUGUUGUUCAUGCUAUUAUUCUGCAUCAACAACAACAACAACAACAACAACAACAACAACAACAACCGUUGAGCCAGGUCUCCUUCCAACAGCCUCAACAACAAUAUCCAUCAGGCCAGGGCUCCUUCCAGCCAUCUCAGCAAAACCCACAGGCCCAGGGCUCUGUCCAGCCUCAACAACUGCCCCAGUUUGAGGAAAUAAGGAACCUAGCGCUAGAGACGCUACCUGCAAUGUGCAAUGUCUAUAUCCCUCCAUAUUGCACCAUUGCUCCAGUUGGCUUCUUCGGUACUAACUGAGAAGAGAAGAACUCUAGUAGUAGACAUAUGAUACACCGUUUUCUUAGUCCAUGGUUUGGUCGUUGUAGCGGUGAAAAAAUAAAGUGACAUGCAGUAUCAUGUAAGAACCCGAACUAUACUAGUUCAAACAUGGGAAUAAAAGACAAACACAUGUCUUGUCUACAUAUGAUUGUUUGUUUGAGUUCCACUCAUGUGCCCACUCACAAGUUCACCCCUAAUUAUAUAUAUUAUGCAUUAAGUAGAUAUUUAUGUUGCAUUAAUCUAAAGAUAACAAAAUGAGUCUGAAAUUUGACUUAAAUUGAAGUAUUUCCUUGGACGUUCAAAUGGAGUAUUAUUAAAGUAGUAAGGACUAUCCACAUCCUUGGCUUGCCCUUGAUCAAUUAUUUCCAGAGAAGCAUUCAAUUCAUCAAUCAAUUACAUUGAUUUUUGUGGCUGGUACUUCUCCUCAACAUGAGUAUAUUCAUCGCGGCUACUCCAAAUAGGCAUGAAUGAGGUACCGGUGCUCUGGAGCACUGGUACCUAACUGCUUCUCAUGUGAAGGGGUGCGGGCGCGGGAGAGGUGUUUUUGGUGGGCCAGGGGAGUAAGAAUCGGCCGUGGCAGCGGUCCAGACGCCCACAAAGCCCCGUAGUUUGUUUUUGGUUUACAGGAAAAUGCACAUCCAGACCGGCCUGCGGGCCGAUAUAGGACCGUAUUGGAUGGCAAAACAUGUCCGGAUGGUCGCGAGCGGUUUAAGGGUUAGCUUUUGUAACGCCUGGUUAGUUAUGCUAUGGUAAUUCCCUGCUAAUGAUGUCACGUCAGCACGAUUACUGUUGUUAACCUCACAAUGAUUCAAUCCCAUUCAAAUUCAAAUUUAAAAUAAAGGCAAAAAUCAAAAGUCUCAAACAUUAAAACUAAAAUCUUCGAGAGGUGAAAAAUAAUGCAUAAGUAAUUAUGGUGGAGCAACCACACUUUUAUAAAAUGUUUAAAUACUCUAAAAAUAAUAAAACAGUGGCUUAAACUAUUAUUUAAAUGCUUUUAAAAUAGUAAAAAUGUUCUAACUAAAUUAAUUGGGUACCAAACUUUUGGUGGCAGUGGUAUAUUUAGUAGAACUAAUUUAGAUGCUAAUAAAACAUAAAAGGAAAGACAAAACAAAUAAAAGUAAAAGGGGGCAACCCCUCGCUGGGCCUCGGCCAAGCUGGCCACUGGGCUAGCUAGGUUGGCCCAACCGCCUCCCUUAACCCCCCACUCCCCAUCGAACCCUAGACCGAUCGCCCCACUUCCCCCACACCCCCUCGUCAGCCUCCCCACCUCUCGAUCCCAUCUGGAUCGGGGAGGGGAUCGCCCCCAUCGACCCCGUCGCGGUCGCUGGAUCGCCCGCUCGCCCAUCGCCCGCCGCCGUCGCGAGACCUCCUCCCCGUCGCACGUCUCCGACUCUCCUCCCCUCUCGCUCCUCUUCCCCGACCCGAUCUGGAUCGGGAAGGGCCAAUGAGCCAAACGCCCCCCUCCAUCGACGAUGUGCUCCAGCACCGCCGCCCGAAGACCUCGCCCUCGCCGGACCUCGCGUCGCCUCCUCGUAUCCCUCCCCGACUCGCCUCCUCAAGCCACGCCGACCCCCUUCUCGGCAACGCUGUGAGCUGCCCCCGUUUCCAUCCUUCUCUUUCCACCGUGUUCACCGCGCUGCCUGCCGUGCCCCUCGCUGCGCGCACGCCCACCACCGUGCCAGCCCCUGCUCCGAGCCCUCUCCUGCACGCUUGUGCGCGCAUGACCCUAGCCGCGCCCACGCCGUGAUCCCCUUGUCCCGCCCGCCUUCGUCCCGCGCUCGCCGCGGCCCCCAUGCUCCCAUGCGCCCUCUUUUGGGGGCGUCGGCUGCCCCUGUCCCGCAGCUCGCUGGCAUGCGUCCCCGCCCGCGCCUCGCCACCGCUCUACUGCUACGCUACUAUUGCGCUGUGGCCGCCGCCGCUUCCCGCUGCUCUGCCAGCGCCAAAGCUCCCGGUUGGCCCUGCCGCUGCUCGCGUUUAACCGCCGGCCUAAGCGGCCUAACCUCCCCCCUCGCUAAUGAACCCCCACCGACCCGCUGACACCGGGACCCACAUCCCCUAAUUAACCAUUUAAUAAAUUAAAACUCUUAAAUUAACAUUAGUGUAUGACAUGUGGGUCCCCUAUUAAUUAAACUGAUUUAAUUAAAAUCUAUUAACUUUGAGUCUAUGACAUAUGGGCCCCACUAAACAUUUGACCAGUCAACGGUCCAGUCAAAUGCUGACCGGACAGUUGACCAGAGGGCCCCGCCAGUCAGCCAAUGUGCUGUUCUGCUGGGUACCUUUCUAAGUACACCUAGCAUUUUACAUUUACAAUAUUUGUUUUAAAAUAAAUUAGAAUAAUUUCAAAAAAAUAUUAAAACUUUUAAAAUUAAAAUAAAAUAAUCCAUAACUCGGAUGAAAUUACUUUAUACAUGGAAGUUGCUCAAAAAACGAGACGAAUUCGAAUACACAGUCCGUUCGUCUGCCACGCGUCCCUAGCAUAGCGAACAUGCAACCAUCCCCCUCCGGUUCGACUCUCCGAAAAAUUAUUAUUGCACAUGCCCGCUAAGAGGUUGGCUGUAUAUGACAUGACAACUUCUUAUAGCCGACCCUUGGCUGUAAUAUUAACCAUGCUCUUAGUGAGGUAGCUAGUAUAUCAUAGACGACUAGCUAGUAUCAGACUAGCCAAAGUGGGAGUAACUUCAGCAGUAACAUCGACUCCAACUCAGCAAACUUGCUUAUGUGGGAGUAAACCCUGCCUAAUGCAAAAUACAAUCCCAGUCGUAAUUUUUUCAGGAAACGUGUGGGAUCCCAAACGAAAAGCACACGUCACUCUUGCGGCAACCGUCGGUGACACCCAAUAAAUCACAAACGGUAUGCAGCACUUGUAUGUGUGCAAAGGGGCUCCUGAACCGUUUGUGAUAGAACAUUAUCGCAGACGGUAAUUGUUGGCAAACGUGUGCGAUGGAGUCUAGCAUGGCAGACGGGUUACGCAGAAAACUCGUGUGCGAUGGGGCACAAAUCGCACACUGUUCAUAUGUUGGCCCAUGUGCCUUACAUACUAUUUCCCAAAUGGUUUGUUACGACAGACCGUAUCGUUUCAGUGCGUCAUUAGAAACGCUUAAUCACUGAUACCACACGUGCGAAAGAAUUUAGUGCGUGCUGCAUCGCACACGAUUACAUUUUGGAAGGCCUCUGGAUCACUGCUCCAUAUCCCCGACGGUUUCUGGGCCGUGUGGGAAGGACACCCUAUCACACACACUCACUUGGCGACGGCUCCAAAUGCUGUCGUGGAAAGGGGUUAAAAACAGUUUGUUUAGGACCGACGCGUACCAGUGUCUAUCUAUCUAUCUAUCUAUCUAUCCAUCUAUCUAUCUAUCUAUCUAUCUAUCUAUCUAUCAAUCUAUCUAUCCAUCUAUCCAUCUAUCCAUCUAUCCAUCUAUCCAUCUAUCUAUCUCAAUCCACCUAUCUAUCUAUCCAUCUAUCCAUCUAUCUAUCUCUCCAUCUAUCCAUCUAUCUAUCCAUCUAUCCAUCCAUCUACUAUCCAUCUAUCUAUCCAUCCAUCCAUCUAUCUAUCCAUCCAUCUAUCUAUCUAUCUAUCUAUCUAUCUAUCUAUCUAUCUAUCUAUCUAUCUAUCUGUCUGUCUAUCUAUCUAUCUAUCUGUCUGUCUGUCUAUCUAUCUAUCUAUCCAUCUAUUCAUCUAUCUAUCUAUGUAUCCAUUUAUCCAUUGAUCCAUCUAUCGAUCCAUCGAUCCAUCCAUCUAUCCAUCCAUCUAUCCAUCCAUCUAUCUAUCCAUAUAUCCAUGUAUCCAUGUAUCCAUCUAUCCAUCUAUCGAUCUAUCCAUCUAUCCAUCUAUCCAUCUAUCCAUCUAUCUAUCUAUCCAACCAUCUAUCGAUCUAUCGAUCUAUCGGUCUAUCCAUCUAUCGAUCUAUCCAUCUCUCCAUCUACCAAUCUAUCCAUCUAUUCAUUUACCGAUCUAUCUAUCCAUCUAUCUAUCUAGCUAUCUACCUAUCUAUCUAUCUAUCUAUCUAGCUAUCUAGCUAUCUAUCUAUCUAGUUAUUUAGCUAUCUAUCUGUCUACCUACCUACCUACCUAUCUAUCUAUCUAUCUAUCUAUCUAUCUAUCUAUCUAUCUAAAGGAAAUAUGCCCUAGAUGCAAUAAUAAAGUUGUCAUUUAUAUUUCCUUAUAUCAUGAUAAACUAGCGGAGUCACCCGCGCAUUUGCGCGGCUAGAUUGACUACAUAUAUUGUUAUAUUUGGGAUUAUUUUUCUAUGCCAAUUUUAUGGCCUCUUACUCAGAUAUUAUCUAAUUGAAUUUACCACCACCAUAUGUUAUAUCCAUAGAUUAUAAUUAAAAGGCAACUUCCGACGAAACAUGGACAGAUUAUUGAGUGCUUAGAAGACGGACGCAAUAUCAUAUAUAGACUUCUAUACCAAUCUUCAUGGUUCCCAUCUUUGAUCCUCUCCUCGUCCCUUGGUAUCUAUCUUUGCACCCAAUAUGUCUUUGGAGUUCCAAGAAUUGAAUCUUAGCAUGAAUGGCUUCAAUGUGUACCAAAUGUUCUCUUGUUCCUCCCAAAUUAAUUACUGGUUGCAUUCUUAGUUGCUUUGACAUUCUUGGUUAAUGCAAUGUCUUGCCUACCAAUAUAUGCAUCCACACACGAUAAUAUUUAUAUGACCACUUACCUUUGUAUUCUGGUAUUUGUGCUUCAGAAUUUUUCUCUCAUUCAGUUUAUUCAUAGAUUAAAAACGUCGAUCGUUUCUUUAUUGGUUUGCAUUAUCUUGUUUGCCGAACGUAAGCAUCCACACAUGCUCGUCAUGAUAUGAUUGGUCAUCAUUGUAUAUUUGUAUUUGUGUGUUGAUAGCUUAAGGAUUUUCUCGGAUUCACUUCAUAGUUUAAGGAUUUUCUCGCGUUCAAUUUAUUCUACCUUAUUCAUUUUCAUGUUUCUUUAUUGCAUUUAUAUCAAUUCUUACAAUAUAUUUUCCAAGAUAUGAACUCAACUGCUAAUUACGUAGUUUUUCAUCAAAAAUUACAUGUAAAAAUGUUACAAAUGCAUAAACAUGAUAAAAAUAUAUAUCAUAUUCCAUUGAGAGAUCGCCCAUUUAAAAAAAACACGUUGACUUACAAAAAGGACAAUUCAAGCUGCAUGUACGUCCGACUCAUGUUUACCUGACAAUGUCGAUGUUGAUUUCAGCAGUAAAUGAGCUGUGUGUGACCUUUGCGCUUUCCGGUAUUCUUCUAACCUGUGUGCUUUAUGAUCAGUUUGUUGUGCUUAGUACUGGACACUGGAGUAUACUAUCAUAUUUGGUACAAAUAAAUCUGAACUACUAUAGUUAUGAUCCACUCUAUAGUUAAUGGUGGUGGUAAUUAAUAUAUGUGGUUAAAUACUUGCGCUCCUUAGGUGGGGAGUUGAAUUUGUAUUUCCCUAAAAUAAAUUUCAGAUUUCGUAAUAGUGGUGAAGCCAGCCGGAAGAACCUCUGCGUCAUUAUUAAUUUUGGUGAUAUUUUUCUUCAUAGUGUAGAAUAAUUUUAGUGCUUAUUCCGCAAAAAAUAUGGCCUCAACUGACCCCAUAGCUUGUAUGUUGCGCCACCACUGUUUCCUAUAUCUUUUUACAUCCGUUGUUUUUAGAUCUUGAUGCAUAACUUUGACAAUAUUUAAUAGAUAUGUGUCUGUAUAAAAAAUUAUAAAUGCUAUGAUAAUUUGAUUAAUUAUGAUGAAUAAAAUGUUAUUGCUCUGACUUGAUCCCUCUAGAAUUUUCCAAAAUUUCACAUUACAGUUGUAGUAGUGCAUGCUACCUCUUGAGCACUGCAUUAGUUUUCCCUUGAAGAGGAAAGGGUGAUGCAGUAAAGCAGCGUCAGUAUUUCCCUCGGUUUUUGAGAACCAAGGUAUCAAUCCAGUAGGAGGCCACGCAUGAGUCCCUCGCACCUACACAAACAAAUAAAAUCCUCGCAACCAACGCAAUAAAGGGGUUGUCAAUCCCUUCACGGUCACUUACGAAAGUGAGAUCUGAUAGAUUUGAUAAGAUAAUAUUUUUGGUAUUUUUAUGAUAAAGAUGCAACGUAAAGAAAGCAAAAUAAAAAAAGCGCCAGAAAUAGCUUGUUGACGGGAGAUUAAAAUAGACCGGGGGGCCAUAGGUUUCACUAGUGGCUUCUCUCGAGAGCAUAAGUAUUUCGGUGGGUAGACAAAUUACUGUUGAGCAAGUGACAGAAUUGAGCAUAGUUAUGAGAAUAUCAAGGUAUGAUCAUGUAUAUAGGCAUCACGUCCGAGGCAAGUAGCCCGACUCCUGCCUGCAUCUACUACUAUUACUCCACACAUCGACCGCUAUCCAGCAUGCAUCUAGAGUAUUAAGUUCAAAAAACAGAGUAACGCUUUAAGUAAGAUGACAUGAUGUAGAGGGAUAAACUCAUGCAAUAUGAUAUAAACCCCAUCUUGUUAUCCUCGAUGGCAACAAUACAAUACGUGCCUUGCUGCCCCUACUGUCACUGGGAAAGGACACCGCAAGAUUGAACCCAAGCUAAGCACUUCUCCCAUCGCAAGAAAGAUCAAUCUAGUAGGCCAAACCAAACUGAUAAUUCGAAGAGACUUGCAAAGAUAACCAAUCAUACAUAAAAGAAUUCAGACAAGAUUCAAAUAUUGUUCAUAGAUAAACUUGAUCAUAAACCCACAAUUCAUCGGUCUCAACAAACACACCGCAAAAGAAGAUUACAUCGAAUAGAUCUCCACAAGAGAGGGGGAGAACAUUGUAUUGAGAUCCAAAAAGAGAGAAGAAGCCAUCUAGCUAAUAACUAUGGACCCGAAGGUCUGAGGUAAACUACUCACACAUCAUCGUAGAGGCUAUGGUGUUGAUGUAGAAGCCCUCCGUGAUCGAUGCCCCCUCCGGCGGAGCUCCGGAAAAGGCCCCAAGAUGGGAUCUCACGGGUACAGAAGGUUGCGGUGAUGGAAUUAGGUUUUUGGCUCCGUAUCUGGUAGUUUGGGGGUACGUAGGUAUGUAUAGGAGGAAGAAGUACGUCGGUGGAGCAACGUGGGCCCCACGAGGGCGCGCCCCCCUACCUCGUGCCUUCCUGGUAGAUUUCUUGACGUAGGGAACAAGUCCUCUAGAUAACGUUCGUUCCCAAAAUCACGUUUCCGAAGGUUUCAUUCCGUUUGGACUCCGUUUGAUAUUCUUUUUCUGUGAAACUCUGAACUAGGCAAAAAACAACAAUUCUGGGGUGGGCCUCCGGUUAAUAGGUUAGUCCCAAAAAUAAUAUAAAAGUGUAUAAUAAAGCCCAUUAAUGUCUAAAACAGAAUAUAAUAUAGCAUGGAACAAUAAAAAAUUAUAUAUACGUUGGAGACGUAUCAAGCAUCCCCAAGCUUAAUUCUUGCUCGUCCUCGAGUAGGUAAAUGAUAAAAACAGAAUUUUUAAUGUGGAAUGCUACUUGGCAUAAUUUCAAUGUAAUUCUCUUAAUUGUGGUAUGAAUAUUCAGACCCGAAAGAUUCAAGACAAAAGUUUAAUAUUGACAUAAAAAUAAUAAUACUUCAAGCAUACUAACUAAGCAAUUAUGUCUUCUCAAAAUAAAAUGGCCAAAGAAAGUUAUCCCUACAAAAUCAUAUAGUCUAGCUAUGCUCUAUCUUCACCACACAAAGUAUUUAAAUUAUGCACAACCCGGAUGACAAGCCAAGCAAUUGUUUCAUACUUUUGAUGUUCUCAAACUUUUUCAAUCUUCACGCAAUACAUGAGCAUGAGCCAUGGACAUAGCACUAUAUGUGGAAUAGAAUGGUGGUUGUGGAGAAGACAAAAAAGGAGAAGAUAGUCUCACAUCAACUAGGCGUAUCAACGGGCUAUGGAGAUGCCCAUUAAUAGAUAUCAAUGUGAGUGAGUAGGAAUUGCCAUGCAACGGAUGCACUAGAGCUAUAAGUAUAUGAAAGCUCAACAAAAGGAACUAAGUGGGUGUCCAUCCAACUCGCUUGCUCAUGAAGACCUAGGGCAUUUUGAGGAAGCCCAUCAUUGGAAUAUACAAGCCAAGUUCUAUAAUGAAAAUUUCCCACUAGUACAUGAAAGUGAUAUCAUAGGAGACUCUCUAUCAUGAAGAUCAUGGUGCUACUUUGAAGAACAAGUGUGGUAAAAGGAUAGUAACAUUGUCCCUUCUCUCUUUUUCUCUCUUUUUUUAUUUGGGUCUUUUAUUCUUUUUUUAUGGCCUCUUUUUUUUAGUCCGAAGUCUCAUCCCGACUUGUGGGGGAAUCAUAGUCUCCAUCAUCCUUUCCUCACUUGGGACAAUGCUCUAAAAAAAUGAUGAUCAUCACACUUUUAUUUACUUACAACUCAACAAUUACAACUCAAUACUUAGAACAAAAUAUGACUCUAUGUGAAUGCCUCCGGCGGUAUACCGUGAUAUGCAAUGAAUCAAGAGUGACAUGUAUGAAAGAAUUAUGAACGGUGGCUUUGCCACAAAUACAAUGUCAACUACAUGAUCAUGGAAAGCAAUAUGACAAUGAUGGAGUGUGUCAUAAUAAACUGAACGGUGGUAAGUUGCAUGGCAAUAUAUCUCAGAAUGGCUAUGGAAAUGCCACGGUAGGUAGGUAUGGUGGCUGUUUUGAGGAAGGUAUAUGGUGGGUGUAUGAUACCGGCGAAAAGUGCGCGGUAUUAGAGAGGCUAGCAAUGGUGGAAGGAAGAAAGUGCGUAUAAUCCAUGGACUCAACAUUAGCCAUAAAGAACUCAUAUACUUAUUGCAAAAAUCUACAAGUUAAUGAAAAUCUAGGGGGAUAGAUUGGUAGGAAAAGACCAUCGCUCGUCCCCGACCGCCACUCAUAAGGAAGACAAACAAUAAAUAAAUCAUGCUCCGACUUCAUCACAUAACGGUUCACCAUACGUGCAUGCUAAGGGAAUCACAAACUUUAACACAAGUAUUUCGCAAAUUCAAAACUACUCAACUAGCAUGACUGUAAUAUCACCAUCUCCAUAUCUCAAAACAAUUAUCAAGUAUCAAACUUCUCAUAGUAUUCAACACACUCAUAAGAUUUUUUUUACUAAUCUUGAGUGCCUAUCAUAAUUAAAGCAAAUUACCACGCUGUUUUGUAGGACUAUCAAAAUAAUCUAAGUGAAUCAUGAGAGAACAAUAGUUUCUAUAAAAAAAAACCACCACCGUGCUCUAAAAGAUAUACGUGAAGCACUAGAGCAAAAACUAUAUAGCUCAAAAGAUAUAAGUGAAGCACAUAGAGUAUUCUAACAAUUUCCGAAUCAUGUGUGUCUCUCUCAAAAGGUGUGUACUGCAAGGAUUAUUGUGGCAAACUAACAAAUAAAGACUUCAAAUAAUACAAGACGCUCCAAGAAAAACACAUAUCAUGUGGUGAAUAGAAAUAUAGCUCCAAGUAAAGUUACCGAUGGAAGUAGACGAAAGAGGGGAUGCCUUCCGGGGCAUCCCCAAGCUUUGGCUUUUAGGUGUCCUUAGAUUAUCUUGGGGUGCCAUGGGCAUCCCCAAGCUUAGGCUCUUGCCACUCCUUGUUUCAUAAUCCAUCAAAUCUUUCACCCAAAACUUGAAAACUUCACAACACAAAACUCAGCAGAAAAUCUCGUGAGCUCCGUUAGCAAAAGAAAACAAAACACCACUUCAAGGUACUGUAAUGAACUCAUUAUUUAUUUAUAUUGGUGUUAAACCUAAUGUAUUCCAACUUCUCUAUGGUUUAUAAACUAUUUUACUAGCCAUAGAUUCAUCAAAAUAAGCAAACAACACACGAAAAACAUAAUCUGUCAAACACAGAACAGUCUGUAGUAAUCUGUAACUAACGCAAUUUUCUGGGACUCCAAAAAUUGACCCAAAAUAGGAAGACCUAGACAAUUUUUUUAUUGAUCAGCAGCAAUUGGAAUCAAUAUUUUAGCACGUCCUGGUGAUUUUUAACAAUUAUUUUCAUGAACAGAAAGUUUCUGGAAUUUUCAGCAAGAUCAAAUAACUAUCAUCCUAGAAGAUCCUAUAGGUUAAACAUGGCACAAACACUAAUUAAAACAUAAAAACACAUGUAACCAGAGGCUAGAUCAAAUAUUUAUUCCUAAAAAAAAGAAAAAAGCAAAAAAACUAAAAAUAAAAUUGGGUUGCCUCCCAACAAGCGCUAUCGUUUAACGCCCCUAGCUAGGCAUAAUAGCAAGGAUAGAUCUAGGUAUUGCCAUCUUUGGUAGGCAAUCCAUAAGUGGCUCUCAUAAUAGAUUCAUAAGGUAAUUUUAUUUUCUUUCUAGGGAAGUGUUCCAUGCCUUUCCUUAAUGGAAAUUGGAAUCUAAUAUUCCCUUCCUUCAUAUCAAUAAUUGCACCAAUCGUUCUAAGGAAAGGUCUACCAAGAAUAAUAGGACAUGAAGGAUUGCAAUCUAUAUCAAGAACAAUAAAAUCUACGGGCACAUAAUUCCUAUUUGCAACAAUAAGAACAUCAUCAAUUCUUCCCAUAGGUUUCUUAAUGGUGGAAUCCGCAAGGUGCAAGUUUAAAGAGCAAUCAUCAAAAUCACGGAAACCUAGCAAAUCGCACAAAAUCUUUGGAAUCGUGGAAACACUACCACCCAAAUCACACAAAGCAUAGAAUUCAUGAUCUUUAAUUUUAAUUUUAGUAGUAGGUUCCCACUCAUCAUAAAGUUUUCUAGGGAUAGAAACUUCCAACUCAAGUUUUUCUUCAUAAGAUUGCAUCAAAGCAUCAACGAUAUGUUUAGUAAGGCUUUAUUUUGACUAUAAUCAUGUGGAGAAUUUAGCACGGAUUGCAACAAGGAAAUACAAUCUAUCAAAGAGCAAUUAUCAUAAUUAAAUUCCUUGAAAUCCAAAAUAGUGGGUUCAUUAAUAUCUAGAGUUUUGAUUUCUUCAAUCCCACUUUUACCAAUUUUUGCAUCAAGAUCUAAAAACUCUGAAUUUUUGGAACGCCUUCUAGGUAGAGGUGGAUCAUAUUCAGUCCCAUCAUUAUCAAGAUUCAUAUUGCAAAACAAAGAUUGAAUAGGGGACACAUCAAUAACUUUUAGAUCUUCAUCUUUAUUUUCAUAGAAACUAGAAGAACACGCUUUCACAAAACAAUCUUUCUUAGCACGCAUCCUAGCGGUUCUUUCUUUGCACUCAUCAAUGGAAAUUCUCAUGGCCUUGAGAGACUCAUUGAUAUCAUGCUUAGGAGAAAUUGUAUCAGCGUUCCUAGCCAAUUCAUCAACUUUAAGCAAUUUUUCUUGAAGCAAAGCGUUGAAAUUGUUUUGCGAAUUCAUAAAUUCUUUAACACUAGUCUCAAAUUCAGAAGGCAUCUUAUUAAAAUUUACAUAAUAAUUGUUGUAGGAAUUACCAUAAUUAUUAGAGGAAUUACUAGGAUACGACCUUGGAUUAAAGUUUCCUCUAUACGCGUUGUUACCAAAAUUAUUCCGACCAACAAAAUUCACAUCCAUAGAUUCAUUAUUAUUCUCAAUCAAAGUAGACAAAGGCAUAUCAUUAGGAUCAGAAGAAACACUUUUAUUAGCAAAUAAUUUCAUAAGUUCAUCCAUCUUACACUCAAAACAUUAAUUUCUUCUAUCGCAUGCACUUUUUUAUUAGUGGAUUUUUCGGUGUGCCAUUGAGAAUAAUUAACCAUAAUAUUAUCUAGGAGUUUAGUAGCUUCUCCUAAAGUGAUUUCCAUAAAAGUGCCUCCCGCGGCCGAAUCUAAAAGAUUUCUAGAAGAAAAAUUCAAUCCGGCAUAAAAAUUUUGUAUAAUCAUCCACAAAUUCAAACCAUGAGUAGGGCAAUUACGUAUCAUUAAUUUCAUCCUCUCGCAAGCUUGUGCAACAUGUUCAUGAUCAAGUUGCUUAAAAUUCAUAAUAUCGUUUCUGAGAGAGAUGAUCUUAGUGGGAGGAAAAUACUUAGAGAUAAAAGCAUCUUUGCACUUAUUUCAAGAAUCACUACUAUUUUUAGGCAAAGACGAAAACCAAGCUUUAGCACGAUCUCUAAGCGAAAAAGGAAAUAGUUUCAAUUUAACAAUAUCAUUGUCCACAUCUUUCUUCUUUUGCAUAUCACACAAAUCAACGAAGUUGCCAUGUCUAGGAAUGCUUGAAGCUUCAAAGAUUUCCUAUAAUACAACAUGCCUCUAACUAUUCACAAUAAGAAAAACAUGUAAAUGCGGAAUCAACCAAAUGAUGGUAAAUUGUAGUUGAUUUUGGCCAAGCAAACGUCAGAUGAAAGAAACAUACAUGAGUGAACAUCACUAUUGGAUGUUUUAUUCAAAUUUAAUAGGUUAAACUCACCAAAUCCAUCUGGAUAUUUAGUAUUAAACUUCAACAGAUGGUCAGUUGUAGCUAGAUUCACACCACUGAAGCAAAAUUCCAUCUGCCACGGUUACAUCACACCAUCUUUUCAUCGUUACUAUUUAAAUUCCAAAUGCCUGCAACUCAUUUUUUUUGUUACGAUGUAUGCAUGAUUUUUAACUCAAGAGGAAGAGGGGAAACUAAAUCCAAGAAAAGAACACCAAGGAAGCAUCCAAAAUAGAGAAAGGAAAAAAAUCCAAAAUAGAGGCAGAAUCGAAGGGAAGAAACCCCAUAAAAAAUAGGAGAUCAAACGGUGAAAAAAAUCUAAGAGUCAAACAAUUCUAGGUAAGACCAAAUCGACGGCAAAAUAGCACAAGAGGGACUCACAUUAACAGGUAUACCAGGUAUACCAAUUUAGAAAGAAGUGUAAAGCGAACAGUGCAAUGGACCACUAGUAUAAAUUGGAUGUACACAAACAUGGGACUUAAACAAGAACUGCGAGAUGCAGGGUUCACGUGCAAACCCAAAAAAUGGAAAACUGAAACCCACAACAAGAUUUUAUCUUCAUAUAUAUAUAUAUAUAUAUAUAUAUAUAUAUAUAUAUAUAUAUAUAUAUAUAUAUAUAUAUAUAUAUUCAAGGCUCGCCCUAUCUAUUAGUUGCUUCUUCCGAAUCCCCACCUAUCAAGCGUUUUCUCUGAAUAAACAAACACAAUAGUAUUCUUUGAAUUAUACUGUACAACGGUAAUUAACCAAGCGACUGGAAUUAACAAUAUUAUGAGCUAUUGGCUUUUUAGUCAGGUAAAUAUCAUUCUUAAGACUACGGAAAACAACAGGCGGCGAAGAAAACAUCUAUUUAUGAGAACUAUACACAUACUUAAGAAGGAAGUGACAUCUAUGGUAGCAGAACAUAUAUCAAGCUGUUGCAGCUACAUUAGCAGUUUAGCACAGUUCCUCCAUAAUACACAGGCUAGUGUAAUUUCACAAAUACAAUAAGCUAACAAUAUAUAUUUGGUAGAUGGAAAUGGCUGGAUCAUGAGCAAUAUACCAUUACACAUCCGAUGAUGCAAAUAAAGAAACGAGGCCCAACAAUAGUGGAAAAUAAACCACAAUAGAACAUGUAUUUGGCGAAACCUCCAUACUGCAAUAUCAAACAUGAAUUGAAAUUAACAAUCUAGCAAAAAAACAUGACAGAUGCAGUCUUGGUCAUUUUUCCUUUUGUGACAUCCCCUAAAAAAAGUAAAAACAAUGUUGUUCGUAUUUUACCAGAGAUACACUGAGCUGGGACAAAUCGGUCUGAAAUAAAAUAUGAUGGCUUCGGAGGAUUCGGAAGGCAAGAAAUUUGCUUUCUUCCAACAUAUAUGGUCUGCUGAACUAAACUUCGUUUCAACGGGCUUUGGCAAAAAUCUGUAACUGCAAACAUCAACUUGUGUGCCCUUCCUACGUCAAACUUUAAACUUGACGGAUUAAAUAUUUUAGGUUAGGCUGAGAUCAGUGUACUUUAUGAGUGUUAAGUGUACUUUCUAAAUAGCAGAGAAACCAUAACAUCUAAGCACAACCCAGCAACUUGUACAAGCUAACAUCAAAUCUGAAAGAGGAAAUGUCGAGAACAGGUGAAGGUACCAUGAUCCACGACUGAGCAAAGUUAUCUAUAAUCCUCGGUGAAUAUCAUAAAUUAGGAUCAACUACGCUAAAGAACAAACGGGAAAGGAACCUAGAAAGAUCUUCUGCCGGUAGAAUAUAACUGAUACACUAUCCUCGUUCUCGAGAUCAAGGUCGUUUCUUGAAUUGCAGUUUCCUCACUGUAGUAUGGGGUCAUUACACUGUGAAGAACAAAGUGUCAUAUGAAUCAUUUAGAGCCCAAUCUUUUUCACUGAAACUCUUAUGAUCACAUAACGAAUUUAAACAUAAGGUUUAUUAGAUAUUUGUUGUUGUGAACAGAUAAUAUAUUUCUGGUGUUGACAAUGUUUUGAUUAUGGAUGCACUUCAAGAUGGGUGGCACAGAUUCUGUUGUACAGGCCUCCACCUGGAAUUUCAUCACUUGUUAUUUUUGUUUUAGAAUGUCUAGGUGCAUUUUUCCUUUAAGGUGGAAACAGAUGUACUUGUAUAAGCAACAAGAAUACAAAGCGCCACUGCCAUACAUUGUGGAAGUUCAGUGCUUCUGUUUACAAAAUCUGCUUCCCAAAACAGAAGGAUUUAUAAUUUUUUAUUACAAUCAAGCGGACAUGAGCUGAUGAGUACAGAUGUAGACAUGUACUGAGAGCAGCACCCUUUCAAAAGUGGAUCAUUUACAAGUUGGAUAGUUUGAUGGUCUGAAAUUAGUGGUCGUGUUUCAGAAUUGUUAUCGAAUAGUAGGGGAUAUAUAUUAAAUUCUGAAAUUAGUGGUUGUUUGUCAGAACUGUUAUCGAAUAACAGAGCACAUAUAUUAACUUCAAUAAGUGGAGUAAUAUCUUUGGAUUCGCUGUGAGGAAAGAUUACCAAAACAAAACAGAAGUGAGCACUGGUAGAAAAUGGGCCUUUAGUCCCGGUUCGCAAAGGCCAUUAAUCCCGGCUGUGCAACCGGGACUAAANNNNNNNNNNNNNNNNNNNNNNNNNNNNNNNNNNNNNNNNNNNNNNNNNNNNNNNNNNNNNNNNNNNNNNNNNNNNNNNNNNNNNNNNNNNNNNNNNNNNNNNNNNNNNNNNNNNNNNNNNNNNNNNNNNNNNNNNNNNNNNNNNNNNNNNNNNNNNNNNNNNNNNNNNNNNNNNNNNNNNNNNNNNNNNNNNNNNNNNNNNNNNNNNNNNNNNNNNNNNNNNNNNNNNNNNNNNNNNNNNNNNNNNNNNNNNNNNNNNNNNNNNNNNNNNNNNNNNNNNNNNNNNNNNNNNNNNNNNNNNNNNNNNNNNNNNNNNNNNNNNNNNNNNNNNNNNNNNNNNNNNNNNNNNNNNNNNNNNNNNNNNNNNNNNNNNNNNNNNNNNNNNNNNNNNNNNNNNNNNNNNNNNNNNNNNNNNNNNNNNNNNNNNNNNNNNNNNNNNNNNNNNNNNNNNNNNNNNNNNNNNNNNNNNNNNNNNNNNNNNNNNNNNNNNNNNNNNNNNNNNNNNNNNNNNNNNNNNNNNNNNNNNNNNNNNNNNNNNNNNNNNNNNNNNNNNNNNNNNNNNNNNNNNNNNNNNNNNNNNNNNNNNNNNNNNNNNNNNNNNNNNNNNNNNNNNNNNNNNNNNNNNNNNNNNNNNNNNNNNNNNNNNNNNNNNNNNNNNNNNNNNNNNNNNNNNNNNNNNNNNNNNNNNNNNNNNNNNNNNNNNNNNNNNNNNNNNNNNNNNNNNNNNNNNNNNNNNNNNNNNNNNNNNNNNNNNNNNNNNNNNNNNNNNNNNNNNNNNNNNNNNNNNNNNNNNNNNNNNNNNNNNNNNNNNNNNNNNNNNNNNNNNNNNNNNNNNNNNNNNNNNNNNNNNNNNNNNNNNNNNNNNNNNNNNNNNNNNNNNNNNNNNNNNNNNNNNNNNNNNNNNNNNNNNNNNNNNNNNNNNNNNNNNNNNNNNNNNNNNNNNNNNNNNNNNNNNNNNNNNNNNNNNNNNNNNNNNNNNNNNNNNNNNNNNNNNNNNNNNNNNNNNNNNNNNNNNNNNNNNNNNNNNNNNNNNNNNNNNNNNNNNNNNNNNNNNNNNNNNNNNNNNNNNNNNNNNNNNNNNNNNNNNNNNNNNNNNNNNNNNNNNNNNNNNNNNNNNNNNNNNNNNNNNNNNNNNNNNNNNNNNNNNNNNNNNNNNNNNNNNNNNNNNNNNNNNNNNNNNNNNNNNNNNNNNNNNNNNNNNNNNNNNNNNNNNNNNNNNNNNNNNNNNNNNNNNNNNNNNNNNNNNNNNNNNNNNNNNNNNNNNNNNNNNNNNNNNNNNNNNNNNNNNNNNNNNNNNNNNNNNNNNNNNNNNNNNNNNNNNNNNNNNNNNNNNNNNNNNNNNNNNNNNNNNAUAUAGAGCUCAAAUGAUUGAAAAUAAUUACUUUUGCAGCAUUUUUCUCAUGUCGGCCCAACGCUUUGGAUCCGAAUCCAUAGAGUCCAUGAUUAGAACUCUGGAGGUGUGAAGUUCAAUAUUUAGCAGAAUCCAGUGGAACCUGCGGACACGUUACAUGCACAGUCAUGCAUAACUCAUCGAUUAGACAUACCAUGCAUGGAGUAAACAAAAGAGAAUGGGCACAAGAGAGAAACACUCACCCAAAAUGGUAAGGAAAUAGAAUAUGACUUUUGAGUUGAUGCUUUCUAAGAAACUUGUACAAGUCUUUCUCCAUGUCUUCGGGGUGAUUUUGUAACACAUGUCCAUUAACGAUAUGUGGGUCAAUGAACCCAACAUCAUGGAUGUUUCUUAUUUUGCAUUCCCAAAUCUUCAAUCUGCAUAAUAGCGUACGCAACAAUAUAGUUAGGACAAUAUAUAUAUAUAUAUAUAGUGCAGGCAAUGAAGAACGAGAUGAGGUAGAAAUAAAUCACUUACAUAACGUAGCAACUCAGGAUAGAUUUGUCGAGCUCGCGCAGAUUGAACAGCUGGAACAAUUCACUCAUAUGAACUUGUACAAAGUACCGUUUGGUGUGAUGCUCCUCUGUAACAUCCGCAUAAAUAUAUUCUUUGUCGGCCCAUGUUAUGAAUUGCUUGUACCAACGUAGAAGAUUUCGCAUUUGUGGUGGUAGACUCUUUUCCCGUGCAGGCUCGACGAGAGGCCCAUUCCGCACAUAUUGUAAUGCUAUCUCACAUACUGGCGCAUCCUCAAGGCCUAAGAUGGCACGAAGAGUCAAACCCAUCUCGGACGUUUGUUUCAUGGCACUCGCUACAGUCAAUCCAAGUGCUGCCGCAGCUCCUAUGAUCUCGGGGUCCUCUUCCGGACCGGCUUUCACUAUGAGCGGGGGGAUCGAUUGUUUAUUCUGCAUCCCGAGCUGGUCAACUUGUUUCCCGCUUUUUUUACUUUCUUCUUUCUCCUCCUUCAAUAUUUUUGCUUGCCAACGAAGUUCAUGUCAAUAGUCGUCAGGCAUAUUCAGCUCGGCUUGGGACGGUGUCGUCAAAAAAUCCUUAGCCCACUUCUUUUGCUUCUCAGUGAAUACUUGCUUGGGCUCAGGCUCUUUUUUCGAAUUCGUAUCCGCCUUCCAUUUCUCAUAAUGAGCAGACGCGGCCAAUUUGGUUUCAGCUUCACUAAGUUCCCAAGGCCUUGGGAGGAGAGGCUUCAGUGAUGGCUCCGGUACCCUUGUGGUCUUACGUACAUAAGGGUCCGGGUUAAUAGUCCAGGAGAGGGUUUCCUUGCUGUCCGCCUGCUUCUACUUCUUCGCCGGAGGUGGAUUGGGGGGCGUCGUACCCGCCGGAGGAGGAUUGGGGGGCGUCGUACCUGCCGGAGGAGGAUUGGGGGGCGGCGGCUGCUUACCCGCCGGAGGUUGUGGAUCGGGGGACGGCGUCGAAUGGCGUGAAGGAGGUGUAGGUGAACCACCACGACCACCACCACCACCACCACCAUCGGAGGGGGUGGACUUGUUAGCAUUGGCGCCUCGCCUGGAAACACUAUGUACUUCUUUUUCCAUAGAAUGAUCUGGCGCUUGACAUCUCCAAGUCUUCUCUCCCCUUCGGGUGUAGCUUUGUCAAUCUCCAGGUCCUCAAACUAUUGGACUAUGUCUUCCACCGUGACACGAGCAUAGCCAUAUGCAAUGGGGUUGUUGUGGUGGAGUGCUCCAGGUGUACAGGGUAAAGCACUGCCAGUAGCUACCUUCGUGGAAACGUUCCCCACGGGAUAAUGCAGAUCACAUUCUUUCAUCUCCUUUACAUCAUCCACGGGGUAGUGAGGCUCCGGUGCACGAAUCUCGAUCAUCGGUGCAUUAGCACCAGGCGGGGCAUCCGUGGAAGCCACGCUGCUUCUCCGCUGCUGGCUUCCGCGAUCCGCUUCAUGAUCUUCAUGCGGCCCUGCAGCCGAUUUUUCUUUUACUAGUUCAUGCACGGUCUGCUUCAACUCAUGGAGUUCCGAUGCAAACUUCACCAAAAGAUCUGCAUCCCGGUCCGUCUUUCUCUUACGGCUUCUGUAACAGUACGGGUCAUUGUCCUGGGAAAACCCUACUUUCCACGAAAUUCUGCCUUUGCCUCGUACACGUCCUCCGUGUUCAUCAUUCCGAGGGCUGUUGUCAGUGCGUCUUUCUCUCUGUUGAACUUGAUCAAGCCCUCUUGAGCUUGGGUCAUUGCGUCAAUAAGGGCUUGGGUGGGAGCAAACUUUUUCUUCCGGUGAACACACACCCCUGUCUCCGGGUCUAGCGAUCCCCCAUGCCCGUACCACCAGCUUUUGGCCCUUGGGUCCCAUCCCUCUGUACCUAGAGGGAUUCCUCGCACCCUCAGGUCCUCCUCCAUCUUCUGCCACUUAGGCUCCGAAAGGCGGUAUCCUCCUGGCCCCAUAAUAUGAUGGAACUUUUUCUUACUCGCAUUAUCCUUAUUUUUUCCGACAUUUCCUUGAAAUGCUCUGAUUUUUUUUGCCUCACAAAUUCUGGCCAAUCAUCUUUCAGUUUCUCAUGUUGUCCAUUGAAAUCCGGAGUCUUGCCCUUGUUGACAUAGUCACGGGUUAAAUUUUUCUUGAAGUUCCGGAAUGCUUCGCCCAUCUUCUCAAGAGCGAACUCUUUAACUAGCCUCCUCCUCUCACGUCCACCCGGAACCUCGUUACCGAAUUCAUCGACUUUGUUGUAUUCCGGAGGUAGAAUGAAAUGUUCCAUAAGCUUUUUCCAGCAAUCCUUUUUCGUUCUCUUGUCGACAAAACUGAAACCAAGACGUGCCUUCUUUGGCUCCUUCCAUUCCUGGACGGUGAUCGGGACGUUGUCUCUAACAACGACUCCACAUUGGUUGAUAAACUUUGAGGUGUGCUGUAGGGGCUUGCCGGUUUCACUGACAAAAUCAAUGGCAUAUGUUUCUCCUUUUUUCAUCGCCUUGGAUUUGCCACGCUUUGUCGUACUCGAUCCGGCCGAGGGUCGCGCACGUUAAUACAUAUGUAUUCGCAUUUCAGUAAGUUUGUAUCACGAGAGGCUCAAUGUAUAUAUAUACCUCGCCGGAGGUGGUUGCUACUUGCAAUUCGAGAUUGUCGUUUGUUGACGGUUGACCUCCGUUGACAAUGUCCGUUCCUUCACCUUCUUGAUCAUCGACAAUGUCUGUUCCACCGUCAAGGUUCAGAAAAGAAGAGACUACAUCCUCUUCUUGCUCAUAUUCUGAGCCCGGCACAUAAGGAAUCUCGUUGUUUAUGAUGCCCAUUAAAUAACGUUCAGCCUCCGGAUCCCUAAGCGGCUCGGCUCUAUCGUCCGCCAUAUGUCACUCCUGCAUGUAGUCAAAAUUAAUUAAGUAUAAAGGAAUUAAAAAAUAAGAUUAAGGGGACAUAGAGGAGGAGCAGCUACGGUUGAAUGAUUAAGAGCUAUUAAAAAAUAAAAUUGAUGUUUUUCCUUUUCUUUUUCCUUUUCUUUUUCCUCUCUACUCUCUCUUUCCUUUUCUUUUUCCUUUUCUUUUCCUUUUCUUUUUCCUUUAUACAAUUAUUCCCAAAUAAAUUUCCUUUUCUUUUUCCUUUUCUUUUUCCUCUCUGCUCUCUCUUUCCUUUUCUUUUUCCUUUUCUUUUUCCUUUAUACAAUUAUUCCCAAAUAAAUUUCCUUUUCUUUUUCCUUUUCUUUUUCCUCUCUGCUCUCUCUUUCCUUUUCUUUUUCCUUUUCUUUUUCCUUUUCUUUUUCCUCUCUACUCUCUCUUUCCGUUUGUUGACGGCAGGCGGCGGCGGGAGGCAGAGGAGGGCAGGCCNNNNNNNNNNNNNNNNNNNNNNNNNNNNNNNNNNNNNNNNNNNNNNNNNNNNNNNNNNNNNNNNNNNNNNNNNNNNNNNNNNNNNNNNNNNNNNNNNNNNNNNNNNNNNNNNNNNNNNNNNNNNNNNNNNNNNNNNNNNNNNNNNNNNNNNNNNNNNNNNNNNNNNNNNNNNNNNNNNNNNNNNNNNNNNNNNNNNNNNNNNNNNNNNNNNNNNNNNNNNNNNNNNNNNNNNNNNNNNNNNNNNNNNNNNNNNNNNNNNNNNNNNNNNNNNNNNNNNNNNNNNNNNNNNNNNNNNNNNNNNNNNNNNNNNNNNNNNNNNNNNNNNNNNNNNNNNNNNNNNNNNNNNNNNNNNNNNNNNNNGCAGGGCAGGGCAGGGGCGGCGGCGGCAGUGCAGGGCAAGGGCGGCGGCGUAGGGCAGGGGAAGUGGGGGGCGGCGGAGCUCACUGGGGGCAGGGCGCUGGUGUCGGGGCAGGGCGUCGGCGUCGAUCGGCGUCGGGGCAGCAGCCUGGCGGCGUCGGCGUCGAUCGGCGUCGGGGCAGGGCGUCGGCGUCGAGAGGAGAAUGAGAGGUGGGGGAAAAUUUACUAAGUGUUAUAUAUAUAGACAGAGCAUUAGUCCCGGUUGGGGACGCCAACCGCGACUAAAGGUACCUUUAGUCGCGGUUGGUCUCCCCAACCGGGACUAAAGGUUCUUUCGCGCCGCUUUCGUUCCCGCGCGGAAAGAGCCUUUAGUCGCGGUUCGUGUCACGAACCGCGACUAAAGGUCCUUUUUCAUAUACUUUUCAGAAAAUACAAAUAAUAUAUCAAAAAAUUCAGAAAAAUAAAACUAAUUCAUUUUAAAAUCUUAAAAAUAGAAAUAAUAUAUCAAAAAAUUCAGAAAAAUAAAANNNNNNNNNNNNNNNNNNNNNNNNNNNNNNNNNNNNNNNNNNNNNNNNNNNNNNNNNNNNNNNNNNNNNNNNNNNNNNNNNNNNNNNNNNNNNNNNNNNNNNNNNNNNNNNNNNNNNNNNNNNNNNNNNNNNNNNNNNNNNNNNNNNNNNNNNNNNNNNNNNNNNNNNNNNNNNNNNNNNNNNNNNNNNNNNNNNNNNNNNNNNNNNNUUAAAAUCUUAAAAAUAGAAAUAAUAUAUCAAAAAAUUCAAAAAAAUAAAACUAAUUCAUUUGAAAAUCUUAAAAAUACAUAUAAUAUAUCAAAAAAUUCUGAAAAAUAAAACUAAUUCAUUUUAAAAAUUCAGACCGAUUGUUUUGUUCUACAUCCUCGAUCCCUUGAAGGUUUGACAAAAGGUUUGAUACAUCAUUCAGUUCAUCGGCCAAAUACAAAUCAUCCGGAUUCGCCAUCGUACGUUUUAAUUCACAUGAUCCAUUCAACAAAGUUUGGUACAAUAAAUUAUUACACAUCAAUUCUUCCCGUGUGUCCCUGCUUGCUUACGAUUGUGCCGUAUCCAUGGAGCAUCCUCAUCAUUUAACUUAAUGCUUGGGUCAGUGUUCACUUUGAAGGGCGGAAUUUCACCAAACAUAUUAUAAUCUUCUGACAUGUCUGUCUUGUCCUCCACUCCCACAAUGUUUCUUUUCCCUGAAAGAACAAUGUGGCGCUUUGGAUCAUCGCAUGAUGUACUGAUCGUUUUCUUAUCUUUCCGUUUCCUCGGUUUGCUACUCAUGUCCUUCAAAUAAAAAACCUGAGCGACAUCUUUGGCAAGGACGAAUGGUUCGUCAAGGUAACCAAGAUUGUUGAAAUCCACCAUUGUCAUUCCGUAUUGCUCGUCCACCUUUACCCCACCUCCUGUUAGCUUGAACCAUUUGCACCGGAACAAAGGGACCUUAAAGGAGGGUCCAUAGUCAAGUUCCCAUAUCUCCUCUAUGUGACCAUAAUAUGUGACCUUUUGCCCAUUCUCGGUUGCUGCAUCAAAGCGGACACCACUGUUUUGGUUGGUGCUCUUUUUAUCUUGGGCGAUGGUGUAAAAUGUAUUCCCAUUUAUCUCGUACCCUUGGAAAGUCGUUAUAGUCGAAGAUGGUGUCUUGGCCAACAUGUACAGCUGAUCUCCAACAUCAUUGUCAUUCAUUAAAUGUUUUCGCAACCAACUGCCGAAAGUCUCCAUGUGGGCCUUUCUAAUCCAGGAUUCAGGUUUCCCCGGGUUGUCCGAGCGUAAAAUAUUCUUGUGUUGCUCGAACUACGGAGCCACCAAGCUGGAAUUUUGUAGAACUGUGUGGUGUGCUUCAGUCAUAGAAUGACCGUCCAUACAUAUCGUUGAUUUCCUUCCGAUCGUGCCUUUUCCACUUAGUCUCCCCUCGUGCCGCGAUUGAGGAAUACCAAUCGGCUUAAGGUCAGGAACAUAGUCAAUACAGAACUCAAUUACCUCCUCAUUUCCAUAGCCCUUGACGAUGCUUCCUUCUGGCCUAGCACGGUUACGAACAUAUUUCUUUAAUACUCCCGUGAACCUCUCAAAGGGGAACAUAUUGUGUAGAAAUACAGGACCGAGAAUGGAAAUCUCUUCGACUAGGUGGAGCAGGAGGUGCGUCAUAAUAUCGAAGAAGGAUGGUGGGAACACCAACUCAAAACUGACAAGGCAUUGGACCACAUCGUUCUGUAACCGUGGUAGAUCUUCUGGAUUGAUUACCUUCUGAGAGAUUGCAUUGAGGAAUGCACAUAGCUUCACAAUGGCUACUCGAACAUUUUCCGGUAAGAGCCCCCUCAAAGCAAUCGGAAGAAAUUGCGUCAUAAUCACGUGGCAGUCGUGAGACUUCAGGUUUAGGAACUUUUUGUCCGCCAUGUUUAUUAUUCCCUUUAUAUUCGACGAGAAGCCAGACGGGACCUUCAUACUGCUCAGGCAUUCAAAAAAUGACCUUCUCUUCUUUGGUAAGAGCGUAGCUGGCACGACCUUGAAACCAUUCCGGAUGCCGGUCAUCUGGGUCUUUCAAAAGUUGUUGGUCCUGCCGUGCUUCCUUUGUAUCAUUUGUCUUCCCAUACACGCCCAAGAAGCUUAGCAGGUUCACGCAAAUAUUCUUCGUAACAUGCAUCACGUCGAUUGCAGAGCGGACAUCUAGGACUUUCCAAUAUUCUAGCUCCCAAAAUAUAGAUUUCUUCUUCCACAUGGGUGCGUGCCCGUCAACUCCCCGCGGAACUGAUUGUCCGCCAGGACCCUUUCCAAAGAUGACUUUCAAAUCCUUGACCAUAUCAAAUAUCUCAGCACCAGUACGUUCCGCAGGCUUCGGCCGGUGAUCUGCCUUGCCGUUGAAAUGCUUGCCUUUCUUUCUUACGUUAUGAUUUCGGGGAAGAAAUCGACGAUGACCCAGGUACACGUUCUUCUUACAAUUACCCAAACGUACACUUUCAGUCUCAUGUAAGCAGUGCGUGCAUGCAUUGUAUCCCUUAUUUGUCUGUCCCGAAAGGUUACUGAGAGCAGGCCAAUCGUUGAUGGUUACAAAAAGCAACGCUCGUAGGUCAAAUUCCUCUUCUUUGUGCUCAUCCCAGACACGUACACCAGCUCUGCCCCACAACUGUAAAAGUUCAUCAACUAAUGGCCUUAGGUACACAUCGAUGUCGUACCCGGGUUGCUUUGGACCUUGGAUGAGCACUGGCAUCAUAAUGAACUUCCGCUUCAUGCACAACCAAGGAGGAAGGUUGUAGAUGCAUAGAGUCACGGGCCAGGUGCUAUGGCUGGAGCUCUGCUCGCCAAAAGGAUUCAUGCCAUCAGUACUUAGACCAAAUCUUAUGUUCCUUGCGUCAGCUGCAAAAUCUUUGAACACUCUGUCGAUCUUUCUCCAUUGCGUUCCAUCAGCGGUGUGUCCCAACUCCCCGUCGGACUUACGGUCCUCUUUGUGCCAUCGCAACGACUUGGCAUGCUUUUUGUUCCUGAACAGACGUUUCAACCGUGGUAUUAUAGGAGCAUACCACAUCACCUUGGCGGGAACCCUCUUCCUGGGUUUCUCGCCCUCAACAUCGUCACCAGGGUCAUCGCCUCUGAUCUUAUAACGCAAUGCAGUGCAUACAGGGCAUUCAUUCAAAUUCUCGUAUUCACCGCGGUAGAGGAUGCAGUCGUUAAUGCAUGCAUGUAUCUUCAGAACCUCUAAACCUAGAGGGCAGACAACCUUCUUUGCUUCGUACGUACUGGCGGGCAACUCGUUAUUCUUCGGAAACAUAUUCUUCAACAUUUUCAGCAAAUUUUCAAAUGAUGAGUCAGCUACACCUUCCUGUGCCUUCCAUUUUAGCAAAUCCAGUGUGCAACCCAACUUUUUCAGACUAUUAUCGCAUCCUGGGUACAACGACUUUUUGUGAUCCUCUAACAUGCGAUCCAAAUUCUCCCUCUCCUUGUCAGUUUCGCAGCGUCUCCGUGCAUCAGCAAUGGUCCGACCAAGAUCAUCAGCGGGCUCAUCAUGUGCCUCUUCUUCACCUUCACCUAACCCUUCCCCACCUUCAGCAUCAUCCUCCAUGAAAGUAUCACCGAAAUGAUCAUGAUAGUUGUCAUCGAUAUCAUCCCCUUCUUCAUCUUGUUCCAUUCUAACCCCUCUUUCUCCAUGCUUGGUCCAACAAUUAUAGCUUCGCAUGAAACCGUGCCGAAGCAGGUGCAUGUGAACGUCUCUUGAGGAGGAGUAACCCUUCUGAUUCUUACAGACACCACAUGGACAGAUAAUAAAACCUCGCUGCUUGUUCGCAUUUGCCACUACGAGGAAAUCUUUCAAACCCGUAGUGAACCGCCGGAGAGUCGGGGACCGUACAUCCAUUGCCGAUUCAUCUGCAUUAUUAUUAUAUAAAGUAUAUAAUUAACCAUCAUGCAUUUGUUAAACUAACUAGCUAGAAAUAAUACAAAUUAAACAAUGAACUACACACAUCCAUAUUUUAUCAAUGACACAUGAAAGGUUCAAGUUGCUAACCGCGAUCGCGGAGGAAAAAUAAAUGAGAAAGCUCAAGUGUGGCUCGGACACUUCAUAUCAUGUUUGUUUCAUGCUCUCGGGCAUUUCAUCGAACACCUUGUGUGCAUAGGAGGAACCAAAAGCAAACCCACCAGCCCCCUUCUGAAUUGUGGCUAAGUGAAGUGAGCUGAGUCCUAUAUAUAGGGAUGGGCCUUUAGUCCCGGCUGGCCUGGCCAACCGCAACUAAAGGCCUUCGGGCCAGCCUGAGGACCUUUAGUCCCGGUUGGCCAGGCCAACCGGGACUAAAGCCCCUCCCGUCCGCCAGCUGUCGACCGAGCGCGCUGGGCCCAGAUAGUUGGUCGCGGGUCUCCUCCCGAACCGCGACUAAAGACCCCUUUGGUCGCGGUUCGAUUAUUUUAGAGACUAAUGGGGGCGUAUGGAAGCCUCUGUUUCUACUAGUGGAGUGCGACGACCCAGAUGAGGGCGCUCUUGAGCUUCUUCCCGACCGACCUAGAUGCAGGAGCAGACCACGGCGGAUCUAAUCAGCCAACGAAUAAAACUGAGGCAGGUAGAGGAAGUAAGGGAGGAAGAAGACUGACUUGUCCUGGUCGCCCUCGUAGUAGAACCUGUGUUUUGAUUUUCGGCCAAAAAAGUGGAUUUCGGCCAUCUCGGCCUGGGGCAAAAAGUGUAUUUAGGCCGAAAUUGUUCAAAUUUAGCAAAUUUUGGUCAAAUUUAAGUCAAAUUGCAGUCAAAAUUUGGUCAAAUUUCAGCCGAAAUUUUUGAAAAUGGCCGAAAUUCGGCCAUCUCAGCCUAGGGAGAAAAAAAAGCUGAAACCAAAAAUCAAAACACAGAGUAGAACAUGGCGAACAGGAUGACGAGGACAGCGUCGAGGAUGUAGACGACGAGCCAGAGCAUGUUCAUGGGCAGGAUCAAGCAUGGGCAGGAUAAGGGUGCAGGCCCCGUUGUAGGCGGCAUGCUUGCAGGCCUGGCGGUUGGCGACGUCGGCGGGGAGCAUGAGGAUGGAGAGGACGGCGACGGUGAUGCCGAGCACGACGACGAGCUUGAGGAAGUAGGCCUGGUUGGCAUCAUCCGGGUGCUGGUAGUUGACGAGGAGCACCAGGAUGCUGACCACCGCCGCCACGAUCACUAGCGCCACGUUAAAAAAACCAUCUCCUCGGGGCUCCGGUCCCGGUUCCGGCCCGCCGCCUCGCCCCCUUGGUCGGUCAGAUCUCUCUGUCCCUAGAGGCGGGGGGAUACAGGCUAGGGUUUGGGCGUGGGCGGGGAAUAGGCUGCUAUGGUGCCGGCAGCGGGGCGUGUAGGAGAGAAGGAUUAGGAGGAAUAAUUCACCACACUUUGAUUAAGCUCUCGGCUGGUUCUUAUGUACAGAUUACAGGGCCAGCCAGGGAGAUCAUGGGGUGAUCCACUACCUGGGAUCGUGCGCCACGAUCACUACAUGCGUGCGCCACGAUCAUACACACACACGCUACACCUAGUGUCUACGCAACUACGGUAUAGCAGUACAGUACAGCCUAACACCCCCCGGAGUCGUGACGUCGGCGGCGGCGACGCAAAGACUGGACCGGAACUCAGAGAAAACAUCCGAUGGCAGGCCUUUGGUCAUGAUGUCGGUGUGUUGUUGGCGCGUGGGGAUGUGAAGAACACGGAAGUGGCCGAGGGCGACGCGCUCCCGCACGAAAUGGAUGUCCAGCUCCACAUGCUUAGUGCAGCGAUGAUGCACCGGAUUGGCUGACAGGUAGACUGCGGACACAUUGUCACAGUACACAAGUGCCGCCUUGGUCAUUGGAGCGGAGAGCUCGCCGAGAAGCUGGCGGAGCCAGAUGCAUUCAGCGACCGCGUUGGCGACGCCGCGGUAUUCAGCUUCGGCGCUGGAGCGCGAUACGGUCGCCUGGCGCUUGGAGGACCAGGAGACGAGAGCAUCGCCGAGGAAGACGCAGAAGCCCGACGUGGAGCGUCGGGUGUCGGGGCAGCCGGCCCAGUCCGCAUCGGUGAACGCACGGACGUCGAGCAUGGUCGAGGCGUGAAGAUGAAGCCCGAGUGCGCAGGUGCCCUUCACGUACCGGAGCACGCGCUUUACGAGCGCGAGGUGGCAUUCGCGCGGGUCAUGCAUGUGUAAGCAGAUUUGCUGGACGGCGUAGGCGAUCUCUGGACGCGUGAUGGUGAGGUACUGCAGGGCCCCGGCGAUGCUCCGAUAGGCCGAAGGGUCGUCGACGCAUGGCCCAUCGGCUGAGGGGAGUUUGCUCUUCGUGUCGAUGGGUGUCGGGGAAGGGCGGCAGGUGUCCAUGCCGGCGCGUUCCAGGAGCUCGUCGGCAUAUUGUUGUUGCGACAGGAAGAAGCCAGCUCGGGUGCGGGUGACGCGCAUGCCGAGGAAGAAGGCGAGCGAGCGCAGGUCCUUCAUGGCGAAUUCGCCUGUGAGGCGCUGGAUGACAUGGUGAAGCACGCGUGACGAGGACGCGGUGAGCACGAUGUCGUCGACGUAGAGGAGGAGGAACGCCAUGUCGUUGCCGUGCCGGAAGGUGAACAGCAACGAGUCCGAACGCGUAGCUGCGAAGCCAAUGGAGCGGACGAAGCCGGCGAAGUGGAGGAACCAGGCACGGGGCGCCUGCUUGAGCCCGUACAAGGACUUGGAGAGGCGGCAGACGUGCUCUGGUUUGUCGGGGUCGAUGAAUCCGGCGGGCUGGAGGCAGUAGACUUCCUCCUCAAGUUUCCGUGGAGGAAGGCAUUGGAGACGUCGAGGUGGUGCACCGGCCAGCCGCGCGACGCGGCCAUAGUGAGCACCAUGUGGAUCGUCACUGGCUUGACGACGGGGGAGAACGUCUCGCCGUAGUCGACGCCGGCACGCUGAUGAAAGCCCCGCACGACCCAGCAUGCUUUGUAGCGGGCCAGCACGCCGUCGGCGUCGUUUUUGUGCUUGAAGAUCCGCUUCCCUGUGAUCAGGUUGGCGCCGGGGGGGAGCGGGGCACCAGCUCCCACGUGCGAUUGCGCACGAGCGCAUCGUACUCAGCACACAUGGCAGCGAGCCAGUUCGGGUCGCGAACAGCAGCACGAACCGAACGCGGCACCGGCGACACCGAUGAUGAGCUAGAGGCGGUGGCCGCGUCGUAGUAGCGCGGCUUGGGGCGGAAGAUGCCGCGCUGGGCACGCGUGACCAUGGGCACAGGAGGCGCCGGUGCGCGGGGCGCCGCUGGUGGCGCGCUCGGAGACGAGCUGUCGGAGGAGCCACUGGGGAGUUGUCGGAGGAGGCGCUGGCGGAGGCGAAGACAAGCGGACCAGGCGCGGAUGGGCACGUCGAGGACGGAGCCGAGCCGCCAUCGGAAGCGCCCGCAGCGUACCGCGAGCUGACGCGGCGCGCCCCGCUGGUUGGCGAUGAUGAGCGGGGCAAGCCGGUGAUGGAGAUCAGGCGCGCCGGCAGCACGGGUGACAUGCUGCUGUCAGGCACCGGUGGAAGCGCGGGCAGCGCAGGAGGCCGGACGACGAGCGGGAUCUGCAGGUUAGAGGGUACGACGGGUGGCGUAGGCGACGGGGAAGAGGAUGCGAACGGGAAAACGUGUUCGUGGAAGAGAACGUGGCGAGACGUGAGGACGCGGCGAGAGGUGAGGUCAAAGCAGCGAAAACCACGAUGAUCGGGAGGGUACCCGAGGAAGACGCAGGCGAUAGAACGUGGCUCGAGCUUAUGGCGGGUGGUGGCGGUGACGUUCGGAUAGCAGAGGCAUCCAAAGACGCGGAGCUGCGAGUAAUUUGUGCGGGCAUGCGGUGACGUUCGGAUAGAUGCGGAGUAAUUUGUGCGACGCCGAGCAGGAGUUCAUGCGGAGUGCAGGGCGCCGAGGCGCGGCAGGGCCGACGAUUGAGCAGGUAGGUCGAGGUGUUGAGAGCCUCUGCCCAGAAGCGAGCGGGCAUGUGCGCAUGACAGAGAAGCACACGAACACCGUCGUUGAUCGUGCGGAGAACUCGCUCGUCCUUGCCGUUCUGCCGUGGCGAGCAAGCAGAGAGCGCGCGGCUGCACUGUCGAAUUCACGACCGUUGCCCGUUUCCAGUGCAAGUAUGGGUAACUGAAACUGAGUCUGAACAUAGGCAAAGAAAUCAACAAGUAUGGGAAGAACUUCAGACUUGUGUUUCAGAGGGAAAGUCCAGACAUAGUGACUGAAAUCAUCUAGUACAACUAAGUAAAACUGAUAGCCGGAUAUGCUUACAACGGGAGCGGUCCAUACAUCAAGGUGUAAAAGCUGGAAAGGAAAGAAACUAGCAGUGGUGGAUGUCUGAAACGUGUUGGAUCGAUGUCCGUGUAGCCCGCUUCUUUCUCUGUAGGAAGGACGCGGUUACGCUCGCGUUGACAUCGGAUGACUCGAUCACAUGCACGGGAGGGGCGGUACGACAUGGCACCGCCACGCCACCGUGCUCCCUCCCAGUGCCGACCUGGAGCAACUUGCCACUCCUCAGCUCGUGACCGGUGGGCUUGACGGGCCACCUAGCCAUUUUUUAUGCCAGACAACUCUUCUUCCUGCUCAUCAGAUGUCAUGGAUAAAACUGUUUAAGGAGGAAAAUGAUGAGUGGACGUGUGAUGCGGUUCUUGCCCAACAUCUGACAUUGUUUAAAUAGCGAGGGGACACGAGAGGAGCCAACUGGCGUUCUGUUUAAUGCCAACCGGCUCGUGAACGAACAUGUGGCCGGAGUAAUUAUCCUGGCACACACGAGGGUUUAAUGGUGGAAGGCGGGCAGUCUGCAGGAAUGAGGCGAGGAUGUGUGCUUAGCCGGCGUGCAGUAGGCGGCGCCCUCGGCCGGCGUGCUGCUUCCAUUGCGGAGGCAGUGAGAGGUCGCGUCCGCUCUGCAGCGCAUGAAUGCGGGCAGCUGGCGCAGAGCGGGAACGCGUGCGGGCGAGGGAGGAGGGGGUUUGGGCGGGUGGUCAGAAGAGGUCGUGGGUGUUGUCCGAACGCCUGCAAAUCCCCCCUCCAUAUUUGUCUCCAGUUUGCGGGAGAAAGUACGUCCGGACCGUCUCCAAUGGACCAAUACAGGCCCGCAUUAGAUGGCACAACACGUCCGGACCAUGUGGUCCGGAUGGUUGUGGACAGUUUAAUUGAGGGUCGGCGUUGGAGAUGCCUUAGAGUUUAUGAAUCCAUUGUGUUUUUCUAAUCAUAAAAAAGCACUUACAAUAAGUUAUAAGGAAAGACACGUUUAUAUGUUAGGUUCAGACUCCAGGUUUCGUUUUACAUAUGCUUUAUUCAUCCGACUGAUUCCAAUAGAGUGAGCCUAGCGUUGUUUUUCUGGAAACUCGCGGGAUAAGGAGACAUGCAUACACAUUCUUUCAAGCAAAUCACAUCCAUUCUUUUUAACUCAUUUUUCUUCUUUUAAUAAUAUAAUAGAUCAUUUAUAUUUUUUAUCUGAAACAGUUGACGUGUAAUUUAUAUUGUAAUCUGAGGAUAAUGUUUGGAUUUUACUUUCAAAUAUAUUUGAAAUGGCCAUGAUGGAAUCACAUCCAUUUAUUUUAUUAUUAUUUGAAUUUGAUCCAAAAGAUAAAUAAUGAGUUGAGGUCAUGUCAACUUUUCUGAGAACUUUGCUAAUCAAAAUAUAAAUUGUAUUUAAAAAAUCUAUUUUUUAGCACGCAUGAAAAACAUAACACGUAUCUUUUCACACAUAAUGAACGGUUGUCAUAAGAACUCAUGCCAUGCCACAACCUCCCUCCGACCCUGCCAACAUUGUUGCAGCUGCACUCGCAAGCCUUAGCGUAGAUGAUAAUUUAUACAAUUUGCGUAAAACAAAAUAAGAUCUACAAAUUAAUAGAAGCUAGAACGUACAUUGGCAUGCACACACAUUGCAAGCUAUACUAAGCUGAUAAGUGUUAAUAACUUGUACAACAUAUACAACACUUAAGACAAGUAAAAGCAAUUUGAUGAGUCAUGGUCUAUCAAAGCCACAUUACUAGUCUAAUCCAUCUUAACAGGUCACACAUGAUUAAAAUCUUGUUUGUGUGCAAGUCAAGCUUAUCUAGUUUACAUGUAACAACUUGUAGAACAUUAAAAAAUUUAUGUUUGCUAAUAACUUCUAGAACACUACAACACUUGACAUGUAAAAGGAAUUUGAUGAGUCAUGGCCUACUAAAGCAAGUUAUAUUACUAGUCUUAUCUACCUUAACAGGCCACACAAGAUUACAAACCAAGUUCUGUGCCAGCCAUGCUUAUCUAGUUUAUGCGUAACAAUUUGCAGAAAAUUACAAACUUAGUUUCAGAAAAAUAGGCAAUCUAGAUUAGUGUUUGAGCUAUAAAGUGAAUAAAAUGAGUCAUCUGUGUUAUCACACCUUUUUGGUUGUGGAAUGAUAGUGCAACAACAAGGAACUUUAAUGACCAGUUCAAGAAUACACUUGUAAGUAGUGCCACCGAACACAACAUACCAAAUUAUGAUUUUGAGAAGCAUCCAAGCACUUCCACACAAGCAAAUGCCAAUUGUGAAAGAGAUCAUGCCAUGGCAGCUAUAAAUAGGCCCGUAGCAUGACGAUCAUCCUUCCUCAUCCAUCAUUCUCAAAAGUAGAGCGCAUCAUUUAAGCCAAGCAAGCAGUGCUCAAUACAAAUCCACCAUGAAGACCUUUCUCAUCCUUGCCCUCCUUGCUAUUGUAGCAACCACCGCCACAAUUGCAGUUAGAGUUCCAGUGCCACAAUUGCAGCCACAAAAUCCAUCUCAGCAACAACCACAAGAGCAAGUUCCAUUGGUACAACAACAGCAAUUUCCAGGGCAGCAACAACCAUUUCCACCACAACAACCAUAUCCGCAGCCGCAACCAUUUCCAUCACAACAACCAUAUCUGCAGCUGCAACCAUUUCCACAGCCGCAACUACCAUAUCCGCAGCCGCAACUACCAUAUCCGCAGCCGCAACCAUUUCGACCACAACAACCAUAUCCACAACCGCAACCACAGUAUUCGCAACCACAACAACCAAUUUCGCAGCAGCAACAACAACAACAACAACAAAUCCUUCAACAAAUUUUGCAACAACAACUGAUUCCAUGCAGGGAUGUUGUAUUGCAACAACACAACAUAGCGCAUGGAAGGUCACAAGUUUUGCAACAAAGUACUUACCAGCUGGUGCAACAAUUGUGUUGUCAGCAGCUGUGGCAGAUCCCCGAGCAGUCGCGGUGCCAAGCCAUCCACAAUGUUGUUCAUGCUAUUAUUCUGCAUCAUCAUCAACAACAACAACAACAACAACAACCGUUGACCCAGGUCUCCUUCCAACAGCCUCAACAACAAUAUCCAUCAGGCCAGGGCUCCUUCCAGCCAUCUCAGCAAAACCCACAGGCCCAGGGCUCUGUCCAGCCUCAACAACUGCCCCAGUUUGAGGAAAUAAGGAACCUAGCGCUAGAGACGCUACCUGCAAUGUGCAAUGUCUAUAUCCCUCCAUAUUGCACCAUUGCUCAAGUUGGCAUCUUCGGUACUAACUGAGAAGAGAAGAACUCUAGUAGUAGAUAUAUGAUACACCGUUUUCUUAGUCCAUGGUUUGGUCGUUGUAGCGGUGAAAAAAUAAAGUGACAUGCACUAUCAUGCAAGAACCCGAACUAUACUAGUUCAAACAUGGGAAUAAAAGACAAACACAUGUCUUGACUACAUAUGAUUGUUUGUUUGAGUUCCACUCAUGUGCCCACUUACAAGUUCACCCCUAAUUAUAUAUAUUAUGCAUUAAGUAGAUAUUUAUGUUGCAUUAAUCUAAAGAUAACAAAAUGAGUCUGAAAUUUGAAUUAAAUUGAAGUAUUUCCUUGGACUUUCAAAUGGAGUAUUAUUAAAGUAGUAAGGACUAUCCACAUCCUUGGCUUGCCCUUGAUCAAUUAUUUCCAGAGAAGCAUUCAAUUCAUCAAUCAAUUACAUUGAUUUUUGUGGCUGGUACUUCUCCUCAACAUGAGUAUAUUCAUCGCGGCAACUCCAAAUAGGCAUGAAUGAGGUACCGGUGCUCUGGAGCACUGGUACCUAACUGCUUCUCAUGUGAAGGGGUGCGGGCGCGGGAGAGGUGUUUUUGGUGGGCCAGGGGAGUAAGAAGCGGCCGUGGCAGCGGUCCAGACGCCCACAAAGCCCCGUAGUUUGUUUUUGGUUUACAGGAAAAUGCACAUCCAGACCGGCCUGCGGGCCGAUAUAGGACCGUAUUGGAUGGCAAAACAUGUCCGGAUGGUCGCGAGCGGUUUAAGGGUUAGCUUUUGUAACACCCGGUUAGUUAUGCUAUGGUAAUUCCCUGCUAAUGAUGUCACGUCAGCACGAUUACUGUUGUUAACCUCACAAUGAUUCAAUCCCAUUCAAAUUCAAAUUUAAAAUAAAGGCAAACAUCAAAAGUUUCAAACAUUAAAACUAAAAUCUUCGAGAGGUGAAAAAUAAUGCAUAAGUAAUUAUGGUGGAGAAACCACACUUUUAUAAAAUGUUUAAAUACUCUAAAAAUAAUAAAACCGUGGCUUAAACUAUUAUUUAAAUGCUUUUAAAAUAGUAAAAAUGUUCUAACUAAAUUAAUUGGGUACCAAACUUUUAGUGGCAGUGGUAUAUUUAGUAGAACUAAUUUAGAUGCUAAUAAAACAUAAAAGGAAAGACAAAACAAAUAAAAGUAAAAGGGGGCAACCCCUCGCUGGACCUCGGCCAAGCUGGCCACUGGGCUAGCUAGGUUGGCCCAACCGCCUCCCUUAACCCCCCACUCCCCAUUGAACCCUAGACCGAUCGCCCCACUUCCCCCACACCCCCUCGUUAGCCUCCCCACCUCUCGAUCCCAUCUGGAUCGGGGAGGGGAUCGCCCCCAUCGACCCCGUCGCGGUCGCUGGAUCGCCCGCCGGCGUCGCCGGACCUCCUCCCCGUCGCACGUCUCCGGCUCUCCUCCCCUCUCGCUCCUUUUCCUCGACCCGAUCUGGAUCGGACAGGGCCAAUGAGCCCAACGCCCCCCUGCAUCGACGCUGUGCUCCAGCACCGCCGCCCGAAGACCUCGCCAUCGCCGGACCUCGCGUCGCCUCCUCGUAUCCCUCCCCGACUCGCCUCCUCAAGCCACGCCGACCCCCUUCUCGGCAACGCUGUGAGCCGCCCCCGUUUCCCUCCUUCUCUUUCCACCGUGUUCACCGCGCCGCCUGCCGUGCCCCUCGCAGCGCGCACGCCCACCACCGCGCCAGCCCCCGCUCCGCGCCCUCUCCUGCACGCUUGUGCGCGCAUGACCCUAGCCGCGCCCACGCCGUGAUCCCCUUGUCCCGCGCUCGCCGCGGCCCCCAUGCUCCCCUGUGCCCUCUUUUGGGGGUGUCGGCUGCCCCUGUCCCGCAGCUCGCUGGCAUGUGUCCCCGCCCGCGCCUCGCCACCGCUCUACAGCUACGCUACUAUUGCGCUGUGGCCGCCGCCGCUUCCCGCUGCUCUGCCAGCGCCAAAGCUCCCGGUUGGCCCUGCCGCUGCUCGCAUUUAACCGCCGGCCUAAGCGGCCUAACCUCCCCCCCCCCUCGCUAAUGAACCCCCACCAACCCGCUGACACCGGGACCCACAUCCCCUAAUUAACCAUUUAAUAAAUUAAAACUCUUAAAUUAACAUUAGUGUAUGACAUGUGGGUCCCCUAUUAAUUAAACUGAUUUAAUUAAAAUCUAUUAACUUUGAGUCUAUGACAUAUGGGCCCCACUAAACAUUUGACCAGUCAACGGUCCAGUCAAAUGCUGACCGGACAGUUGACCAGAGGGCCCCGCCAGUCAGCCAAUGUGUUGUUCUGCUGGGUACCUUUCUAAGUACACCUAGCAUUUUGCAUUUACAAUAUUUGUUUUAAAAUAAAUUAGAAUAAUUUCAAAAAAAUAUUAAAACUUUUAAAAUUAAAAUAAAUAAUCCGUAACUCGGAUGAAAUUACUUUAUACAUGGAACUUGCUCAAAAAACGAGACGAAUCCGAAUACACAGUCCGUUCGUCUGCCACGCGUCCCUAGCAUAGCGAACAUGCAACCAUCCCCCUCCGGUUCGACUGUCCGAAAAAUUAUUAUUGCACAUGCCCGCUAAGAGGUUGGCUGUAUAUGACAUGACAACUUCUUAUAGCCGACCCUUGGCUGUAUUAUUAACCAUGCUCUUAGUGAGGUAGCUAGUAUAUCAUAGACGACUAGCUAGUAUCAGACUGGCCAAAGUGGGAGUAACUUCAGCAGUAACAUCGACUCCAACUCAGCAAACUUGCUUAUGUGGGAGUAAACCUUGUCCAAUGCAAAAUAGAAUCCCAGUCGUAAUUUUUUCAGGAAACGUGUGGGAUCCCAAACGAAAAGCACACAUCACUCUUGCGGCAACCGUCGGUGACACCCAAUAAAUCACAAACGGUCUGCAGCACUUGUAUGUGUGCAAAGGGGCUCCUGAACCGUUUGUGAUAGAACAUUAUCGCAGACGGUAAUUGUUGGCAAACGUGUGCGAUGGAGUCUAGCAUGGCAGACGGGUUACGCAGAAAACUCGUGUGCGAUGGGGCACAAAUCGCACACAGUUCAUAUGUUGGCCCAUGUGCCUUACAUACUAUUUCCCAAAUGGUUUGUUACGACAGACCGUAUCGUUUCAGUGCGUCAUUAGAAACGCUUAAUCACUGAUACCACACGUGCGAUAGAAUUUAGUGCGUGCUGCAUCGCACACGAUUACAUUUUGGAAGGCCUCUGGAUCACUGCUCCAUAUCCCCGACGGUUUCUGGGCCGUGUGGGAAGGACACCCUAUCGCACACACUCACUUGGCGACGGUUCCAAAUGCUGUUGCGGAAAGGGGUUAAAAACAGUUUGUUUAGGACCGACGCAUACCAGUGUCUAUCUAUCUAUCUAUCUAUCUAUCUAUCCAUCUAUCUAUCUAUCUAUCCAUCUAUCUAUCUCAAUCCACCUAUCUAUCUAUCCAUCUAUCCAUCUAUCUAUCUCUCCAUCUAUCCAUCUAUCUAUCCAUCUAUCCAUCCAUCUACUAUCCAUCUAUCUAUCCAUCCAUCUAUCUAUCUCUCUCUCUCUAUCUAUCUAUCUAUCUAUCUAUCUAUCUAUCUAUCUAUCUAUCUAUCUAUCUAUCUAUCUGUCUGUCUAACUAUCUAUCUGUCUAUCUAUCUAUCCAUCUAUUCAUCUAUCUAUCUAUGUAUCCAUUUAUCCAUUGAUCCAUCUAUCGAUCCAUCCAUCUAUCCAUCCAUCUAUCCAUCCAUCUAUCUAUCCAUGUAUCCAUGUAUCCAUCUAUCCAUCUAUCCAUCUAUUGAUCUAUCCAUCUAUCUAUCUAUCUAUCCAUCUAUCCAUCUAUCGAUCUAUCCAUCUAUCUAUCUAUCCAUCCAUCUAUCCAUCUAUCGAUCUAUCGGUCUAUCCAUCUAUCGAUCUAUCCAUCUCUCCAUCUACCCAUCUACCCAUCUAUCCAUCUAUCCAUCUAUUCAUCUACCGAUCUAUCUAUCCAUCUAUCUAUCUAGCUAUCUAGCUAUCUAUCAAUCUAUCUAGCUAUCUAGCUAUCUAUCUAUCUAGUUAUCUAGCUAUCUAUCAAUCUACCUACCUACCUACCUACCUAUCUAUCUAUCUAUCUAUCUAUCUAAAGGAAAUAUGCCCUAGAUGCAAUAAUAAAGUUGUCAUUUACAUUUCCUUAUAUCAUGAUAAACUAGCGGAGUCACCCGCGCAUUUGCGCGGCUAGAUUGACUACAUAUAUUGUUAUAUUUGGGAUUAUUUUUCUAUGCCAAUUUUAUGGCCUCUUACUCAGAUAUUAUCUAAUUGAAUUUACCACCACCAUAUGUUAUAUCCAUAGAUUAUAAUUAAAAGGCAACUUCCGACGAAACAUAGACAGAUUAUUGAGUGCUCAGUAGACGGACGCAAUAUCAUAUAUAGACUUCUAUACCAAUCUUCAUGGUUCCCAUCUUUGAUCCUCUCCUCGUCCCUUGGUAUCUAUCUUUGCACCCAAUAUGUCUUUGGAGUUCCAAGAAUUGAAUCUUAGCAUGAAUGGCUUCAAUGUGUACCAAAUGUUCUCUUGUUCCUCCCAAAUUAAUUACUGGUUGCAUUCUUAGUUGCUUUGACAUUCUUGGUUAAUGCAAUGUCUUGCCUACCAAUAUAUGCAUCCACACACGAUCAUAUUUAUAUGACCACUUACCUCUGUAUUCUGGUAUUUGUGCUUCAGAAUUUUUCUCUCAUUCAGUUUAUUCAUAGAUUAAAAACGUCGAUCGUUUCUUUAUUGGUUUGCAUUAUCUUGUUUGCCGAACGUAAGCAUCCACACAUGCUCGUCAUGAUAUGAUUGGUCAUCAUUGUAUAUUUGUAUUUGUGUGUUGAUAGCUUAAGGAUUUUCUCGGAUUCACUUCAUAGUUUAAGGAUUUUCUCGCGUUCAAUUUAUUCUACCUUAUUCAUUUUCAUGUUUCUUUAUUGCAUUUAUAUCAAUUCUUACAAUAUAUUUUCCAAGAUAUGAACUCAACUGCUAAUUACGUAGUUUUUCAUCAAAAAUUACAUGUAAAAAUGUUACAAAUGCAUAAACAUGAUAAAAAUAUAUAUCAUAUUCCAUUGAGAGAUCGCCCAUUUAAAAAAAACACGUUGACUUACAAAAAGGACAAUUCAAGCUGCAUGUACGUCCGACUCAUGUUUACCUGACAAUGUCGAUGUUGAUUUCAGCAGUAAAUGAGCUGUGUGUGACCUUUGCGCUUUCCGGUAUUCUUCUAACCUGUGUGCUUUAUGAUCAGUUUGUUGUGCUUAGUACUGGACACUGGAGUAUACUAUCAUAUUUGGUACAAAUAAAUCUGAACUACUAUAGUUAUGAUCCACUCUAUAGUUAAUGGUGGUGGUAAUUAAUAUAUGUGGUUAAAUACUUGCGCUCCUUAGGUGGGGAGUUGGAUUUGUAUUUCCCUAAAAUAAAUUUCAGAUUUCGUAAUAGUGGUGAAGCCAGCCGGAAGAACCUCUGCGUCAUUAUUAAUUUUGGUGAUAUUUUUCUUCAUAGUGUAGAAUAAUUUUAGUGCUUAUUCCGCAAAAAAUAUGGCCUCAACUAACCCCAUAGCUUGUAUGUUGCGCCACCACUGUUUCCUAUAUCUUAUUACAUCCGUUGUUUUUAGAUCUUGAUGCAUAACUUUGACAAUUUUUAAUAGAUAUGUGUCUGCAUAAAAAAUUAUAAAUGCUAUGAUAAUUUGAUUAAUUAUGAUGAAUAAAAUGUUAUUGCUCUGACUUGAUCCCUCUAGAAUUUUCCAAAAUUUCACAUUACUGUUGUAGUAGUGCAUGCUACCUCUUCAGCACUGCGUUAGUUUUCCCUUGAAGAGGAAAGGGUGAUGCAGUAAAUCAGCGUCAGUAUUUCCCUCAGUUUUUGAGAACCAAGGUAUCAAUCCAGUAGGAGGCAACACACGAGUCCCUCGCACCUACACAAACAAAUAAAAUCCUCGCAACCAACGCAAUAAAGGGGUUGUCAAUCCCUUCACGGUCACUUACGAAAGUGAGAUCUGAUAGAUUUGAUAAGAUAAUAUUUUUGGUAUUUUUAUGAUAAAGAUGCAACGUAAAGAAAGCAAAAUAAAAACAACGCCAGAAAUAGCUUGUUGACGGGAGAUUAAAUAUGAUGGAAAAUAGACCGGGGGCCAUAGGUUUCACUAGUGGCUUCUCUCGAGAGCAUAAGUAUUUCGGUGGGUAGACAAAUUACUGUUGAGCAAUUGACAGAAUUGAGCAUAGUUAUGAGAAUAUCAAGGUAUGAUCAUGUAUAUAGGCAUCACGUCCGAGGCAAGUAGCCCGACUCCUGCCUGCAUCUACUACUAUUACUCCACACAUCAACCGCUAUCCAGCAUGCAUCUAGAGUAUUAAGUUCAAAAGAACAGAGUAACGCUUUAAGUAAGAUGACAUGAUGUAGAGGGAUAAACUCAUGCAAUAUGAUAUAAACCCCAUCUUGUUAUCCUCGAUGGCAACAAUACAAUACGUGCCUUGCUGCCCCUACUGUCACUGGGAAAGGACACCGCAAGAUUGAACCCAAAGCUAAGCACUUCUCCCAUCGCAAGAAAGAUCAAUCUAGUAGGCCAAACCAAAUUGAUAAUUCGAAGAGACUUGCAAAGAUAACCAAUCAUACAUAAAAGAAUUUAGACAAGAUUCAAAUAUUGUUCAUAGAUAAACUUGAUCAUAAACCCAUAAUUCGUCGGUCUCAACAAACACACCGCAAAAGAAGAUUACAUCGAAUAGAUCUCCACAAGAGGGGGGGAGAACAUUGUAUUGAGAUCCAAAAAGAGAGAAGAAGCCAUCUAGCUAAUAACUAUGGACCCGAAGGUCUGAGGUAAAGUACUCACACAUCAUCGGAGAGGCUAUGGUGUUGAUGUAGAAGUCCUCCGUGAUCGAUGCCCCCUUCGGCGGAGCUCCGGAAAAGGCCCCAAGAUGGGAUCUCACGGGUACAGAAGGUUGCGGCGAUGGAAUUAGGUUUCAUUCCGUUUGGACUCGGUUUGAUAUUCUUUUUCUGUGAAACUCUGAACUAGGCAAAAAACAGCAAUUCUGGGGUGGGCCUCCGGUUAAUAGGUUAGUCCCAAAAAUAAUAUAAAAGUGUAUAAUAAAGCCCAUUAAUGUCUAAAACAGAAUAUAAUAUAGCAUGGAACAGUUAAAAAUUAUAUAUACGUUGGAGACGUAUCAAGCAUCCCCAAGCUUAAUUCCUGCUCGUCCUCGAGUAGGUAAAUGAUAAAAACAGAAUUUUUAAUGUGGAAUGCUACUUCGAAUAAUUUCAAUGUAAUUCUCUUAAUUGUGGUAUGAAUAUUCAGACCCGAAAGAUUCAAGACAAAAGUUUAAUAUUGACAUCAAAAUAAUAAUACUUCAAGCAUACUAACUAAGCAAUUAUGUCUUCUCAAAAUCAUAUAGUCUAGCUAUGCUCUAUCUUCACCACACAAAGUAUUUAAAUUAUGCACAACCCCGAUGACAAGCCAAGCAAUUGUUUCAUACUUUUGAUGUUCUCAAACUUUUUCAAUCUUCACAGAAUACAUGAGCAUGAGCCAUGGACAUAGCACUAUAUGUGGAAUAGAAUGGUGGUUGUGGAGAAGACAAAAAAGGAGAAGAUAGUCUCACAUCAACUAGGCGUAUCAACGGGCUAUGGAGAUGCCCAUUAAUAGAUAUCAAUGUGAGUGAGUAGGAAUUGCCAUGCAACGGAUGCACUAGAGCUAUAAGUAUAUGAAAGCUCAACAAAAGGAACUAAGUGGGUGUCCAUCCAACUCGCUUGCUCAUGAAGACCUAGGGCAUUUUGAGGAAACCCAUCAUUGGAAUAUACAAGCCAAGUUCUAUAAUGAAAAUUUCCCACUAGUACAUGAAAGUGAUAUCAUAGGAGACUCUCUAUCAUGAAGAUCACGGUGCUACUUUGAAGAACAAGUGUGGUAAAAGGAUAGUAACAUUGUCCCUUCUCUCUUUUUCUCUCAUUUUUUAUUUGGGUCUUUUAUCCUUUUUUUAUGGCCUCUUUUUUUAGUCCGAAGUCUCAUCCCGACUUGUGGGGGAAUCAUAGUCUCCAUCAUCCUUUCCUCACUUGGGACAAUGCUCUAAAAAAAUGAUGAUCAUCACACUUUUAUUUACUUACAACUCAAUACUUAGAACAAAAUAUGACUCUAUGUGAAUGCCUCUGGCGGUAUACCGUGAUAUGCAAUGAAUCAAGAGUGACAUGUAUGAAAGAAUUAUGAACGGUGGCUUUGCCACAAAUACAAUGUCAACUACAUGAUCAUGGAAAGCAAUAUGACAAUGAUGGAGUGUGUCAUAAUAAACUGAACGGUGGUAAGUUGCAUGGCAAUAUAUCUCGCAAUGGCUAUGGAAAUGCCAUGACAGGUAGGUAUGGUGGCUGUUUUGAGGAAGGUAUAUGGUGGGUGUAUGAUACCGGCGAAAAGUGCGCGGUAUUAGAGAGGCUAGCAAUGGUGGAAGGAAGAAAGUGCGUAUAAUCCAUGGACUCAACAUUAGCCAUAAAGAACUCAUAUACUUAUUGCAAAAAUCUACAAGUUAUCGAAGCAAAGUAUUACCCGCAUCAUCCUAGGGGGAUAGAUUGGUAGGAAAAGACCAUCGCUCGUCCCCGACCGCCACUCAUAAGGAAGACAAUCAAUAAAUAAAUCAUGCUCCAACUUCAUCACAUCACGGUUCACCAUACGUGCAUGCUAAGGGAAUCACAAACUUUAACACAAGUAUUUCGCAAAUUCAAAACUACUCAACUAGCAUGACUCUAAUAUCACCAUCUCCAUAUCUCAAAACAAUUAUCAAGUAUCAAACUUCUCAUAGUAUUCAACACACUCAUAAGAUUUUUUUACUAAUCUUGAGUGCCUAUCAUAAUUAAAGCAAAUUACCACACUGUUUUGUAGGACUAUCAAAAUAAUCUAAGUGAAUCAUGAGAGAACAAUAGUUUCUAUAAAACAAAACCACCACCGUGCUGUAAAAGAUAUACGUGAAGCACUAGAGCAAAAACUAUAUAGCUCAAAAGAUAUAAGUGAAGCACAUAGAGUAUUCUAACAAUUUCCGAAUCAUGUGUGUCUCUCUCAAAAGGUGUGUACUGCAAGGAUUAGUGUGGCAAACUAACAAAUAAAGACUUCAAAUAAUACAAGACGCUCCAAGCAAAACACAUAUCAUGUGGUGAACAAAAAUAUAGCUCCAAGUAAAGUUACCGAUGGAAGUAGACGAAAGAGGGGAUGCCUUCCGGGGCAUCCCCAAGCUUUGGCUUUUAGUUGUCCUUAGAUUAUCUUGGGGUGCCAUGGGCAUCCCCAAGCUUAGGCUCUUGCCACUCCUUGUUUCAUAAUCCAUCAAAUCUUUCAUCCAAAACUUGAAAACUUCACAACACAAAACUGAGCAGAAAAUCUCGUGAGCUCCGUUAGCAAAAGAAAAGAAAACACCACUUCAAGGUACUGUAAUGAACUCAUUCUUUAUUUAUAUUGGUGUUAAACCUACUGUAUUCCAACUUGUCUAUGGUUUAUAUACUAUUUUACUAGCCAUAGAUUCAUCAAAAUAAGCAAACAACACACGAAAAACAUAAUCUGUCAAAAACAGAACAGUCUGUAGUAAUCUAUAACUAACGCAAUUUUCUGCGACUCCAAAAAUUGACCCAAAAUAGGAAGACCUAGCCAAUUUUUUUAUUUAUCAGCAGCAAUUGGAAUCAAUAUUUUAUCACGUCCUGGUGAUUUUUAACAAUUAUUUUCGUGAACAGAAAGUUUCUGGAAUUUUCAGCAAGAUCAAAUAACUAUCAUCCAAGAAGAUCCUAUAGGUUAACCUUGGCACAAACACUAAUUAAAACAUAAAAACACAUGUAACCAGAGGCUAGAUCAAAUAUUUAUUCCUAAACAAAAGAAAAAAGCAAAAAAACUAAAAAUAAAAUUGGGUUGCCUCCCAACAAGCGCUAUCGUUUAACGCCCCUAGCUUGGCAUAAUAGCAAGGAUAGAUCUAGGUAUUGCCAUCUUUGGUAGGCAAUCCAUAAGUGGCUCUCAUAAUAGAUUCAUAAGGUAAUUUUAUUUUAUUUCUAGGGAAGUUUUCCAUGCCUUUCCUUAAUGGAAAUUGGAAUCUAAUAUUCCCUUGCUUCGUAUCAAUAAUUGCACCAAUCGUUCUAAGGAAAGGUCUACCAAGAAUAAUAGGACAUGAAGGAUUGCAAUCUAUAUCAAGAACAAUAAAAUCUACAGGCACAUAAUUCCUAUUUGCAACAAUAAGAACAUCAUCAAUUCUUCCCAUAGGUUUCUUAAUGGUGGAAUCCGCAAGGUGCAAGUUUAAAGAGCAAUCAUCAAAAUCACGGAAACCUAGCAAAUCGCACAAAGUCUUUGGAAUCGUGGAAACAGUAGCACCCAAAUCACACAAAGCAUAGCAUUCAUGAUCUUUAAUUUUUAUUUUAAUAGUAGGUUCCCACUCAUCAUAAAGUUUUCUAGGGAUAGAAACUUCCAACUCAAGUUUUUCUUCAUAAGAUUGCAUCAAAGCAUCAACGAUAUGUUUAGUAAGGCUUUAUUUUGACUAUAAGCGUGUGGAGCAUUUAGCACGGAUUGCAACAAGGAAAUACAAUCUAUCAAAGAGAAAUUAUCAUAAUUAAAUUCCUUUAAAUCCAAAAUAGUGGGUUCAUUAAUAUCUAGAGUUUUGAUUUCUUCAAUCCCACUUUUACCAAUUUUUGCAUCAAGAUCUAAAAACUCAGAAUUUUUGGAAUGCCUUCUAGGUAGAGGUGGAUCAUAUUCAGUCCCAUCAUUAUCAAGAUUCAUAUUGCAAAACAAAGAUUUAAUAGGGGACACAUCAAUAACUUUUAGAUCUUCAUCUUUAUUUUCAUAGAAACUAGAAGAACACGCUUUCACAAAACAAUCUUUCUUAGCACGCAUCCUAGCGGUUCUUUCUGUGCACUCAUCAAUGGAAAUUCUCAUGGCCUUGAGAGACUCAUUGAUAUCAUGCUUAGGAGAAAUUCUAUCAGCGUUCCUAGCCAAUUCAUCAACUUUAAGCAAUUUUUCUUCAAGCAAAGCAUUGAAAUUGUUUUGCGAAUUCAUAAAUUCUUUAACACUAGUCUCAAAUUCAGAAGGCAUCUUAUUAAAAUUUCCAUAAUAAUUGUUGUAGGAAUUACCAUAAUUAUUAGAGGAAUUACUAGGAUACGGCCUUGGAUUAAAGUUUCCUCUAUACGCGUUGUUACCAAAAUUAUUCCGACCAACAAAAUUCACAUCCAUAGAUUCAUUAUUAUUCUCAAUAAAAGUAGACAAAGGCAUAUCAUUAGGAUCAGAAGAAACACUUUUAUUAGCAAAUAAUUUCAUAAGUUCAUCCAUCUUUCCACUCAAAACAUUAAUUUCUUCUAUCGCAUGCACUUUUUUAUUAGUGGAUUUUUCGGUGUGCCAUUGAGAAUAAUUAACCAUAAUAUUAUCUAGGAGUUUAGUAGCUUCUCCUAAAGUGAUUUCCAUAAAAGUGCCUCCCGCGGCCGAAUCUAAAAGAUUUCUAGAAGAAAAAUUCAAUCCGGCAUAAAAUUUUUGUAUAAUCAUCCACAAAUUCAAACCAUGAGUAGGGCAAUUACGUAUCAUUAAUUUCAUCCUCUCGCAAGCUUGUGCAACAUGUUCAUGAUCAAGUUGCUUAAAAUUCAUAAUAUCAUUUCUAAGAGAGAUGAUCUUAGCGGGGGGGAAAUACUUAGAGAUAAAAGCAUCUUUGCACUUAUUUCAAGAAUCACUACUAUUUUUAGGCAAAGACGAAAACCAAGCUUUAGCACGAUCUCUAAGUGAAAAAGGAAAUAGCUUCAAUUUAACAAUAUCAUUGUCCACAUCUUUCUUCUUUUGCAUAUCACACAAAUCAACGAAGUUGCCAUGUCUAGGAAUGCUUGAAGCUUCAAAGAUUUCCUAUAAUACAACAUGCCUCUAACUAUUCACAAAAAGAAAAACAUGUAAAUGCGGAAUCAACCAAAUGAUGGUAAAUUGUAGUUGAUUUUGGCCAAGCAAACGUCAGAUGAAAGAAACAUACAUGAGUGAACAUCACGAUUGGAUGUUUUAUUCAAAUUUAACAGGUUAAACUCACCAAAUCCAUCUGGAUAUUUAGUAUUAAACUUCAACAGAUGGUCAGUUGUAGCUAGAUUCACACCACUGCAGCAAAAUUCCAUCUGCCACGGUUACAUCACACCAUCUUUUCAUCGUUACUAUUUAAAUUCCAAAUGCCUGCAACUCAUUUUUUUUGUUACGAUGUAUGCAUGAUUUUUAACUCAAGAGGAAGAGGGGAAACUAAAUCCAAGAAAAGAACACCAAGGAAGCAUCCAAAAUAGAGAAAGGAAAAAUCCAAAAUAGAGGCAGAAUCGAAGGGAAGAAACCCCAUAAAAAAUAGGAGAUCAAACGGUGAAAAAAAUCUAAGAGUCAAACAAUUCCAGGUAAGACCAAAUCGACGGCAAAAUAGCACAAGAGGGACUCACAUUAACAGGUAUACCAGGUAUACCAAUUCAGAAAGAAGUGUAAAGCGAACAGUGCAAUGGACCACUAGUAUAAAUUGGAUGUACACAAACAUGGGACUUAAACAGGAACUGCGAGAUGCAGGGUUCAUGUGCAAACCCAAAAAACGGAAAACUGAAACCCACAACAAGAUUUUAUCUUCAUAUAUAUAUAUAUAUAUAUAUAUAUAUAUAUAUAUAUAUAUAUAUUCAAGGCUCGCCCUAUCUAUUAGUUGCUUCUUGCGAAUCCCCACCUAUCAAGCGUUUUCUCUGAAUAAACAAACACAAUAGUAUUCUCUGAAUUAUACUGUACAACGGUAAUUAACCAAGCGACUGGAAUUAACAAUAUUAUGAGCUACUGGCUUUUUAGUCAGGUAAAUAUCAUUCUUAAGACUACGGAAAACAGCAGGCGGCGAAGAAAACAUCUAUUGAUGAGAACUAUGCACAUACUUAAGAAGGAAGUGACAUCUAUGGUAGCAGAACAUAUAUCAAGCUGUUGCAGCUACAUUAGCAGUUUAGCACAGUUCCUCCAUAAUACACAGGCUAGUGUAAUUUCACAAAUACAAUAAGCUAACAAUAUAUAUUUGGUAGAUGGAAAUGGCUGGAUCAUGACCAAUAUACCAUUACACAUCCGAUGAUGCAAAUAAAGAAACGAGGCCCAACAAUAGUGGAAAAUAAACCACAAUAGAACAUGUAUUUGGCGAAACCUCCGUACUGCAAUAUCAAACAUGAAUUGAAAUUAACAAUCUAGCAAAAAAACAUGACAGAUGCAGUCUUGGUCAUUUUUCCUUUUGUGACAUCCCCUAAAAAAAGUAAAAACAAUGUUGUUCGUAUUUUACCAGAGAUACACUGAGCUGGGACAAAUCGGUCUGAAAUAAAAUAUGAUGGCUUCGGAGGAUUCGAAAGGCAAGAAAUUUGCUUUCUUCCAACUUAUAUGGUCUGCUGAACUAAACUUCGUUUCAGCGGGCUUUGGCAAAAAUCUGUAACUGCAUACAUCAACUUGUGUGCCCUUCCUACGUCAAACUUUAAACCUGAUGGAUUAAAUAUUUUAGGUUAGGCUGAGAUCAGUGUACUUUAUGAGUGUUAAGUGUACUUUCUAAAUAGCAGAGAAACCAUAACAUCUAAGCACAACCCAGCAACUUGUACAAGCUAACAUCAAAUCUGAAAGAGGAAAUGUCGAGAACAGGUGAAGGUACCAUGAUCCACGACUGAGCAAAGUUAUCUAUAAUGCUCGGUGAAUAUCAUAAAUUAGGAUCAACUACGCUGAAGAACAAACGGGAAAGGAACCUAGAAAGAUCUUCUGCCGGUAGAAUAUAACUGAUACACUAUCCUCAUUCUCGAGAUCAAGGUCGUUUCUUGAAUUGCAGUUUCCUCACUGUAGUAUGGGGUCAUUACACUGCGAAGAACAAAGUGUCAUAUGAAUCAUUUAGAGCCCAAUAUUUUUCACUGAAACUCUUAUGAUCACAUAACGAAUUUAAACAUAAGGUUUAUUAGAUAUUUGUUGUUGUGAACAGAUAAUAUAUUUCUGGUGUUGACAAUGUUUUGAUUAUGGAUGCACUUCAAGAUGGGUGGCAAAGAUUCUGUUGUACAGGCCUCCACCUGGAAUUUCAUCACUUGUUAUUUUUGUUUUAGAAUGUCUAGGUGCAUUUUUCCUUUAAGGUGGAAACAGAUGUACUUGUAUAAGCAACAAGAAUACAAAGCGCCACUGCCAUACAUUGUGGAAGUUCAGUGCUUCUGUUUACAAAAUCUGCUUCAAAAAACAGAAGGAUUUAUAAUUUUUCAUUACAAUCAAGCGGACAUGAGCUGAUGAGUACAGAUGUAGACAUGUACUGAGAGCAGCACCCUUUCAAAAGUGGAUCAUUUACAUGUUGGAUAGUUUGAUGGUCUGAAAUUAGUGGUCGUGUUUCAGAAUUGUUAUCGAAUAGUAGGGGAUAUAUAUUAACUUCUGAAAUUAGUGGCUGUUUGUCAGAACUGUUAUCGAAUAACAGAGCACAUAUAUUAACUUCAAUAAGUGGAGUAAUAUCUUUGGAUUCGCUGUGAGGAAAGAUUACCAAAACAAAACAGAAGUGAGUGCGACGAACCAGAUGAGGGCGCUCUUGAGCCUCUUCCCGACCGACCUAGAUGCAGGAGCAGAACAGGGCGGAUCUAAUCAGCCAACGAAUAAAGCCGAGGCAGGUAGAGGAAGUAAGGGGGGAAGAAGACUGACUUGUCCUGGUCGCCCUCGUAGUAGAACCUGUGUUUUGAUUUUCGGCCGAAAAAAGAGGAUUUCGGCUGAAUUUCGGCCAUCUCGGCCUGGGGCGAAAAGUGUAUUUAGGCCGAAAUUGUUCAAAUUUAGCAAAUUUUGGUCAAAUUUAAGUCAAAUUGCAGUCAAAAUUUGGUCAAAUUUCAGCCGAAAUUUUUGAAAAUGGCUGAAAUUCGGCCAUCUCAGCCUAGGGAGGAAAAAAAGCUCAAACCGAAAAUCAAAACACAUAGUAGAACAUGGCGAACAGGAUGACGAGGAAGACGAGGACAGCGUCGAGGAUGUAGACGACGAGCCAGAGCGUGUUCAUGGGCAGGAUCAAGCAUGGGCAGGAUAAGGGCGCAGGCCCCGUUGUAGGCGGCGUGCUUGCAGGCCUGGCAGUUGGCGACGUCGGCGGGGAGCAUGAGGAUGGAGAGGACGGCGACGGUGAUGCCGAGCACGACGACGAGCUUGAGGAAGUAGGCCUGGUUGGCAUCAUCCGGGUGCUGGUAGUUGACGAGCAGGUAGACGCUGACGAGGAGCACCAGGAUGCUGACCACCGCCGCCACGAUCACUAGCGCCACGUUAAAAACCCCAUCUCCUCGGGGCUCCGGUCCCGGUUCCGGCCCGCCGCCUCGCCCCCGUUGGUCGGUCAGAUCUCUCUGUCCCUAGAGGCGGGGGGAUACAGGCUAGGGUUUGGGCGUGGGCGGGGAAUAGGCUGCUAUGGUGCCUGCAGCGGGGCGUGUAGGAGAGAAGGAUUAGGAGGAAUAAUUCACCACACUUUGAUUAAGCUCUGGGAUGGGUCUUAUGUACAGAUUACAGGGCCAGCCAGGGAGAUCAUGGGGUGAUCCACUACCUGGGAUCGUGCGCCACGAUCACUACAUGCGUGCGCCACGAUCAUAUACACACACGCUACACCUAGUGUCUACGCAACUACGGUAUAGCAGUACAGUACAGCCUAACACCCCCCUCCCCCGGAGUCGUGACGUCGGCGGCGGCGACGCAAAGACUGGACCGGAACUCAGAGAAAACAUCCGAUGGCAGGCCUUUGGUCAUGAUGUCGGCGAGUUGUUGGCGCGUGGGGAUGUGAAGAACACGGAAGUGGCCGAGGGCGACGUGCUCCCGCACGAAAUGGAUGUCCAGCUCCACAUGCUUAGUGCAGCGAUGAUGCACCGGAUUGGCUGACAGGUAGACUACGGACACAUUGUCACAGUACACCAGUGCCGCCUUGGUCACUGGAGCGGAGAGCUCGCCGAGAAGCUGGCGGAGCCAGAUGCAUUCAGCGACCGCGUUGGCGACGCCGCGGUAUUCAGCUUCGGCGCUGGAGCGCGAUACGGUCGCCUGGCGCUUGGAGGACCAGGAGACGAGAGCACCGCCGAGGAAGACGCAGAAGCCCGACGUGGAGCGUCGGGUGUCGGGGCAGCCGGCCCAGUCCGCAUCGGUGAACGCACGGACGUCGAGCGUGGUCGAGGCGCGAAGAUGAAGCCCGAGUGCGCAGGUGCCCUUCACGUACCGGAGCACGCGCUUUACGAGCGCGAGGUGGCAUUAGCGCGGGUCAUGCAUGUGCAAGCAGAUUUGCUGGACAGCGUAGGCGAUCUCUGGACGCGUGAUGGUGAGGUACUGCAGGGCCCCGGCGAUGCUCCGAUAGGCCGAGGGGUCGUCGACGCAGGGCCCAUCGGCUGAGGGGAGUUUGCUCUUCGUGUCGGUGGGUGUCGGGGAAGGGCGGCAGGUGUCCAUGCCGGCGCGUUCCAGGAGCUCGUCGGCAUAUUGUUGUUGCGACAGGAAGAAGCCAGCUCGGGUGCGGGUGACGCGGAUGCCGAGGAAGAAGGCGAGCGAGCGCAGGUCCUUCAUGGCGAAUUCGCCUGUGAGGCGCUGGAUGACAUGGUGAAGCACGCGUGACGAGGACGCGGUGAGCACGAUGUCGUCGACGUAGAGGAGGAGGAACGCCAUGUCGUUGCCGUGCCGGAAGGUGAACAGCGAUGAGUCCGAACGCGUAGCUGCGAAGCCAAUGGAGCGGACGAAGCCGGCGAAGUGGAGGAACCAGGCACGGGGCGCCUGCUUGAGCCCGUACAAGGACUUGGAGAGGCGGCAGACGUGCUCUGGUUUGUCGGGGUCGACGAAUCCGGCGGGCUGGAGGCACUAGACUUCCUCCUCCAAGUUGCCGUCGAGGAAGGCGUUGGAGACGUCGAGGUGGUGCACCGGCCAGCCGCGCGACGCGGCCAGAGUGAGCACCGUGUGGAUCGUCGCUGGCUUGAUGACGGGGGAGAACGUCUCGCCGUAGUCGACGCCAGCACACUGAUGAAAGCCCCGCACGACCCAGCGUGCUUUGUUGCGGGCCAGCGCGCCGUCGGCGUCGUUUUUGUGCUUGAAGAUCCACUUCCCUGUGAUCAGGUUGGCGCCGGGCGGGCGGGGCACCAGCUCCCACGUGCGAUUGCGCACUAGCGCAUCGUACUCAGCACGCAUGGCACCGAGCCAGUUCGGGUCGCGAACAGCAGCGCGAACCGAACGCGGCACCGGCGACACCGAUGAUGAGGUAGAGGCGGUGACCGCGUCGUAGUAGCGCGGGUUGGGGCGGAAGAUGCCGCGCUGGGCACGCGUGACCAUGGGCACAGGAGGCGCCGGUGCGCGGGGCGCCGCUGGUGGCGCGCUCGGAGACGAGCUGUCGGAGGAGCCGCUGGCGGAGUUGUCGGAGGAGCCGCUGGCGGACACGAAGACAGGCGGACCAGGCGCGGAUGGGCACGUCGAGGACGGAGCCGAGCCGCCAUCGGAAGCGCCCGCAGCGUACCGCGAGCUGACGCGGCGCGCCCCGCUGGUUGGCGAGGAUGAGCGGGGCAGGCCGGUGAUGGAGAUCGGGCGCGCCGGCAGCACGGGUGACAUGCUGCUGUCAGGCACCGGUGGAAGCGCGGGCAGCGCAGGAGGCCGGACGACGAGCGGGAUCUGCAGGGUAGAGGGUACGACGGGUGGCGUAGGCGACGGGGAAGAGGAUGCGAACGGGAAAACGUGUUCGUGGAAGAGAACGUGGCGAGACGUGAGGACGCGGCGAGAGGUGAGGUCAAAGCAGCGAAAACCACGAUGAUCGGGAGGGUACCCGAGGAAGACGCAGGCGAUAGAACGUGGCUCGAGCUUAUGAUGGGUGGUGGCGGUGACGUUCGGAUAGCAGAGGCAUCCAAAGACGCGGAGCUGCGAGUAAUCUGGGGCGACGCCGAGCAGGAGUUCGUGCGGAGUGCAGGGCGCCGAGGCAGGGCCGACGAUUGAGCAGGUAGGUCGAGGUGUUGAGAGCCUCGGCCCAGAAGCGAGCGGGCAUGUGCGCAUGACAGAGAAGCACACGAACGCCAUCGUUGAUCGUGCGGAGAACUCGCUCGUCCUUGCCGUUCUGCUGACUGGCGUAUGGGCAGGUGAGACGGAAGUUUGUGCCGUGGCGAGCAAGCAGAGAGCGCAUGGCUGCGCUGUCGAAUUCACGACCAUUGCCCGUUUGCAGUGCAAGUACGGGUAACUGAAACUGAGUCUGAACAUAGGCAAAGAAAUCAACAAGUAUGGGAGGAACUUCAGACUUGUGUUUCAGAGGGAAAGUCCAGACAUAGUGACUGAAAUCAUCUAGUACAACUAAGUAAAACUGAUAGCCGGAUAUGCUUACAACGGGAGGGGUCCAUACAUCAAGGUUUAAAAGUUGGAAAGGAAAGAAACUAGCAGUGGUGGAUGUCUGAAACGGGAGCCAGGUGUGUUUGCCAACACGACAGGCAUGACAGACAGGCGGAUCACGGCAGAACUCCAGGGACUGAUCGGCAGCAACGGUGUGGAGUGCGGCAGCCCCUGGGUGGCCGAGACGUUGAUGCCACAGGUCGGUCGUGGCGGAGCCGGCGAAGAUGCCCGGGGAAUGGACGGAUGGCCGCACCACGGGAUAGAGAUCGCCGUCGGAGUCAGAUCGGAGAAUCACCACCCUGGUUCGUAGGUCCUUGACAGAGAAACCACGAGCGUCAAAUUCAACAGAAACGGGGUAGGAACGACAAAGCUGCCGAACUGAAAGUAGGUUUUUGACGAUAGAUGGAGAGACGAGAACGUUGCGGAGAGGAAUGGGGGAAGUGCUGGUGAUCAGUGCGCCCGUGCCAACGUGGGUGAUGGGCAGGCGCUCACCACUGCCCACGAUGAUAGAUGCAGCAGUAGAGGACGGGCGAGUGGAGAGGAGAUUACCAGGGGAGGACGUCAUGUGCGCCGCGGCGCCGGAGUCGAGGUACCACUCCGGUGCGCUGCCAGAGGAGGAAGGGCUGGCCGAGGCGCUGUGGAGGGCGGCCUGGAGCGAGGCCAUGUCCCAUGGCUGGUGGGUUGCAGUCGACGAGCUGGCGCCGGGGUGCCCGUAGCCUGACAGGACGCCGGAGACGGGUGGAGUGACGCCGUAGCCGGGGAGGGUAGCGCCGUAGCCGUAUGGUGCAGCCAGCGACGGGGCGGCGAACAUGGCCUGCUGGUGCGGCGUACCAGGGCGGGGGCCGAGCACUCCAGCUCCAGGCGCGCGCCAAGGCAUCGGCCAAGCCUGGACCAUGCCGGUCCAUGCGUUGGUGCCAGGUGCAGGCGUGGGGUACGCCGGGGGAGGGCGGGGAGCCUGGGAGGACGGCGUGGGCGGGCCACCACUGCCGUUGCCACGUCCGCGGCGGCAUCCGCGCCCACGCCCUUGGUUGGUGUUGCUGGGCGGGGGUGUGGGUGGUGUAGGAGAGCCGCCACGCCCGGCGACGAGAGCGUGCGCAGACUGCUGGCGAGCGGUCGACUGCUCUGCUCGGUGUUCCUCAAGCAGGAGGAAGGAGCGCACCUGCAGGAACGACGGGAGCGGGACCUGCGAGGUGAGGGAUGGCGGAGUGGAACUGCCGGUUCAGACCGCGGAGCAGGUUGAAGACCUGCCGCGAGUCGGUUACCGGCUGCCCGAGGUCGCAGAGUUGAUCCGUGAACGACUUCAUCUUGGUGCAGUACGCCAUGAUCGACAUGUCGCCCUGAACGACAGCGUGGUACUCGGCGUCGAGGUAGACAGCGCGAGCGAGGUGGUUGUCGCGGAAGAUUCCAUCGACCGCAGUCCAGACGGCCAGAGCAGUGUCGUCCGGCUGCAUGACGGCGUCGAGCAGGUCCGGCGAUAUGGUGGUGUAGAACCAAUGGACGACGACGUGAUCAGCCAUGCCCCACUUGGGAUCAUCGUGGCGGUGCAUGGCCGUGGUGUCGACGUGAGUGCGGAGGCCGAACAUGCCGAUGACGGUGUCGAAGUGGCGGCGCCACUGCGUGUAGUUGCCGGCGAGAAGGUCGAGGGUGACCGGGACAUGACGACGGAUGUCCACGGUCUGCAGGAUCGCGGAGGCGACAGGUGCUGUAGGAGGAGGAAGAGGGAUGACGGGCACUGCGGGCGCGACAGGUGCUAGAGCCGGCGGUGCGUUGGCCAGGGGGACAGCGUUGAGGACGCCGUCGGCGCCGUGCUGCGAGGAGCGAGGGAACACGACGGGGUUUUCAUCCAUGGCGGCGGAAGCGGGACUGGCGACCUGCGCGAAGGGAUUGAGCAGGUCGGGGGAGUCUGAUACCAUAUAGGAAAGAAGGAUUAGGAGGAAUAAUUCACCACACUUUGAUUGAGCUCUCGGUUGGGUCUUAUGUACAGAUUACAGGGCCAGGGAGAUCAUGGGGUGAUCCACUACCUGGGAUCGUGCGCCACGAUCACUAUAUGCGUGCGCCACGAUUAUAUACACACAUGCUACAACUAGUGUCUACGCAACUACGGUAUAGCAGUACAGUACAGUCUAACAGGGCGGCCACCGGCGGGGAGGGCGGGAUCCGCGCGGGGUGGCGGGAUUUGGGCAGGCGGUGGGCUCGGGGGAGGGCGGUGGCAGCGAAGCAGCAAGGAGGGGCUGGAGGAGAUGAAACGAAAGAGGUCGCGUGACACAGCGACAGCGUCGUCCAAUCCCCUCGCUGCCGAUUUAAAAAAAGGUAAUGAUAACUCCCGAACGUUCAGGAGUUAAGCAUGGCAACCCGAACGGGUUUAGAUGGCAAGUUUAGUUUGCGUGAGAUUAGGGAAACAUGGUAAUUUUCUGACAAAAGAAAUGAAAAAGGACGAAGUUGCCAUCCCCUAUCAACUAAAGUUGCCAUCCCCUAUGAACUAAAGUUGCCAUGUAAAAACGUUCGGGACGAAAUGCUCAAAAUCCGAACGUUCGGAAGUUAUUGGAUUCAAAAAAAAUCCCCUUGCUGCCAAUCGCUGGCCCGUUUCUUUUUUCGCCCAAUCGCUAGGUGAUGACGUGGCUAUCACGGGAAGGCGCCCUUGAUGCGUAGUCGAAUGGUUUUAAUUAAUAGGAAGCGAGUGCUUACUCUAGUUACUGAAUUAUGUACACCAAAUAAAGCCAUUUACACGUAGUUAAUGACAAAAAAAGUUGAUGUUUGCUGCGCAAACGUGUAGUACAAAUUAAGAAGUGCAAGAUAAAAAAAAUGCUGGUCCUUGAUUCGUUGUUGAUCGUCAGCAUGCCAUCAUCAAUUUGUAGUUAAUUAUCAUACAAAUUGGCUCUUUCAUAGAGUUGGAGGCUAGCUCCUUUGAUCAGCACGCGCUUAAACAUAAACAGCACGUAUAUGUUUUGUCUCCGGAGUUCAAUUCUUCAUCGGCCAGCAAAAAUGGCCCGACCGGGUAGAGGAAAAGGCAUGUUUGUUAGUACGCCUGGAGGAAAUGCCUUUGAUUAGGGCAUCUUCAACAGCGACCAGUAAAUUUCCUCCCGCGUUCGUCCACGGAUAGGGGAUCAGUCCGCGGAUACGGAUACAGGAAUCAUCCAUCCAACGCUGUCCGCGUAUAUUUCAAACACAUGUUUUUUUGAAAAUAGGAUGAAAUUCAUGCAAACACAAUGGAUUUCAUACAAACCGGACAAAAAUGUUUACAUUUUGGACAUAUUUUUUUUACUAAAAACUCUACAGCCGGUGCCGGCGAAUAUCCACUCCGGCGACAUGGAUACCCUUGACUAGUCUACUGCCGGCCGCAGCGGAUCUCCAAUGUCGUCCCCAUGUCCGGCAGCUAUGAGCCCUAGAGGUAUAUGCUUCAGCGCAAAGAGCGGCUCGCCUCCCUACCGCUCAUCGGAGUGGAACAACCAGCUGAUGCUUCUGCCGAUGGAAAGGGUCCCUACGCUACACAGAUUAGAGUUGGUUUUGGGCUGGGAACGGCGGUGGCCUGCCAGAGCGCAAGAUACCGACUGUGUAUGCUGGUGUCACCUGGUGUGGCAUUCGUGGGACCCAAGCGGCAGCGCCUCCUCGAUGAUGGCGGCGAGCGCGGACGUGUUGGACACCACCUCGUCGAUGUCCGUGCAGCCCGCUUCUUUCUCUGUAGGAAGGACGCGGUUACGCUCGCGUUGACAUCGGAUGACUUGGUCACAUGCACGGGAGGGGCGGUAUGACAUGGCACCGCCAAUGGCAGCCAUGAUGCCCGCGCCACCGUGCUCCCUCCCAGUGCCGACCUGGAGCAACUUGCCACUCCUCGGCUCGUGACCGGUGGGCUUGACAAGCCACCUAGCCAUUUUUUAUGCCAGACAACUCUUCUUCCUGCUCGUCAGAUGUCAUGGAUAAAACUGUUUAAGGAGGAAAAUGAUGAGUGGACGUGUGAUGCGGUUCUUGCCCAACAUCUGACAUUGUUUAAAUAGCGAGGGGACACGAGAGGAGCCAACCGGCGUUCUGUUUAAUGCUAACCGGCUCGCGAAUGAACAUGUGGCCGGAGUAAUUAUCCUGGCACACACGAGGGUUUAAUGGUGGAAGGCGGGCAGUCUGCAGGAAUGAGGCGAGGAUGUGUGCUUAGCCGGCGUGCAGCAGGCGGCGCCCUCGGCCGGCGUGCUGCUUCCAUUGCGGAGGCAGUGAGAGGUCGCGUCCGCUCUGCAGCGCAUGAAUGCGGGCCACUGGCGCAGAGCGGGAACGCGUGCGGGCGAGGGAGGAGGGGGUUUGGGCGGGUGGUUAGAAGAGGUCGUGGGUGUUGUCCGAACGCCUGCAAAUCCCCCCUCCAUGUUUAUCUCCAGUUUGCGGGAGAAAGUACGUCCGGACCGUCUCCAAUGGACCAAUACAGGCACGCAUUGGAUGGCACAACACGUCCGGACCAUGUGGUCCGGAUGGUUGUGAACAGUUUAAUUGAGGGUCGGCGUUGGAGAUGCCUUAGAGUUUAUGAAUCCAUUGUGUUUUUCUAAUCAUAAAAAAGCACUUACAAUAAGUUAUAAGGAAAGACACGUUUAUAUGUUAGGUUCAGACUCCAGCUUUCGUUUUACAUAUGCUUUAUUCAUCCGACUGAUUCCAAUAGAGUGAGCCUAGCGUUGUUUUUCUGGAAACUCGCGCGAUGAGGAGACAUGCAUACACAUUCUUUCAAGCAAAUCACAUCCAUUCUUUUUAACUCAUUUUUCUUCUUUUAAUAAUAUAAUAGAUCAUUUAUAUUUUUUAUCUGAAACAGUUGACGUGUAAUUUAUAUUGUAAUCUGAGAAUAAUGUUUGGAUUUUACUUUCAAAUAUAUUUGAAAUGGCCAUGAUGGAAUCACAUCCAUUUAUUUUGUUAUUAUUUGAAUUUGAUCCAAAAGAUUAAUAAUGAGUAGAGGUCAUGUCAACUUUUCUGAGAACUUUGCUAAUCAAAAUAUAAAUUUUAUUUAAAAACAUCUAUUUUUUAGCACGCAUGAAAAACAUAACACGUAUCUUUUCACACAUAAUGAACGGUUGUCAUAAGAACUCAUGCCAUGCCACAACCUCCCUCCGACCCUGCCAACAUUGUUGCAGCUGCACUCGCAAGCUUUAGCGUAGAUGAUAAUUUAUACAAUUUGCGUAAAACAAAAUAAGAUCUACAAAUGAAUAGAAGCUAGAACGUACAUUGGCAUGCACACACAUUGCAAGCCAUACUAACCUGAUAAGUGUUAAUAACUUGUACAACAUAUACAGCACUUAAGACAAGUAAAAGCAAUUUGAUGAGUCAUGGUCUAUCAAAGCCACAUUACUAGUCUAAUCCAUCUUAACAGGUCACACAUGAUUAAAAUCUUGUUUGUGUGCAAGUCAAGCUUAUCUAGUUUACAUGUAACAACUUGUAGAACAUUACAAAAUUUAUGUUUGCUAAUAACUUCUAGAACACUACAACACUUGACAUGUAAAAGGAAUUUGAUGAGUCAUGGCCUACUAAAGCAAGUUAUAUUACUAGUCUUAUCUACCUUAACAGGCCACACAAGAUUACAAACCAAGUUCUGUGCCAGCCAUGCUUAUCUAGUUUAUGCGUAACAAUUUGCAGAAAAUUACAAACUUAGUUUCAGAAAAAUAGGCAAUCUAGAUUAGUGUUUGAGCUGUAAAGUGAAUAAAAUGAGUCAUGCGUGUUAUCACACCUUUUUGGUUGUGGAAUGAUAGUGCAACAACAAGGAACUUUAAUGACCAGUUCAAGAAUACACUUGUAAGUAGAGCCACCGAACACAACAUACCAAAUUAUGAUUUUGAGAAGCAUCCAAGCACUUCCACACAAGCAAAUGCCAACUGUGAAAGAGAUCAUGCCAUGGCAGCUAUAAAUAGGCCCGUAGCAUGACGAUCAUCCUUCCUCAUCCAUCAUUCUCAUAAGUAGAGCGCAUCAUUUAAGCCAAGCAAGCAGUGCUCAAUACAAAUCCACCAUGAAGACCUUUCUCAUCCUUGCCCUCCUUGCUAUUGUAGCAACCACCGCCACAAUUGCAGUUAGAGUUCCAGUGCCACAAUUGCAGCCACAAAAUCCAUCUCAGCAACAACCACAAGAGCAAGUUCCAUUGGUACAACAACAGCAAUUUCCAGGGCAGCAACAACCAUUUCCACCACAACAGCCAUAUCCGCAGCCGCAACCAUUUCCAUCACAACAACCAUAUCUGCAGCUGCAACCAUUUCCGCAGCCGCAACUACCAUAUCCGCAGCCGCAACCAUUUCGACCACAACAACCAUAUCCACAACCGCAACCACAGUAUUCGCAACCACAACAACCAAUUUCGCAGCAGCAGCAACAACAACAACAACAACAACAACAACAACAACAAAUCCUUCAACAAAUUUUGCAACAACAACUGAUUCCAUGCAGGGAUGUUGUAUUGCAACAACACAACAUAGCGCAUGGAAGCUCACAAGUUUUGCAACAAAGUACUUACCAGCUGGUGCAACAAUUGUGUUGUCAGCAGCUGCGGUAGAUCCCCAAGCAGUCGCGGUGCCAAGCCAUCCACAAUGUUGUUCAUGCUAUUAUUCUGCAUCAACAACAACAACAACAACAACCGUUGAGCCAGGUCUCCUUCCAACAGCCUCAACAACAAUAUCCAUCAGGCCAGGGCUCCUUCCAGCCAUCUCAGCAAAACCCACAGGCCCAGGGCUCUGUCCAGCCUCAACAACUGCCCCAGUUUGAGGAAAUAAGGAACCUAGCGCUAGAGACGCUACCUGCAAUGUGCAAUGUCUAUAUCCCUCCAUAUUGCACCAUUGCUCAAGUUGGCAUCUUUGGUACUAACUGAGAAGAGAAGAACUCUAGUAGUAGAUAUAUGAUACACCGUUUUCUUAGUCCAUGGUUUGGUCGUUGUAGCGGUGAAAAAAUAAAGUGACAUGCACUAUCAUGUAAGAACCCGAACUAUACUAGUUCAAACAUGGGAAUAAAAGACAAACACAUGUCUUGUCUACAUAUGAUUGUUUGUUUGAGUUCCACUCAUGUGCCCACUCACAAGUUCACCCCUAAUUAUAUAUAUUAUGCAUUAAGUAGAUAUUUAUGUUGCAUUAAUCUAAAGAUAACAAAAUGAGUCUGAAAUUUGAAUUAAAUUGAAGUAUUUCCUUGGACUUUCAAAUGGAGUAUUAUUAAAGUAGUAAGGACUACCCACAUCCUUGGCUUGCCCUUGAUCAAUUAUUUCCAGAGAAGCGUUCAAUUCGUCAAUCAAUUACAUUGAUUUUUGUGGCUGGUACUUCUCCUCAACAUGAGUAUAUUCAUCGCGGCUACUCCAAAUAGGCAUGAAUGAGGUACUGGUGCUCUGGAGCACUGGUACCUAACUGCUUCUCAUGUGAAGGGGUGCGGGCGCGGGAGAGGUGUUUUUGGUGGGCCAGGGGAGUAAGAAUCGGCCGUGGCAGCGGUCCAGACGCCCACAAAGCCCCGUAGUUUGUUUUUGGUUUACAGGAAAAUGCACAUCCAGACCGGCCUGCAGGCCGAUAUAGGACCGUAUUGGAUGGCAAAACAUGUCCGGAUGGUCACGAGCAGUUUAAGGGUUAGCUUUUGUAACGCCCGGUUAGUUAUGCUAUGGUAAUUCCCUGCUAAUGAUGUCACGUCAGCACGAUUACUGUUGUUAACCUCACAAUGAUUCAAUCCCAUUCAAAUUCAAAUUUAAAAUAAAGGCAAACAUCAAAAGUUUCAAACAUUAAAACUAAAAUCUUCGAGAGGUGAAAAAUAAUGCAUAAGUAAUUAUGGUGGAGAAACCACACUUUUAUAAAAUGUUUAAAUACUCUAAAAAUAAUAAAACAGUGGCUUAAACUAUUAUUUAAAUGAUUUUAAAAUAGUAAACAUGUUCUAACUAAAUUAAUUGGGUACCAAACUUUUGGUGGCAGUGGUAUAUUUAGUAGAACUAAUUUAGAUGCUAAUGAAACAUAAAAGGAAAGACAAAACAAAUAAAAGUAAAAGGGGGCAACCCCUCGCUGGGCCUCGACCAAGCUGGCCACUGGGCUAGCUAGGUUGGCCCAACCGCCUCCCUUAACCCCCCACUCCCCAUCGAACCCUAGACCGAUCGCCCCACUUCCCCCACACCCCCUCGUCAGCCUCCCCACCUCUCGAUCCCAUCCAGAUCGGGGAGGGNNNNNNNNNNNNNNNNNNNNNNNNNNNNNNNNNNNNNNNNNNNNNNNNNNNNNNNNNNNNNNNNNNNNNNNNNNNNNNNNNNNNNNNNNNNNNNNNNNNNNNNNNNNNNNNNNNNNNNNNNNNNNNNNNNNNNNNNNNNNNNNNNNNNNNNNNNNNNNNNNNNNNNNNNNNNNNNNNNNNNNNNNNNNNNNNNNNNNNNNNNNNNNNNNNNNNNNNNNNNNNNNNNNNNNNNNNNNNNNNNNNNNNNNNNNNNNNNNNNNNNNNNNNNNNNNNNNNNNNNNNNNNNNNNNNNNNNNGAGGGGAUCGCCCCCAUCGACCCCGUCGCGGUCGCCGGACCUCCUCCCCGUCGCACGUCUCCGGCUCUCCUCCCCUCUCGCUCCUCUUCCCCGACCCGAUCUGGAUCGGGAAGGGCCAAUGAGCCCAAGCCCCCUCCAUCGACGCUGUGCGCCAGCACCGCCGCCCGAAGACCUCGCCGUCGCCGGACCUCGCGUCGCCUCCUCGUAUCCCUCCCCGACUCGCCUCCUCAAGCCACGCCAACCCCCUUCUCGGCAACGCUGUGAGCCGCCCCCGUUUCCCUCCUUCUCUUUCCACCGUGUUCACCGCGCCGCCUGCCGUGCCCCUCGCCGCGCGCAUGCCCACCACCGCGCCAGCCCCAGCUCCGCGCCCUCUCCUGCACGCUUGUGCGCGCAUGACCCUAACCGCGCCCACGCCGUGAACCCCUUGUCCCGCCCGCCUUCGUUCCGCGCUCGCCGCGGCCCCCAUGCUCCCCUGCGCCCUCUUUUGGGGGCGUCGGCUGCCCCUGUCCCACUGCUCGCUGGCAUGCUGAAGGAAAUAUGCCCUAGAGGCAAUAAAUAAAGUAUUAUUUAUUUCCUUAUAUCAUGAUAAAUUUUUAUUAUUCAUGCUAGAAUUGUAUUAACCGGAAACAUAAUACAUGUGUGAAUACAUAGACAAACAGUGUGUCACUAGUAUGCCUCUACUUGACUAGCUCGUUAAUCAAAGAUGGUUAUAUUUCCUAGCCAUAGACAUGAGUUGUCAUUUGAUUAACGGGAUCACCUCAUUAGGAGAAUGACGUGAUUGACUUGACCCAUUCCGUUAGCUUAGCACCCGAUCGUUUAGUAUGUUGCUAUUGCUUUCUUCAUGACUUAUACAUGUUCCUAUGACUAUGAGAUUAUGCAACUCCCGUUUACCGGAGGAACACUUUGUGUGCUACCAAACAUCACAACGUAAAUGGGUGAUUAUAAAGGUGCUCUACAGGUGUCUCCAAAGGUACUUGUUGGGUUGGCGUAUUUCGAGAUUAGGAUUUUUCACUCCGAUUGUCGGAGAGGUAUCUCUGGGCCCACUCAGUAAUGCACAUCACUAUAAGCCUUGCAAGCAUUGUGACUAAUGAGUUAGUUGCAGGAUGAUGUAUUACGGAACGAGUAAAGAGACUUGCCGGUAACGAGAUUGAAAUAGGUAUCGAGAUACCGACGAUCGAAUCUCGGGCAAGUAACAUCCCGAUGACAAAGGGAACAACGUAUGUUGUUAUGCGGUCUGACCGAUAAAGAUCUUCGUAGAAUAUGUAGGAACCAAUAUGAGCAUCCAGGUUCCGCUAUUGGUUAUUUACCGGAGAGGUGUCUCGGUCAUGUCUACAUAGUUCUCAAACCCGUAGGGUCCGCACGCUUAAAGUUACGAUGAUAGUUAUAUUAUGUGUUUAUAUGUUUUGAUGCACCGAAGGUUGUUCGGGGUCCCGGAUGUGAUCACGGACAUGACGAGGAGUCUCGAAAUGGCCGAGACAUAAAGAUUGAUAUAUUGGACGACUAUAUUCGGACACCGGAAGUGUUCCGGAGAAGUUUCGGAUAAAACCGGAGUGCCGGAGGGGUUACCGGAACCCCCCGGGGAAGUAUUGGGCCUUAGUGGGCCUUCAGGGGAGAGAGAGGGCAGCAGCGAGGAGGUGGCGCGCCCCCUCCCAUGAGGAGUCCGAAUUGGACUAGGGGAGGGGGCGCAGCCCCUCUUUCCCUCUCCCUCUCCCUCUCUUUCCUUCCCCCCCUCUCUUCCUAGUUGGACUAGGAAAGGGGAGUCCUACUCCUACUAGGAGGAGGACUCCCCUCUCUCUCCUUGGCGUGCCAAAGGGCAGCCGGCCUCCCCCUUGCUCCUUUAUAUACGGGGGCAGGGGGCACCUCUAGGCACACUUGAUAUACGAUAUUUUAGCCGUGUGCGAUGCCCCCCUCCACCAUAUUACACCUCGAUAAUACCGUUGCGGAGCUUAGGCGAAACCCUGCGUCGGUGGAACAUCAUCAUCGUCACCACGCCAUCAUGCUGACGAAACUCUCCUUCAACACUCGGCUGGAUCGGAGUUCGAGGGAUGUCAUCGAGCUGAACGUGUGCUGAACUCGGAGGUGCCGUGCGUUCGGUACUUGAUCGGUCGGAUCGUGAAGACGUACGACUACAUCAACCGCGUUGUGAUAACGCUUCCGCUGUCGGUCUACGAGGGUACGUGGACAACACUCUCCCCUCUCGUUGCUAUGCAUCACCAUGAUCUUGCGUGUGCGUAGGAAAUUUUUUGAAAUUACUACAUUCCCCAACACAUGUGUCCCCGCCCGCGCCUCGCCACCGCUCUACUGCUACGCUACUAUUGCGCUGUGGCCGCCGCCGCUUCCCGCUGCUCUGCCAGCGCCAAAGCUCCCGGUUGGCCCUGCCGCUGCUCGCGUUUAACCGCCGGCAUCCCCUAACCUCCCCCCCUCGCUAAUGAACCCCCACCGACCCGCUGAUACCGGGACCCACAUCCCCUAAUUAACCAUUUAAUAAAUUAAAACUCUUAAAUUAACAUUAGUGUAUGACAUGUGGGUCCCCUAUUAAUUAAACUGAUUUAAUUAAAAUCUAUUAACUUUGAGUCUAUGACAUAUGGGCCCCACUAAACAUUUGACCAGCCAACGGUCCAGUCAAAUGCUGACCGGACAGUUGACCAGAGGGCCCCGCCAGUCAGCCAAUGUGUUGUUCUGCUGGGUACCUUUCUAAGUACACCUAGCAUUUUGCAUUUACAAUAUUUGUUUUAAAAUAAAUUAGAAUAAUUUCAAAAAAAGAUUAAAACUUUUAAAAUUAAAAUAAAAUAAUCCGUAACUGGAUGAAAUUACUUUAUACAUGGAAGUUGCUCAAAAAACGAGACGAAUCCGAAUACACAGUCCGUUCGUCUGCCACGCGUCCCUAGCAUAGCGAACAUGCAACCAUCCCCCUCCGGUUCGACUGUCCGAAAAAUUAUUAUUGCACAUGCCCGCUAAGAGGUUGGCUGUAUAUGACAUGACAAAUUCUUAUAGCCGACCCUUGGCUGUAUUAUUAACCAUGCUCUUAGUGAGGUAGCUAGUAUAUCAUAGACGACUAGCUUGUAUCAGACUAGCCAAAGUGGGAGUAACUUCAGCAGUAACAUCGACUCCAACUCAGCAAACUUGCUUAUGUGGGAGUAAACCGUGCCCAAUGCAAAAUACAAUCCCAGUCGUAAUUUUUUCAGGAAACGUGUGGGAUCCCAAACGAAAAGCACACGUCACUCUUGCGGCAACCGUCGGUGACACCCAAUAAAUCACAAACGGUCUGCAGCACUUGUAUGUGUGCAAAGGGGCUCCUGAACCGUUUGUGAUAGAACAUUAUCGCAGACGGUAAUUGUUGCCAAACGUGUGCGAUGGAGUCUAGCAUGGCAGACGGGUUACGCAGAAAACUCGUGUGCGAUGGGGCACAAAUCGCACACAGUUCAUAUGUUGGCCCAUGUGCCUUACAUACUAUUUCCCAAAUGGUUUGUUACGAUAGACCGUCUCGUUUCAGUGCGUCAUUAGAAACGCUUAAUCACUGAUACGACACGUGCGAAAGAAUUUAGUGCAUGCUGCAUCGCACACGAUUACAUUUUGGAAGGCCUCUGGAUCACUACUCCAUAUCCCCGGCGGUUUCUGGGCCGUGUGGGAAGGACACCCUAUCGCACACACUCACUUGGCAACGGUUCCAAAUGCUGUCGCGGAAAGGGGUUAAAAACAGUUUGUUUAGGACCGAAGCGUACCAGUGUCUAUCUAUCUAUCUAUCUAUCUAUCUAUCUAUCUAUCCAUCCAUCUAUCUAUCUAUCUAUCUAUCUAUCCAUCUAUCCAUCUAUCUAUCUCAAUCCACCUAUCUAUGUAUCCAUCUAUCCAUCUAUCUAUCUCUCCAUCUAUCCAUCUAUCUAUCCAUCUAUCCACCCAUCUACUAUCCAUCUAUCUAUCCAUCCAUCCAUCCAUCUAUCCAUCCAUCUAUCUAUCUAUCUAUCUAUUUAUCUAUCUAUCUAUCUAUCUACCUAUCUAUCUAUCCAUCUAUUCAUCUAUCUAUCUAUGUAUCCAUUUAUCCAUUGAUCCAUCUAUCGAUCCAUCGAUCCAUCCAUCCAUCCAUCUAUCCAUCCAUCAAUAUAUCCAUGUAUCCAUGUAUCCAUGUAUCUAUCUAUCGAUCUAUCCAUCUAUCUAUCUAUCUAUCCAUCUAUCCAUUUAUCGAUCUAUCCAUCUAUCUAUCUAUCCAUCGAUCUAUCGAUCUAUCGAUCUAUCGGUCUAUCGGUCUAUCCAUCUAGCGAUCUAUCCAUCUCUCCAUCUACCCAUCUAUCCAUCUAUUCAUCUACCGAUCUAUCUAUCCAUCUAUCUAUCUAGCUAUCUAGCUAUCUAGCUAUCUAGCUAUCUAUCUAUCUAUCUAUCUAGCUAUCUAGCUAUCUAUCUAUCUAGUUAUCUAGCUAUCUAUCUGUCUACCUACCUACCUACCUACCUACCUAUCUAUCUAUCUAUCUAUCUAUCUACCUAUCUAAAGGAAAUAUGCCCUAGAUGCAAUAAUAAAGUUGUUAUUUAUAUUUCCUUAUAUCAUGAUAAACUAGCGGAGUCACCCGCGCAUUUGCGCGGCUAGAUUGACUACAUAUAUUGUUAUAUUUGGGAUUAUUUUUCUAUGCCAAUUUUAUGGCCUCUUACUCAGAUAUUAUCUAAUUGAAUUUACCACCACCAUAUGUUAUAUCCAUAGAUUAUAAUUAAAAGGCAACUUCCGACGAAACAUGGACAGAUUAUUGAGUGCUCAGAAGACGGACGCAAUAUCAUAUAUAGACUUCUAUAGCAAUCUUCAUGGUUCCCAUCUUUGAUCCUCUCCUCGUCCCUUGGUAUCUAUCUUUGCACCCAAUGUCUUUGGAGUUCCAAGAAUUGAAUCUUAGCAUGAAUGGCUUCAAUGUGUACCAAAUGUUCUCUUGUUCCUCCCAAAUUAAUUACUGGUUGCAUUCUUAGUUGCUUUGACAUUCUUGGUUAAUGCAAUGUCUUGCCUACCAAUAUAUGCAUCCACACACGAUCAUAUUUAUAUUACCACUUACCUCUGUAUUCUGGUAUUUGUGCUUCAGAAUUUUUCUCUCAUUCAGUUUAUUCAUAGAUUAAAAACGUCGAUCGUUUCUUUAUUGGUUUGCAUUAUCUUGUUUGCCGAACGUAAGCAUCCACACAUGCUCGUCAUGAUAUGAUUGGUCAUCAUUGUAUAUUUGUAUUUGUGUGUUGAUAGCUUAAGGAUUUUCUCGGAUUCACUUCAUAGUUUAAGGAUUUUCUCGCCUUCAAUUUAUUCUACCUUAUUCAUUUUCAUGUUUCUUUAUUCCAUUUAUAUCAAUUCUUACAAUAUAUUUUCCAAGAUAUGAACUCAACUACUAAUUACGUAGUUUUUCAUCAAAAUUUACAUGUAAAAAUGGUACAAAUGCAUAAAGAUGAUAAAAAUAUAUAUCAUAUUCCAUUGAGAGAACGCCCAUUUAAAAAAACACGUUGACUUACAAAAAGGACAAUUCAAGCUGCAUGUACGUCCGACUCAUGUUUACCUGACAAUGUCGAUGUUGAUUUCAGCAGUAAAUGAGCUGUGUGUGACCUUUGCGCUUUCCGGUAUUCUUCUAACCUGUGUGCUUUAUGAUCAGUUUGUUGUGCUUAGUACUGGACAUUGGAGUACACUAUCAUAUUUGGUACAAAUAAAUCUGAACUACUAUAGUUAUGAUCCACUGUAUAGUUAAUGGUGGUGGUAAUUAAUAUAUGUGGUUAAAUACUUGCGCUCCUUAGGUGGGGAGUUGGAUUUGUAUUUCCCUAAAAUAAAUUUCAGAUUUCGUCAUAGUGGUGAAGCCAGCCGGAAGAACCUCUGCGUCAUUAUUAAUUUUGGUGAUAUUUUUCUUCAUAGUGUAGAAUAAUUUUAGUGCUUAUUCCGCAAAUAAUAUGGCCUCAACUGACCCCAUAGCUUGUAUGUUGCGCCACCACUGUUUCCUAUAUCUUAUUACAUCCGUUGUUUUUAGAUCUUGAUGCAUAACUUUGACAAUUUUUAAUAGAUAUGUGUCUGUAUAAAAAAUUAUAAAUGCUAUGAUUAAUUAUGAUGAAUAAAAUGUUAUUGCUCUGACUUGAUCCCUCUUGAAUUUUCCAAAAUUUCACAUUACAGUUGUAGUAGUGCAUGCUACCUCUUGAGCACUGCGUUAGUUUUCCCUUGAAGAGGAAAGGGUGAUGCAGUAAAGCAGCGUCAGUAUUUCCCUCAGUUUUUGAGAACCAAGGUAUCAAUCCAGUACGAGGCCACGCACGAGUCCCUCGCACCUACACAAACAAAUAAAAUCCUCGCAACCAACGCAAUAAAGGGGUUGUCAAUCCCUUCAUGGUCACUUACGAAAGUGAGAUCUGAUAGAUUUGAUAAGAUAAUAUUUUUGGUAUUUUUAUGAUAAAGAUGCAACGUAAAGAAAGCAAAAUAAAAACAGCGCCAGAAAUAGCUUGUUGACGGGAGAUUAAAUAUGAUGGAAAAUAGACCAGGUGGCCAUAGGUUUCACUAGUGGCUUCUCUCGAGAGCAUAAGUAUUUCGGUGGGUAGACAAAUUACUGUUGAGCAAUUGACAGAAUUGAGCAUAGUUAUGAGAAUAUCAAGGUAUGAUCAUGUAUAUAGGCAUCACGUCUGAGGCAAGUAGCCCGACUCCUGCCUGCAUCUACUACUAUUACUCCACACAUCGACUGCUAUCCAGCAUGCAUCUAGAGUAUUAAGUUCAAAAGAACAGAGUAACGCUUUAAGUAAGAUGACAUGAUGUAGAGGGAUAAACUCAUGCAAUAUGAUAUAAACCCCAUCUUGUUAUCCUCGAUGGCAACAAUACAAUACGUGCCUUGCUGCUCCUACUAUCACUGGGAAUGGACACCACAAGAUUGAACCCAAAGCUAAGCACUUCUCCCAUUGCAAGAAAGAUCAAUCUAGUAGGCCAAACCAAAAUGAUAAUUCGAAGAGACUUGUAAAGAUAACCAAUCAUACAUAAAAGAAUUUAGACAAGAUUCAAAUAUUGUUCAUAGAUAAACUAGAUCAUAAACCCACAAUUCAUCGGUCUCAACAAACACACCGCAAAAGAAGAUUACAUCGAAUAGAUCUUCAUAAGAGAGGGGGAGAACAUUGUAUUGAGAUCCAAAAAGAGAGAAGAAGCCAUCUAGCUAAUAACUAUGGACCCGAAGGUCUGAGGUAAACUACUCACAAAUCAUCGGAGAGGCUAUGGUGUUGAUGUAGAAGCCCUCCAUGAUCGAUGCCCCCUCCGGCGGAGCUCCGGAAAAGGCCCCAAGAUGGGAUCUCACGGGUCCAGAAGGUUGCGGAGAUGGAAUUAGGUUUUUGGCUCCGUAUCUGGUAGUUUGGGGGUACGUAGGUAUAUAUAGGAGAAAGAAGUACGUCGGUGGAGCAACGUGGGCCCCACGAGGGCGCGCCCCCCUACCUCGUGCCUUCCUAGUAGAUUUCUGGACGUAGGGUCCAAGUCCUCUAGAUCACGUUCGUUCCCAAAAUCACGUUUCCGAAGGUUUCAUUCCGUUUGGACUCCGUUUGAUAUUCUUUUUCUGUGAAACUCUGAACUAGGCAAAAAAUAGCAAUUCUGGGGUGGGCCUCCGGUUAAUAGGUUAGUCCCAAAAAUAAUAUAAAAGUGUAUAAUAAAGCCCAUUAAUGUCCAAAACAGAAUAUAAUAUAGCAUGGAACAAUAAAAAAUUAUAUAUACGUUGGAGACAUAUCAAGCAUCCCCAAGCUUAAUUCCUGCUCGUCCUCGAGUAGGUAAAUGAUAAAAACGGAAUUUUUGAUGUGGAAUGCUACUUGGCAUAAUUUCAAUGUAAUUCUCUUAAUUGUGGUAUGAAUAUUCAGACCCGAAAGAUUCAAGACAAAAGUUUAAUACUGACAUAAAAAUAAUAAUACUUCAAGCAUACUAGCUAAGCAAUUAUGUCUUCUCAAAAUAACAUGGCCAAAGAAAGUUAUCCCUACAAAAUCAUAUAGUCUAGCUAUGCUCUAUCUUCACCACACAAAGUAUUUAAAUUAUGCACAACCCCGAUGACAAGCCAAGCAAUUGUUUCAUACUUUUGAUGUUCUCAAACUUUUUCAAUCUUCACGCAAUACGUGAGCAUGAGCCAUGGACAUAGCACUAUAUGUGGAAUAGAAUGGUGGUUGUGGAGAAGACAAAAAAGGAGAAGAUAGUCUCACAUCAACUAGGCGUAUCAACGGGCUAUGGAGAUGCCCAUUAAUAGAUAUCAAUGUGAGUGAGUAGGAAUUGCCAUGCAACGGAUGCACUAGAGCUAUAAGUAUAUGAAAGCUCAACAAAAGGAACUAAGUGGGUGUGCAUCCAACUCGCUUGCUCAUGAAUACCUAGGGCAUUUUGAGGAAGCCCAUCAUUGGAAUAUACAAGCCAAGUUCUAUAAUGAAAAUUUCCCACUAGUACAUGAAAGUGAUAUCAUAGGAGACUCUCUAUCAUGAAGAUCAUGGUGCUACUUUGAAGAACAAGUGUGGUAAAAGGAUAGUAACAUUGUCCCUUCUCUCUUUUUCUCUCAUUUUUUUAUUUGGGUCUUUUAUCCUUUUUUUAUGGCCUCUUUUUUUUAGUCCGAAGUCUCAUCCCGACUUGUGGGGGAAUCGUAGUCUCCAUCAUCCUUUCCUCACUUGGGAAAAUGCUCUAAAAAAAUGAUGAUCAUCACACUUUUAUUUACUUACAACUCAACAAUUACAAAUCAAUACUUAGAACAAAAUAUGACUCUAUGUGAAUGCCUCCGGCGGUAUACCGUGAUAUGCAAUGAAUCAAGAGUCACAUGUAUGAAAGAAUUAUGAACGGUGGCUUUGCCACAAAUACAAUGUCAACUACAUGAUCAUGGAAAGCAAUAUGACAAUGAUGGAGCGUGUCAUAAUAAACUGAACGGUGGUAAGUUGCAUGGCAAUAUAUCUCGGAAUGGCUAUGGAAAUGCCAUGGUAGGUAGGUAUGGUGGCUGUUUUGAGGAAGGUAUAUGGUGGGUGUAUGAUACCGGCGAAAAGUGCGCGGUAUUAGAGAGGCUAGCAAUGGUGGAAGGAAGAAAGUGCGUAUAAUCCAUGGACUCAACAUUAGCCAUAAAGAACUAAUAUACUUAUUGCAAAAAUCUACAAGUUAUCGAAGCAAAGUAUUACCCGCAUCAUCCUAGGGGGAUAGAUUGCUAGGAAAAGACCAUCGCUCGUCCCCGACCGCCACUCAUAAGGAAGACAAUCAAUAAAUAAAUCAUGCUCCGACUUCAUCACAUAACGGUUCACCAUACGUGCAUGCUAAGGGAAUCACAAACUUUAACACAAGUAUUUCGCAAAUUCAAAACUACUCAACUAGCAUGACUCUAAUAUCACCAUCUCCAUAUCUCAAAACAAUUAUCAAGUAUCAAACUUCUCAUAGUAUUCAACACACUCAUAAGAUUUUUUUACUAAUCUUGAGUGCCUAUCAUAAUUAAAGCAAAUUACCACGCUGUUUUGUAGGACUAUCAAAAUAAUCUAAGUGAAUCAUGAGAGAACAAUAGUUUCUAUAAAACAAAACCACCACCAUGCUCUAAAAGAUAUACAUGAAGCACUAGAGCAAAAACUAUAUAGCUCAAAAGAUAUAAGUGAAGCACAUAGAGUAUUCUAACAAUUUCCGAAUCAUGUGUGUCUCUCUCAAAAGGUGUGUACUGCAAGGAUUAUUGUGGCAAACUAACAAAUAAAGACUUCAAAUAAUACAAGACGCUCCAAGCAAAACACAUAUCAUGUGGUGAAUAAAAAUAUAGCUCCAAGUAAAGUUACCGAUGGAAGUAGACGAAAGAGGGGAUGCCUUCCGGGGCAUCCCCAAGCUUUGGCUUUUAGGUGUCCUUAGAUUAUCUUGGGGUGCCAUGGGCAUCCCCAAGCUUAGGCUCUUGCCACUCCUUGUUUCAUAAUCCAUCAAAUCUUUCACCCAAAACUUGAAAACUUCACAACACAAAACUCAGCAGAAAAUCUCGUGAGCUCCGUUAGCGAAAGAAAAAAAAACACCACUUCAAGGUACUGUAAUGAACUCAUUCUUUAUUUAUAUUGGUGUUAAACCUACUGUAUUCCAACUUCUCUAUGGUUUAUAAACUAUUUUACUAGCCAUAGAUUCAUCAAAAUAAGCAAACAACACACGAAAAACAGAAUCUGUCAAAAACAGAACAGUCUGUAGUAAUCUGUAACUAACGCAAUUUUCUGGGACUCCAAAAAUUGACCCAAAAUAGGAAGACCUAGAAUUUUUUUUUUAUUGAUCAGCAGCAAUUGGAAUCAAUAUUUUAUCACGUCCUGGUGAUUUUUAACAAUUAUUUUCGUGAACAGAAAGUUUCUGGAAUAUUCAGCAAGAUCAAAUAACUAUCAUCCAAGAAGAUCCUAUAGGUUAAACUUGGCACAAACACUAAUUAAAACAUAAAAACACAUGUAAACAGAGGCUAGAUCAAAUAUUUAUUCCUAAAAAAAGCAAAAAGCAAAAAAACUAAAAAUAAAAUUGGGUUGCCUCCCAACAAGCGCUAUCGUUUAACGCCCCUAGCUAGGCAUAAUAGCAAGGAUAGAUCUAGGUAUUGCCAUCUUUGGUAGGCAAUCCAUAAGUGGCUCUCAUAAUAGAUUCAUAAGGUAAUUUUAUUUUCUUUCUAGGGAAGUGUUCCAUGCCUUUCCUUAAUGGAAUUUGGAAUCUAAUAUUCCCUUCCUUCGUAUCAAUAAUUGCACCAAUCGUUCUAAGGAAAGGUCUGCCAAGAAUAAUAGGACAUGAAGGAUUGCAAUCUAUAUCAAGAACAAUAAAAUCUACGGGCACAUAAUUCCUAUUUGCAACAAUAAGCACAUCAUCAAUUCUUCCCAUAGGUUUCUUAAUGGUGGAAUCCACAAGGUGCAAGUUUAAAGAGCAAUCAUCAAAAUCACGGAAACCUAGCAAAUCGCACAAAGUCUUUGGAAUCGUGGAAACACUAGCACCCAAAUCACACAAAGCAUAGCAUUCAUGAUCUUUAAUUUUAAUUUUAAUAGUAGGUUCCCACUCAUCAUAAAUUUUUCUAGGGAUAGAAACUUCCAACUCAAGUUUUUCUUCAUAAGAUUGCAUCAAAGCAUCAACGAUAUGUUUAGUAAGGCUUUAUUUUGACUAUAAGCAUGUGGAGAAUUUAGCACGGAUUGCAACAAGGAAAUAAAAUCUAUCAAAGAGCAAUUAUCAUAAUUAAAUUCCAUGAAAUCCAAAAUAGUGGGUUCAUUAAUAUCUAGAGUUUUGAUUUCUUCAAUCCCACUUUUACCAAUUUUUGCAUCAAGAUCUAAAAACUCCGAAUUUUUGGAACGCCUUCUAGGUAGAGGUGGAUCAUAUUCAGUCCCAUCAUUAUCAAGAUUCAUAUUGCAAAACAAAGAUUUAAUAGGGGACACAUCAAUAACUUUUAGAUCUUCAUCUUUAUUUUCAUAGAAACUAGAAGAACACGCUUUCACAAAAACAAUCUUUCUUAGCACGCAUCCUAGCGGUUCUUUCUUUGCACUCAUCAAUGGAAAUUCUCAUGGCCUUGAGAGACUCAUUGAUAUCAUGCUUAGGAGAAAUUCUAUCAGUGUUCCUAGCCAAUUCAUCAACUUUAAGCAAUUUUUCUUCAAGCAAAGCAUUGAAAUUCAUUUGCGAAUUCAUAAAUUCUUUAACACUAGUCUCAAAUUAAGAAGGCAUCUUAUUAAAAUUUCCAUAAUAAUUGUUGUAGGAAUUACCAUAAUUAUUAGAGGAAUUACUGGGAUACGGCCUUGGAUUAAAGUUUCCUCUAUACGCGUUGUUACCAAAAUUAUUCCGACCAACAAAAUUCACAUCCAUGAAGGAAAUAUGCCCUAGAGGAAAUAAUAAAGUUAUUAUUUAUUUCCUUAUAUCAUGAUAAAUGUUUAUUAUUCAUGAUAGAAUUGUAUUAACCGGAAACAUAAUACAUGUGUGAAUACAUAGACAAACAGAGUGUCACUAGUAUGCCUCUACUUGACUAGCUCGUUAAUCAAAGAUGGUUAUGUUUUCUAGCCAUAGACAUGAGUUGUCAUUUGAUUAACGGGAUCACCUCAUUAGGAGAAUGACGUGAUUGACUUGACCCAUUCCAUUAGCUUAGCACUCGAUCGUUUAGUAUGUUGCUAUUGCUUUCUUCAUGACUUAUACAUGUUCCUAUGACUACGAGAUUAUGCAACUCCCGUUUACCGGAGGAACACUUUGUGUGCUACCAAACGUCACAACGUAACUGGGUGAUUAUAAAGGUGCUCUACAGGUGUCUCCAAAGGUACCUGUUGGGUUGGCGUAUUUCGAGAUUAGGGUUUGUCACUCCGAUUGUCGGAGAGGUAUCUCUGGGCCCACUCGGUAAUGCACAUCACCAUAAGCCUUGCAAGCAUUGUGACUAAUGAGUUAGUUGCGGGGUGAUGUAUUACGGAACGAGUAAAGAGACUUGCCGAUAACGAGAUUGAACUAGGUAUCAAGACACCGACGAUCGAAUCUUGGGCAAGUAACAUACCGAUGACAAAGGGAACAACGUAUGUUGUUAUGCGGUCUGACCGAUAAAGAUCUUCAUAGAAUAUGUGGGAACCAAUAUGGGAAUCCAGGUUCCGCUAUUGGUUAUUGACCGGAGAAGUGUCUCGGUCAUGUCUACAUAGUUCUCAAACCCGUAGGGUCCGCACGCUUAAAGUUACGAUGACAAUUAUAUUAUGAGUUUAUAUGUUUUGAUGCACUGAAGGUUGUUCGGAGUCCCGGAUGUGAUCACGGACAUGACGAGGAGUCACGAAAUGGUCGAGACAUAAAGAUUGAUAUAUUGGACGACUAUAUUCGGACACGGAAGUGUUCCAGAGAAGUUUCGGAUAAAACUGGCGUGCCGGAGGGGUUACCGGAACCCCCCGGGGAAGUAUUGGGCCUUAGUGGGCCUUGAGGGGAGAGAGAGGGCAGCAUCCAGGAGGUGGCGCCCCCCCUCCCAUGAGGAGUCCUAAUUGGACUAGGAGAGGGGGGCGCAGCCCCUCUUUCCCUCUCCCUCUCCCUCUCCCUCUCUUUCCUUCCCCCCUCUCUUCCUAGUUGGACUAGGAAAGGGGAGUCCUACUCCUACUAGGAGGAGGACUCCCCCCCUCUCCUUGGCGCGCCCAAGGCAGCCGGCCUCCCCCUUGCUCCUUUAUAUACGGGGGUAGGGGGGCACCUCUAGACACACUUGAUAUACGAUAUUUUAGCCGUGUGCGGUGCCCCCUCCACCAUAUUACACCUCGAUAAUACCGUUGCGGAGCUUAGGCGAAGCCCUGCGUCGGUGGAACAUCAUCAUCGUCACCACGCCGUCGUGCUGACGAAACUCUCCCUCAACACUCGGCUGGAUCGGAGUUCGAGGGAUGUCAUCGAGCUGAACGUGUGCUGAACUCGGAGGUGCCGUGCGUUCGGUACCUGAUCGGUCGGAUCAUGAAGACGUACGACUACAUCAACCGCGUUGUGAUAACGCUUCCGCUGUCGGUCUACGAGGGUACGUGGACAACACUCUCCCCUCUUGUUGCUAUGCAUCACCAUGAUCUUGCGUGAGCGUAGGAAAUUUUUUGAAAUUAAUACGUUCCCCAACAGUGGUAUCAGAGCCUGAUUUUAUGCGUUGAUGUUAUGCACGAGUAGAACACAAGUGAGUUGUGGGCGAUAUAAGUCAUACUGCUUACCAGCAUGUCAUACUUUGGUUCAGCGUUAUUGUGAGAUGAAGCGGCCCGGACCGACAUUACGCGUACGCUUACGCGAGACUGGUUUCACCGUUGCGAGAACUCGUUGCUUAAAGGUGACUGGCGGGUGUCUGUUUCUCUCACUUUAGUUGAACCGAGUGUGGCUACGCCCGGUCCUUGCGAAGGUUAAAACAACACCAACUUGACAAACUAUCGUUGUGGUUUUGAUGCGUAGGUAAGGACGGUUCUUGCUAAGCCCGUAGCAGCCACGUAAAACUUGCAACAACAAAGUAGAGGACGUCUAACUUGUUUUUGCAGGGCAUGUUGUGAUGUCAUAUGGUCAAGACAUGAUGCUAUAUUUUAUUGUAUGAGAUGAUCAUGUUUUGUAACCGAGUUAUCGGCAACUGGCAGGAGCCAUAUGGUUGUCGCUUUAUUGUAUGCAAUGCAAUCGCCAUGUAAUUGUUUUACUUUAUCACUAAGCGGUAGCGAUAGUCGUAAAAGCAAUAAGUUGGCGAGACGACAACGAUACUACGAUGGAGAUCAAGGUGUCGCGCCGGUGACGAUGGUGAUCAUGACGGUGCUUCGGAGAUGGAGAUCACGAGCACGGUGCUUCGGAGAUGGAGAUCACAAGCACAAGAUGAUGAUGGCUAUAUCAUAUCACUUAUAUUGAUUGCAUGUGAUGUUAAUCUUUUAUGCAUCUUAUCUUGCUUUGAUUGACGGUAGCAUUAUAAGAUGAUCUCUCACUAAAAUUUCAAGAUAAAAGUGUUCUCCCUGAGUAUGCACCGUUGCGAAAAUUCUUCGUGCUGAGACACCACGUGAUGAUCGGGUGUGAUAGGCUCUACGUUCAAAUACAAUGGGUGCAAAACAGUUGCACACGCAGAAUACUCAGGUUAAACUUGACGAGCCUAGCAUAUGCAGAUAUGGCCUCGGAACACGGAGACCCAAAGGUCGAGCGUGAAUCAUAUAGUAGAUAUGAUCAACAUAGUGAUGUUCACCGUUGAAACUACUCCAUCUCACGUGAUGAUCGGACAUGGUUUAGUUGAUAUGGAUCACGUGAUCACUUAGAGGAUUAGAGGGAUGUCUAUCUAAGUGGGAGUUCUUAAAUAAUAUGAUUAAUUGAACUUAAAUUUAUCAUGAACUUAGUCCUGAUAGUAUUUUUGCAAAUUAUGUUGUAGAUCAAUAGCUCGCGUUGUUGCUUCCCUGUGUUUAUUUUUGAUAUGUUCCUAGAGAAAAUUAUGUUGAAAGAUGUUAGUAGCAAAGAUGCGGAUUGGAUCCGUGAUCUGAGGAUUAUCCUCAUUGCUGCACAGAAGAAUUAUGUCCUUGAUGCACCGCUAGGUGACAGACCUAUUGCAGUAGCAGAUGCAGACGUUAUGAACGUUUGGCUAGCUCAAUAUGAUGACUACUUGAUAGUUUAGUGCACCAUGCUUAACGGCUUAGAAUCGGGACUUCAAAGACGUUUUGAACGUCAUGGACCAUAUGAGAUGUUCCAGGAGUUGAAGUUAAUAUUUCAAGCAAAUACCCAAGUUGAGAGAUAUGAAGUCUCCAACAAGUUCUAUAGCUAAAAGAUGGAGGAGAAUAGCUCAAGCAGUGAGCAUGUGCUCAGAUUGUCUGGGUACUACAAUCGCUUGAAUCAAGUGGGAGUUAAUCUUCUAGAUAAAAUAGUGAUUGACAGAAUUCUCUAGUCACCAUCACCAAGUUAGUAGAACUUCGUGAUGAACUAUAGUAUGCAAGGGAUGACGAAAGUAAUUCCCGAGCUCUUCGUGAUGCUGAAAUUGACGAAGGUAGAAAUCAAGAAAAACAUCAAGUGUUGAUGGUUGACGAGACCACUAGUUUCAAGAAAAGGGCAAAGGGAAGAAGGGGAACUUCAAGAAGAACGGCAAGCAAGUUGCUGCUCAAGUGAAGAAGCCUAAGUCUGGUCCUAAGCCUGAGACUAAGUGCUUCUACUGCAAAGGGACUGGUCACUGGAAGCGGAAUUACCCCAACUAUUUGGUGGAUAAGAAGGAUGGCAAAGUGAACAACGGUAUAUUGGAUAUACAUGUUAUUGAUGUGUACUUUACUAGUGUUUAUAGCAACCCCUCGGUAUUUGAUACUGGUUCAGUUGCUAAAGUAGUAACUCGAAACGGGAGUUGCGGAAUAAACAGAGACUAGUAAAAGGCGAGGUGACGAUGUGUGUUGGAAGUAGUUCCAGGAUUGAUAUGAUCAUCAUCGCACAGUCCCUAUACUUUCGGGAUUAGUGUUGAAACUAAAUAAGUGUUAUUUGGUGUUUGCGUUGAGCAUGAAUAUGAUUUGAUCAUGUUUGUUGCAAUACGGUUGUUCAUUUAAAUUAGAGAAUAAUUGUUGUUCUGUUUACAUGAAUAAAACCUUCUAUGGUCAUACACCCAAUAAAAUGGUUUGUUGGAUCUCGAUCGUAGUGAUACACAUAUUCAUAAUAAUGAAGCCAAAAGAUGCAAAGUUAAUAAUGAUAGUGCAACUUAUUUGUGGCACUGCCGUUUAGGUCAUAUUGGUGUAAAGUGCAUGAAGAAACUCCAUACUGAUGGGAUUUUGGAAUCACUUGAUUAUGAAUCACUUGAUGCUUGCGAACCGUGCCUCAUGGGCAAGAUGACUAAAACGCCGUUCUCCGGAACUAUGUGGAGAGCAACAGAUUUGUUGGAAAUCAUACAUACAGAUGUAUGUGGUCCGAUGAAUAUUGAGGCUCGUAGCAGGUAUCAUUAUUUUCUGACCUUCACAGAUGAUUUGAGCAGACAUGGGUAUAUCUACUUAAUGAAACAGAAGUCUGAAACAUUUGAAAAGUUCAUAUAAUUUCAGAGUGAAGCGGAAAAUCAUCGUAACAAGAAAAUAAAGUUUCUACGAUCUGAUCGUGGAGAAGAGUAUUUGAGUUACGAGUUUGGCCUUCAGUUAAAACAAUGUGAAAUAGUUUCACUACUCACGCCACCUGGAACACCACAGCAUAAUGGUGUGUCCGAACGUCAUAACCGUACUUUAUUGGAUAUAGUGCAACCUAUGAUGUUUCUUACCGAUUUACCACUAUAGUUUUGGGGUUAUGCAUUAGAGACAGCUACAUUCACGUAAAAAAAAGGGGGCACCAUCUAAAUCCGUUUGAGAUGACACCGUAUGAACUGUGGUUUGGCUAGAACCCAAAGUUGUCGUUUCUUAAAGUUUGGGGUUGCGAUGCUUAUAAGAAAAAGUUUCAUCCUGAUAAGCUCAAACCCAAAUCGGAGAAAUGUGUCUUCAUAGGAUACCCAAAGGAGAAAGUUGGGUACACCUUCUAUCACAGAUCCGAAGGCAAGACAUUCGUUGCUAAGAAUGGAUCCUUUCUAGAGAAGGAGUUUCUCUCGAAAGAAGUGAGUGGGAGGAAAGUAGAACUUGAUGAGGUAACUGUACCUGCUCCCUUAUUGGAAAGUAGUUCAUCACAGAAAUCUGUUCCUGUGACUACUACACCAAUUAGUGAGGAAGCUAAUGAUGAUGAUCAUGUAACUUCAAAUCAAGUUACUACCGAACCUCGUAGGUAAACCAGAGUGAGAUCCACACCAGAGUGGUACGGUAAUCCUGUUCUGGAGGUCAUGUUACCUGACCAUGAUGAACCUACGAACUAUGAGGAAGCGAUGAUGAGCCCAGAUUCCGAGAAACGGCUUGAGGCCAUGAAAUCUGAGAUAAGAUCCAUAUAUGAGAACAAAGUAUGGACUUUGGUUGACUUGCCCGAUGAUCGGCAAGCCAUAGAAAAUAAAUGGAUCUUCAAGAGGAAGACGGACGCUUAGUGUUACUAUCUACAAAGCUAGAAUUGUCGCAAAAGGUUUUCGACAAGUUUAAGGUGUUGACUACGAUGAGAGUUUCUCACUCGUAUCUAUGCUUAAGUCUGUCCGAAAUAUGUUAGCAAUUGCCGCAUUUUAUGAAAUCUGGCAAAUGGAUAAACAAAACUGCAUUCCUUAAUGGAUUUAUUAAAGAAGAGUUGUAUAUGAUGCAACCAGAAGGUUUUGUCAAUCCUAAAAGUGUUAACAAAAUAUGCAAGCUCCAGCGAUCCAUCUAUGGACUGGUGCAAGCAUCUCGGAGUUGGAAUAUACGCUUUGAUAUGUUGUUCAAAGGAUAUAGUUUUAUACAAACUUGCGGUGAAGCAUGUAUUUACAAGAAAGUGAGUGGGAGCACUACAACAUUUCUGAUAAGUAUAUGUGAAUGACAUAUUGUUGAUCGGAAAUAAUGUAGAAUUAUUCUUAUAAGCAUAAAGGAGUGUUUGAAAUGAGCUUUUCAAAGAAAGACUUCGGUGAAGCUGCUUACAUAUUGAGCAUCAAGAUCUAUAGAGAUAGAUCAAGACGCUUGAUAAGUUUUUUCAAUGAGUACAUACCUUAACAAGAUUUUGAAGUAGUUCAAAAUAGAACAAUCAAAGAAAGAGUUGUUGGCUGUGUUACAAGGUGUGAAAUUGAGUAAGACUCAAAGCCCGACCACGGCAGAAGAUAGAAAAAGAAUGAAAGUCGUUCCCUAUGCCUUGGCCAUAGGUUCUAUAAAGUAUGCCAUGUUGUGUACCAGAUCUAUUCUAUACCCUACACUGAUUUUAGCAAGGGAGUACAAUAGUGAUCUAGGAGUAGAUCACUAGACAGCGGUCAAAAUUAUCCUGAGGAAUAAGGAUAUGUUUCUCGAUUAUGGAAGUGACAAAAGGUUCAUCGUAAUGGGUUACGUCGAUGCAAGUUUUGACACUAAUCUAGAUGACUCUAAGUCUCGGUCUAGAUAUAUAUUGAAAGUGGGAGCAAUUAGCUAGAGUAGCUCCGUGCAGAGCAUUGUAGACAUAGAAAUUUGCAAAAUACUUACGGAUCUGAAUGUGACAGACCCGUUGACUAAAAUUAUCUCACAAGCAAAACAUGAUAUCACCUUAGUACUCUUUGGGUGUCAAUCACAUAGCGAUGUGAACUAGAUUACUGACUCUAGUAAACCCUUUGGGUGUUGGUCACAUGACGAUGUGAACUAUGGGUAUUAAUCACAUGGUGAUGUGAACUAUUGAUGUUAAAUCACAUGGCGAUGUGAACUAGAUUAUUGACUCUAGUGCAAGUGGGAGACUGAAGUAAAUAUGCCCUAGAGGCAAUAAUAAAGUUAUUAUUUGUUUCCUUAUAUCAUGAUAAAUGUUUAUUAUUCAUGCUAGAAUUGUAUUAACCGGAAACAUAAUACAUGUGUGAAUACAUAGACAAACAAAGUGUCACUAGUAUGCCUCUACUUGACUAGCUCGUGAAUCAAAGAUGGUUAUGUUUCCUAGCCAUAGACAUGAGUUGUCAUUUGAUUAACGGGAUCACCUCACUAGGAGAAUGACGUGAGUGACUUGACCCAUUCCAUUAGCUUAGCACUCAAUCGUUUAGUAUGUUGCUAUUGCUUUCUACAUGACUUAUACAUGUUGCUAUGACUAUGAGAUUAUGCAACUCCCGUUUACCGGAGGAACACUUUGUGUGCUACCAAACGUCACAACGUAACUGGGUGAUUAUAAGGGUGCUCUACUGGUGUCUCCAAAGGUACUUGUUGGGUUGGCGUAUUUCGAGAUUAGGAUUUGUCACUCCGAUUGUCGCAGAGGUAUCUCUGGGCCCAAUCGGUAAUGCACAUCACUAUAAGCCUUGCAAGCAUUGUGACUAAUGAGUUAGUUGCGGGAUGAUGUAUUACGGAACGAGUAAAGAGACUUGCCGGUAACGAGAUUGAACUAGGUAUCGAGAUACCGAAGAUCGAAUCUCGGGCAAGUAACAUACCGAUGACAAAGGGAACAACGUAUGUUGUUAUGCGGUCUGACCGAUAAAGAUCUUCGUAGAAUAUGUGGGAACCAAUAUGAGCAUCUAGGUUCCGCUAUUGGUUAUUGACCGGAGAAGUGUCUCGGUCAUGUCUACAUAGUUCUCGAACCCGUAUGGACCCACGCUUAAAGUUACGAUGACAGUUAUAUUAUGAGUUUAUAUGUUUUGAUGUACCGAAGGUUGUUCGGAGUCCCGGGUGUGAUCGCGGACAUGACGAGGAGUCACGAAAUGGUCGAGACAUAAAGAUUGAUAUAUUGGACGACUAUAUUCGGACACCGGAAGUGUUCCGGAGAAGUUUCGGAUAAAACCGGAGUGCCGGAGGGGUUACCGGAACCCCCCGGGGAAGUAUUGGGCCUUAGUGGGCCUUGAGGGGAGAGAGAGGGCAGCAGCCAGGAGGUGGCGCGCCCCCUCCCAUGAGGAGUCCUAAUUGGACUAGGAGAGGGGGGCGCAACCCCUCUUUCCCUCUCCCUCUCCCUCUCUUUCCUUCCCCCCCUCUCUUCCUAGUUGGACUAGGAAAGGGGAGUCCUACUCCUACUAGGAGGAGGACUCCCCCCCUCUCCUUGGCGCGCCCAAGGCAGCCGGCCUCCCCCUUGCUCCUUUAUAUACGGGGGCAGGGGGGCACCUCUAGACACACUUGAUAUACGAUAUUUUAGCCAUGUGCGGUGCCCCCCUCCACCAUAUUACACCUCGAUAAUACCGUUGCGGAGCUUAGGCGAAGCCCUGCGUCGGUGGAACAUCAUCAUCGUCACCACGCCGUCGUGCUGACAAAACUCUCCCUCAACACUCGGCUGGAUCGGAGUUCGAGGGACGUCAUCGAGCUGAACGUGUGCUGAACUCGGACGUGCCGUGCGUUCGAUACUUGAUCGGUCGGAUCGUGAAGAUGUACGACUACAUCAACCGCGUUGUGAUAACGCUUCUGCUGUCGGUCUACGAGGGUACGUGGACAACACUCUCCCCUCUCGUUGCUAUGCAGCACCAUGAUCUUGCGUGUGCGUAGGAAUUUUUUUGAAAUUACUACAUUCCCCAACAAUCCAUAGAUUCAUUAUUAUUCUCAAUCGAAGUAGAAAAAGGCAUAUCAUUAGGAUCAGAAGAAACACUUUUAUUAGCAAAUAAUUUCAUAAGUUCAUCCAUCUUUCCACUCAAAACAUUAAUUUCUUCUAUCGCAUGCACUUUUUUAUUAGUGGAUCUUUCGGUGUGCCAUUGAGAAUAAUUAACCAUAAUAUUAUCUAGGAGUUUAGUAGCUUCUCCUAAAGUGAUUUCCAUAAAAGUGCCUCCGCGGCCGAAUCUAAAGACUUCUAGAAGAAAAAUUCAAUCUGGCAUAAAUUUUUUGUAUAAUCAUCCACAAAUUCAAACCAUGAGUAGGGCAAUUACGUAUCAUUAAUUUCAUCCUCCCGCAAGCUUGUCCAACAUGUUCAUGAUCAAGUUGCUUAAAAUUCAUAAUAUCGUUUCUAAGAGAGAUGAUCUUAGCGGGAGGAAAAUACAUAGAGAUAAAAGCAUCUUUGCACUUAUUUCAAGAAUCACUACUAUUUUUAGGCAAAGACGAAAACCAAGCUUUAGCACGAUCUCUAAGCGAAAAAGGAAAUAGCUUCAAUUUAACAAUAUCAUUGUCCACAUCUUUCUUCUUUUGCAUAUCACACAAAUCAACGAAGCUGUCUAGAUGGGUAGCGGCAUCUUCACUAGGAAGGCCGGGGAAUUGAUCUUUCAUGACAAGAUUCAACAAAGCGGCAUUAAUUUCACAAGAUUCAGUAUCGGUAAGAGGAGCAAUCGGAGUGCUAAGAAAAUCAUUGUUGUUGGUAUUGGUAAAGUCACACAAUUUAGUAUUAUCUUGAGCCAUCGUGACAAGCAAGCAAUCCAACACACGAGCAAACAAGAAGCAAGCGAAAAAGAGGCGAACAGAAAGAGAGGGCGAAUAAAACGGCAAGGGUGAAGUGGGGGAGAGGAAAACGAGAGGCAAAUGGCAAAUAAUGUAAUGCGGGAGAUAAGGGUCUGUGAUGGGUACUUGGUAUGUUGACUUUUGCGUAGACUCCCCGACAACGGCGCCAGAAAUCCUUCUUGCUACCACUUGAGCACUGCGUUGGUUUUCCCUUGAGGAGGAAAGGGUGAUGCAGUAAAGCAGCGUAAGUAUUUCCCUCUGUUUUUGAGAACCAAGGUAUCAAUCCAGUAGGAGGCCACGCACGAGUCCCUCGCACCUACACAAACAAAUAAAAUCCUCACAACCAACGCAAUAAAGGGGUUGUCAAUCCCUUCACGGUCACUUACGAAAGUGAGAUCUGAUAGAUAUGAUAAGAUAAUAUUUUUGGUAUUUUUAUGAUAAAGAUGCAACGUAAAGAAAGCAAAAUAAAAACAGCGCCAGAAAUAGCUUGUUGACGGGAGAUUAAAUAUGAUGGAAAAUAGACCUGGGGGCCAUAGGUUUCACUACUGGCUUCUCUCGAGAGCAUAAGUAUUACGGUGGGUAGACAAAUUACUGUUGAGCAAUUGACAGAAUUGAGCAUAGUUAUGAAAAUAUCUAGGUAUGAUCAUGUAUAUAGGCAUCACGUCCGAGACAAGUAGACCGACUCCUGCCUGCAUCUACUACUAUUACUCCACACAUCGACCGCUAUCCAGCAUGCAUCUAGAGUAUUAAGUUCAAAAGAACAGAGUAACGCUUUAAGUAAGAUGACAUGAUGUAGAGGGAUAAACUCAUGCAAUAUGAUAUAAACCCCAUCUUGUUAUCCUCGAUGGCAACAAUACAAUACGUGCCUUGCUGCCCCUACUGUCACUGGGAAAGGACACCGCAAGAUUGAACCCAAAGCUAAGCACUUCUCCCAUUGCGAGAAAGAUCAAUCUAGUAGGGCAAACCAAACCGAUAAUUCGAAGAGACUUGCAAAGAUAACCAAUCAUACAUAAAAGAAUUCAGAGAAGAUUCAAAUAUUGUUCAUAGAUAAACUUGAUCAUAAACCCACAAUUCAUCGGUCUCAACAAACACACCGCAAAAGAAGAUUACAUCGAAUAGAUCUCCACAAGAGAGGGGGAGAACAUUGUAUUGAGAUCCAAAAAGAAAGAAGAAGCCAUCUAGCUAAUAACUAUGGACCCGAAGGUCUGAGGUAAACUACUCACACAUCAUCGAGAGGCUAUGGUGUUGAUGUAGAAGCCCUCCAUGAUCGAUGCCCCCUCCGGCGGAGCUCCGGAAAAGGCCCCAAGAUGGGAUCUCACGGGUACAGAAGGUUGCGGCAGUGGAAUUAGAUUUUUGGCUCCGUAUCUGGUAGUUUGGGGGUACGUAGGUAUAUAUAGGAGGAAGAAGUACGUCGGUGGAGCAACGUCGGCCCCACGAGGGUGGAGGGCGUGCCCGGGGGGUAGGCGCGCCCCCUACCUCGUGCCUUACUGGUAGCUUUCUUGACGUAGGGUCCAAGUCCUCUGGAUCACGUUCGUUCCGAAAAUCACGUUCCCGAAGGUUUCAUUCCAUGGAACAAUAAAAAAAUAUAGAUACGUUGGAGACGUAUCAGUGCAUGUUAGACGUAGAAAAUUUUCAAGGCUGUAAGAGGAAGUUAUCUCCCGUUCAUCAUCAAACAUGCAUUGUUCCCUCUCGGAACCACGAACCUUCUAGGGAGUUGCUCCGGUUUGUGAGGGGUGUGUGUCCAAACUUUCGUCAAACAUGCCAAUUUCUUUACCACAUCAUCUUGGUGGCUUGACAUUAAAUCAAGCAAGGUUUCAUGUUUUCUGAUCAUUUUUUAAUUUUUUGGAAUUAAAAUGCCAUGGCAUGCACUCCAUGCAUGUGCCCAUGCCUUGACACCAAUAUGUUUGAAAAUUCCUUCUAAUUUACUGCCCAUCGAAUUAACUCGCACACAAGUACACAAAAAUAUUAUUUUUCAAACCGUUAUGGUAAGGCGUUGCAUGUAGAUGUAGUUCAAAUUUGAAUUACCGUCAUUGAAUGGUUGGAAAAUCACUUAAAUGUCUUUAAAAGGUCAAAUGACCCCUGAAAUUUACCAAAUUUUCACAUGACAGUUGUAUUAGUGCACGUUAAAAGUAGGAAAAAAUGGCCGUAAGAGGAAGUUAUCUCCCGUUCGUCAUCAAACAUGCAUUGUUCCCUCUCGGAACCACGAACCUUCCAGUGAGUUGCUCUGGUUUGUGAGGGGUGUGUGUCCAAACGUUCGUCAAACAUGCCAAUUUCUUUACCACAUCAUCUUGGUGGCAUGACAUUACAUCAACUAAGGUUUCAUAUGUUUUUGAUCAUUUUUAUAUUUUUUUGAAUUAAAAUGCCAUGUCACUCCAUGCAUACGUAUGCAUGUGUCCAUGCCGUGAGACCCAUAUGUUUGAAAAUUCGUUCUAAUUUACUGCACAUGGAAUAAACUCGCACACACGUACAUAGAUAUGAUUUUUCACACUGUUUCGGAUAGGCGUUGCAUAUAAAUGUAGUUCAAAUUUGAAUUAUGGUCAUUAAAUAUGUAGCGACCCGACCUCAGACGGUCAAGUCUCUGUGCUCAAGUGUCAUCCCUGGAUCGGUAUGCUGACACACAUAGUACUGGAGGAUUUAUAACAGAGGUAAAUCACAUGUAUAAAGUAAUGUAAAUACUAUUACCUCAAUCCAAAUAGCGGAAGUAACAACAAGGUUGUGGAUUCCCAUCAACACCAACGGCAAAGUUGAGUGUAGAAAUCGUAACCCUAACGUAUCACUUACUCGUCGUAAGAAUCCUGCAACAUGAGACGUUGCAGCCACAAAGGGUCAGUACAUUGAAUGUACUGGCAAAUUCACACCAUAGAGAAAUUAUGAACAAUGGCUAUCACUACAUGCAUAUAUGGCUGGUGGAAAAGCUCUAUGGUUAUAAUGUUUUUGCGAAAAGCCAAUUUUUCCCUACUGCAAAGGAAUAUAUUUUAUUUAACUACAAAGUUUGUUGAAAAAUAUUGAGAAGGUAAACCCCCUCUCAAUCCCAAUUAAAAGUAAUCAUUAACAACCCAACAAAUUAAGAUUAAAAGUGAUGAGAUCAACAUGAUAAUCCCAGAACCAGAUACUCAAGAUGUCCAUAACCGGGGACACGGCUAACCAUGAUUAGUUUGUACACUCUCUAGAGGUUUGCGCACUUUUCCCCACAAGACUCGAUCUCCUCCGUUUGAUUUCUCGCACUACAUGGUGUUUGAGAAACGGAUGACCGAGACACAGUCUUUCAGAAGCGUUAGCACCUUACGAUGGGUAGACAGUUACACCUACUUUCCCCUACAUCUGCUAGUCUACCACUGUAAGAGUUCACACGACUUAAUAAACUAUGCUAGAGCCCAUAAUAGCUUGUGGCUGCACACGGAAGUUUCUAGUAUGAAUAAUCUCAUGAUCCCUUUGAGCCUGGGUGGCAGUCCAUAGGAGAAUCACACGGUACCCCGGGAUUUCAAAAAAAUACAGGCAAUCACUGGAAUUCCCCAGGUGCAUCAAUCCACCCAGAUGUGUAUCGAAGUUGCCACCUUAAGUUGAACCAUUACUUAACAAUACUCACAUCUAUCAUGAAUACUCUCAAACCCAAUCCACGUCAACGAGCAUAGCAUGGCAAUAUAAGCAUAACGUAAUAGUAACUCCCAAGGUUUGAAUGCAGGGCAAUAGGUUCCUACCUCAUCAACUACUUCCCAAUACCCACAUGUUAUCAAUUCCUAACCAUGCAAUUUUUGAGGGUGAAACUAAUGCAUAAAAACUGGGUAUGAAAGGGAUAUGAUCAAAGUGUGAACUUGCCUGCAAUGUUGAUGAAGAUGAUUCGCACUCAUAACUAUUGAUAGUUCUACUCGGCACACUCCGGUCAAUCUAUCGUGAGCAAGCAAUAGUAACCACACAUAAGCAAUCACUCAAAAGAUCGGAAAGAGCGAAGAAUACGAUUCAGAAAACAUCAAAACCAAGCAAACAACUCUUGCAACAUAAAACAAUUUCUAACAGUACCAAAAUUAUGUGAAUUUGGCCUUAUCACAAAGUUUAGGUCACGAGCUUCGAUAAGCAAAAAGAAUCAACUAAAUCGGAGCUACGAAACUCAAGUUAUGAUCAAAAGAAUAUUCAAAUUCAAAUGUGUUUGAAACAAAUUUUAAAUUUUCAAAAACAUGUUUAAGUUGUUUACCUGGAUAGAGGGGAUCAUAACAAAGACGUGGGCGUUGGUUUCGUUGGAUUUGGAUAAACGAGUAAAAAGAUGUGGUCGUUUGAAGAUCAGGGACUGAACUGUGAAUAAAAUAUUCACGGAUGGGUCCCUGGCCGAAAACUAAAAUAAAAAGAAAAAUCCUAUCGAACGAAUGUUCGCUACAGAACGCUAACGAACGAAAACCGUUCACUACAGAACCCUAACUAACGAACGCUCGCAAAAAAAUAAAAACCUAAAUAAUAAACCGAUCUAAAAGAAUAAAACCGAAGAAAAAUCGGGGUGGUUUAAAUUGGUUUAUACCGGUUCAAGGGAAAUAAACCGAAGGCGGCGGUUACUCCGGCGAGACGACGGCUCCGGCGAGUGCGAGCGUCGGCGGCUGCGCGAGGCGGCGGCGCUGGCGGCUAGCGGUGGCGAGGACGGCGGCNNNNNNNNNNNNNNNNNNNNNNNNNNNNNNNNNNNNNNNNNNNNNNNNNNNNNNNNNNNNNNNNNNNNNNNNNNNNNNNNNNNNNNNNNNNNNNNNNNNNNNNNNNNNNNNNNNNNNNNNNNNNNNNNNNNNNNNNNNNNNNNNNNNNNNNNNNNNNNNNNNNNNNNNNNNNNNNNNNNNNNNNNNNNNNNNNNNNNNNNNNNNNNNNNNNNNNNNNNNNNNNNNNNNNNNNNNNNNNNNNNNNNNNNNNNNNNNNNNNNNNNNNNNNNNNNNNNNNNNNNNNNNNNNNNNNNNNNNNNNNNNNNNNNNNNNNNNNNNNNNNNNNNNNNNNNNNNNNNNNNNNNNNNNNNNNNNNNNNNNNNNNNNNNNNNNNNNNNNNNNNNNNNNNNNNNNNNNNNNNNNNNNNNNNNNNNNNNNNNNNNNNNNNNNNNNNNNNNNNNNNNNNNNNNNNNNNNNNNNNNNNNNNNNNNNNNNNNNNNNNNNNNNNNNNNNNNNNNNNNNNNNNNNNNNNNNNNNNNNNNNNNNNNNNNNNNNNNNNNNNNNNNNNNNNNNNNNNNNNNUUAAAUAAUGGGAGGGGGCGACGGGUGGCGUGGAGGAGGGGUCAAGGGGAGAGGCAGCGAGGAGGAGUCCGCGGCGCGGAUGGCUCAGACGCCGAGGCGGCGGCGGUGGCGUGCGGGAUCCGGCCUCCUGCGUGAGAUCGGGGACGGCGCGACCGGGCUGGGCUAGGCCUGGCCCGGUUGGGUGCUGGGCCGGCCCAGUCGGCGAAGAAGAAUUUUUUUUAAAACACUGGCAAACAAAAUAAAUAAAACAAAGGAAAAAAUAUAUAUAUUAUAUAGGCAUAUAAUAUAUCAAAAUUUUCAGAAAAAGAUUUUCUACAAGAUGAACAUUUUCCUAACGUCAAAUAAACUCCACACAAACUCAAAUAAUUCAAAGAGUCCUACUACCCUACUAAAAUCCAAUAAAAUUAUUUUAAAAAUACCAAAAGGAUUUCAAACUUAUUUAUCUCCAAUUUUCUGAUGUAGGGAAUCAUGUUACCCUAUUUUCCAUAUAUUUUAUUUUUGGAGAAAAACAAUUCGAAUAAAACUCAAAUAACUCCAAAUUAAAAAUAAAUUCAAAAAGGACUUUAAAUUUGAUCAUUGAAACUCCCAUCUCAUAUUUCAUGAAGAAGUCAUUUUAUCUUCUCUCGUGAAAAUCAUUGAGUUGCAUAAAGUUUCUGAAUUGGAAAAUAUUUCCAAAUGGAAUUCAAAUAUUUUUCGAACACCCUUUUCAUUUAUUUAAAUGGAAGAUGUCAUGUCAUCUACUCUCCAGGGUUUUGAAUUUUGAAAAGAAUUUGAAUUCACGAAGAUCAUAAAUGCAAAAAUGAAAGUUUGGGAAAGUCCUUUUAUUCCCUCUCAUUUAAUUUUCAAAAAGUUCGAAUUUCAAUCACUUUCAGUCAAUCAUUCACACAACAAUCAAACAAUCAAUCAAAUCUAUCUAUUUAUCAUAACAUUCCAAAAUUUAGAAUUUUGGGAUGUUAUGAACCUACCACCCUUAAAAUGAAUCUCGUCCUCGAGAUUCGGAGGGGCUAGCAAGAAAUAGGUUAGGUUUGGGGUCUUCUUAAAAUCCAUCGAUCAUCACAGGGGGUCUGGGGUGCUACCACCCUUAGAAACAUCGUUACGGUCCCAUCAAUACUCAUAUACUCCAUCCUUAUUCUUGACAGGGCCGGUCUUCUCAGAUUCUCGAGAUAAUUCCUUCUCUAGGCUCUUCCGGUAGUGGCAUAACCUUUACCACAAUUCUUCUGUCCUUUCAUCUUGGUAAGGUUCUUCCAUGACUGGGUCUUCUUAGCUGACGGGUCUGGCGCCAAAACUAAACAACUAUCGAUAUCUCAUGGUGGUCAUCAAUUUAUGGUUUCUCCUGCAGGAAAUGGGUCUGGUUGAUCCUCACACGGUAGGCAAAAGCUGCCUUGUACAAGGGAAAAAAUACUUAUACCAUUCUAAGGUUUAAACAAGGUUUUGAUCAUCGUCUCUCUACUAUGGGUAAGUCACUCAGAUUUACCAUCCCACAUAGCAAGGCGAAUAAUAAGAGUAAGUUGGUAUGGUGAUCAAUCCAUCCCGCACCCAAAUCUCGCAUUCUAACACUCGGUCAUCCUCACAAGCAUUGCAGAAUUUCUCUUGUCGACGAACCAGGUUCGGAUGAAUCCAUUGAUUCUGCAAGCCAAACAAUCAUCUAUCGUUCCUUCACAACUCUCAGGUUUUGCGUAACUCCUAUAAGAUCGUCUGUCGAUAAAAUCGUAACUCCUUCCAGGGUUUUUCCUUUAGCAAGAGUGUGCUUGCUUCUUCGCAGGUCCUGGGACCUGUGGGUUAUGGCCCAUCUCAUCACUUGUAAACCGUGAACUCAUCAUCUGGGCCAACUGAUCAUUAUCUCAACAUCUAACUUCCAGCUUCCUAGCAUUCUUAAAUCCAUCCAAUUGUACUAUCUUCCUUCCUUCUAUUGGCACCAAACUAGGACAUGAUUACUCAGACUCGUCAUGGAAUUUACAUUGAUCCAUAUUUCCAACAUCAUACCUCCUUUAUGUCCAAUAGUACUUCAUCUCUUCAUAUUCUUGGGGUAUCCAACAUAUCGAGAUAAAACUCGUACUUAUUUUGUCCGAAAUCCACUUCGGGGAAUAACAUCAUUAUCCUUUCCAGGGUCAGGCAUCCUUACAGGGGAAUAUUGGCCAUCUCUGCAUGGCACUCUUCAACUGGGAAACGUGAAACACAUCAUGAACUCCUGACAGUCCUUCGGGUAACUCCAACUUGUAGGCCACUUCUCUCAUACGCUCCAAAACUCGGUAUGGUCCUACAAAUCUCGGGGCUAACUUUUCCUUAACUCCAAAUCGUUUAACUCCUCGCAAAGGUGGCACACGAAGAUAUGAUCUGUCUCUGAUUUCAUAGACUACCUCCUUGCAUUUUGAGUCUACAUAACUCUUCUGCCUGGACCGAGCUACCUUCAGUCUAUCUCGAAUCAACUUAACAUUCUCUUCUGACUCCUUGAUCACAUUUGGUCCAAACAACUGACGGUCUCCAACUUCAUCCCACAUCAACAGUGUCUGGCUCCUUCUCCCAUACAAAGCUUCAAAAGGGGCCAUCUUCAAACAGGCUUGGAAACUGUUGUUGUAUGAGAACUCCGCGUAAGGUAGAUUAUCAUCCUACUAGAUCCAUAAUCUAGCGCACACGCUCUCAACAUGUCCUCCAGAAUCUGAUUGACUCUCUCGGUCUAUCCAUCUGUCUGCGGAUGAAAGGUUGUACUGAACUCUAGCCUAGUACCCAAAGUCUGGUGCAGCUGAUUCCAAAACAUUUUUUUUGACAGAAAGACUGUAAGGGAACCCCUUACAGUAUAAUUGGUGCAACAAACCCAAAUUGCAAGUACCAUGCCUUGAACCUGGGUGGGUGGGAAGGCAUCAGCCCCUUCCCACCACUAGGCUAUGCCUUAGUCUGUUGAUUCCAAAACAUUGAGGUAAACUGUGUUCCUCUAUCUGAUACGAUGGUCCUCAGAACUCCAUGCAGACAUACGAUCCUGUUCAUAUAUAUCUUGGCCAACUUCGCACUUGUAUAGGUGGUUUUCACUGGGAUAAGGUGAGCCACUUUGGUCAAGCGAAUCAACUACUACCCAGAUAGAAUCAUAUCCCGAUCUGGUUCUGAGAAAUCCGGUAAUGAAAUCCAUGCCAAGCUUAUCCCACUUCCAUUCGGGUAUCGGCAUAGGCUGUAGUAAUCCGGCUGGCUUAUGAUGCCCUGCCUUUACUCUCUGGCAUACAUCACCAACGACUACAUACUCCGCAAUAUCCUUCUUCAUACCAGUCCACCAUAAACGCUCCUUCAAAUCCAAAAACAUCUUGGUGUUUCCAGGGCGAAUCGAGUAUGGUGAGUCAUGAGCCUCCUGAAGUAUUAACUUCCCGAUCUUUGCAUUAUUGGGCACAUAUACACGGUCCUCGAGGCAUAAGGUGUCAUGCUCAUCCUUACGAAAUCCUCUGGCCUUUCCUUUCCUCAUCCUCUCUUUUACCUCAGCAAUUUCUUUGUCAUCCUUCUGAGCUUCACGGAUCUUUCCCAACAAUGUAGACUGAACUUCCCUUGCUGCAAGAAAACCUUUGGGAACAAUCUCCAACCGAAGUUCCCUUAGAUCCUCGGCUAACUCCUUUGGUAAUCCUCCGCUUUUGAGGGUAUUCGUCCUUGUUUUCUUAAUGGUUGUGUCCUAUUUCUCCACAAAGCUUGUAUGCACAAGGUUUCUUCAUAUCCUUUCCAUAAGGCCUCAACUUUUGGGACACAAGACGAGAUCUUUGCAGAGUCAGCUUAAAUUCUUCCCAAGUGGUUACUCUUUGCCAUCCAUUGAUGGUUUGGUACAUCCUCCACCAAGUAGCAGCACCUCUUUCAAAACACUGCAGAGCAUGCUGGGUCAUAUCCUUUCUGGCUACAGAGUUAUUCUUCAUGUGAUCCGCCAAGUUCUGAAUCCAUCGGUCCGUCUCCAAUUGACUUAUCGGUCCCGGAACUGUGAGUUCAUCUCCAUUCAUCCUCUAUUGGGUCCAUGGGUUUGGGGUGAGAUAAGAGAGAUAGAGAGGGAUACACACAACACAACCAAUAGUUUUGAAAAGACAAAUUUUUAUUUGUGGCUGUCGGAAAGACAUCAAACAAAUGACAGCUCACAAACGUCGCAUCUAACAUAGGUAUAUAACCGGGUUUGGUAUUCUAAAGGUCAAUAAAUCUUCAACAUCGUCAAACUCUUCAAGUCUUGUUCAUGUCUACGGUGGCUUCUUCCGAUCAUGCUUGUCUUUCGCAAGUCCUUUUGCCAGAUCCUCUCUGUUGACGCGAAGUCUCUCGUGGCUUCCUUUAAUAAUUGCGUUCCAAACUUCUGGAUUUCAACAUCCUUGGCAUGAACUAUAGUCCUACUGUCCUUCAGUUCCUGACGUAUCUCCGGUAUCUUGAGGUUUUGCUCCUCUAGCUUGGCUACUUUCAACUUCUGGGUCCUGAGUUCUUCACGAAACGCUUCCUUAUGAAAUACUGCUUCUUGUAGGUCCAUCUUACCUUCUUGAUGUAACACUCCAGAUCCUGGUGAUACACCGGCUAAGGUUAAAACUUCAUCUUGCUGAUAGGUGCUCCAUCAGCCUUCUGCCAUCCAAUACUUCCAUGCAUAUGCAUGCUUAACUCGGCACGGUGACAAUAGCAUAAGCGGGCGAUAACAUCGUGGAUAGCAGUGUUUCUGCUCUUGUCAUUUCCAUGAGCUAUUUCUCCAUAGUUGAUAUCUCCUGCCUUAGGGUUUUCCUUGACAAAACUUUGUUUUCUAAUGCUCCACGUUCUAGUAUUUCUCCAAUACACCUUGAUAUCGGGCAUUGACGGCUUCCAUAGUCUGCCAACUUCCAUAAGGGUAGCCAUUCCUAGGUCAUACAAAUCCGGGAAUUCCUCAGAGCCUUCAAAUUCUCCUAGUCUUCAGAGUCUUCAACCGUUGUAGUUUCCAUUUACACGGUAAAAUCUUCUUCAUUCCAAAAUGGUCUUAGUUGUCCGAUAUCUUGUACUUCUUGAAGUGGUCUCAUCCGUCGAAUUUUCGAGUGGUCCAAAGGGAAAAGGGGUAUGGUCUCACUUAAAGGGAAUGUUUGAAUAAGCUCAGAAGAGAAGAGAGGUAAAAGAUCUUUUUGAAAAAGAAAGUUCUAGAGAAAAUUCCUUCCUAUGGGCUUGCCAGUUUCUAGGGUCACGUCCUACAGUCAACAUGUGCUCUGAUACCAUCUUGUAGCGACACGACCUCAAACGGUCAAGUCUCUGUGCUUAAGUGUCAUCCCUGGAUCGGUAUGCUAACACACAUAGUACUAGAGGAUUUAUAACAUAGGUAAAUCACAUGUAUAAAGUAACGUAAAUACUAUUACCUCAAUCCAAAUAGCGGAAGUAACAACAAGGUUGUGGAUUCCCAUCAACACCAACGACAAAGUUGAGUGUAGAAAUCAUAACCCUAACAUAUCACUUACUCGUCGUAAGAAUCCUGCAACAUGAGACGUUGCAACCACAAAGGGUCAGUACAUUGAAUGUACUGGCAAAUUCACACCAUAGAGAAAUGAUGAACAAUGGCUAUCACUACAUGCAUAUAUGGCUGGUGGAAAAGCUCUAUGGUUAUAAUGUUUUUGCGAAAAGCCAAUUUUUCCCUACUACAAAGGAAUAUAUUUUAUUUAACUACAAAGUUUGUUGAAAAAUAUUGAGAAGGUAAACCCCCUCUCAAUCCCAAUUAAAAGUAAUCAUUAACAACCCAACAAAUUAAGAUUAAAAGUGAUGAGAUCAACAUGAUAAUCCAAGAACCAGAUACUCAAGAUGUCCAUAACCGGGGACACGGCUAACCAUGAUUAGUUUGUACACUCUGCAGAGGUUUGCGCACUUUUCCCCACAAGACACGAUCUCCUCCGUCUGAUUUCUCGCACUACAUGGUGUUUGAAAAACGGAUGACCGAGACACAGUCUUUCAGAAGCGUUAGCACCUUACGAUGGGUAGACAGUUACACCUACUUUCCCCUACAUCUGCUAGUCUACCACUGUAAGAGUUCACACGACUUAAUCAACUAUGCUAGAGCCCAUAAUAGCUUGUGGCUGCACACGGAAGAUUCUAUUAUGAAUAAUCUCAUGAUCCCUUUGAGCCUGGGUGGCAGUCCAUAGGAGAAUCACACGGUACCCCGGGAUUUCAAAAAAAUACAGGCAAUCACUGGAAUUCCCCAGGUGCCUCAAUCCACCUAGAUGUGUAUUCAAGUUGCCACCUUAAGUUGAACCAUUACUUAACAAUACUCACAUCUGUCAUGAAUACUCUCAAACCCAAUCCACGUCUACGAGCAUAGCAUGGCAAUAUAAGCAUAACGUAAUAGUAACUACCAAGGUUUGAAUGCAGGGAAUAGGUUCCUACCUCAUCAACUACUUCCCAAUACCCACAUGUUAUCAAUUCCUAACCAUGCAAUGUUUGAGGGUGAAACUAAUGCAUAAAAACUGGGUAUGAAAGGGAUAUGAUCAAAGUGUGAACUUGCCUGCAAUGUUGAUGAAGAUGAUUCGCACUCAUAACUCUUGAUAGUUCUACUCGUCACACUCCGGUCAAUCUAUCGUGAGCAAGCAAUAGUAACCACACAUAAGCAAUCACUCAAAAGAUCGGAAAGAACGAAGAAUACGAUUCAGAAAACAUCAAAACCAAGCAAACAACUCUUGCAACAUAAAACAAUUUCUAACAGUACCAAAAUUAUGUGAAUUUGGCCUUAUCAGAAAGUUUAGGUCACGAGCUUCGAUAAGCAAAAAGAAUCAACUAAAUCGGAGCUACGAAACUCAAGUUAUGAUCAAAAGAAGAUUCAAAUUCAAAUAUAUUUGAAACAAAAUUUAAAUUAUCAAAAACAUGUUUAAGUUGUUUAUCUGGAUAGAGGGGAUCAUAACAAAGACGUGGGCGUUGGUUUCGUUGGAUUUGGAUAAACGAGUAAAAAGAUGUGGUCGUUUGAAGAUCAGGGACUGAACUGUGAAUAAAAUAUUCAUGGAUGGGUCCCUGGCCGAAAACUAAAAGAAAAAGAAAAAUCCUAUCGACCGAACGUUCUCUACAGAACGCUAACGAACGAAAACCGUUCACUACAGAACCCUAACUAAUGAACGCUCGCAAAAAAAUAAAAACCUAAAUAAUAAACCGAUCUAAAAGAUAAAACUGAUCUAUAUAAAAAACCGAAGAAAAAUCGGGGUGGUUUAAAUUGGUUUAUACCGGUUCGAGGGAAAUAAACUUAAGGCGGCGGUUACUCCGGCGAGACGACGGCUCCGGCGAGUGCGAGCGUCGGCGGCGGCGCGAGGCGGCGCCGCUGGCGGCUAGCGGUGGCNNNNNNNNNNNNNNNNNNNNNNNNNNNNNNNNNNNNNNNNNNNNNNNNNNNNNNNNNNNNNNNNNNNNNNNNNNNNNNNNNNNNNNNNNNNNNNNNNNNNNNNNNNNNNNNNNNNNNNNNNNNNNNNNNNNNNNNNNNNNNNNNNNNNNNNNNNNNNNNNNNNNNNNNNNNNNNNNNNNNNNNNNNNNNNNNNNNNNNNNNNNNNNNNNNNNNNNNNNNNNNNNNNNNNNNNNNNNNNNNNNNNNNNNNNNGGUAGCGGCGCGAUCCGGCGGCGGCGAGGUGCGGUGCGACGGUGCGGCGAGGAGCGGCAAAGUGCGGCGGCGGCGGCAUGACGCGAGGGCGGCAGCGCGGCUCGGAAAGUGGAGCGGCGUGGAGGAGGGGUCAAGGGGAGAGGCGGCGAGGAGGAGUCCGCGGCGGGGACGGCUCGGACGCCGAGGCGGCGUCGGUGGCGUGCGGGAUCCGGCCUCCUGCGUGAGAUCGGGGACGGCGCGACUGGGCUGGGCUUGGCCUGGCCCGGUUGGGUGGUGGGCCGGCCCCGUCGGCGAAGAAGAUUUUUUUUAAAACACUGGCAAACAAAAUAAAUAAAACAAAGGAAAAAAUAUAUAUAUUAUAUAGGNNNNNNNNNNNNNNNNNNNNNNNNNNNNNNNNNNNNNNNNNNNNNNNNNNNNNNNNNNNNNNNNNNNNNNNNNNNNNNNNNNNNNNNNNAUAUAAUAUAUCAAAAUUUUCAGAAAAAUAUUUUCUACAAGAUGAACAUUUUCCUAACGUCAAAUAAACUCCACACAAACUCAAAUAAUUCAAAGAGUGCUACUGUCUUACUAAAAUCCAAUAAAAAUCAUUUUAAAAAUACCAAAAUGAUUUCAAACUUAUUUAUCUCCAAUUUUCUGAUGUAGGGAAUCAUGUUACCCUAUUUUCCAUAUAUUUUAUUUUUGGAGAAAAACAAUUCGAAUAAAACUCAAAUAACUCCAAAUUAAAAAUAAAUUCAAAAAGGACUUUAAAUUUGAUCUUUGAAACUCCCAACUUAUAUUUCAUAAUUUGAAGAAGUCAUUUUAUCUUCUCUGGUGAAAGUCAUUGAGUUGCAUAAAGUUUCUGAAUUGGAAAAUAUUUCCAAAUGGAAUUCAAAUAUUUUUCAAACACCCUUUUCAUUUAUUUAUAUGGAAGAAGUCAUGUCAUCUUCUCUCUAGGGUUUUGUAUUUUGAAAAGAAUUUGAAUUCACGAAGAUCAUAAAUGCAAAAAUGAAAGUUUGGGAAAGUCCUUUUAUUCCCUCUCAUUUAACUUUCAAAAAGUUCGAAUUUCAAUCACUUUCAAUCAAUCAUUCACACAACAAUCAAACAAUCAAUCAAAUCUAUCUAUUUAUCAUAACAUUCCAAAAUUUAGAAUUUUGGGAUGUAACAAAAUGGUUAGAAAAUCACUUAAAUGUUUUUAAAAGGCCACAUGACCCCUAGAAUUUUGCAAAAUUUCACAUUACAGUUGUAGUAGUGCACGUUAGACAUAGAAAAAAUUUGUAGGACGUAAGAGGAAGCUAUCUCCCGUUCGUCAUCAAACAUGCAUUGUUCCCUCUCGGAACCACGAACCUUCUAGCGAGUUGCUCCGGUUUGUGAGGGGUGUGUUUCCAAACUUUCGUCACACAUGCCAAUUUCUUUACCACAUCAUCUUGGUGGCAUGACAUUACAUCAACCAAGGUUUCAUGUGUUUCUGAUUUUUUUUGGAAUUAAAAAGCCAUGCCACUCCAUGCAUACGUAUUCGUGCAUAUAUGUCCAUGUCGUAAUACAAAUAUGUUUGAAAAUUCCUUCUAGUUUACUGCACAUGGAAUUAACUCGCACACAAGUACACAAAUUUGAUUUUUCAAACCGUUUCGGUUACGCGUUGCAUGUAGAUGUAGUUCAAAUUUCAAUUACGGUCAUUAAAUGGCUAGAAAAUCACUUAAAUGUCUUUAAAAGGUCGAAUGACCCCUAGAAUUUUCAAAAAUUUCACAUUACAGUUGUAGUAGUGCACAUUAGACGUACAAAAAUUUGAAGGCCGUAAGAGAAAGCUAUCUCCCGUUUGUCAUCAAACAUGGAUUGUUCCCUCUCGGAACCACGAGCCUUCUAGUGAGUUGCUUCGGUUUGUGAGGGGUGUGUGUCCAAACUUUGGUCAAUCAUGCCCAUUUUUUUAUCACAUCAUCUUGGUGGCAUGACAUUACAUCAACCAAGGUUUCAUGUGUUUCUGAUUGUUUUAAUUUUUUGGAAUUAAAAUGCCAUGUCACUCCAUGCUUAAUUGUGUCAUAGCCGUUAGACCAAUAUGUUCGAAAAUUCCUUCCAAUUUACUACACAUGGAAUUAAAUCGCACACAAGUACACGAAAUAUGAGUUUUCAAACCGUUAUGGUUAGCUGUUGCAUGUAUAUGUAGUUCAAAUUUCAAUUACGGUCAUUAAAUGACUAGAAAAUCACUUAAAUGACUUAGAAGGUCAAAUGACCCCUGGAAUUUUCCAAAAUUUGACAUUACAGUUGUAUUAGUACUACAAAAUUUCUCGUUCAUUUAAAACACCAUCCGUUGGCACUUCAUUCCAAAUUCGUCUUUCACAGCUAGUAAAAAAUAUCUACAACAUCACACACAGUUGUUUUCUAGGAACCGUUUGCGAUGAAAAUAUCUGGGUCUAUUUAAGUCUCCCUCCUUAAGCUUCGCCAGGCUCGUCUGCUCUAGUGCCGGCAACCCCCGAAUCCACGAAUCCCGAUCCCCAUUCCCGCACCCCCUUCUUGCAAAGAUGAGGCCGUGGAAACGCUUCGUGAAGGCCCGUACGAUGGCCGCGUCCCCCCUGAGCGCCGCCGCCUGCGCCGAGAGCGAGGCCGCCUACGCCGAGAGUGCCACCGCAUCCGCAUUGAGCGCGGCUGCUUCCGCCGAGAGGGCGUCUGCAGUAGCCGAGACGGCUGCAGCUGCUGCUGCGAUGGCGGCUGCAAACACCGAGAGCGCUCGAGCUGCCGUCCGUGCCGCUGAUGUCGCCCUGGCCCGGGUCGAGGCCAUCCACGCCAAGAUCGAGGAUGCACACGCCAAGAUAUUCCAGGCCACCUUGGACUCCAGCAUGCAACCCAUGUAUGAAAAGGCGGCGGUGGCCAUGGAGCACCUGCUUCCUCAUGAGGUCGCCGAGCGGGAGCUGCAGAUGUAGGAGGCGGCGGAGAUAGAGGAGCGCCGGGAGGAGGAGUUGCGCGUGGCCGAGGUCAAGGUAGAGAACAGUCUAUUCGUCGAGGAAUCGGCGAUGGAGUACCAACGCGAGCUCUGGCGCAGGCACUACUACGAGUACUACAACCUUGAGGGCGGCGCCGAGGACGAGGACGAGGACACGGUCGACUUCAGCAGGGGGACGCGGAGUCCACCAACGGCAGCAUGUUGCCAGGACAAGUCAUCAACGUCUCAUCGCACACCGGCGAUGCAUAGGCCGGCACGGCGGCGGAUUUUUCAUUAUGCAUACUUAGGCUUUGUUUUUAAUGCUGGUCUUUUGUUAGAGCAAUGUUUAGGUCAACUAGCUCUGUGUAAUUACUAAAAUUGUUUGAUUCUGUAAGUGUGGUCUGUCUGCUGUACGCUCUUUUGUGUGCCCAAAUUAGCAAGCGAUGUUAAAUUAUGCAAUGACGUACCCGGGGAAAUUUCCACCAAAAUUUGAAUUAUCAAACUCAUCCCAUGCGCGUAAAGCAAAAGAAUCGUUUGUGAUGCACACAAUUUUUCAAAGUGAAUGGUCCGGCGGCACCGCACGCGUUCAAAGUGAAUGUGCCCAUGCCUUGAGACCAAAAUUUUAAUUAUCAAACUCAUCCCAUGCGCGUAAAGAAGAAAUAAUCGUUUGCGAUGCACACAAUCAUUCAAAGUGAAUGGUCCAGCGGCACCGCGCGCAAAGUUUCCCUCCACAUUUCCAAAAUUUUGGCCUACCGCCAAAAUAUCUACCCCGCCCCCCCCCCCACCCCCCUUCCCCACCCCCUUUUCUCCCUGACNNNNNNNNNNNNNNNNNNNNNNNNNNNNNNNNNNNNNNNNNNNNNNNNNNNNNNNNNNNNNNNNNNNNNNNNNNNNNNNNNNNNNNNNNNNNNNNNNNNNNNNNNNNNNNNNNNNNNNNNNNNNNNNNNNNNNNNNNNNNNNNNNNNNNNNNNNNNNNNNNNNNNNNNNNNNNNNNNNNNNNNNNNNNNNNNNNNNNNNNNNNNNNNNNNNNNNNNNNNNNNNNNNNNNNNNNNNNNNNNNNNNNNNNNNNNNNNNNNNNNNNNNNNNNNNNNNNNNCUUCCUUCCUUGCUAAGCUAUAGCCGCUUCUUCGCUCUCGCCGUCUCGCAUCCUACCACCGGGGUCGCCAUGGUCUUCUUCAAAGACAUCUCCAACGGUUCCUCCUCCGGCGACUACUCCUUCACCACCCGGGUAUGCCUCUCUUCUCUCUCUCGGGCUAUGACUUGGAAUGAAGGAUUUUUACCCGGAGGUCGAUUUGAGUCGUUUCUUCCUCUUGUAGCUCCCUAAGACCAUCAGUGACAACGAAUGGAGCGGGGUGGCUGAAGAUCUAUCUGCUCAUUGUCACCAUCAAUCUCCAUGCGUGAAGAUACUUGCGUUUGAUUCUGUGGACACUGGGAGGAAGUUUCUGGCAUGUGCAGAGAAGGUUAGACCCUCUUUCGUUGUUCCAAAUCAUUUGUUAGAUGUGAUUCAGACACUGUCACGGUCCCAACCCAUUCAUACCACACCUUCAACCAAACGCAUCCUAAGAUAGUGUCAUAGUUUUUACCUAGUAUCUUAAAUUGUUUCCAUCUCAUCAGCGGUGCCAUUAGAAAAUUAUUUGGCACCGCUUCAGCGGUUUGUGCAGCCAACUUUGGUCCACACAUCCGAGCAGCCAUGCAGUAAAAUAUUAAAUCUUUAUGGCACGAAGGAACUGGGCAUCGGAGCAACUACGUGCUCCGGAGUCUGGGUCCCUGAUUCUUUUUCCGCCGCAUCGGCUUGCCAGUUCAGGGCACCGGUCUGAGAUGUAGCAACAGUUGUCUUUACACCAGUUUUGGCAUACAUAGUGGACGGCCUUAGUGCUAUUAGUUCUAUGUUACUAAAUUUGUGCAUGUACACACCUGUUAGUAUCAAUUUGCUGUCACUCAAACACUGUCGCUAUGUUGUUGCAGUUAUAUUUACCUUCCUCAUAAAAUGUUCAACUUGGUAUUUAUUGUACAUGAGUAAGAACUUGUAGCAUCGUUGUAGUCAAUUAUAGCUUCUGAUGUUCCAGAAUUUGGUUGUUGUCUCAGUAGCAAUUAUUUCAUUUGCACAUUGAUCUCUUUGAGAAGAUAUGUCAUAAUUAACAUGUGUCUUCAGUUUUUCAAAAUAAGCAUUGGUGAUUUUCUAUGUUGCUAUAAACCCAUUUCCCCUACAAUUGUUACUGAUGUAGUUUUAAAUAUUAUAGGAUGAACGGAAGUGUUCUUACUUGGAGUGGGUUGAUCAAGAGUGGCCACAGUCUUUGAAGAUGUGCCCAACGAAGCUCUGGAGCAUGCAUGAGGAAGUGAAACACAGCUAGGCUUAGAGAAAGUCUUGUCAACGCUGAAGCAUAUUUCAAGAUGUGGGAUAAAAAUUUGAAGGUGCAGAAUGAGCUCAGAUUUUAAAAAAAUACUUUGCUAAGAUGGUGUUGGCGAAGGAGGAGACACUUCCUAGUUGGCCCGUGCAAAACGGGUUCUUACUGAACUGAAAGCAGAGGUGGAUAAGACGAGCAUGGAUGAUCUCGAUUAGGAAAAUGAAUAUAUUGUUCUUAUGAAGUUGAACUAGCUAUAUGUUGUACUGUGCUGUUUUCAUGUAGCUAUCGUACUGUGAUGUUAUAAUAUAUUUAUGUGCCUGAUAUGAAAUUGGCAAACAGUUGUUCGAUAUGAAAUGUGAAUUUGCAUAAUACUGGAAUUAUUAAUUAUAAACUAAUAAACCGGCUAAAUGUGUUAUGGACCUUUGCAAACGGGUGUAGCAGUAAAAGCGCUUCCGAUGGAUAGCCCAAUGCCACACAGUUUUCUACAUCAAAUCGUGUGUGAUGUAGUUAAUGAAAGCAAAUAGUUAACCAAGGCAGAGUGUGUGUGAUAGUUAUACCUUUCACACACGAGCGUAUAGAUAAACCCGUGUGGGAUGUACAUCUGAACGGAAAUGUUUUCCCUGUAUUGACUGUGUGGGAUGUACAUAAGAACGGAAACGUAUUCGUUGGAUUAACUGUGUGUGAUAUACAUACGAACGGAAAUGAUUUUCUAGUAUUCACCAUGUGGGAUGUACAUACCUACGGAAAUGAUUUCUGGGAUGUACUGUGUGGGAUGUACAUACCUACGGAAAUGAUUUCUAGGAUUCACCGUGUGGGAUGUACAUACCUACGGAAAUGAUUAGGUUUCGAUGCCUCGCCCGAUCGCACACGGCCCCAGCCUGGCACCCAGGAGGGCCUAUCCCCGACGAUUUCUGGGUCGUGUGGGAAGGACACCCUAUCGCACACACUCACUUGGCGAUGGUUCCAAAUGCCAUCGCGGAAAGGGGUCAAAAACCGUUUGUUUAGGACCGACGCGCACCAGUGAUAGAGACGUUCACCAUUGAAAACUACUCCAUCUCACAUGAUGAUCGGACAUGGUUUAGUUAAUAUGCAUCACGUGAUCAUUUAGAUGACUAGAGGGAUGUCUAUCUAAGUGGGAGUUCUUAAGUAAUAUGAUUAAUUGAACUUAAUUUAUAAUGAACUUAGUCCUGAUACUAUUUGCAUGUCUAUGUUAUAGAUCAAUAUCUCGCGUAUAGCUCCCCUGUUUUAUUUUGAUAUGUUCCUAGAGAAAACUAAGUUGAAAGCUGAUAGUAGCAACGAUGCGGGCUGGGUCCGUGAUAUGAGGAUUAUCCUCAUUGCUGCACAGAAGAAUUAUGUCCUUGAUGCACCGCUAGGUGACAGACCUAUUGUAGGAGCAGAUGCAGACCUUAUGAACGUCUAACAAAGCUCGGUAUGAUGACUACUUGAUAGUUUAGUGCGCCAUGCUUUACUGCUUAGAACCGGGACUUCAAAAAUGUUUUGAACGCCAUAGAGCAUAUGAGAUGUUCCAAGAGUUGAAAAUGAUAUUUCAGACUCAUGCCCGUGUUAAGAGGUAUGAGACCUCUUGUCACAUCCCUAGUUCUGGUUUGCUCUAGGCUAGCUAGUCAUGUGUGCAUCAUGUUUAAAUUUCAAUGAAUUUGAAAUGGGGACAUGUGAAAGCCUCAGAAAUCAUUUCUGAAAAAGACCAAGAUAAAAAUUGCUUCAAAUAGGUCCAAGAAAAUGUUCAUGUUUCUCUAUGAAAAUAUUGGCCAGAAUUAAAAUUCAAACCAAUAUUUUUAGGAGCUCAUAAAUAUUUAUUUUGGGCAUUUGAAGCUAAUGCAAUAACUAUUUGCAUUGGAUUUAUAUUUGCUAUAUAUCGAAUAUGUGUCCAAUAAUUCUGAGAAAUUGUGAGGGGCUUUGGGAUAAUCCUUUUAGUCCCUGCAAAAUUAUCAGAAGAAAGCAAAAUGGUUUAGUGCUUAAAAAUAAAUCAAAACAAAUAACAGAAAAAGAAAACAGAAAACAGAAAUGAAAAAGGAGUCUUACCUGGCGCUUACCUCGCAUGGCCCAGCACGGCCCAGCCCACUGGCCUGGUGCCAGUCAUCGCCUACCUCUGCCAGUAGGCAGAGGAGGGACACCGCGACACCGCCGAGCUCGCCACGCCUCCUCCUGCUUGCCGCCGACCGCUUGGAGCUGGCUGGAGACGCCAUGCACCCCCCCCCCCUGGUACCCCCUCGCUCACCUCCUCGACCCAUCCCCUUCCCUGGCUCCCUCGCGAACACACCCGAGCGCCCCCGUCACCACCGCUCGCCGUAGCNNNNNNNNNNNNNNNNNNNNNNNNNNNNNNNNNNNNNNNNNNNNNNNNNNNNNNNNNNNNNNNNNNNNNNNNNNNNNNNNNNNNNNNNNNNNNNNNNNNNNNNNNNNNNNNNNNNNNNNNNNNNNNNNNNNNNNNNNNNNNNNNNNNNNNNNNNNNNNNNNNNNNNNNNNNNNNNNNNNNNNNNNNNNNNNNNNNNNNNNNNNNNNNNNNNNNNNNNNNNNNNNNNNNNNNNNNNNNNNNNNNNNNNNNNNNNNNNNNNNNNNNNNNNNNNNNNNNNNNNNNNNNNNNNNNNNNNNNNNNNNNNNNNNNNNNNNNNNNNNNNNNNNNNNNNNNNNNNNNNNNNNNNNNNNNNNNNNNNNNNNNNNNNNNNNNNNNNNNNNNNNNNNNNNNNNNNNNNNNNNNNNNNNNNNNNNNNNNNNNNNNNNNNNNNNNNNNNNNNNNNNNNNNNNNNNNNNNNNNNNNNNNNNNNNNNNNNNNNNNNNNNNNNNNNNNNNCUCCCCAUCUACCCACUCAACGCCAGACGCCUCAAAACGCCGUCCCCGACCUCUUCUACAUCGUUGGCCGCCGCGGAUCCCCAUCGUCGAAUCGUUGCCGUCCGGCCUUCCCCGAGCCCGCUUCGACGCCUGCUGCAACCGCCGUGAGCCACCGAACCGUUUCCCCCUCUCUGUUCUCGCUCUCGUGUGCCAUAGCCGCCGCACCUUGCUCGCCCGCACGCGCCGCCGCCUGUGACCACCGCCGACGAGCCUCCGGCCACCUAGCGGUCCGUCCGUUGUGCUCAACUUCCUUCCCGCGCCACGUAGAGCACGUAGGUGCCCCGCACGAGCCUCCCCGGCCACCGUAGCGUCGACCCCGAGCUCACCCGAGCUCCGGCGACCGCCAAGGACGAUGCCGGCGACAACCCCGGCCACCCCAGGCCCAACCGCCACCACCACUCGAUGCGCGAGGUCGUCCGCAUCACGUAGAUGCCCUCCGCCGGCCAUUUGGUCGCCGGAGGAGGAAUCCCGCACCUCGCCGCCGCGUCUGGCCUCGCCGGCGGCGAGUCGCCGGUGGAUUAGCCCCAGUUGACUGGGGAUUUGACCCCCAGGGUCACUGACGUGUGGGCCAUGCCCCUGUUUAGUUUAGGUGUUAGCUUAGUUAGCGCAAAUUAACUUAGUUAGUUAGUUGUUACACUGACAUGUGGGUCCCAGCCGUCAGGUUUAACCUAGGCUGGCGCCUUUGACCUGCUGACAUCACCACGACGUCAUGCUGACGCAGUUAACCUUUUUGUGGAUUUAUUCUUAUAUAGGAAAUUCCAGAAAAUCUUAUAAACUUCUAAAAAUCAUAGAAAAUAAUCUAUAGCUCAGAAUGAAAAGAUUUAUAUAUGAAAAAUGAUCAGAAAAAUCCAAUCUAUCCAUCUGUACUGGUUUCAUGCAUGUUAGAGCAACCUAACCAUGCUGUUUAGAUGAAACAAGAUAAUGCACUUAUAUGACUCUAUAAAAUGGGUUUGCAUUUGAAUCUUUGGUUCAAAUGGACUCAUCUCAAUCUGUUCUAGCUUGCAUUAGCCCAAAACACAUUCAUAUUGCCAUGUCAUGAUCAUGCAUCAUAUUGUGCAUUGCAUUGAUUGUAUUUCUUCUCUGUUGCCGGUAUUUGUCCCUUCUCGGUAGACGAUGUUCCGGCGUUGUGAUCGUUGACACUAAUGAAGACUCAAUGCGAUCUUCAGAAGUGCCAGGCAAGCGAAACCCCCUUGUUCAUUCCGAUACAAACCCACUCUCUCGCUUCUGCUCUCUUUUACUGCAUUAGGACAACAACGAUUCAACUGUUACAUGCUGCGGUAGUUGAACCCCUUUCCUCUGGAUGACCUGUCAUUGCCACAGUAAAUAGAUGAAACCCACUAGCAUGAGUAGGAGUUGUUUGAGCCCUGAUGUGCCUACUCAUUCAUGCCUGUUUGUCAUGCCUGCUAUUGCUUAGAGUUGUGUCAGGUCUGAUUCAUCGGGGAUGAAUUGUAAUGUGGUGAACAUGUCCUACUGUUGAGAGCUAAGUGUGUGAACACGAUUUGGUAAAGGUAGCGGUGAGAGGCCAUGUAGGAGUACAUGGUGGGUUGUCUCAUUGCAGCCGUCCUCAGGAACUGAGUUCUGUGUUUGUCAUCCAUGAACAGUUACUACCACACAUUGGAAUGCUUAAGUGCCCCUCUCGACUUAUUAAUCAACUUGAUCUCUGUCCAGGAGUUGCAACUAGUUUCUGGUGUUUGUAGGUUGUGUUAGUAGUCUACCAAGUGGUACCCGGUACAGGUGGGCUUGGGACAGACUAGGCACCGUGGCACGGUGUACCAAGCGUAGAUCCAUCCGUCGAGGUGGGCUUGGGAACCCUGCACACAUCGUUUGGGGCCGUGAGCGACACCCCGGCCGGAUCUCCUUGCGGAUGGAACCCGAAUAGGCGAUAAACCUGGACUAGAGACUUGUGUGGUUAGUCAAGUCGUGGCCGACUCCCUCGCCAGGCUUCCGCUUGAAGGUUGCCGAGGUACACGACAUGUACAUGGUGGUAAGUGGCGAGAGCGUGUGUGAAGAAGUACACCCCUGCAGGGUUAACAUCAUCUAUUCGAAUAGCCGUGUCCGCGGUAAAGGACUUCUGGGUUGCCUAUAACAGUUCAUAGACAAGUGAAAGUGGAUACUCUAAAAUGCGCAAGAUAAGCGUGAGUGCUAUGGAUGGCGCUCUCGUAGGGAGACGGGAGGGGAUCCAUAGUGGUGUAUUGAUAUGGUGAAUAUGUGGACUCGUGUGCGCCACCUCAAAAGAGUUGCUUGCAGUCGUAGUUCAGGUUAGCCACUGAGUCAAAGCUGGCUUGCUGCAGUUAAACUCCACCACCCCUUUUGUUGAUACCGAUGCAUAUGUAGAUAGUUCUGAUGUAAGUCUUGCUGGGUACAUUUGUACUCACGUUUGCCUAUUUUAUGUUUUGCAGAGAGACGUCAGUCUCGCUAGUAGUGCUGUGUGGACUUCGACGCUUAGCUUGUUACCUCAGCUACGAUCUUGUGCCCUCGGCAGGAUCUGGUAGAUAGUCAGGCUUCUCAGCCUUUUUCAUUUAUAGUUGUCUGUACUCAGACAAGUUAAGCUUCUGCAUGUGAUUGUUGCUUGUAUGCUCUGUAUGUUUGGGUCAUGAGACCCAUGUUUGUAAUAUCUGGCUCUUCGGACCCUAAUGAAUAAAUACUCUGAGUCGUAGAGUCUUGUUGUGAUGCCAUGUUGUAUUUGCACAUAUCGAGCAUAUUGUGUGUAUGAUUGAAAUGCUUGGUAUGUGUGGGAUCCGACAACCUAGUUGUUUAUCCUUAGUAGCCUCUCUUAUGGGGAAAUGUAGUCUUGUGCUUCCAUGAGCCAUAGUAGUCCGCUACAGCCCGGUUCACCGGAGUCCUGCUAGCCCAGCACUACUGCUCCGGAACACUUGACUGGCCGGCAUGUGAUUCACUUCGUUCCUGUGUCUGUCCCUUCGGGGAAAUGUCACGCGGUGACAUCCGGAGUCCUGCCUAGCCUGCUACAGCCCGGGUUCCCGGAGUCCUGUUAGCCCAGAGCUACAGCCCGGAUUCGCACGCUGCUGACCGACAUGCUCGAUGUUGAUUCAUGUAUGCCUGUCCCCGUAAGUUAGUGCCACUUUGGGUUCACGACUAGUCAUGUCGGCCCGGGUUCUCUGUCAUAUGGAUGCUAGCGACACUAUCAUAUACGUGAGCCAAAAGGCGCAAAUGGUCCCGGGCCAUGGUAAGGCGACACCCAUGGGAAUACCGUGCGUGAGGCCACAAAGUGAUAUGAGGUGUUACCGGCUAGAUCGAUGUGACUUGGAAUCGGGGUCCUGACAGUUUCGGUAUCAGAGCCUGACUGCCUGUAGGAUUACCAAGCCAAACUGGUCGAAGUCGAGUCUAGAAAUGCUUUAGUUAUAUAAGGGAAUUGAUUGUGGAUGGGAUCUUAUGAUGUCUCUCCCCCUCUACUCUCUUGUAAUGGAUUGAGUUUUCCCUUUGAAGUUUCUUAUCGGAUUGGGUCUUUAAGGAUUUGAGAACACUUGAUGUAUGUCUUGUCGUGCUUAUCUGUGGUGACAAUGGGAUAUCACGUGAUCCACUUGAUGUAUGUUUUGGUGAUCAACUUGCGGGUUCCGCCCAUGAACCUAUGCAUAGGGGUUGGCACACGUUUUCGUCUUGACUCUCCGGUAGAAACUUUGGGGCACUCUUUGAAGUACUUUGUGUUGGUUUGAAUACAUGAAUCUGAGAUUGUGUGAUGCAUAUCGUAUAAUCAUACCCACGGAUACUUGAGGUGACAUUGGAGUAUCUAGGUGACAUUAGGGUUUUGGUUGAUUUGUGUCUUAAGGUGUUAUUCUAGUACGAAUUCUAUGAUAGAUUGAACGGAAAGAAUAGCUUCAUGUUAUUUUACUACGGACUCUUGAAUAGAUCGAUCGGAAAGAAUAACUUUGAGGUGGUUUCGUACCCUACCAUAAUCUCUUCGUUUGUUCUCCGCUAUUAGUGCUUUGGAGUGACUCUUUGUUGCAUGUUUAGGGAUAGUUAUAUGAUCCAAUUAUGUUAUUAUUGUUGAGAGAACUUGCACUAGUGAAAGUAUGAACCCUAGGCCUUGUUUCAACGAAUUGCAAUACCGUUUGUGCUCACUUUUAUCAUUAGUUACCUUGCUGUUUUUUAAUUUUCAGAUUACAAAAACCUAUAUCUACCAUCCAUAUUGCACUUUUAUCACCAUCUCUUCGCCGAACUAGUGCACCUAUACAAUUUACCAUUGUAUUGGGUGUGUUGGGGACACAAGAGACUCUUUGUUAUUUGGUUGUGGGGUUGUUUGAGAGAGACCAUCUUCAACCUACGCCUCCCACAGAUUGAUAAACCUUAGGUCAUCCACUUGAGGGAAAUUUGCUACUAUCCUACAAACCUCUGCACUUGGAGGCCCAACAACGUCUACAAGAAGAAGGUUGCGUAGUAGACAUCAAGCUCUUUUCUGGCGCCGUUGCCGGGGAGGUGAGUGCUUGAAGGUAUAUCUUUAGAUCUUGCAAUCAAAUCUUUUAGUUUCUUGUUUUAGCACUAGUUUAGUCUAUAAAAGAAAACUACAAAAAAUGGAAUUAAGGGUGCCUCAUAUGCUUCAUCUUUUUAAUGUCUUUCGUGAAAAUGAUGGGAAGGAAAAUUGUGCUCAAGUACUAGAAGAAGAAUUACAUAGAAUGCUUGGCAUAAAAUAUGUGAAUGAUGAGCAUGAUUGCAAUGUUGUUAGUAUGAAUUCUUUGAAUAUCCAUAAUGCUAAUGAUAUGCAAAGCCACAAGCUUGGGGAUGCUAUGUUUGAUGAAGAUGAUAUUUUUUGUCCCCCAAGUUUUGAUGAGCAAAUUUAUUAUGAUAAAAGCAUGCCUCCUAUCUAUGAUGAUUAUUGUGAUGACACGUAUGCUAUAAAGAAUAAAGAUAAGCAUGAAACUUGUCAUCAUGAUUUUAAUUUUCAAUUGGAUUAUCCUUCACAUGAUAGUUAUUUUGUUGAGUUUGCUCUCACUACUAUUCAUGAGAACAAAUUUGCUUUUGUGGAGAGUAAUAAAAUUUCUAUGCUUGUAGAUCAUGAAAAGAAUGCUUUAUGUGAUAGUUAUAUUGUUGAAUUCAUUCAUGAUGCUACUGAAAAUUAUUAUGAGAGAGGAACAUGUGCUUUUACAUAUUGCAAUAAUAUCAAGUUUCCUCUCUAUCUGUUGAAAUUUUUGAAGUUGCACUUGUUUUGCCUUCCUAUGCAAGUUGAUUAUUGUUCCCAUAAAUUGUUUGAUCACAAAAUCCCUAUGCAUAGGAAGUGUGUUAGACUUAAAUGUGCUAGUCAUAUUCUUCAUGAUGCUCUCUUUAUGUUUCAAUUCUUAUGUUUUAUGUGAGCAUCAUUGAAAUCAUCAUGCCUAGCUAGGGGCGUUAAACGUUAGCGCUUGUUGGGUGGCAACCCAAUUUUAUUUUUGUUUCUUGCUUUUUGGUUCUGUUUAGUAAUAAAUAAUCCAUCUAGAUUCUGUUUAGAUGUGGUUUUAUAUUUUAAUUAGUGUUUGUGCCAAGUAAGACCUAUAGGAUCUUCUUGGAUGAUAAUUAUUUGAUCUUGCUGAAAAAGACAGAAACUUUCUGCUCACGAAAACAAUUGUUAAAAAUCACCAGAAAGGGAUAAAAUACUGAUUCCAAUUGCAGUGGAUCAAUAAUCAAAUUAUCUAGUUCUUCCUAUUUUGGCAGAUUUUUCUGAGUUCCAGAAGUAUACGUUUGAUACAGAUUACUACAGACUGUUCUGUUUUUGACAGAUUCUGUUUUCUAUGUGUUGUUUGCUUAUUUUGAUGAAUCUAUGAGUAGUAUCGGAGGGUAUGAACCAUAAAGAAGUUGGAAUACAGUAGAUAUUACACCAAUAUGAAUUUAGAAUGAGUUCACAACAGUACCUAAGUGGUGAUUUAUUUUCUUAUACUAACGGAGCUUACGAGUUUUCUGUUGAGUUUUGUGUUGUGAAGUUUUCAAGUUUUGGGUAAAGAUUCGAUGGGAUAUGGAAUAAGGAGUGGAAAGAUCCUAAUCUUGGGGAUGCCCAAGGCACCCCAAGGACAACUAAGAGCCUAAGCUUGGGGAUUCCCCGGAAGGCAUCUCCUCUUUCGUCUUCGUUCAUCGGUAAACUUUACUUGGAGCUAUAUUUUUAUUCACCACAUGAUAUGUGUUUUGCUUGGAGCGUCAUUUUAUUUUCUUUUGUUUUGAUUGCUGUUUGUAUAAAAUACCAAGAUCUGAAAUUCUUAAAUGUUAGAGAGUCUUCACAUAGUUACUCAUUGAUCUUCACAUAUCUUUCGGAGUAGUUUGUCGUUUGCUCUAGUGCUUCACUUAUAUCUUUUAGAGCACGGCGGUGGUUUUAUUUUGAAGAAAUAGAUGAACUCUCAUGCUUCACUUAUAUUAUUUUGAGAGUCUUAAACAGCAUGGUAAUUUGCUUUGGUUAUGAAUUUAGUCCUAAUAUGAUAGGCAUCCAAGAGGGAUAUAAUAAAAACUUUCAUAUAAAGUGCAUUGAAUAGUAUGAGAAGUUUGAUUCCUUAUGAUUGUUUUGAGAUAUGAAGAUGGUGAUAUUAGAGUCAUGCUAGUUGAGUAGUUGUGAAUUUGAGAAAUACUUGUGUUAAAUUUUGUGAUUCCCGUAGCAUGCACGUAUGGUGAACCGUUAUGUGAUGAAGUCGGAGCAUGAUUUAUUUAUUGAUUGUCCUCCUUAUGCGUGGUGGUCGGGGACGAGCGAUGGUCUUUUCCUACCAAUCUAUCCACCAAGGAGCAUGCGCGUAGUACUUCGUUUCGAUAACUAAUAGAUUUUCGCAAUAAGUAUGUGAGUUCUUUAUGACUAAUGUUGAGUCCAUGGAUUAUACGCACUCUCAUCCUUCCACCAUUGCUAGCCUCUCUAAUACCGCGCACCUUUCGCCGGUACCAUACACCCACCAUAUACCUUCCUCAAAACAGCCACCAUACCUACCUAUUAUGGCAUUUCCAUAGCCAUUCCGAGAUAUAUUGCCAUGCAACUUUCCACCUUUCCGUUUAUUAUGACGCGCUUCAUCAUUGUCAUAUUGCCUUGCAUGAUCGUGUAGUUGACAUCGUAUUUGUGGCAAAGCCACCUUCAUAAUUCUUUCAUACAUGUCACUGUUGAAUCAUUGCACAUCCCGGUACACCGCUGGGGGCAUUCAUAUAGAGUCAUAUUGUGUUCUAAGUAUCGAGUUGUAAUUCUUGAGUUGUAAGUAGAUAAAAGUGUGAUGAUCAUCAUUCUUAGAGCAUUGUCCUAGUGAGGAAAGGAUGAUGGAGACUAUGAUUCCCCCACAAGUAGGGAUGAGACUCCGGACGAAAAAUAAAAAAAAAGAGGCCAAAAAAAAGAGAAGGCCCAGAAAAAAACAAAAAAUGAGAGAAAAAGAGAGAAGGGGCAUUGCUACUAUCCUUUACCACACUUGUGCUUCAAAGUAGCACCAUGAUCUUCAUGAUAGAGAGUCUCCUAUAUUGUCACUUUCAUAUACUAGUGGGAAUCUUUCAUUAUAGAACUUGGCUUGUAUAUUCCAAUGAUGGGCUUCCUCAAAAUGCCCUAGGUCUUUGUGAGCAAGCGAGUUGGAUGCACACCCACUUAGUUUCUUUUUGAGCUUUCAUACACUUAUAGCUCUAGUGCAUCCGUUGGAUGGCAAUCCCUACUCACUCACAUUGAUAUCUAUUGAUGGGCAUCUCCAUAGCCUGUUGAUACGCCUAGUUGAUGUGAGACUAUCUUCCCCUUUUUGUCUUCUCCACAACCACCAUUCUAUUCCACCUAUAGUGCUAUGUCCAUGGCUCACGCUCAUGUAUUGCGUGAAGAUUGAAAAAGUUUGAGAACAUCAAAAGUAUGAAACAAUUGCCUGGCUUGUCAUCGGGGUUGUGCAUGAUUUAAAUAUUUUGUGUGAUGAAGAUAGAGCAUAGCCAGACUAUAUGAUUUUGUAGGGAUAGCUUGCUUUGGCCAUGUUAUUUUGAGAAGACGUGAUUGCUUUGUUAGUAUGCUCGAAGUAUUAUUGUUUUCAUGUCAAUAUUAAACUUUUGUCUUGAAUCUUAUGGAUCUGAAUAUUCUUGCCACAAUAGAGAAGAUUACAUUGAUAAAUAUGUUAGGUAGCAUUCCACAUCAAAAAUUCUGUUUUUAUCAUUUACCUACUCGAGGACGAGCAGGAAUUAAGCUUGGGGAUGCUUGAUACGUCUCCAACGUAUCUAUAAUUUUUGAUUGUUCCAUGCUAUUAUAUUAUCCAUCUAAGAUCUUUUAUAUGCAUUUAUAUGCUAUUUUAUAUGAUUUUUGGGACUAACCUAUUAACCUAGAGCCCAGUCCCUACCUCGUGGACAGCCCGGAGACCCCCCCUGACUUGUUCUCGACGCCAAAACCUCUUAUAUAUACAGAAACCUCCAGAGCAUAACCUAGAUCGGGAGUUCCGCCGCCGCAAGCCUCUAUAGCUACAAAACCAAUCGGGACCCUGUUCUGGCACCCUGACGGAGGGGGGAACCCUCACCGGUGGCCAUCUUCAUCAUCCCGGCGCUCUCCAUGACGAGGAGGGAGUAGUUCACCCUUGGGGCUGAGGGUAUGUACAAGUAGCUAUGUGUUCGAUCUCUCUCUCUCUCGUGUUCUUGAGGUGGUACGAUCUUGAUGUAUCGCGAGCUUUGCUAUUAUAGUUGGAUCUUAUGAUGUUUCUCCCCCUCUACUCUCUUAUAAUGGAUUGAGUUUUCCCUUUGAAGUUAUCUUAUGGGAUUGAGUCUUUAAGGAUUUGAGAACACUUGUUGUAUGUAUUGCAUGUGCUUAUCUGUGGUGACAAUGGGAUAUCACGUGAUUCACUUGAUGUAUGUUUUGGGGAUCAACUUGCGGGUUCCGUGAGCUCGUGAACUUAUGCAUAGGGGUUGGCACACGUUUUCGUCUUGACUCUCCGGUAGAAACUUUGGGGCACUCUUUAAAGUUCUUUGUAUUGGUUGAAUAGAUGAAUCUGAGAUUGUGUGAUGCAUAUCGUAUAAUCAUACCCACGGAUACUUGAGGUGACAUUGGAGUAUCUAGGUGACAUUAGGGUUUUGGUUGAUUUGUGUCUUAAGGUGUUAUUAUAGUACAAACUCUAUGAUAGAUUGAACGGAAAGAAUAGCUUCAUGUUAUUUUACUACGGACUCUUGAAUAGAUCGAUCAGAAAGGAUAACUUUGAGGUGGUUUCGUACCUACCAUAAUCUCUUCGUUUGUUCUCCGCUAUUAGUGACUUUGGAGUGACUCUUUGUUGCACGUUGAGGGAUAUUUAUAUGAUCCAAUUAUGUUAUUAUUGUUGAGAGAACUUGCACUAGUGAAAGUAUGAACCCUAGGCCUUGUUUCCUAGCAUUGCAAUACCGUUUAUGCUGACUUUUAUCAUUAGUUACCUUGCUGUUUUUAUAUUUUCAGAUUACAAAAACCUAUAUCUACCAUCCAUAUUGCACUUGUAUCACCAUCUCUUCGCCGAACUAGUGCACCUAUACAAUUUACCAUUGUAUUGGGUGUGUUGGGGACACAAGAGACUGUUUGUUAUUUGGUUGCAGGGUUAUUUGAGAGAGACCAUCUUCAUCCUAUGCCUCCCACGGAUUGCUAAACCUUAGGUCAUCCACUUGAGGGAAAUUUGCUACUGUCCUACAAACCUCUGCACUUGGAGGCCCAACAACGUCUACAAGAAGAAUGUUGUGUAGUAGACAUCACUUCUACUGCAAAGGGAAUGGUCACUGGAAGCGGAACUACCCCAAAUACUUGGCGUGUAAGAAGGAUGGCAAAGUGAACAAAGGUAUAUUUGAUAUACAUGUUAUUGAUAUGUACUUUACUAGUGUUCAUAGUAGCCCCUCGGUAUUUGAUACUGGUUCAGUUGCUAAGAUUAGUAACUCAAAACAGGAGUUACAAAAUGAACAGAGACUAGUUGAAGUGACGAUGUGUGUUGGAAGUGAUUCCAAGAUUGAUAAGAUCACCAUCGCACACUCCCUCUACCUUCGGGAUUAGUGUUGGACCUAAAUAAAUGUAAUUUGGUAUUUGCGUUGAGCAUGAAUAUGAUUGGAUCAGGUUUAUUGCAAUACGGUUAUUCAUUUAAGUCAAAGAAUAAUAGUUAUUCUGUUUACAUGAAUAAAACCUUCUAUGGUCAUACACUCAAUAUAAAUGGUUUAUUGAAUCUCGAUCGUAGUGAUACACAUAUUCAUAAUAUUGAUGCCAAAAGAUACAAAGUUGAUAAUGAUAGUGCAACAUACUUGUGGCACUGCCGUUUAGGUCAUAUUGGUGUAAAACGCAUAAAGAAACUCCAUGCGGAUGGACUUUUGGAAUCACUUGAUUAUGUAUAAGUUGAUACUUGUGAACCAUGCCUCAUGGGAAAGAUGACUAAAACUCCGUUCUCCGGAACAAUGGAGCGAGCCACUGACUUAUUGGAAAUAAUACAUACCAAUGUAUGCGGUCUGAUGAGUGUUGAGGCACGCGGCGGGUAUCGUUAUUUUCUGACCUUCACACAUGAUUUGAGCAGAUAUGGGUAUAACUACUUGAUGAAACACAAGUCUGAAACAUUUGAAAAGUUCAGAGAAUUUCAGAGUGAAGUGGAGAAUCAUCGUAAUAAGACAAUAAAGUUUCUACGAUAUGAUCGCGGAGGCGAUUAUUUGAGUUACGAGUUUGGCCUUCAUUUAAAACAAUGUGGAAUAGUUUCACAACUCACACCACCUGGAACACCACAACAAAAUGGAGUGUCCCCACGUUGUAACCGUACUUUAUUAGAUAUGGUGCGAUCUAUGAUGUCUCUUGCCGAUUUACCACUAUCAUUUUGGGGUUAUGCAUUAGAGACAACUGCAUUCACGUUAAAUAGGGCACCAUCUAAAUCUGUUGAGACGACACCAUAUGAACUGUGGUUUGGCAAGAAACCUAAGCUGUCGUUUCUUAAAGUUUGGGGUUGUGAUGCUUAUGUGAAAAAGCUUCAGCCUGAUAAGCUCGAACCCAAAUCGGAGAAGUGUGUCUUCAUAGGAUACCCAAAAGAAACUUUUGGGUACACCUUCUAUCACAGAUCCGAAGGCAAGACAUUUGUUGCUAAGAAUGGAUCCUUUAUAGAGAAGGAGUUUCUCUCGAAAGAAGUGAGUGGGAGGAAAGUAGAACUUGAUGAGGUAGUUGUACCUUCUCUUGAAUUGGAAAGUAGUUCAUCACAGAAAACUGUUCCUGUGAUGCCUACACCAAUUAGUGAGGAAGCUAAUGAUGAUGAUCAUGAAACUUCAGAUCAAGUUACUACCGAACCUCGUAGGUCAACCAGAUUGCGGUCUGCACCAGAGUGGUACGAUAAUCCUGUUCUGGAAGUCAUGUUACUAGACCAUGACGAACCUACGAACUAUGAGGAAGCGAUGAUGAGCCCAGAUUCCACAAAAUGGCUUGUGGCCAUGAAAUCUGAUAUGGGAUCCAUGUAUGAGAACAAAGUAUGGACUUGGUUGACUUGCCCGAUGCUCGGCAAGCCAUAGAUAAUAAAUGGAUCUUCAAGAGGAAGACGGACGCUGAUAGUAGUGUUACUAUCUACACAUCUCGAAUUGUCGCAAAUAGGUUUUAGACAAGUUCAAGGUGUUGACUACAAUGAGAUUUUCUCAGUCGUAUCGAUGCUUCAAGUCUCCGAAUCAUGUUAGGAAUUGCCACAUUUUAUUAAAUCUGGCAAAUGGAUGUCAAAACUGCAUUCCUUAAUUGAUUUAUUAAAGAAGAGUUGUAUAUGAUGGAACCAGAAGGUUUUCUCAAUCCUAAUGGUGCUAACAAAGUGUACAAGCUCCAACGAUCCAUCUAUGGACUAGUGCAAGCAUCUCGGAGUUGGAAUAUACGCUUUGAUGAGUUGAUCAAAGCAUAUAGUUUUAUACAGACUUGCGGCAAAGCAUGUAUUUACAAGAAAGUGAGUGGGAGCACUACAUCUUUUCUGAUAAAUAUAUGUGAAUGACAUAUUGUUGUUCGGAAAUGAUGUAGAAUUUUCUAGAAAGCAUAAAGGAGUGUUUGAAAGGAUUUUUUUCAAUGAAAGACUUCAGUGAAGCUACUUACAUAUUGGACAUCAAGAUCUAUAGAGAUAGAUCAAGACGCUUGAUAAGAUUUUUCAAUGAGUACAUACCUUGACAAGAUUUUGAGGUAGUUCAAAAUGGAACAAUCAAAGAAGGAGUUCUUGCCUGUAUUGCAAGGUGUAAAGUUGAGUAAGACUCAAAAACCGACCACGGCAGGAAAUACAAAGAGAAUGAAAGUCAUUCCCUAUGCCUCAGCCAUAGGUUCAAUAAAGUAUGCUAUGUUGUGUACCAGACCUAUUGUGUGCCUUGCCAUGUGUUUGGCAAGGGGUACGAUAGUGAUCCAGGAGUGGAUCACUAGACAACGGUCAAAGUUAUCCUUAGUUACCUAAGAGGACUAAGGAAAUAUUUCUCGGUUAUGGAGGUGAUAAAGAGUAUGUCGUGAAGAGUUACGUCGAUGCAAGCUUUUACACCGAUCCGGAUGACUCCGAGUCUCAAUCUGGAUACGUAUUGAAACUGGGAGCAAUUAGCUAGAGUAGCUCCAUGGAGAGCAUUGUAGACAUAGAAAAUUUGCAAAAUACAUACCGCUCUGAAUGUGGCAGACUCGUUGACUAAACUUCUCUUACAAGCAAAACAUGAUCACACCUUAGUACUCUUUGGAUGUUAAUCACAUAGCGAUGUGAACUAGAUUAUUGACUCCAGUAAACCCUUUGAGUGUUAGUCACAUGGAGAUGUGAAAUAAUCAUAUAAAGAUGUGAACUAUUGGUGUUAAAUCACAUGAUGAUGUGCACUAGAUUAUUGACUCUAGUGCAAGUGGGAGACUGAAGGAAAUAUGCCCUAGAGGCAAUAAUAAAGUUGUUAUUUAUAUUUCCUUAUAUCAUGAUAAAUGUUUAUUAUUCAUCCUAGAAUUGUAUUAACCGGAAACUUAGUACAUGUGUGAAUACAUAGACAAAACAUAGUGUCCCUAGUAUGCCUCUACUUGACUAGCUCGUUAAUCAAAGAUGGUUAAGUUUCCUGACCAUAGACAUGUGUUAUCAUUUGAUGAACGGGAUCACAUCAUUAGAGAAUGAUGAGAUGGACAAGACCCAUCUGUUAGCUUAGCAUAAUGAUUGUUAAGUUUUAUUGCUAUUGCUUUCUUCAUGACUUAUACAUAUUCCUCUGACUAUGAGAUCAUGCAACUCCCGAAUACCGGAGGAACACCUUGUGUGCUAUCAAACGUCACAACGUAACUGGGUGAUUAUAAAGAUGCUCUAUAGGUGUCUCCGAAGGUGUUUGUUGGGUUGGCAUAGAUCAAGAUUAGGAUUUGUCACUCCGAGUAUCGGAGAGGUAUCUCUGGGCCCUCUCGGCAAUGCACAUCAAUAUAAACCUUACAAGCAAUGUGACUAAUGAGUUAGUUGCGGGAUGAUGCAUUAGGGAAUGAGUAAAGCGACUUGCCGGUAACGAGAUUGAACUAGGUAUGAAGAUACCGACGAUCGAAUCUCGGGCAAGUAACAUACCGAUGAGAAAGGGAAUGACGUAUGUUGUUAUUGUGGUUUGACCGAUAAAGAUGUUCGUAGAAUAUGUAGGAACCAAUAUGGGUAUCCAGGUUCCGCUGUUGGUUAUUGAUCAGAGAUGUGUCUCGAUCAUGUCUACAUAGUUCUUGGACCCGUAGGGUCCGUACGAUUAAUGUUUCGAUGACGAUUUUGUAUUAUAUGAGUUAUGUGAUUUGGUGACCGAAUGUUUUUCGGAGUACCGGAUGGGAUCACGGACAUGACGAGGAGUCUCGAAAUGGUCGAGAGGUAAAGAUUCAUAUAUAGGAUGAUAGUAUUCGGACACUUGAAGUGUUCUGGGGAUACCGGGUACGUAUCGGGUCAGCGGAAGGGGUUCCGGGCACCCCCCGGCAAAGAUAUGGGCCUUAUAGGGCCAAGGGCGGGACAGACCAGCCCCUAAGGAGAUGGUGCGCCCUCAUAUGAGCCGGCCUAAGUGGAGAAAGGAAAAGGGGAGGAGAAAAGGAAAUAGAGGGAAUAGGAUCCCCCCUUCCUCUCCCCUCUCCCCUCUUUCCUUUCCCCCUCCGGAGAUAAGGAAAGGGGGAGGCCGAAUUGGAGGAGGCCCCCAAGUAAGAUUCCUCCUACUUGGGGCGCCCCAUGGCUGUCCCCCUCCCCCUCCCACCUAUAUAUAUGUGGGGAGGGGGCACCUAGAACACACAAUAAACAUUGUUAGCCGUGUGCAGCGCCCCCCUCCAUAGUUUACGCCUCCGGUCAUAUUCACGUAGUGCUUAGGCGAAGCCCUGCGCGGAUCACAUCGCCAUCACCAUCACCACACCGUCGUGCUGACGGAACUCUCCCUCGACACUUUGCUGGUUCAAGAGUUCGAGGGACGUCUUCGAGCUGAACGUGUGCAGAACUCGGAGGUGCCGUACGUUCGGUACUUGAUCGGUAGAAUCGAGAAGACGUUCGACUAUAUCAACCGAUUAAACUAACGCUUCCGCUUUUGGUCUACGAGGGUAUGUGGACACACUCUUCCUCGUUGCUAUGCAUCUCCUAGAUAGAUCUUGCAUGAGCGUAGGAAAAUUUGGAAAUUGCAUGCUACGUUCCCCAACACUAUCUAGCGUAGGUGUGGCUGCAUCUUGGCUCCCUUGAACAUUUUUGAUAGGAUAAUAUGGAAAAUUAAACGUUAUGUGUGGCAUGGGCAUACAGUGAAGCCACUUCCUCUCGUCUUGCCAGCCAUCAAUAUUCGUGAUGAGAUCUCGAACAUGGAUGCCAAGUAAUUCGCCAUGUGCUGAUGUUGUCGGGCGACCGAGUCAUGGAGUCGCUAUGUCCCGUGAAUGAUCUUUUCGUAUAUAAUUGGUUGUUGCUUUAAUUAGAAGAAACUGCACCAAUCAAAAGUGUUGUUAGUAGUGGAGUGGUAGGCAUAUGCAAAUCAAAGCAUCAUUUUCCUUCUAAUUACACUUGUAAAAGCAUUAUGAGUGUCUUCUAGUGGAGUGGUAUACAGAUUUAUAAUGCUUGAAGGGAUGCUGCCACUUCGUAGGAGCAAGGGCUUACUUUUAUUGGUUUUGUCUAUUCUAGUGAUAUUUAUAUAGUGAUGCCGGGUUUGCCUUUUCUGAUUUCUUAUGGUUUAAUAAUUAUGCGAGAUACAUUAUGAGUGCCAGUUGUGUUGUACCCUUUUUUUUUGUGAGGCACAACAACUGGAUUGUUGUCGAUAUAAGGGAAAACAGAAACUUGUAUCGGUGCUUUUGUAUUUACAAACUUGUUACUGAUAUAUCAUAGAGUCUUGUUAUUGAGCCGCGAGACAGAGAGGGAGGAACGAGAUGAAGGUCCCAACCGCCAGACCAAAGAGGUGAACUAGAGCUCAUCCUAAUUGUGCUCUUGGUUAUUUUCAGUUACUAAUAGGAGUAAGAAGCAUUACGAAUUAAUCUCUUUGUUCACAAAUAUAAGAUGUCUAGAGUAACUUUCUUCUUAAUCGAAUGCAUAUAAACACAUUUUAUUGGGUUUAUUCACUCAUUUCAGUCUGUAUAUAUUCCUAUUAAUAUAUUUAAAACAUAUUAUAUUUAUGAAUGGAGGGAGUAAUUUAUAGUAAUGCAGUGAUUUUAGGAAAACCAAAUAUGUGUAUGUAAUCUUAUAUUUUCUUCAGGAAAACACAGUAAAUCCUAUGUUUUCUUCUGGGAAAUAUAUGUAUGUAUCCAGUUGUAUCAUUGGUAAACAAAGGCUGCUAUAUAGCACAAAGAGUGUUUUCUUCGAUUCGUUCAGGCAAAUCAGGUUCGUGGUUGACUGCCAAAGUCACAACCGUUUAUGUCUUUGGCACGGAAAAGAGACUGUGCAGUGCAAAGGCUAGGGACGGAGCCAGGAUUCUAACAUAGGGGUGUGUGUGUGUGUNNNNNNNNNNNNNNNNNNNNNNNNNNNNNNNNNNNNNNNNNNNNNNNNNNNNNNNNNNNNNNNNNNNNNNNNNNNNNNNNNNNNNNNNNNNNNNNNNNNNNNNNNNNNNNNNNNNNNNNNNNNNNNNNNNNNNNNNNNNNNNNNNNNNNNNNNNNNNNNNNNNNNNNNNNNNNNNNNNNNNNNNNNNNNNNNNNNNNNNNNNNNNNNNNNNNNNNNNNNNNNNNNNNNNNNNNNNNNNNNNNNNNNNNNNNNNNNNNNNNNNUUCAGACUUGGCGUUUGGCAGCGUGGCCUGUUCAUGUGUUUGAUUGGGCGUAGUACUGUGUGGGUACUUCAGUUAGAAGGUAUGCAGUGGACCGAGUCUAUCGACCGUGUGGCGAUGCCUGUAGAUUGUAGCACUGAACUUUGAUGCUGAUUCAUAAACUAAUUUAGAUAAAGCCGCACAAAAAAUGUGCUAGUUUUAUUUUUUUGCUCACAUACUCUGUUCUGUCUCAGUUUUAUCCAGGGCAACUUUGAAGCUUAUCCAGGGCAACUUUAACUAUUUACAGGAGAAAUAGUUAAAUACCUUAUUAAGAAGUGAAGAAGAAUAGUCGUCUCCAGUUUUUGUUUCUCCAACUCUAUGCCUACACUGUAAAUUAAUGGAUCAGCUCCAGUUGAUGCAACUGUACUCUUUCUGGUAGGUUUGAGAUCAGAUGCGACUGAGCCAGAUCGAUCCUGAGCUAGCUACUUGUCUCCCUUAAGUGUUACAGCGAGACAAAUGCACUGGACUACAAAGAGGAAAUUCUCCUGCAGGUUCGUAAUGCAUCUGUUUUGGUUCUUGCAUUCACACCAAUCAUAAAACAGUGUUUGUUAGUAGUGGAGUGGUAGGCGGACGCAAAUCAAACCAUCAUUUUUCUUCUAAUUACACUUGUAAAAGUAUCGAUGCAUCUCCUUCGCUUAAUUUUAUUUGUCAUUCUGUUCAAUACCUGGCUCAGGAAGAGCUCCUUUUCCUAUGCAAAAAUGUAUAACGUAUACGUUUCUAAUUCCAAUUGCAGGCAUAUUCAUCGCAAUUGUGUUUUGACAAGAAAAAUGAAUAUUUGCCACUUUCAAUAUGUGGCUUUUCAAAAUUGCCACUUUCAAGAUUGGUUUCGCAGAAUUGCCACUCCGCUCAUUGGCUCCUUGAUUACGAUGCCACUUUCUUUGUGAUUUUCCUUUUUCCUUAUCCAUUUAUAAACACAGGAAAAGACCAAACUACACAGUUCAGUAUCUGACUAUCUGUAUCUAUUUAUGCAUCUGUUCAAGUAGAGGAGAACGAGCUGCACAGAUCUUGUCGUCCGUAAAAGCGCCGCUGACGCCACCCGCUCAGUCGCCGUCGUCGUCCGCGCCACUCGGCUGCUUGCUGCUUGCUCCGCCCUUCCGCCAUCGCCCAUCGCCCUGUCUGCCCGCGCGCCAUAGCCACUCAGGCCAGUGGCCUGCUCGGCGCUCCCGCCGCUCGUCCCGGCCGCCUAACCACUCGGCUGGGAUGAGGAGGCGGAUGGAUCAAUCACUACAGAUUUUUGAACAAAGCAAGGUCAACACAAUACCAUCGAGAAUUCAUACACGCGGCCUGGACGAGAUUAGCGGCAUGCGGCGUUGCCGAUAUCGGCGGCACGCUGCGUAUAGAAGAUCGGCAACACGGGACGUCGAGAAGAUCGGCGGCACGCGACAUCUAAGCGAUGUGCGACACUCCGCGUCGAGGUCACGGUAUUCUCGGCAGCCGGUGCGCUCUCGUAUCAAUCAGAACGUACGUGGAUAGUAGCUGUAUAGAAUCAGGGGUAGUUUGGUCUUUUCCGGUGCUUGGAAAAGAAAAAAUAAAAUCACUAAAGAUAGGGAAGUUGCAUGGUAAUCAACGAGCCAACAUGGAGAGUGGCAAUUUUGCGAAGUCAAUCCUGAAAGUGGCAAUUUUGAGAAGCCACAUAUUGAAAGUGGCAAAUAUCCAAUUUUCUCCUGAUGACUUGACAGAACAUCGACCGAGAGCAGCAACAUGCCAUGAUAUAUUAGAACAGCAGAAUGAUUAGCGUGCUUGAAACCAGUUCAUCACCGCUACCUUUACUGUCAGACCGGUGGCGUAUCCCAGAAACGCGCUGUUGACUGGUGGCGUAAAUCACGUCUAUGUGUAUCCCUGAUUACGUGGAUUAACUACCGAUAUGCUUUGGUCCUUUGUUUUGGGAAACAACUUGCAGAUUUAGGCAGGUAGAUUCCUUACGAAGCAAAUCUUCUUUCUUUUUUUGUUUUUGGCGAGGAACGAGAAGCAAAACUUUUACCCAACGAGUUACCAAACUUUGCAUCGCAUGCAUCUAAUUUGUGCUUCCACGUUUCUUUCUAAUGUUGUGCAUCAGUUUGCUUCCUUUACAACAAAUUAGAUUGUGUUUUUGAUUGAAACUUUUGAUAUGUAACGUGAUAUUUUGUUUCAGAAGCAUCAUUACCGUGCUUCCAUCAAGAUCCUACCAUCAAAAAGGAAAUUAUUUCACAUGUUUGAGAAGCAUCACAUAUCUUUUUCACAUCGACUAGACAAUUGCUUCCAACUAAAUAUUAUCUUGCUUCCAUCAGAGAGAAAAAUAUUUCCAAUAAAACUUACACAUGUUUCAUACAAGUUAGGGGUUUGUUUGCAAAGAAAUAAAAAAAUGGCUACUGUAAAAUGGAGAGUAUGCCUCAAUGGGCAGAGUCAAAUUGCUUCCACCGAUCAUGUUUACUAAUUCAAAUAUGACCUAGCCAUCAUACGAUGGAAGGCAUGAUCCAUGAUGCCGGCGGGUAGAAGCUGUGGUGCCCCUGCCUGAGCGCCGUGAUCUUCUUCACCGUAAAUCCUUGAACGCCAAUAUCCCGAACGUCUCGGUCACAGCAAUUGGUGUGUGAGCUCGGCUUGUCUUCUUUGAAGUAGGAUGCAAUCAGCCUUGAUCUCUAGGCGCCUCCUACUCGUAGAAACAUAUGUGAAAGGUCAGAAAUCAGAAAGUAUGAGUCAUAUAGCUAACACAAAAUCAAUAAUUUGAUGCUAUCAUGCAAUAGAAGCAUAGAAAUUUGAUUUGAGAAAUAUACAUGCUUGUUGGGCAAGAUUUGGGUGCACAAAUUUAAUGUCUCGAAACAUUGUUUUGGUGCGGCAUUACAUGUGCACAUUAGAGGCUAAUGAGAAAAAUUAAGGAAGCACGAUUUACUAGAAGAACCAAGUUGCUACCUUUCAACCACUUGCUAUUCACCAAUUGAAGCAUAUUCUAUGGCCUCCAGAAGCAUAUGUAUAACAAUGUAGAAGCCCAAUGGAUAAGAAGCAUGAAAACAAUGGAUAAGAAGCAUCAAACUAUGUUGUGGGUACACAGGCAGUAUUACUUGGAAGCAUUGAUAUUUGAAAAAAAGGAUAUAUGAAACUAAAAUUGCGGCCAACAUGAGCAACAUAUUUCUGUCACGUAUGUACCAAAUACACAUGAUGAUUUAGCGAUCCACUACAUGAUGUACAUAACGAAAUCAGUUCCCCGAAAAGGGAAUGAAGAUCCGAACGUUUGGAAUCUACCAAUUUCGAUAUAUACAGAGACAGAGAACAUGGAUAUUUUUGGAAAUCAGCUAAUUUCUAAGGAUAAGGACUUCUAUACCUAUGUCAGAAGAGGAUGGUGCCUAUUGGGAGGGGCGAAUCCUGCAAUCUUUGGUGGCUGUCGGUGCUCCGGCGCGGCAGAACGGAGGCCACGGUGCCCAACCUGUUGUAUAUGACCGGGAUGGCGAGGGGGUAGUGAGUGAGUUCGUUCACCGUGGUGGAUAAUGGAGGGCGCAGCCGCUGGACAGGAGACAUCGGAGUCGGUGACUAGGAAGGCGAUGGGGUUGCGACCUUGCCACCGGAUGGGGUUGCGAGCAGCCACCGGAUGUGGCGGCACACCGGUGCGGUGCGUCUCAUGGCCACAGGGGGCAAGGUCGGUUCAUGGAGGAGUGGCCCGGGGCGGCGAGGGAUUGGCGAGGUCGACGAUGGAGCGGAUUCUGGAGGAGCCGGGCAACGGAGACGGGAUGACGAACGGGUUUUUGGGGCAGGAGAGUAUAAUUAGGGAGGUGUUAUGGGUUGACGUGGCGAGAUAAUCGGGAGGUUAUGCAGGCAUCGAAGGUUUUUGGAAGGAAUCUACGCCGUGAGCUGAAAAACAAAUCGACGGUGCACAAUCGGUCUGGGUCUGACGAAUUGAUCCUUUCAGACGUCUGUUGGGAAGCGUUUCCCAGGGCGCUAGGGCGUUUCCCGGGGCGCUAUAGGCAUCAGACUACUGAUGUUUUGCCUCUUAUCAGGCUAGUGGCCGUUCGAUCAAAAGCAGGCUGGUCCUCCGAUCUGUUAGUAAGCUCUCGCGUGAUUUUCUGGAUCCAGUCGUUAAUUAACUGCUCAUGCAUACCUUUUAUUACGCGUGCAUGUGGCUGGUGGUAGUUAAUGUAAAUUGAUUACGUAGGACUACUCGCAUAUAUUUGUUGCGUUUCUGCUAGUACUUGUUGCUUCCGAGAUUUGCUUCCUAGAAUCAUUUUUUGAUCCCACAGUAAUAUGGCAUUUAAUUGAUUUGUUUCUUUUACUUGUUGCUUCCGAGAUUUGCUUCCAUAUAUCAUUUGUUUGCCACUGUAAUAUGACUUUCUUUUUAAAUCAGGUAAAAAUUAUGUUUGAUGCUGCUGGGGUAUAAUUUUAAUUGAUUUGUUUCUCCUAGUUGUUGCUUCCAAGAAUAAUUUGUUUGAUAUCACUGUAAUGUGACUUCUCUUUUUAAACUCGUGGAAGCAUACACUUCAAUAAUUAUGAUAAAUAGUUAUUUAUUUUUAGACGCUUUUUUACUUCGAUGGUGACAUAGCUUUUCUGCCAUGGAAACAUUCCUUUUGACCGAUGAAAGCAUACUUUGUGGUCAGCAGAAACAGAUUGUUCAUCAGAAGCAUCUGAUUUAUGCUAUAUAUUUUUAAAAGGUUUGGAAACAAUUUAUCGGUGUAACGGAAACAUAUUUUUGUGUGAAUGGAAACAUGUGCUUGGCAAGAAAGUAUGUUGAAGCACAACAAAAAAGUUUAAGCUUCAGAACAAACUAACUGGAUAUGUUCAAAAUCUUACAACUCAUUUUACAACAAAAUAAAGGAGAACUAAAAUAGCCCUGUUUACAAGCUGAUAAUGGACAAGAUCCACGUGCACCACGAGCUCUCCGUUGUUCACUCUACAAACCGACAACUCUUAGCAGGUAGCUAGGUCUCAGAUCGUAGCCCACUCAACGGCAUUGCAAUGCAACAAAGAGCACAUCUGGAUUUGGGCGCGGCAAAAUGCCUGUACAACAGAAGCAUCCAGUGAGAAAGAAGGAAGCACACACUGAUAGUUGUUGAUACAUAAAUUCACUUAAAGAUCAAAUUUAUGUACAAUAAAAUUUCACUAGCAGAAGCAACACUAGCAGUGGUUGAAGCACAUAGUAGUGAUUGAAGCAUAAACUAGUGUCUGCUAUGUUUGUACAAUAAAUGAAAGCAUACACUUACAAUGGUUGAAUCCAAAAUUCACUACCAUAGAAACAUAUGUAAUAAAUAAAAGUAGGAAGUAUAUAUAACACAACGGAAGCAUGGAUCUUUUUUGGAUUCUAGACAGGAGUACAACUUGCAUGGAAGUUUGGAAGCAUCAAUUUCAUGCUCUCUAACAUAAAACAGGGCCAUAAAAAAAUGGAAGUAUGGAUGAACACAAACUCUACGCAGUGAACAAGCACAUGUAUGAAACAUAUGAAUCAUAAAUAUUUGAAAGAAUCAUAUUCAUGCAAUUCAACACAACAGAAGGGGCAGUGGUUACAACAAGAAGAUGUCGAACUUGAGAAGCAUGGUUGCAUUGUCGAUCCAUCUAAACGUAUGAAGCACGCAUGAUAUAUAUGAAGCACCGCACGUCUUGAAAUCACAGGACAGGUCACAGGUGAUACCUAGAGGAAGCAUAGAAAUCUAAAAAUGUGAGACUUAGUAGAAGUAUGGAAGCCAUCCAUAUAAAUAGAAGAAGCACAUGGCGUGUCAUUCUGAAACGGCAUUUGCAGGAAGCAUGAAAAUCUGUUAUUUCAGUAGGAUUCAUCUUAAAUUGGAAGCAGGGAAUAAACCAAGAUGUUAAAUGUUAUCAGCAAACAAAUGUUCAGAGACCAUCUACGAGUGUAGAAAUUAAGACCUAGUUUGGCAGCAAAGUAUUUUAAAACUAUGGUAAUUGAAAACCAAAGUAUUCUCCUGGGUGGGCAAGGAAUACUACUGUUUUCUAAAAACAAUGUUUUUCUCAGUUUUACAUAUGUUUGGUUGGUGCUGUUUUAUUAAAGUUUUGACCAAGGAUUUUAGCGUGAAUGACUGAGAGUAAUUAGCGGCUGUUAACGGGGCCGGGCUGCAUGCAGCUGCCAUGCACACAUCCGCCGGACCUAGAUGCUAGGAUCUGUAGACUAUGUCUAUCCGUGAUGCACCUACAUGCAUGGGCUGCUGGCAGAGAAGAGACGAGACUCGCACGGAACGCCGGCUGGAAGAAUAACCUGAGAGACCUACUACUCGUGAUAGGAUGGGAUUGGCUAUAAUCAGGAGUUUACCAUAUAACAGAAAGAGGAAAAAUAGAAUGGGAUUGCAGCUGGUAUUCUUAUCUCGGCGCAGACGACAACGUCAUUGUGAUCUCCGCGAUGAUUUCUCUUCGUUCUGUUAAAAAAAAAAAAGGUCGGGGCCUCCACCACUAGGAAAAGGUCUGUUAGUGGCAUACCUAUUUUGACCAUUAAUGGCGCACUAUAGGUGCGCCACUAUCAUCACGCCACUAGUAACAAGUACUAAUGGCGCAUUCCUGGUGCGUCAUUAGUAUACCAGAUAAUAGUGGCGCAUCUGGCAGUACACCAUUACUAUGUCCAACGGUGCGCCAUUACUAUGCCUGGGGGCCAUAUUUACCUUCACGUAUGCCCCCAAGUGCGCCAUUAUAAUGACCCAUAAUGCGCCACUGGUAUUUAGCCCUGGUGCGCCACUAAUGCUCAACAAGGUGCGCCACUACUAUGAAUAUUAGGAUUUUUUUUUGCUUUUCUGAUAUUUGCACAUGUUACAAAAUACAUUACAGAAUAUAAACAACACAACAUAUAAACAUCAGAUUUAUCGAAUACAAUAGAAGAUUAGUUUCCGAAUACAAUUCAUUAUAUUAGUCUCCGAAUUCAAAAUACCGAACAAAGUUAGAACAUUACAAGUCUCGAGACCGCGAGUAGCGAGUUUGUCUUCACAUUACAAGUCGAUAUCUAAACUACCAUCACAUAGAAGAGAGCUGCGGUCACGAUGAGCAUCAUCGCGAUGAAACUGGUCUUCAUCUGGUUCCUCCUCCGCUCCCUCCUCUCUCCCGCUAGAUAGCGCGCGUAUCUAGCUUCCGCCUCCGCCCUAGUGGUGUACCCUUUGUAACAGUUACCGCUGAAACGGUGAACCUGUCUCCGACACUCCUCCCAGCCGCCGUAGACUCCGGAAACCUUACCCUUGUACACGACAUACGACGGCAUUUCUAUGCACUAGACAAACAAAACGUUAGUAGCAAUUCACAGACAAUAUAUAAGCAAUAUAUAAGUAUGCAACAAAAGGAUCGGAAAAGAAAAGCAACACAUUAAUAGCACGAUUCAUGAUCCUACUAAUAAAUAGCAUCGAUUACAUAUAAGUUGAACGACUGUCCAAACCAAAGAGACAUACAAGUUCAUUAAAGUUUAAUUACAACAUGAGCUAAUCGAUAUAUCAGAACUACAUAGCAUCACUACUUUCGACUCGACUCAGGGACCGGAGCGUGGAUGAAGCUGCCGUCUUUUGUGAUGGUCAUGAAUGUGCGGUCGUUGUUAGCCUGCAUUUGUAGCGUUGUUUCUAUUUCACUGUUGGACGGUUGAUAUUUGAGGUAGAACUGCCCCGAGGUACGAAGGACAUCUUGAUGGAUGAUUUCCGCAAACUCCGACUGGAUGCGAAAGAAUUCUUGUCUGAGGUCCGCGCCCUGGACUACCCACAAGCGUGCAGCCCAAUCUUUGAGACUAUUUGGUAGCAGAAGGUGAUUAUGGUCCCGUACGAUUGCCCGCAUGUGAUGGAGGGCGUAGUAGGCAUCCUUCUGACCGCCAGGCGGCUGCUUGACGCAGGGGAAUGUCGUUACAUGGGUGAACACGUGCUUGCCGUACCUAAAAAUUGGCCUCCUGAAGGUGCCUCCAGAUUUGGCGUAGCCGGGGAGUACAUCAUCAAGAACUUUCUUGAUAUUUGUGUAGUCUUUUUUCGACUGACGGUCCGGGUCGAAAUACGUGGCCAUGGAAUAGUUCGGGCUUAAGAGGAUGAGUGUGCAAUGUGUGUCACUGCACAAAACACGGAAUGUUAGAAAAAAAAGAAUGAUCAAAAUCUAAGAAAUGAUAUGUUACGGGGCGGUGAGGGGAUGACUUACUCGGGAAAGUAAGGCACGAGGAAGUUAUCCUUAUCUGGGUUCGCCAGAAUGACGCCUUCGAGGUAUGAACUCGCGGCUUGCCGGUCCCCAGCGCUGCCCAAGAUCUUGGCACGCAUGUAGAAGGGGUCGACUAUCACGAUGUCCGGGGUCUUGUCUCUAAUGAUCCGCAUCUCCAUACUGAGUGAAAAUAGCCGAACAAAUGUGUAGUGCAGCGGAUGAAGGUUAAACAUAGCGAAGAUGUCAUCAAACCGCAGGACGAUCAUACCCCCGAUGGCGCUAUCGACAAAGCCCUUGCCCUCUGGCACCUUGGCCACGAAAACCGGGUAUGCCACAUCAUUCUCGGAGAGACGCCGCUUCUCCAAAGAAAGAACAAUGUCAUGCAGACUCCGCAUAGCACCGGUUGCAGCAUUGAGCAGAUUAGUCGGUAGCAUCGUCCUACCCGCUACAUGCACCCUCCUCGAGAUAUCCUUAGGUGAAGGUGGCCCGUCCUGAGCACGGAUCGUACUCGGUGCCAGCUGGCUCGCACCCUUGUUAUUCUUUCUUUUCCGUCCCUUCCGCUUCUUCUGCUGUAAUGGGAUCGAGUUUUGCUCAGAGACCACCUUCUUGAGUGUGUUGGGGCUGAUAAUAUUUCGCACCUCGGCUAUCUGAGGCUCAGUGAAGGCGGCAGCUGGAGGCAUCUCCUGAGAACUGAACGCCAGACGACACCUAUUGCAAUUGGCUUUCUCCGCGGUACCAGCUAGAUCGCGAUCGUCUUUUGCAGGGUUGGGUUCAUGAGAAGGAGGCCCCAAAAAUUCGUCAUCGUACCCAUGUUCGUUGAAGUACUUAUCGACGUUGGUAAAUGUACAGUCGUCGCCGUCCGGAUCCUGUGCCAUAUGCAUGUCCGGAUCAGGUGACAGCAGUAGCGUUCCGGCGGUCUUGCCAUGGCUUGGCGCCGGCACGACUGGCGGUGUUGUCUGUGGGGUGGUGUCCCCCGCCCCCAAACGAAUCUGGCUCUUCAGCCAAAGCAUGGGCCAGCUUAUGCAGGCGCUGAGGGUCAUCACAUCAUCUUCGUCGGCCCCAGGGGGUCGAUAUGGAGGUAACAAGUUGUCAAAGCCCCGCAGCACCCGAACCAGUUGAACCCUAUACACGGUGGGUGGCAUCGGAUUACCGUGGAACACGCGGCUGCCCGGUUGAACGAUUCUGGCCUUGGCGACAUCGAUCAACUCGCCGUCCAUGAAGUGCAGGAGAGUGCAUGGAACGUCGGCGGCGCCCUGCGAAAACAUGUAGGGCGUCAGGGAUAUCCAGUCAAAGGCAAGGAGAUGAAGUCAUCGGCCGAGAGGCUUAGUUACCGUGAUGGCGUCGAGCUCGGCUAAUGUCGAGGCACCGCCAACGGCAGGCGUGCAAGUGACGGAGGGGCCGUUUGCUACCGCGGUGCCGGAGACACCAAUGCCGCCUCCGCCGGAGACACCAAUGGUGCCGCCGGCGCGUUGUGCGAGUUGCUGCCCGUGAAGCUGGGAAUCGGGGGCGGCCCCUGUUGGCCGCCCGCAAUCCACGCCUGCAGCCCCUCAAUCAAGAUAGGCACAAUGGCGGUGAUCGUCGCUCCCAGUUGGUCUCGCACUUGCUCUUCGACUAUCUCCGGAAUCCGCGCCACUUGUGCCUUGAGUUCUUGAACCUCGCGCUCCUGGCUUUCCGAGCUAGUCUUUCUCUCCUUUUGCCCAGUGGUAUAGUAUUCCGACCAUUUCGUGGACAAGCCUUUGCCGGCCACACGACCAGCUGACGAAGGAUUACUGAGUUUAUCCUUGUGUUACAUUACGUUCAAUGCCCUAUUUAAAGUGGUGUCCCAAGGGGAGCUCUUAGACGACCCCGUGCUACUGCUUUCAGUGUCCUGCGGAAGGAACGUGAACCAUUUAGAAAUUUGGCUUCAUUAAUUAGAAUGCAACCAUAUGGANNNNNNNNNNNNNNNNNNNNNNNNNNNNNNNNNNNNNNNNNNNNNNNNNNNNNNNNNNNNNNNNNNNNNNNNNNNNNNNNNNNNNNNNNNNNNNNNNNNNNNNNNNNNNNNNNNNNNNNNNNNNNNNNNNNNNNNNNNNNNNNNNNNNNNNNNNNNNNNNNNNNNNNNNNNNNNNNNNNNNNNNNNNNNNNNNNNNNNNNNNNNNNNNNNNNNNNNNNNNNNNNNNNNNNNNNNNNNNNNNNNNNNNNNNNNNNNNNNNNNNNNNNNNNNNNNNNNNNNNNNNNNNNNNNNNNNNNNNNNNNNNNNNNNNNNNNNNNNNNNNNNNNNNNNNNNNNNNNNNNNNNNNNNNNNNNNNNNNNCAGAACAAGCUCAAGCGCCUUGGUCUUCGGAUCAGUGGUAAGCUCCUUUGUUACCGGGUCAAUCUUGUACCGGGCCCUGACAUGGUUCCUGGUCUGCUUGUCACGGUAUUUAUCGCAUAGGGGCGGUAGGCCAGCACGCUCCGCGUCCUCCUUGUCCCAUAUAGGUUCCGCCACUCUGUAACCGCCGGGACCGAGUUUGUGGACCCCUAAGUUCAAGUCCCGCAUAUCUUUCCCCCACUGACUUGAUUCCGCGGUUGCGUUGCUCUCGCACUUGAUCUUGAACUCCAGGUAGUCAGCUUCGCUGAUCGAAGGAUUUGUCUCCUUGAUCUUCUCAUAACUAUCACCUUUUUCAAUCCUUCUCUUCACCGCGGCUCUCCAAGUAGCCAGGGCCGUGCUCAUCUUCGUGAGGGCGGCACUGUUCACUUUAUUCCCUGAGAGGCGUGUGUUUGCGAAGUGACCACAGAACUUGUAUCGUUCGUGCAGCUUCGUGAAGAGGAGGUUGCGCAAAUUCCCUCCGGUCACGAUGCCUUAGGUUCUCGGUGUUGAUCGAGACGGUGCUCCGAAGAAUGCACCCGAGCUUUCCCGCGUACCCCUUGACUAAUUCUUUUGGCGCCGUUGGAUGCGAACUGGAGGACACUUCAGUAAAUCCCUCCUUGACGGUGCCGAGCAUGUUCGGGCGCCGGUCCUUCCAUUGCCUCUUCGGUAGGCUGCCAUCUUUGCGUGCGCUGCCAUCAUCAGUGGUGGCAUCCUCGGCGACACCAUCAGUGGUGUCAUCCCCGAUGCCACUAGGGGUUGUGUAGUCGGGAUCGGUGUCUUCCGCGGCGUCCUCAUAGCGGUGAGGUUCUUCAUCCAUCUCCUGGGACAGCUCCCAGAAUGCCUUGCCCGAACCGCCGGCCUCAUCGUUGUUGGCCAUGUUCGCUCUAAAUAGGAAAAAAGUUUGGUCAAAAAGUUGGUUAUUGUCAAGGAACAAGAUCUCUAAGUUGACCAAAUAACCUAAUUCUAGAGGAAUGUCGCCAAAAAGUUGGUUAUUGUCAAGGAACAAUUGAGAGAUGUUUGUGAUAUUGCCUAGGUAUUUUGGGAUGGAACCUGUUAGUGUGUUGUUGCUAGGUGUUUUGGGAUGGAGCCAGUAGCUUACUUGCAACCCACAAAAGACAAAGGAAAAGGGGUGAAAAGGGGGAGAUGGGUAGCUUUGAUGAGCAGGCAGCAUCUUCCUAACUCCCUUCUUCUUGUCUCCUCUCACUAUCUCUCUCACACACAUGGCAAGCAAGGGUGUUUGAGUGUGUGAAAAAAUACUAAACUAAUCCAACCACUAAAGCACUAGAUCACUACUAUUGUAUAAUCUUUUUAUAGCUUUGUAUAUAUGUAUGGCUCCAAUGGGUGCCACUGCCAUGCAUCCCUCUCCUAUCAUUUAAUCAUUAUUAGCCCAUCAUUUUGACCAGAGAUUAGUUUUGGUUAAUUAAUUAACUAGUGUGUGCCACAGCUAGCAGAGCACGGAUCUCCAUCUAGAUAGUAGGAGUAGCUUUCCAAGCCCUCUUUCCAAAGCCACAACUCCUCUAAGUUCUCAAGAUACAUGCUGAUUAAUUUUUGUUUCGGUUGAGAAUCGGGCACCUUCUAGGUCAAGAAAAUUGGGCAUGACCUUUGCUAAUUGAAGGGCCAUUACUAACUUUUUUUUGGAUCUUUAGUUGCAUCUAAUAAUUUUUUAGAAAAUAUUAACAAAUUCAAUACUUUUUGUGAGUUAGAAAUUCAAUACCAGAAUAAACCUAAAUAAAAAUUGGUAUACCAAUGGCACACCUCCUAGAGGUGCGCCGUAAGUACCUUGAUAGCAAUGGCGCACCUUCUCCUAGUGCGCCAUUAGUAACUUUUUUUUGGAUUUUUGGUUGCAUUCAUUUGUGAAUUGGUAAAACAUUUAUGAAUAUGAAAAAAUAUCAUCCAAUUUGAAAAAAUUUCAUGAACUCAAAAAGUGCCCAUGAAAUUUAAAAAUAUUCAUGAGUUCAAAAAAUAUUAACAAAUUCAAUACUUUUUGUGAGUUAGAAAUUCAAUACCAGAAUAAACAUAAAAAAAAUUGGUAUACCAGAAUAAACAUAAACACCAGAAUAAACAUAAAUAAAUAUUCAUGAGGACUAGAACAGAAGAAAUGUCAUUUCCGUAUGUCGAAAUACAAUCGAGAAAUGAAGACUACAAUUUAAAUACAAUCGAUCUUAGCUAGCUAUCUUUUCACAAUCUUCUUGCCCUUCUUUUUCGCAAAUGGAGUUCUUCUCUUGAACGGACGUCCUUUAGGUAGGGAACGGACGUCCUUUAGGUAGGGUGGUCCUGCUUCUUCUUGUGGUGUAUGGCACUUCAUCGUCGUCGUUAUGUUCCAUCUUCGGGUCGCCAUACUUGUCGAAGUCUUGCUCAUUCGCGACUCCAUCCAUUCCGAUGAUCUUCCUUUUGCCUCUCCUCACGACUACACGACUGGGCUUUGACGGGUCGGUAAUGAAGAAGCAUUGGUCCACUUGGGAAGCCAGUACCCAUGGCUCAUUUUUCGCGGUGACGUUUGCGCCCGCGGUCUUGGAUUUGGCUUCGGGUAUAACCAUGGUGGUGAAAUACCGGUCUUCUUUUAGGACGCUCUUGGCCCAUCUGACACGGAACAUCGGCUCCAGCGUAGCUCAGCUCCCAGAUCUCCUCGAUCCUUCCGUAGUAUCUGUCCUUGUUGUUACCGGUGUAGGAUUCCAUCGUUACCACGGAGUUCUGAUAACCAUCGCUCUUCAUGUCCUUUUCCUCGGUGUAGAAUGUGUAGCCAUUGAUAUCGUACGCCUCAUAGGUCAUCAGGUUGUGCUCGGCGCCCUGUGACAAGGCGAAUAUGAGUUUUUCUUCUGUGGAAGAAUCCUCAUGUAAAGGGUACGACAGAAGCUUCUCCUUGAACCAGCGCGCGAAACAUGAGUUGUGCUCUUUGAUUAUAUCUCCGUCCAUCCACUGUUGGCCUUGGUCAUUGUACAUCUUCUCAAUAAAGGAUUUGUGCUCUACCACCCAAGGAUCGACCACGUCUAUGUGUUGUAGCGCGACUAGGUUUGCUCUUUCAAAGUCGGCGAGUCGACCCUCGAAGUCGACAUGCAUUUCGCGGCGACCAUCGCGGUGACCCCAUCCAGCGAGCCCGCCGAGGUGCCUGUUUACAGGCAGACCAACGGGGUUCUCGAUGCCUACAUAAUUCGUGCAGUAGGAGAUGCACUCUUCGGUCAGAAAGCCCCUGGCUAUGCUUCCCUCUGGACGUGACAUGUUGUGAACGUAUCCUUUGAUGACACCAUUCAUCCUUUCGAACGGCAUCAUGCUGUGCAGGAACGUCGGCCCGAGUUGGAUGAUAUCCUCCACGAUAUGGACCAGCAGAUGCACCAUAACGUCGAAGAAUGCGGGCGGGAAGUACAUCUCAAGCUCGCAUAGUAUCACCAUGAUCUCUUCCUGUAGCCUUCUGAGUUGCCUCACGCCAGCCGACUUCCGAGAGAUGACGUCGAAAAAGUUGCAUAGGCCAAAUAGCGUUUCACGGACGUGCGCGUCCAUGAUCCCAUGGAUUGCAACUGGAAGUAUCUGCGUCAUCAGCACGUGACAGUCGUGAGACUUUAUCCCGCUGAACUUCUGCUUCGCUGAGUCUAGGUAUCUGCUUAUCUUCCCCGCGUAACCGUAAGGAAGUUUUACUCCUACGAGGCAGGUGAAAAACUGCUCGAUCUCCUCCCGACUUAGAGUGAAGCACGCGGGAGGGUAGUCAUUUCCGAUCUUCUUGGCCUUUUUGCCUUUGCGACGACUUUCCGUGUCCUUCGCCUCAUCAUCAUCAUCAUCAUCAUCAUCAUUAGCGUGAAACUCCUCCCUGAUGCCCAUUGAUUUCAAGUCUGCCCUUGCUUUUGGCCCAUCUUUGGUCCUCUCUGGCAUGUUGAGCAGGGUACCAAGCAGACUCUCGCACACGUUCUUCGUGAUAUGCAUGACAUCAAGGCUGUGAGGCACACGGAGGAUCUUCCAGUACGGCAAGUCCCAGAAAACAGAUCUCGUUUUCCAUACCUUCAGCAGCAGCUCUGGUGCCUUUCGCUUCUUUCCCGGCUCUGGCACCUUUCGCUUCUUUCCCGGCAGUGGGCAAUCUUUCCAAUUUUUCAACAGCUCAUCUAUUUCCUCGCCGCUCCUCGUACGCGGGCGUCUUCGGGGUUCGGUUUCAUCAUCGAACAGAUCCUUGCGUUUUCUCCAUGAGUCAUCGUCGCGAAGCCACCUUCGAUGUCCCAUGAACAUGGUUUUCGAAGACCCGGGAUCUCUAUCUAGCUGGCGAUACGUUGUGUCAUCCAUGCACCUGACGCAUCCAGAAAAUCCGUGGACCACCUGCCCCGCGACAUAUCCGUAACCGAGAUAGUCGUGCACCGUCGUGAGCAGUGCGGCUCUCAUAGGGAAAUAUUCUUUCUUUGCGGCGUCCCACGUAUUGGCUGGCGUUUUCCAUAGCGUGUCUAGCUCCUCUUUCAGCAGCCACAGAUACAGAUUGAUGUCGUUCCUUGGUUGUUUCGGCCCUUCAAUUAGCAUACUCGUGUGAAUGUACUUCCUCUUCAUGCACAACCAGGGGGGAAGGUUGUACAUCCACACAAACACAGGUCAGGUGCUAUGUGUGCUUCUCUGGCUGCCAAACGGAUUGACUCCAUCGGUGCUCGCGCCCAGCACGAUGUUCCUUGGAUCGUCCCCAAAUUCUGGGUGUUCGAAGUUUAACGCUUGCCACUGGCUUGCAUCCUUAGAAUGACUCAGCAUCUUGUCUUUUUUAUUUAUCUCCGGAUCAUUUCCGUCAUCUUCUCGCUUCUUCUCCUCCCUAUCCGCGUGCCAACGUAGGAGCUUUGCUAGCUUAGGGUCCGCGAAAUACCGCUGCAGACGAGGAGUGAUCGGAAAGUACCACACCACUUUUCGAGGAGCUUUCUUCCUCUUCUUGUAUCGAGUGACGCCGCACACCGGACAUAUGGUAGACUCCGCGUGCUCGUCCCGAUAAAUGAUGCAAUUGUUCAUGCACACAUGGUAUUUCACGUGCGGUAAAUCCAGAGGACACACGAUUUUCUUCGCCUCCUCGAAACUGGUCGCGCACUUGUUCCCCUUGGGAAGACGUUCGUGCCAGAAUGACAUGUUCUCGUCGAAGCAUGCGUUAGUCAUUUUGUGCUUUACCUUCGUCUCCAGAGCCAUGAGCGUUACUUUCAGACGGGUAUCCUCGGGCCUGCAUCCUUCAUAGAAUGGAGUAACCACGUCUAUCUCCAGUUGGUCCAGCUUGGCUUUCUCUCGGGCGGCAGCUCUUGCGUUAUCCGUCUGCUUGAGAAGCAGCUCUUGAAUAUGAGGGUCCUACACCCAGCCCAUCGAUGGUCCAUCGUCGUCUGCUCCGGCAUCUUCAUCUUCAUGAUCAUGCCCUUCGUCUUGACCUUCCUCAUCAUCAUGUCCGGCAUCUUCUACAUGAUGACUGUGUACUGCAUCUACUUCGUGAUCAUGUCCUGAAGAUUCUUCGUCUUCUCGCCCGCCCUCGCCGUGGUUGUCUUGCUGCCCUUCCUCAUUUCUUGCCCGACCCCCAUGGACGACUUCAUAGUCAUCUUCAUCACCUUGCCACCGAUAGCCAUCCAUGAAACCACGCAAGAGCAGGUGGUCCCGCACCUGUACGGAAUCCGGGUCCAUAAGGCUCUUCAGCUUGCAUCUUCAACACGGACAUCUUAUCUCCGUCUCGUUCUUUUGAAGCAUCACGGCCUUCGCGGAGCUCAAAAACCUAUUCACGAUGCCUUCAAUCAUCGUGCGGACCAUGGUCGCCUGCGGGGUAGAGCAAAACGAUAUUUUCGAACCAAAAAAAUUUUUGGCAUGACUUUGCCUAAAAAUAGGACAAAAUUCUCGGCGAAACGGAAAUGAAUCAACAUUCCGGCAAAAUAUUGGCAACUAUCGCAUUUCAAAUACCGGUACCUGCAAACACAAACAUAUGCAACACCACAAACAUACGUAGAUAUAGGCCAUAAAAAGUGUGUACAUUGUUGGUGGGAGAAAAAAGUAGAUCUAGAACAUAAAUAAAGCUUUCCCCUUACUUACCUAUCAAAAAAAAGGAAAUUUAACGACUUAAUUUGGGUGAAUCUAUGGUGCAAAUGAGGUGAGGAGGAGGAGGCAGCCGAGACCAAGCUUGGUAGAGGUGGAGAGAAUGAAGUGGGAAAACUGAGUGUGAUAGGUGGCUGUCCAAAAUAUCUAGCUGCUCCCAGGUUACCAAUGGCACACCACCUAAGAAUGCGCCAUUAGUAACCAGGGUUACUAAUGGCGCACCUGGUGAGUGGUGCGCCAUUACUAGUUUUAAAAAAAACAUGUUAGUAGUGGCGCACCAGUGGACAGUGCGCCAUUACUAGUUAGAACUAGUAAUGGCGCACUAUCCCCUGGUGCGCCACUGCUAACAAUUUUUUACCUUUUAAAAAAAAUUAGUAAUGACGCACCACCCACCAGGUGCGCCAUUAGUAAUGAGGACAUUAAUGACGUACCUGUAUCUGGUGCGCCACUGCUAUAUAGUAGUGGCGCACCACAUACAUGAUGCGCCAUUAAUGUCUAUAUUAGCUAUAGUCCUUUUCCUAGUAGUGCUCUUUUCCAGAUACCGCAAAAAUACCUUGGUUUCUGGCAUACUGUAGUUUACAAAACUUUGGUUUUUUCUGAUGCCAAACCCAGCAAAGUAUUCAAAACCAUGGUUUUUUUUCCAGAAACCACAGUAUUCUCAGAAAACAUUAAAAAAACUUUACUGCCAAACGCAGCCUAAAGGUUAAGAGGUACUCAUGCAACCAGUUGAUAUUUCGGGCAAGCUGGUGAUGCAACAUAAACGUGGUGGGGAUGACGACCGCAGCUGCCCAAAGCCAGGAUGGCGGACAGACGAGGUUAUUCGAGGACUGUAUCGAGGAUGGUGGGUCGACGAGGUUACCCGAGCUGAUUCAACCCAUGAGUAACCUGGCGAAGCACGAUUCACAGUUGAGGAGGGGCUCGACCCCCUAAUGCCCGAAUGGCGCACCGUCGCCCGGGGGUCACGUCGGUGGAGAGGACGAGGGGCAGCCGUGCUACUCGACGAUGAGUAGAGCCGUAGAUGAGGAGCAGGAAGGCGGAGCUGGCCGGUGAGCUCGCGGUGCGAGGCUGGCGGAGAUUGGGAUCUGGGCGAGGCGAGCGAGGUUGAGGAAGAGGUGGGAGCUCUGGGCGGUGCGGGCAAUUAGGAAGAUGGAAUCAUUUUUUUUUUUGAGCCGAAAGAUGGAAUCAUUGAGAGAAGAUUACGCGCAGGAUUUACAGCUUGCGGGUAGUUAUUCUGAUAGGAUUUUUUCCCGUUUUUCAUUUACAUACGAAGCAAAAUUGUGAACGUCGGAUUUGGAACCAAUCGACGUUAUUCAAGUGGUCCGACGCUCACGUUCCUUCAGACUACGGAUGGAAAGCGUUUCCCGAAACCGCUAGUUUCUCUCAUGUUCCCGAGACGAUAACACCAUGGCUAUUACUGCCAUUCCCCUUCUCUAUUAAUACCUUCCACCCUUUCCAUUAUAAAUAACAAAAUUGAAACACAUCAUUCUCUUGGUUGUAUUUUUCCUAAAAUGUUUAAGGUGUAUGUGUCAUUGAAUGUGAAUAUAUUCUGUUGCAAAGUUUCAUGAAAUUUAAUUAGUAUGCAACCUGUGCACUAGAGAAAUAAAGAUUAAAAUAAAUUUAGUUAUUUUUGUUAGCCCAUCAUUAUUGUUUUUAGAACAAAAAAGUCAAGUCACUUUUUCAUGAAAGCUGGAGACAAAUUGUGUAUUCUAAAAUAAAAAUGAUCGAUUUUCCUAUCUCUCUGUCUCUCAUACACGCGCGCGCGCAUGUACACACGUGCAAACUUAGAAUUUUGGAAAUAAUGGGCGCAAUGGCCAUUUGAAAAUAUGAGGUACUCCCUCCAUCCAUGAAUAAGUGUACGCAUGGCAUUCAAAAAAUUUCCACAAAAGAAUGUGCUUCUAUCUUCACAAUACACUUUAAAGUAAAGAAAAUGUCUCUAAUCACACAGUAAUCAAGACCAAUAAAAUUCAACACAUGGUCCUUUAUACAUCAUAUAUACGUGCCUAUGCGCGAAGAGCAAUACAUUAUGCAAUCAUACAUGGUAUCAGUUUUUAUGUUUUCAUCCUAGUCUUCCGCCGCCGCCGCCACGCGCCUCCUCCGCGGCGCCGCCGCCGCCGUCUGCGCGUCUCCCGCGCCGGCCGCCGCUGCUUCCUCUCCCUGCGCGUGCGCCUUGCACCGUCAGUCCUGCCCGGUCGCUAGCUGCAUCGCCUCGCCUCGCUAGCCCGGUCACUAGCCGCAUCGCCUCGCCUCGCUAGCUACCUCGCUUCACCUCGCUAGCUGCACGUACCUGCCCACCCGCACGCCCGAUCACUCGCCGCAUCACCUCGCCUCGCUAGCUGUCGAGUCGCCGAGUCAUCCGCUAGCUGCCUGCCGAGUCGCCGAGUCAAACUCCACUCGCCGCCUGCCAGUCCGCCCGCUAGCUGCACCCAAUCCUGCCCGCAGCAGCGCCCAACUCCGCUCGCCAGAUGCACCCGCAACCUGCUCGCCCGCCCAGCCGCUCCACGCGAAGCCAGCAGCGCCCGACUCCGCUCGCCAGCUGCACCCGUAACCCGCUCGCCCGCCCAGCCGCUCCACGCCAAGCCCAUAACUCGCUCGAUCGCCCAACGCCGCCGCCUAUCAAUUUUUAGGUUUUUCGUUUCCGCCACCACCGCCGCCGUGCACCUCCUCUGCGCCGCCGCCGCUGCCCAGCUGCCGUCGUCGGACCAGCAAUGGCGUCCACCGGCCCGUCCGCCGCCGCCUCUGCCAUCCCGCCGCCGGCGCCCUACGGCGCGGCCCCGCCAGCCCAUCCCGACUUGCCGCGCGGCUCGGCUCCGCUGCCCUCGCUGGCGUACGUCGCCGCCCCACUGCCGACGCUCUCCGGCCAGUCCAUCAUCGCCCCGCUGCCGGCGCCGACUCUGCCCGUCAACCCCUUGCUGUCGCGUGGGGCGUUCGACGCGCCCAUGUACGGGGCUCCCGGGUACUGGUGGGGGUCGUCAGCAGGCCAGCACUCGCCCGCUGGGCAGCCGCCAGACGGCGCCCAACACCUGCAGCAUCUUUUAGCGGGCCAGCAGGUUUUUCCGGCGUGCUAUCCGGCCUACCCGGCACCGCAGUCGCAGUCAGGACUGCUUCCCAUACCGUCUGGAGAGUACCCACCGCUGCUGCCGAGCGAUGGCUACAGCCUCCCCAUGGCGUCUCCGUCCCCCUUACCGGCCCUGCUGCCGGCGCCCUGGGACCCGGUGCUCCUUCCCGCACUGCAUGCCGCUCCUACGCCGAACAACUACGCCCAAUGUGAUGACAGGUACAUGGACACCGGGGCUACGGCUCACAUGUUUGCUCAUCCUGGUAAUCUUGCCUCCUUCACUCCCAUCACCACCGACCGCCGCAUCAUUGUCAGCGACGGUUCCACACUCCCUAUCACACAUGUCGGGCACACUUCUUUUCCUUCUAAUUCCAUGCCUAUUACUUUGUCUAACAUACUUGUGUCACCUCAUCUUAUUAAGAACCUUGUUUCCAUUCGUCGUUUAACUCGUGAAAAUCAUGUUACUGUUGAAUUUGACGAGCUUGGGUUUUGUGUCAAGGAUGCUGGAACCAGGAUGGUACUUCACCGAUGUGACAGCCUCGACGAGCUCUAUCCGGUGCAUUCGCCGUCCACCUCCACCACCGCAUCGGUUGCUCUCUCCGUCAGCGUCGAUCUCUGGCACGCUCGUUUGGGUCUUCCCAACCCCGUCACACUUCGUCAUAUUCUUAGGAGUUUCAGUUUCAGUUGUCAUAAGAUAGAGGAUCACACCUGUCAUGCCUGUCGUGUCGGCAAACAUGUUCGCCUCCCGUUUAAUAACUCCACCACCAUAGCUUCUUUCCUUUUCAGUUGAUUCAUAGCGAUGUGUGGACCUCUCUGGUUCCUAGUAAUUCAGACUAUUAUAUUAUCUGGUUAUCCUUGAUGAUUAUUCUCAUUAUGUGUGGACUUUUCCUUUGCGUAGAUAGUUAGAUGCACUCACGACUUUGACGGCUUUUUACUCCUAUGUCAGCACGCAGUUUGGGCGUCCCAUCAUUGCUCUUCAGACUGACAAUGGGAAAGAGUUCGACAACCUUGCUUUCCGCACUUUUCUGUCGCACCAUGGCAAGAUUUUCGUCUCACAUGCCCGUAUACUUACCAGCAGAACGGUCGAGCCGAACGCGUCCUUCGCACUCUGAACGACCUCGUUCGCACGCUCCUGUUCCAUGCUAAUGUGCCGCCUCAUUUCUGGCCGGACGCACUCGCCACUGCUGCUCUUCUCCUUAACCUUCGCCCUUGCCGCCCACGAUGGAACUAUGCACCUCACCAUCUUCUCUUCGGUAUGCCCCCAUCUUAUGAUGGCUUGCGUAUUUUCGGGUGCCUUUGCUAUCCUAGCACUGCCGACUCCGCUCCUCACAAACUCGCACCUCGUUCUGUCGCUUGCAUCUUCAUCGGCUGCCCCUCCAACUCCAAGGGAUAUCGGUGCUACGAUCCUGUCUCCCACCGUGUGUUCACUUCUCGGCACGUUUACUUUGAUGAGCAUGUGUUUCCGUUUCACCAGGUACCCCCGGCUGUUCCUCCCGCCACCGGUGACGCAGGCUCCUCGACACCCCUCAUAGGGUGCUCGUGCGCCUCUCUUCGCCCGCCCUUGGCUUUGAGGCACGCCCCUGUGAUACGUCCAUUUUGCAUCAUGCUUUUAUAUCGAUAUUUAUUGCAUUAUGGGCUGUUAUUACACAUUAUGUCACAAUACUUAUGCCUAUUCUCUCUUAUUUUACAAGGUUUACAUAAGGAGGGAGAAUGCCGACAGCUGGAAUUCUGGGCUAGAAAAGGAGCAAAUAUUAGAGACCUAUUCUGCACAACUCCAAAAGUCCUGAAACUCCACGAAAGUUAUUUUCGGAAAUAAUAAAAAAUACUGAGCGGAAGAAAUACGUCAGGGGGGCCUCCACCUGUCCACGAGGAUGGGGGGCACGCCCUACCCCCUGGGCGCGCCCCCUGCCUCGUGGGCCCCCUGUUGGCCCUCCGGUGCCCAUCUUCUGCUAUAUGAAGUCUUUCGUCCGAAGAAAAAUCAUAGGCAAGCUUUCGGGAUGAGACUCCGUCGCCACGAGGCGGAACCUUGGCGGAACCAAUCUAGGGCUCCGGCAGAGCUGUUCUGCCGGGGAAACUUCCCUCCGGGAGGGGGAAAUCAUCGCCAUCGUGAUCACCAACGCUCCUCUCAUCGGGAGAGGGCAAUCUCCAUCAACAUCUUCACCAGCACCAUCUCAUCUCAAACCCUAGUUCAUCUCUUGUAUCCAAUUCUUGUCUCUAAGUCUGGGAUUGGUACCUGUAGGUUGCUAGUAGUGUUGAUUACUCCUUGUAGUUGAUGGUAGUUGGUUUAUUUGGUGGAAGAUCAUAUGUUCAGAUCCUAUAUGCAUAUUAAUACUCCUCUGAUUAUGAACAUGAAUAUUCUUUGUGAGUAGUUACGUUUGUUCCUGAGGACAUGGGAGAAGUCUUGCUAUUAGUAAUCAUGUGAAUUUGGUAUUCGUUCGAUAUUUUGAUGAGAUGUAUGUUCUCUAUCCUCUAGUGGUGUUAUGUGAACGUCGACUACAUAACACUUCACCAUUAUUUGGGCCUAGAGGAAGGCAUUGGGAAGUAAUAAGUAGAUGAUGGGUUGCUAGAGUGACAGAAGCUUCAACCCUAGUUUAUGCGUUGCUUCGUAAGGGGCUGAUUUGGAUCCAUAUGUUUCAUGCUAUGGUUAGGUUUACCUUAAUACUUUUGUUGUAGUUGCGGAUGCUUGCAAUAGAGGUUAAUCAUAAGUGGGAUGCUUGUCCAAGUAAGGGCAGCACCCAAGCACCGGUCCACCCACAUAUCAAAUUAUCAAAGUACCGAACGCGAAUCAUAUGAACGUGAUGAAAACUAGCUUGACGAUAAUUCCCAUGUGUCCUCGGGAGCGCUUUUCUCUUUAUAAGAGUUUGUCCAGGAUUGUCCUUUGCUACAAAAACGAUUGGGGCACCUUGCUGCACUUUAUUUACUUUUUUUAUUUGUUGCUCAUUACAAAUUAUCCUAUCACAAAACUAUCUGUUACCUAUAAUUUCAGUGCUUGCAGAGAAUACCUUGCUGAAAACCGCUUAUCAUUUCCUUCUGCUCCUCGUUGGGUUCGACACUCUUACUUAUCGAAAGGACUACGAUAGAUCCCCUAUACUUGUGGGUUAGGAAGACUCAUUUCUGGCGCCGUUGCCGGGGAGUGAAGCGCCUUUGUUAGGUGGAAUUUGGUAAGGAAAAAUUUAUAUAGUGUGCUGAAAUUUACUGUCACUUGUCACUAUGGAAAGUAAUCCUCUGAGGGGCUUGUUCGGGGUAUCUUCACCCCGACCUGUAGAGCAAAGGGGUGCUCCUCAACCUACUGAACCUACUGAAGAUGAAAAUGUCUACUUUGAAAUACCUUCGGGUAUGUUAGAAAAACUGCUAGCUAAUCCUUUUGUAGGAGAUGGAACAAUGCAUCCUGAUGAGCACCUAAUCUAUGUGGAUGAAGUUUGUGGAUUAUUUAAGCUUGCAGGUAUACCCAAUGAUGUUAUUAAGAAGAAGGUAUUCCCUUUAUCUUUGAAGGGAGAUGCAUUGACAUGGUAUAGGCUAUAUGAUGAUACGGGGUCAUGGAACUACAAACGAUUGAAAUUGGAAUUUCAUCAGAAGUUUUAUCCUAUGCAUCUUGUUCAUCGUGAUCGCAAUUAUAUAUAUAAUUUUUGCCUCGCGAAGGAGAAAGCAUCGCUCAAGCUUGGGGGAGGCUUAAAUCAAUGUUAUAUUCAUGCCCCAAUCAUGAGCUCCCAAGAGAAAUAAUUAUUCAAAGUUUUUAUGCUCGGCUUUCUGAUAACAAUCGCACCAUGCUCGAUACUUCCUGUGCUGGCUCUUUUAUGAUGAAGACUAUUGAAUUCAAAUGGAAUUUAUUGGAAAGAAUUAAAUGUAACUCUGAAGAUUGGGAUCUCGACGAAGGUAAGGAGUCAGGUAUGACACCUAAGUUUGAUUGUGUUAAAUCUUUUAUGGAUACCGAUGUUUUCCGUAAAUUUAGCACUAAAUAUGGACUUGACUCUGAGAUAUUAGCUUCCUUUUGUGAAUCUUUUGCUGCUCACGUUGAUCUCCCUAGGGAGAAGUGGUUUAAAUAUCAUCCUCCCAUAGAAGUAAAAGUAGCUGCACCUAUUAAAGUUGAAGAAAAGACUAUCACUUAUAAUGAUCCUAUUGUUCCUACUGCUUAUGUUGAAAAACCACCUUUCCCUGUUAGAAUAAAGGAUCAUGCUAAAGCUUCAACUGUGGUUCGUAAAAGCAGUAUUAGAACCUAUGCACCUCCUGAGCAAGUUAAAGUUGAACCUAAUAUUGCUAUUGUUAAAGAUCUCUUGUCUGAUAAUAUUGAUGGGCAUGUUAUUCAUUUUCGUGAUGAAACUGCUAGAAUUGCUAAACCUUGUGCUAAAGAUAAACAUAGACCUGUGGUAGGCAUGCCUGUUAUUUCUGUUAAAAUAGGAGAUCAUCGUUAUCAUGGCUUAUGUGACAUGGGUGCUAGUCCUAGUGCAAUACCUAUUGACUUAUACAAAGAAAUUAUGCAUGAUAUUGCACCUACUGAGUUAGAAGAUAUUGAUGUCACAAUUAAACUUGCCAAUAGAGAUACUAUUUCACCCAUGGGAAUUGUAAGAGAUGUUGAAGUCUUGUGUGGGAAAACUAAAUAUCCUGCUGAUUUUCUUGUUCUUGGUUCCCCACAAGAUAGCUUUUGUCCCAUUAUUUUUGGUAGACCCUUCUUGAACACUGUUAAUGCUAAGAUAGACUGCGAAAAGGAUGUUGUUACUAUUGGUUUGGGUGAUAUGUCUCAUGAGUUUAAUUUCUCUAAAUUUCGUAGACAACACCGUGAAGAGGAAUUGCCUAGUAAGGAUGAAAUUAUUGGUCUUGCUACUAUUGCCGUACCUCCAAGUGAUCCUUUAGAACAAUAUUUCCUAGACCAUGAAAAUGAUAUGUUUAUGAAUGAAAGAAGGGAAAUAGAUGAAGUAUUCUUUAAACAGGAACCUAUCCUGAAACACAAUUUGCCUGUUGAAAUCCUAGGGGAUCCUCCUCCAACUAAGGGUGAUCCCGUGUUUGAGCUUAAACCAUUGCCUGAUACUCUUAAAUAUGCUUAUCUUGAUGAAAAGAAGAUAUAUCAUGUUAUUAUUAGUGGUAACCUUUUAGAGCAUGAAGAAGAGAGAUUAUUGAAAACUCUGAAGAAGCACCAUGCUGCUAUUGGAUAUACUCUUGAUGAUCUUAAGGGUAUUAAUCCCACUCUAUGCCAACACAAAAUAAAUUUGGAGAAAGAUGCCAAACCAGUUCGUGAUCACCAACGAGGGCUGAAUCCUAAGAUGAAAGAAGUGGUAAGAAAGGAAAUACUAAAGCUCCUUGAGGCAGGUAUAAUUUAUCCCGUUGCUGAUAGUCAGUGGGUAAGUCAUGUCCAUUGUGUCCCUAAGAAGGGAGGUAUUACCGUCGUUCCUAAUGAUAAAGAUGAAUUGAUUCCGCAAAGAAUUAUUACAGGUUAUAGGAUGGUAAUCGAUUUCCGCAAAUUAAAUAAAGCUACUAAAAAAGAUCAUUACCCCUUACCUUUUAUUGAUCAAAUGCUACAAAGAUUAUCCAACCAUACACAUUUUUGCUUUCUAGAUGGUUAUUAUGGUUUCUCUCAAAUACCUGUGUCAGCCGAUGAUCAAUCAAAGAUCACUUUCACUUGUCCUUUCAGUACUUUUGCUUAUAGACCUAUGCUACCUUUCAAAGAUGCAUGAUGGCUAUAUUCUCUGACUUUUGUGAAAAGAUUUGUGAGGUUUUCAUGGAUGAUUUCUCCGUUUAUGGAUCCUCUUUUGACGAUUGCUUGAGCAACCUUGAUCGAGUUUUGCAGAGAUGUGAAGAAACUAAUCUUGUCUUGAAUUGGGAAAAGUGCCACUUUAUGGUUAAUGAAGAUAUUGUCUUGGGGCAUAAAGUUUCUGAAAGAGGUAUUGAAGUUGAUAAAGCCAAGGUUGAUGCUAUUGAAAAGAUGCCAUGUCCCAAGGACAUCAAAGGUAUAAGAAGUUUCCUUGGUCAUGCCAGUUUUUAUAGGAGGUUCAUUAAGGACUUCUCAAAAAUUUCUCGGCCUCUGACUAAUUUAUUACAAAAAGAUAUACCAUUUGUCUUUGAUGAUGAUUGUGUAGAAGCAUUUGAAAUACUUAAGAAAGCAUUGAUCUCUGCACCUAUUGUUCAGCCACCUGAUUGGAAUUUACCCUUUGAAAUUAUGUGUGAUGCUAGUGAUUAUGCUGUAGGUGUUGUUCUAGGGCAAAGAGUUGAUAAGAAAUUAAAUGUUAUCCAAUAUGCUAGCAAAACUCUAGACAAUGCUCAAAGAAAUUAUGCUACUACUGAAAAGGAAUUCUUAGCAGUUGUAUUUGCUUGUGAUAAGUUCAGACCUUAUAUUGUUGAUUCUAAAGUAACUAUUCACACUGAUCAUGCUGCUAUUAAAUAUCUUAUGGAAAAGAAAGAUGCUAAACCUAGACUUAUUAGAUGGGUUCUCUUGUUACAAGAAUUUGAUUUGCAUAUUAUUGAUAGAAAGGGAGCUGAGAACCCCGUUGCAGACAACUUGUCUAGGUUAGAAAAUGUUCUUGAUGACUCACUACCUAUUGAUGAUAGCUUUCCUGAUGAACAAUUAAAUGUCAUAAAUGCCUCUCGUACUGCUCCAUGGUAUGCUGAUUAUGCUAAUUACAUCGUUGCUAAAUUCAUACCACCUAGUUUCACAUACCAGCAAAAGAAAAAGUUUUUCUAUGAUUUGAGACAUUACUUUUGGGAUGACCCACAUCUUUAUAAAGAAGGAGUAGAUGUUGUUAUUAGAUGUUGUGUACCUGAGCAUGAACAGGAACAGAUCCUACACAAGUGUCACUCCGAGGCUUAUGGAGGACACCACACUGGAGACAGAACUGCACAUAAGGUAUUGCAAUCCGGUUUUUAUUGGCCUACUCUCUUCAAGGAUGCCCGUAAGUUUGUCUUGUCUUGUGAUGAAUGUCAAAGAAUUGGUAAUAUUAGUAGACGUCAAGAAAUGCCUAUGAAUUAUUCACUUGUUAUUGAACCAUUUGAUGUUUGGGGCUUUCACUAGUAGAAAACAGGGCUUAGGUCACAGGGCAGUUUUCUCAUUAGCCCCGGUUCAGUCACGAACCGGGACCAUGGGGGCAUUCGUCCCAGUUCGUGAGCCCAGGGGGCCGGCCGGGGCCUCGUGGGCAUUGGUCCCGGUUCGUAUGGAACCAUUUGUCCCGGUUCGAGCCACGAACCGGGACUAAUGUACCUCGCUCCUGGCCCACAACCAUUUGUCCCGGUUCUUGGCAUGAACCGGGACAGAAGGCCCGGAUUUAGUACCGGUUCAUGCCGCGAACCGGGACCAAUGAGGUGCCUAUAUAUACCCCUCGCCCGCGAGCAGAGCACUCCAGUGCUCUGUUUUUCUCUGGCCGGCGAGGGGAGGGCUUUGUGGUGCUCUAGCUCACCUCCUAUGCACAUGAGGUGUUCGAUGAAAUGCCCGAGCCACACUAGUUAAGCUUUGUCCUCUCGAAGCUCGACCUCAAAGCUCCAUUUUCCUCGAGAUUUGUCUAGGUUUAGCGGCCCGUCAGGUCCCAUUCCCGUCUUCACCGCCGUCGACCGCCUGCGCCGAUCUCGUCGCCGGCACCACCGUGGUGAGCCUCUUGUUCUUAUCUUCUUUUUGAAAGAAAAAAAUUCUUACUUUAGAUAGAUACUUGUCUAAUUUUCUUACUAUUUUAUUCCUUCUUAUUACAUAGUGCGAUGGUUUUGGUAUCCGCCCCCGUCGGCCCUCGUCCUGUCUAUGAUUCGGAUGUGGUAUAUAUUAUCUUUUUAUAACUAUUUGAUUCAUUUAUUGUUUAUGACAAAUAUACCAACCAGCGUGACAUAGAUUUUAUUUAUCUAGGAGGUGGUUGAACCGGAAAUUCUAACCGACCCUAUUGUCGAGAGGUUAAAUUUAGUUGAAGAAGAAAACAAUUACUUGAAGGAAGAAAUAAAAAAAAUUGAGGAGGAGAAGAUGAUAUUCACUACUGGAAUCAGCUAAUUUGCCAUCUGCCAGAUCUUUGCCGUCUGCUAGCUGACGGCAAAGAUGCUCUUUGCCAUCAGCUACACAUAAACAGACGGCAAAGAAAAGGCUGACGGCAAACACACUCUUUGCCAUCUGCCUGGUCUUUGCCGUCUGCCAGCGGACGGCAAAUAAUCUUUGCCGUCCGCUGGCGGACGGCAAAGAGUGUGGUGGCCCCACCCCCCGCUCGUUUGAAAAAAUCCUAACGGCCCACCUCUUUGCCGUCCGCUAGCGGACGGCAAAGAGGCAGAAAGGCGGACGGCAAAGGCUGGCGGACGGCAAAGAGGGCACUUGCCUAACGGCAGGUACCCCCCGCCCGUUACUCACUUCGUCCUCGCCUCGCCCUUCUCCUCCCACCCCGCCGCCGCCGCCGCCGCCCGCCGCGCGCCGCCGCCCCGUCGCCCCCGNNNNNNNNNNNNNNNNNNNNNNNNNNNNNNNNNNNNNNNNNNNNNNNNNNNNNNNNNNNNNNNNNNNNNNNNNNNNNNNNNNNNNNNNNNNNNNNNNNNNNNNNNNNNNNNNNNNNNNNNNNNNNNNNNNNNNNNNNNNNNNNNNNNNNNNNNNNNNNNNNNNNNNNNNNNNNNNNNNNNNNNNNNNNNNNNNNNNNNNNNNNNNNNNNNNNNNNNNNNNNNNNNNNNNNNNNNNNNNNNNNNNNNNNNNNNNNNNNNNNNNNNNNNNNNNNNNNNNNNNNNNNNNNNNNNNNNNNNNNNNNNNNNNNNNNNNNNNNNNNNNNNNNNNNNNNNNNNNNNNNNNNNNNNNNNNNNNNNNNNNNNNNNNNNNNNNNNNNNNNNNNNNNNNNNNNNNNNNNNNNNNNNNNNNNNNNNNNNNNNNNNNNNNNNNNNNNNNNNNNNNNNNNNNNNNNNNNNNNNNNNNNNNNNNNNNNNNNNNNNNNNNNNNNNNNNNNNNNNNNNNNNNNNNNNNNNNNNNNNNNNNNNNNNNNNNNNNNNNNNNNNNNNNNNNNNNNNNNNNNNNNNNNNNNNNNNNNNNNNNNNNNNNNNNNNNNNNNNNNNNNNNNNNNNNNNNNNNNNNNNNNNNNNNNNNNNNNNNNNNNNNNNNNNNNNNNNNNNNNNNNNNNNNNNNNNNNNNNNNNNNNNNNNNNNNNNNNNNNNNNNNNNNNNNNNNNNNNNNNNNNNNNNNNNNNNNNNNNNNNNNNNNNNNNNNNNNNNNNNNNNNNNNNNNNNNNNNNNNNNNNNNNNNNNNNNNNNNNNNNNNNNNNNNNNNNNNNNNNNNNNNNNNNNNNNNNNNNNNNNNNNNNNNNNNNNNNNNNNNNNNNNNNNNNNNNNNNNNNNNNNNNNNNNNNNNNNNNNNNNNNNNNNNNNNNNNNNNNNNNNNNNNNNNNNNNNNNNNNNNNNNNNNNNNNNNNNNNNNNNNNNNNNNNNNNNNNNNNNNNNNNNNNNNNNNNNNNNNNNNNNNNNNNNNNNNNNNNNNNNNNNNNNNNNNNNNNNNNNNNNNNNNNNNNNNNNNNNNNNNNNNNNNNNNNNNNNNNNNNNNNNNNNNNNNNNNNNNNNNNNNNNNNNNNNNNNNNNNNNNNNNNNNNNNNNNNNNNNNNNNNNNNNNNNNNNNNNNNNNNNNNNNNNNNNNNNNNNNNNNNNNNNNNNNNNNNNNNNNNNNNNNNNNNNNNNNNNNNNNNNNNNNNNNNNNNNNNNNNNNNNNNNNNNNNNNNNNNNNNNNNNNNNNNNNNNNNNNNNNNNNNNNNNNNNNNNNNNNNNNNNNNNNNNNNNNNNNNNNNNNNNNNNNNNNNNNNNNNNNNNNNNNNNNNNNNNNNNNNNNNNNNNNNNNNNNNNNNNNNNNNNNNNNNNNNNNNNNNNNNNNNNNNNNNNNNNNNNNNNNNNNNNNNNNNNNNNNNNNNNNNNNNNNNNNNNNNNNNNNNNNNNNNNNNNNNNNNNNNNNNNNNNNNNNNNNNNNNNNNNNNNNNNNNNNNNNNNNNNNNNNNNNNNNNNNNNNNNNNNNNNNNNNNNNNNNNNNNNNNNNNNNNNNNNNNNNNNNNNNNNNNNNNNNNNNNNNNNNNNNNNNNNNNNNNNNNNNNNNNNNNNNNNNNNNNNNNNNNNNNNNNNNNNNNNNNNNNNNNNNNNNNNNNNNNNNNNNNNNNNNNNNNNNNNNNNNNNNNNNNNNNNNNNNNNNNNNNNNNNNNNNNNNNNNNNNNNNNNNNNNNNNNNNNNNNNNNNNNNNNNNNNNNNNNNNNNNNNNNNNNNNNNNNNNNNNNNNNNNNNNNNNNNNNNNNNNNNNNNNNNNNNNNNNNNNNNNNNNNNNNNNNNNNNNNNNNNNNNNNNNNNNNNNNNNNNNNNNNNNNNNNNNNNNNNNNNNNNNNNNNNNNNNNNNNNNNNNNNNNNNNNNNNNNNNNNNNNNNNNNNNNNNNNNNNNNNNNNNNNNNNNNNNNNNNNNNNNNNNNNNNNNNNNNAUAGCAUGGGAAAAUGAACCCAAUCUAAACAUACUCGGGUGGGAUUAGGACCUAUCAUUACCUAUUAGAGUGUAGGUUGCAUGGACGUAAUAAAAUUGACAAAGUAGAUCAACUGAUGAAUACAUACAUGGUGAAUUAUAUAUAUAUAUUUGUUGUGUGUCUAGUAGCUCUGAAAGUCAAGAUGAGUGAUCGUGCGUGGAUGUACACCGGUCACACUGGUCAGAACAAAUGGAGCACUGAAUGGUUCACAAAAACCAAGGGGUUUGUGCGAGCCGCAUUUGCAAAUGGCCAGAGGAAAACCUGGUGCCCCUGUUUACGGUGCGGCAAUUGGGAAAAGAGGACAGAGGCUGAAAUGGGCAAACACCUGCAGAAGAGUGGUUUUACGCCCGAUUAUACGGUGUGGACAUUUCAUGGUGAGUCUGCCCAACGUGACCGAGCUGAGGUGGAUCUUCGUCGCACCGACGAGCAUGGUACCGGUAUGGAAAACAUGGUGCAAGACUUUGAUGAUGCUCAGGAUUCGGACGAGGAGAUGGAGGAAUCUGCAAAGGCCUUCAAUGAAAUGUUGGAGUCUUCAAAACGUCCGCUCCAUGAGCACACUGAGCUUUGUCAGUUGGAUGCCAUCUCACAAGUAAUGGCUCUGAAGGCUCAGUUCAACUUGGGCAGAGAAUGCUACGAUGCAAUGAUGACAGUAUUUGGACGCUUUCUACCCAAAGGCCAUGUAAUGCCUGCAAACCUGUACCAGUCGGACAAAAUCCUCCGUGCACUGAAGAUGCCCUAUGAUAAGAUACAUGCCUGUGAGAAAGGAUGUGUCUUGUUUAGGCUUGACUAUGCGGACUUGAACUGUUGUCCCAUUUGCAAGUCUUCCAGGUAUGUUGUGGUAGACAACGGUAUGGGUGAGAAGACACAGACCAAAAUCCCCGUUAGUGUUCUUCGGUAUAUGCCAAUCGUACCAAGACUUCAACGUCUUUUCAUGGUCGAAGAGACGGCCAGACAGAUGACAUGGCACAAAACGGGCAAAGGAACCGAACUAGAUGCAGAUGGGAAUCUGAUGAUUGUACACACAUCUGAUGGUGUUGCGUGGAAAAAGUUUGAUGAAUUACAUGGUGACAAAGCGGCAGAUCCGAGGCAUCCUCGAGUCGGCAUCAACACGGAUGGGUUCAGUGUGUUUGGUAUGACGGCAGCCCAAUACAGUUGUUGGCCCGUAUUUGUCUUUCCACUCAAUCUCCCCCCCGGACAGAUUAUGCAAAGAAAGAACAUUUUCCUGACGUUGAUAAUUCCAGGGCCCAACUAUCCGGGGAAAAAUAUGAAUGUGUACAUGCAACCGCUUAAGGACGAAUUGCAAGAAGCCUGGGAUAAUGGGUUCAAGACAUACGAUGACUAUAGCAAACGGAACUUCAUAAUGCGUGUCUGGUACAUGUACUCGACGCAUGACUUGCCGGCGUAUGCGCUAUUCGUUGGCUGGUGUGUGCAUGGAAGGUUCCCGUGCCCCACAUGCAAGGGAGCUCUUGAGUUUCGUUGGCUUCAGGCCGGUCGCAAGUUUUCUUGCUUCGACAUGCAUAGAGAGUUCCUGAAUCCUCGCCAUAAGUUCAGGAAAGACAAGAAGAACUUCAUCAGAGGUAGAGUUGUCAAAAACUCUGCACCACAUGCAUUGACAGGCCAACAGACCCUGGAUCAGUUAAACGCUCUCGAGCCAGAUCCCGAGCGUCCAGGGUACUUCAAGGGGUAUAAUUCUAAGCACGCCUAGACUCACAAAACAUGCUUAUGGGAUCUGCCUUACUUCAAAGACCUCCUUUGCCCACACAACAUCGACGUGAUGCACACUGAGAAGAAUAUCGCCGAGGCACUUUUUGGUACAUUGUUCGGCAUAGAUGGGAAGUCAAAGGAUAAUACUAAGGCUAGAGUCGAUCUGGAGGCGCUAUGUGAUAGGCCGUUACAAAACAUGAAAGAACCGAAAGGAAAGCAGAACUGGACGAAGCCAAAGGCAUGGUUCAAUCUUGGAAGGCCGGCUAUGAGGGAAAUUAUCUUGUGGGUGAAAAUGCAGUUGAUGUUCCCCGAUGGGUAUGCAGCGAAUCUACAGAGGGGAGCCAGUCUUGAUAAAUUGAAGAUAUUUGGUCUCAAGAGUCAUGAUUGGCACAUAUGGAUUGAGCGGGUAAUGCCGGUGAUGUUGCGUGGCUUCAUCCCUGAGGAUGAAUGGCUAGUACUGGCAGAACUCAGCUAUUUCUUCCGUGUUCUUUGUGCGAAAGAACUAUCGCCUAGCGUGCUAGAAGAAAUGGAAGAGUUGGCGCCGGAGUUGAUCUGCAAGUUAGAGAAGAUCUUUCCACCGGGCUUCUUUAAUCCAAUGCAAUAUUUGAUUUUGCAUCUCCCGACCGAGGCAAGAUUGGGGGGGUCCGUGCAAAAUCGUUGGUGCUACCCAACUGAGAGGAUGCAGAAGACGCUUCGACAAAAAUGUAAAAAUAAACGUAGAAUUGAAGCAUCGAUGGCUGAGGCAUUCAUCACUGAGGAGGCGGCAAACUUCGUGACAGCACACUACGAAGCCAAAAAUCGCCAUUUGCAUAAUCCGAAGCCUCGGUACAAUGCUGACGACCCUAAAAAGGGUGGAUCCAACCUCAGCCUAUUCAAAGGGAAUCUCGCACCAGCCAGUGUUUCAAAUCCAGUAUCUUUGGAUAACAAACAAUGGCGGACCAUUUCGUUGUAUAUCUUCAACAACCUGAUAGAAGUGCGGCCGUACAUCGAGUAAGUUCUCGGUACAUAGUUUCGCAACUUCUAUUUCCUUUGAACUGCUCUUAUUCCUGGAUAUUUCAUACAGUCGAUACGUCGCCUUAUUCUCGUAUGGAGCGGUGAUCCAAAAGGAUUCUGUCGAAGAGUAUGAGCUUCUCGCAAAGCAAGGUGGCGGCUAUCCCGGUUUCAUCUCUUGGUUCAAACAAACGGUAAUUUCUAUUAGACUUGUAGGCUAAUUUGUAGGCGGCUAUCCCGGUUUCAUUCGCUAAUUUGUGUGUAAUGCAACAAUCCUUUCAUAUUAAACUUGUAGGCUAAUUCAGAGUCUAUGGACGCCGAAUUGAGACAAGUCGCUAAUGGUUUUGACUAUAAGGUCCGUUCAUUUGACAAAUACGACAUCAACGGGUAUCGCUUUCGUACCUAUGGCAAAGAGCUAUCUAUGGCCGGCCGAAAGUCUACAAAUUGUUGUGUAUCUGCUAUCGGCGAAGGAGGUACCGAGUAUUAUGGGAGAGUUGAAGCAAUUUAUGAACUUCUAUUCUAUGGUGAAAACCCACCGAAUGUCGUAGUCUUCAAAUGUUAUUGGUUUCAGCCGAAGGAGACUAGAAGAACUCAUGAACAUAUAGGGCUAGUUGAAAUCAACCAAAGCACCCAUUUAGAUGUUCCUGAUGUCUAUAUUACGGCUCAACAGGCGACCCAAGUAUUCUAUCUACCGUGGGCCUGCCAAACUAAUCCAAAUCUGAAAGGUUGGGAAGUCGUUUAUGAAGUGCCGCCACGUGCUAGACUAUCUCCCCCAAAGGAAGAGGAUUAUGAACCUCACAUUAACCCAGACACAUAUGAAGGAGAAUUCUUCCAAGAGACACGUCUUUCCAAAAAGCGUUUCAAGAACCGCUAUACUUCACCCCAAAACAUUGAAGUAGACACUGACAGUGAAUCCGACAUCACCCCAGAGGAGGAACAAGAAGAGCCGGAACAAGAAGAGGUUACUGCUGCGGAUGACCUGUCAUUGCUUGACCGAUUACGUCAAGGUGGCCUUGCAUAUGUUGAUGCCACUGAACCCUAUGAGCCCGUCAUUGAUUAUAGUGAUGAUGAUGAUUAUGCAUUUAUUGAUGAUACUGAUCGAGAUUAUUAGUAGUGUCAGGUAUUAAAUUUUUUAAUGUUGUACUUGAUGAUGAUACACUUAAGUGAUACACAUAUUAUUAUUCAUGUCGGUUUUUUUUUAUGUUGUACUAAUUUCGUUUACUGUUUGUCAUGGCAGGUGUUGAAAGAUGGUGGGCGCUGGUCGGGAGCGCGCCAAGGCCCCUUCUUCCUCGGCGCGUGGUCUGAGGUCCUCGAUUCCAGACGUACCUCUUCGCCGAGCGUUGCUGGACAGUAUGUCCACACCGCCGGGCCCUUCUUCGUCCACCGCGGUGCCCAGCAGGGGACGAGGUAGGAAGAGAGGAGGUGGGGCACGUGGUCGCGGGAGAGGAGGUAGGGUGACUGCUAGGGAGCCUUCCUCGCCGCCACCCCCAGCUGUUUCACCCGAGCACGUGACUGCUAGGGUGGACUCGUCCGAGGAGGAGGCUACACGGACUCCGGUCCACGAGCCUCCGGUCCACGGGUCUUGGGCCCACGAGCCUCGGGUCGACUGGCCUUCGGCCCACGAGAGUUCGGCCCACGAGACCCCGGAGGAGCACACGUCCGGAUGGGGUACCUGGCCGGAUCAGCCCGAGGAGCCGAGUGGCCAUGCUGAUGAUGGCGGGGAGCCGACUGAUCUUGAGGAGGAGGGUGGCACCGUCUACCAGCGUGGUGCUACACGGCUCCCGUCCGUGCCGGCAACUCGCGAGCAGAGGUGGUUGAUCUUCCCUGAUGGGGAGAGGUACGUAAGUGCAUUUAAUAUUUUUGUACCUUCUGCAUUCACGUUUCUUCAAAUAACUAAUGCGUUGGCCUUGUCAUGCUGCAGGGGUUGGGACCACCAUCAUAGUGUCCGCCGGCCCAACUCCGUCCUUGGAGUUCUUUGCCGGCAAAACUUCCCGGGGUUUGUCACGUUGCCUGGUGAGGGUCGGCUUCCAGAGCUUGGGUUGAGCUGGGAGCACUACGUGGCUGCCCCGGCCCCGCCGGAUGUCAUUAUCGACGGUGUCGUGUGCGACACGAGGGCAGACAUGGUGAUCAGGACGUUCUGGGUAAUUUCUCCUUUACACAUUUCAAAAUCUUCAACUAGCUAGUUAUUAAUUGUACUAAUCAAUAUUGUCUCAUUUGAUUGCAGACAUUCUACAGGUGUGAGGAGGGAUACGAGGAGGACUGCGCAAAUGUUAUCCAGAACGUCUGCAAGCGCCUACUCCAGAACUUACGGCACGAGGCUCGGGUGCAGGCUGUUCGAGACUACUACGCCUUGCAUGGUAUCAAGAAGACCAAGCCGGCGUGCCGCGAUAAGUUCCUGAGUAAGGAGCAGUACAUGAAGGUAAUUCUUAAGGCCUUCUACUUAAGUUCCUUCAUUUAGUAAUUCUUAGCCGUAGCGCUCAAGUUUCUAUUUGCUAACUUAGGCGCCUCCGAGAUGGUGUGCGGAUCGGAUGGAUUGUUGGGAGGUGUUGGUCGAUGAGUGGUGCUCACAAGAAUGGCUAGCCCUCCACAACCAGGCCAAGGACAAACGUGCCCAAAUGGAAGGUGUGCCACACCAUCAAGGCAGCUCCAACUUAUAUCAGUUCGGGCGCAACUGGGUAUGUGGUUUGCUUCAUGAUUCAUGCAAUUCAUUCAUCAUGCUAGCUUGAGCCCUUUAGUUACUAAUUUUCAUUGUUUCUCUCUUUCAGGCACGCCACAAUAAGGCGGAUAAGGUGCCAGAGGUGUACGACCUGUAUGCCAUGGCCCACACUGGCUCUUACAAGAAAGUCAAGUCUUUCUCUCAGUCUGACCUCGAUGAUGCAAACAACUUCACCAACAUCUCCUCCCACAACAAGCUCGUGAGAUAUAGAGAUGAGGGGAAGGCGAGGAAAGGGGAGGACUUUAACCCGAGCCAGGGUCCCAUUGAUCCAGAGCUGGUGAUGAUAUCUGGUGGCGGGAGGUCCCAUGGCUCCAUAGCCAUUGGAGAUGGACUUAUCCGUUGUCCUAGCACUCUCCCAGAGAUCAAGGCGCGCCAGUCGAGCUCCGCUCCUGAGAUAAGGCCUCGUGAACGGCCAGUGCAACUCGCCAUCAAGGUUAGUGAUACGUACUCAGCUAUCUUUCUCCAUUACAUUGUGUGCGCUUCCAUCAAUGAUUACAAAUGGUCAUGUGAGUGGUGUUGCAGGCUGCUAUACAGAGUGAGAGAGAUAGAACGGAGAAACUUCUGGCGGAGGCGGCGGAGAGGCAGCGGGAGUUGGAGGAGAGGACGACACAGAUGAUGGAGGAGGAGAGGGCACGGAAUGACAUGCAGGCAAGGGCCAUGUACGAGCUCCUUGUGGUAAGUUUCUUCUGCAGAUUAGCCAAAACAUUCAUGUAGUGUUUGUCUCAUUACUAACUAGUAUGACUGAGUCGUCAAAACCAAAUGUGCAGUCUGUGUGCGAGAAGACCGGUCAGACCGCUCCGCCGAUGCCAGUGAUUGCUCCUGGGACCACGGUGAGUUUAAUUUGAAUGGACAUUACUUGCUAGUCUUAACAUUUGAGUGUCAUAAUGCUAACGAGACAUUGGAAAUGAUCUUUGGUGCAGCUUAACUCCAGAAACGCAUCGCAUGAUCCUUCUCCAGCUACCGGCACUAGCCAGCCCGCUCCUACACCUCCCUGAUCACGGUAAGUUUCUCUAGUGUUUUGCUUAACAAAUGCAUAAAGACCUAUACUUAGCUUUAUUUCCUCCAAUAUGCUUACCAUAAUGACCUAGAGUUAGCUUCUUUUCCUCCAAAAUGACUUAAUAAGCUUACUGACCUCAUAAACCAUCCAUUUUACCUAAGUUAGCUCUAAAACGAUAUGUACUUAGCUUACUUAUGUCAAAAAUUGCAUAAUUAGCUCAUAAACGACCCAUUUCACCUAGGUUAACUCAUAAACGACCCAUUUCACCUAGGUUAGCUCAUAAACGACCCAUUUCACCUAGGUUAGCUCAUAAACGACCCAUUUCACCUAGGUUAGCUCAUAAAUGACCCAUUUCACCUAAGUUAGCUCAAAAAGAUCCAUUUCAACUAAAUUAGCUCAUAAAUGAUCCAUUUCACCUAAGUUAGCUCAAAAACGAUCCAUUUCAACUAAAUUAGCUCAAAAAUGAUCCAUUUCAACAAAGUUAGCUCAAAAACGAUCCAUUUCAACUAAGUUAGCUCAAAAACGAUCCAUUUGACCUAAGUGAGCUAAAAAAGAUCCAUUUCACCUUAGUUACCUCAAAAACGAUCCAUUUCAACUAAGUUAGCUAAAAAACGAUCCAUUUCAACUAGGUUAGCUCCAAAAUGACCCAUUUCACCUUACUUAGCUCAAAAACGAUGCCCUUCACCUUAGUUAGCUCAUAAACGACCCAUUUCAACUAAGUUAGCUCAUAAAUGAUCCAUUUCAACUAAGUUAGCUCAUAAACAACCCAUUUCAACUUAGUUAGCUCAUAUAUGAUCCAUUUCACCUAAGUUAGCUCAUAAAUGACAUAUACUUCUUGUUCUAGUCUUCUUCUUGUUCUAGUCACCUAUUUCUAACUUUCUUAUUUACCAUUUUGCAGAUUUCAUUCACUUGAUGGAAGCUAGCUUGCUAUGAUGGAGUGCCUUUGAUGAAACUUUGCAUUGUAUCUAGCUUGCUAUCUUCAUGACACUUUGCAUUGUAAUAUAUAUAUGGAUGGAACAAUGUGUAUGGAUGGAACUUCCUUAUGUAUGAACAAUGUGUAUGGAUGAAACUGAUGUGAUAUGUGAUAUGUGCUGGAUAUGUGAUAUGUGAUAUGUGAUGGAUAUGUGAUAUGUGAUAUGUGCUAGAUAUGUGUUGGAUAUGUGCUGGAUAUGAAACUUAUAUAUGUGAUAUGUGCUGCAAAUUGUGGGAUUUAAUAAAAAACAGAAAAAACAGACAAUAUCCAGGCUCUUUGCCGUCUGCCACCGACGGCAAAGAGCCUUUGCCGUCUGCCGCGGACGGCAAAGAAGCCACGUGGCAGCCAACUGUGCUUCCUGGGAGCUGACCCAUUUGGUCAGUUUGCCUACAGUGGCAGACGGCAAAGACUUUGCCGUCCGUGGCAGACGGCAAAGAACCUGCACUUUGCCAUCAGUGGCAGACGGCAAAGAACCUGCCAUCUAGUGACGUGUACAUGACAUCAUAAGGUGGACGGCAAAGAACAAAGGCUCUUUGCCGUCUGCGGCGGACGGCAAAGGUCUGCCGUUAGCCACUUAACGGACUGACAGCGCAAUUAUUGCCGUCCGCCCUCUUUGCCGUCCGCCGCGGACGGCAAAGAGCCUUUGCCGUCCGCCGCCAGGAAGCAGACGGCAAAGCAGCUGUUUACCGUAGCCUUCUUUGCCGGAGCCUUUUGCCGUCCGCGGCUGAUGGCAAAGGUCUUUGCCGUCCGCCUUUCGAGCCUUUGCCGUCCGCCAUGGCAGACGGCAAAGUAGCUGUUUCCUGUAGUGAUUGGAGUUGCAUGCUACGGAUGUCGUCGAUGAUCACAAGAUCAAGAUGGAUGCAAUGCGCUUGAAGAUUAGAAAGAUUAGAAAAUAUGCCAUUCAUACCGAGGCUUGGUAUCACUAUGCCGUUGGAUCAAUUGUUACCUUGGUUGCGAUUAUGAUCGCAUUUGUUUUCGCAUUGAAAUGUUUUACAUAGUUUCAAUGUAUGGUUUAAUUAAUUAGAUGCUCUGGAGAGCUAUAUAUAUGUUGUUAGAUGAGAACUAUGUAUGUACUUUGGUUCUAAUGUGAUGAUGAACUUCUAUUAAUUUGGUCACUUAAUUAUCUAUUCAUGAUGUUCUGUAAUGGUUUUUGACACACUUAAUUAUAUAUAAUGCACGCAGAUGAACCGGCAAUGGAUGUACGGUGACAGACACACCUCCGAGUACAUUAAGGGCGUGCAUGAUUUUCUCGAAGUGGCUGAGGCAAACAAGCAGAAUGGUUUUAUGUGUUGUCCAUGCCCUAUAUGUGGGAAUACGAAGUCUUACUCUGACCGGAAAAUCCUUCAAGCCCACCUGCUUUACAAGGGUUUCAUGCCACACUAUAAUGUUUGGACGAGGCAUGGAGAAAUGGGGGUUAUGAUGGAAGACGGCGAAGAAGAAGAGGACGAUGACAACUAUGUGCCCCCUGAAUACGGUGAUGUUGCAACGGGGGAAGCUGCUGAAGAUCAAGAGGAACCAGACGAUGUGCCCAAUGAUGCUGCAAGGGGGGAAGCUGCUGAAGAUCAAGAGGAACCAGUGCCCGAUGAUGAUGAUCUCCGCCGGGUCAUAGUCGAUGCAAGGACGCAAUGCGAAAGUCAAAAGGAGAAGUUGAAGUUCGAUCGCAUGUUAGAGGAUCACAAAAAAGGGUUGUACCCCAAUUGCGAAGAUGGCAACACAAAGCUCGGUACCGUACUGGAAUUGCUGCAGUGGAAGGCAGAGAAUGCUGUGCCUGACAAAGGAUUUGAGAAGCUAUUGAAAAUAUUGAAGAAGAAGCUUCCAAAGGAUAACGAAUUGCCCGACAGUACAUACGCAGCAAAGAAGGUCGUAUGCCCUCUAGGAUUGGAGGUGCAAAAGAUACAUGCAUGCCCUAAUGACUGCAUCCUCUACCGCAGUGCGUACAAGGAUCUGAACGCAUGCCCGGUAUGCGGUGCAUUGCGGUAUAAGAUCAGACGAGAUGACCCUGGUGAUGUUGACAGCGAGCCCCCCAGGAAGAGGGUUCCUGCGAAGGUGAUGUGGUAUGCUCCUAUAAUACCACGGUUGAAACGUCUGUUCAGAAACGAAGAGCAUGCCAAGUUGAUGCGAUGGCACAGUGAGGACCGUAAGAAAGACGGGAAGUUGAGAGCACCCGCUGACGGGUCGCAGUGGAGAAAAAUCGAGAGAAAGUACUGGGAUGAGUUUGCAGCUGACCCAAGGAACGUAUGGUUUGGUUUAAGCACGGAUGGCAUUAAUCCUUUCGGGGAGUAGAGCAGCAAUCACAGCACCUGGCCCGUGACUCUAUGUACAUAUAACCUUCCUCCUUGGAUGUGCAUGAAGCGGAAGUUCAUUAUGAUGCCAGUUCUCAUCCAAGGCCCUAAGCAACCCGGCAACGACAUUGAUGUGUACCUAAGGCCAUUAGUUGAAGAACUUUUACAGCUGUGGAAUGGAAACGGUGUACGUACGUGGGAUGAGCACAAACAGGAGGAAUUUAACCUGCACGCGUUGCUGUUUGUAACCAUCAACGAUUGGCCCGCUCUCAGUAACCUUUCAGGACAGACAAACAAGGGAUACCACGCAUGCAUGCACUGUUUAGAUGACACUGAAAGUAUAUACCUGGACAAAAGCAGGAAGAAUGUGUACCUGGGCCAUCGUCGAUUUCUUCCGACCAACCAUCAAUGUCGAAAGAAAGGCAAGCAUUUCAAAGGCGAGGCAGAUCACCGGAAGAAGCCCACCAUGCGUACCGGUGAUCACGUACUUGCUAUUGUCAAUGAUUUACACGUAAUCUUUGGAAAGGGUCCCGGCGGACUAGCUGUUCCGAAUGACGCUGAGGGACACACACCCAUGUGGAAGAAGAAAUCUAUAUUUUGGGACCUACCCUACUGGAAAGAGCUAGAGGUCCGCUCUUCAAUCGACGUGAUGCACGUGAUGAAGAACCUUUGCGUGAACCUGCUAGGCUUCUUGGGCGUGUAUGGGAAGACAAAAGAUACACCUGAGGCACGGGAGGGCCUGCAACGUUUGCACGAAAAAGACGGCAUGCCUCCGAAGCAGUAUGAAGGUCCUGCCAGCUACGCUCUUACGAAAGAAGAGAAAGAAAUCUUCUUUGAAUGACUGCUCAGUAUGAAGGUCCCGACUGGCUUCUCGUCGAAUAUAAAGGGAAUAAUAAAUAUGCCAGAGAAAAAGUUCCAGAACCUGAAGUCUCAUGACUGCUACGUGAUUAUGACGCAACUGCUUCCGGUUGCAUUGAGGGGGCUUCUACCGGAAAACGUCCGAUUAGCCAUUGUGAAGCUAUGUGCAUUCCUCAAUGCAAUCUCUCAGAAGGUGAUCGAUCCAGAAAUCAUACCAAGGCUAAGGAGUGAUGUGGCGCAACGUCUUGUCAGUUUCGAGCUGGUGUUCCCACCAUCCUUCUUCAAUAUCAUGACGCACGUCCUAGUUCAUCUAGUCGACGAGAUUGUCAUUCUGGGGCCCGUAUUUCUACACAAUAUGUUCCCCUUUGAGACGUUCAUGGGAGUCCUAAAGAAAUAUGUCCGUAACCGCGCUAGGCCAGAAGGAAGCAUCUCCAUGGGCCAUCAAACAGAGGAUGUCAUUGGGUUUUGUGUUGACUUCAUUCCUGGCCUUAAGAAGAUAGGUCUCCCUAAAUCGCGGUAUGAGGGGAGACUGACUGGAAAAGGCACGCUUGGAGGGGGGGGGCUCAAUAAUAUGCAGGGACGGAUAUUCUUGGUCUGAAGCACACUACACAGUUCUAUAGAACUCUACCUUGGUGACCCCGUAUGUCGAUGAACACAAGAACAGUCUGCGCUCCAAACACCCGGAGCAGUGUGACGACUGGAUUACAUGUGAACACAUCAGGACUUUCAGUAGUUGGUUGGAAACACGUCUCAGAGGUGACACCACUGUUUGUGAUGAGUUGUACUCGUUGUCCAGGGGACCAUCUUCGAUUGUAUUGACUUACAAAGGAUACGAGAUAAAUGGGAAUACAUUUUACACGAUCGCCCAAGAUCAAAAGAGCACCAACCAAAAUAGCGGUGUCCGCUUUGAUGCAGCAACCGAGAGGGGAAAGGACACAUAUUAUGGUUACAUAAUGGACAUAUGGGAACUUGACUACGGACAUGAUUUUAAGGUCCCUUUGUUUAAGUGCAAAUGGGUCAAUCUGUCAGGAGGCGGGGUACAGGUAGACCCAUAGUACGGAAUGACAACAGUGGAUCUGAACAAUCUUGGGUACACUGACGAACCAUUCGUCCUAGCCAAUGAUGUGGCACAGGUUAUCUAUGUGAAGGACAUGUCUACCAGACCGAGGAAAAGAAAAGAUAAGGAAGCGAAUACAUCAUACGAUGAGCCAAAGCGGCACAUAGUUCUUUCAGGAAAAAGGGACAUUGUGGGAGUGGAGGGCAAGACAGACAUGUCUGAAGAUUAUGAAAAGUUUCAUGAAAUUCCUCCCUUGAAAGUCAAGGCUGACCCAAGCAUCCUGAUAAACGAUGAAGAUUAUCCAUGGUUACGGCGCAAUAAGCAAAUGACACAAGCGAAGAAAAAGUGAAGACUUUCUCCCGCAACUAUUAUGAUGAUACCAUGCCAACUUUGUAAUAGACGAUUAUGAUACCAUUGCCCGUUUUGUACAAGAAGUGCAUCUAGUUUUUGACGUAACCCUCUCAACUUUCUUGCACAUGCUAUGUGGAUGAAAUGAUGAUACCAUGCCAACUUUCAACCUUUUCAGAGUUCAUUUGAAAUGCUUUAUAAGCCCUGAGUGCAGAGAGGUUAGGCCCGUAAGCCUGCUUUAGAGAGGAGCUCGACAGCUCAGGCGCACCGCACCUUAUAAACAGGUGCGGCUCUCUCUUAGCUAGCGAAGUGGGACUAAACUCACCACCACGCCGCUGUGCAAGGCCAUUGGUCCCGGUUCGUGGCACGAACCGGGACCAAUUCCACCCUUUGGUCCCUGUUGGUGCCACGAACCGGUACUAAUGAGGCUGUGGCCCCACGAGCACCUUUAGUACCUGUUCGUGGCACGAACCGGUACUAGAGUUUCUUACUAGCUAAGCAGUUUUUUAGUCCCACCUCGCUAGCUGAGAGGCACUAGGAGCGGUUUAUAAGCCCUGAUUGCAGAGACGAUGAAGAAGAGGCGCAAUGCUCACGUUGCUUAGCUUCAAGCCUUGAGGAAUAAGGUAGACUGCAUCGAGCUAUGUGCAGUGCAGUCUACACUAUUCCGAAAGGCUUGAAGCAAAUCAACGCGCAUUGUGCCUCUUUUUUAUUUUUAAUCAUUAAAAGCAAAAAGAAUUUUCAUAAAGAACUUUUUUUGAUAUAAACUUUAAUAGCAGAAAGAAUUAUCAUAAAGUAAAAUAAAUAAGUAAUUAGAAACAAAAUAAAAUAAAAUAAAUAAGUUUUUUGUUGUAAGUAGAAACAAAACAAAAUAAAUAUAGCAAAAAAGAAAACAAAAAAACUAAACACAGCAAAAAGAAUUUUCAUAAAGAACUAAUGGCACUAAUAGAAAGUUUAUAUGUUUUCUAAAACUAAUGGCACUAACAGACAGUUUAUAAUUUUGCUGACCUAAAAGCAAAAAGAAUUAAAAAAUAAAGCAAAAAACAAAAGAAAAUAAAUAAUGCAAAAAACAGAACCAAAAAACUGGAUUUUUUUUUAAAAAACUGCCACCUAUUGGGCCACCACGGCCUGAAUACGACUAGAAACCCAACCUGGGCCAGGAUUCAGGCCCGCAGAAGGCCCAAUAGGCCAACAGACAGCACAGUGUGACAUUAGGCCCGUAAGCCUGCAUUUGAGAGGAGCUCGAGAGGGCAGCCGCAGUGGGGAUUAUAAACCACUACGAGCCCCUCUCAACUAGCGAGGUGGGACUAAACUUUUGGCCGCGGGCAGCGCAAGGCCUUUGGUCCCGGUUGGUGCCACCAACCGGGACCAAUGCCCCCCUUUAGUCUCGGUUGGUGNNNNNNNNNNNNNNNNNNNNNNNNNNNNNNNNNNNNNNNNNNNNNNNNNNNNNNNNNNNNNNNNNNNNNNNNNNNNNNNNNNNNNNNNNNNNNNNNNNNNNNNNNNNNNNNNNNNNNNNNNNNNNNNNNNNNNNNNNNNNNNNNNNNNNNNNNNNNNNNNNNNNNNNNNNNNNNNNNNNNNNNNNNNNNNNNNNNNNNNNNNNNNNNNNNNNNNNNNNNNNNNNNNNNNNNNNNNNNNNNNNNNNNNNNNNNNNNNNNNNNNNNNNNNNNNNNNNNNNNNNNNNNNNNNNNNNNNNNNNNNNNNNNNNNNNNNNNNNNNNNNNNNNNNNNNNNNNNNNNNNNNNNNNNNNNNNNNNNNNNNNNNNNNNNNNNNNNNNNNNNNNNNNNNNNNNNNNNNNNNNNNNNNNNNNNNNNNNNNNNNNNNNNNNNNNNNNNNNNNNNNNNNNNNNNNNNNNNNNNNNNNNNNNNNNNNNNNNNNNNNNNNNNNNNNNNNNNNNNNNNNNNNNNNNNNNNNNNNNNNNNNNNNNNNNNNNNNNNNNNNNNNNNNNNNNNNNNNNNNNNNNNNNNNNNNNNNNNNNNNNNNNNNNNNNNNNNNNNNNNNNNNNNNNNNNNNNNNNNNNNNNNNNNNNNNNNNNNNNNNNNNNNNNNNNNNNNNNNNNNNNNNNNNNNNNNNNNNNNNNNNNNNNNNNNNNNNNNNNNNNNNNNNNNNNNNNNNNNNNNNNNNNNNNNNNNNNNNNNNNNNNNNNNNNNNNNNNNNNNNNNNNNNNNNNNNNNNNNNNNNNNNNNNNNNNNNNNNNNNNNNNNNNNNNNNNNNNNNNNNNNNNNNNNNNNNNNNNNNNNNNNNNNNNNNNNNNNNNNNNNNNNNNNNNNNNNNNNNNNNNNNNNNNNNNNNNNNNNNNNNNNNNNNNNNNNNNNNNNNNNNNNNNNNNNNNNNNNNNNNNNNNNNNNNNNNNNNNNNNNNNNNNNNNNNNNNNNNNNNNNNNNNNNNNNNNNNNNNNNNNNNNNNNNNNNNNNNNNNNNNNNNNNNNNNNNNNNNNNNNNNNNNNNNNNNNNNNNNNNNNNNNNNNNNNNNNNNNNNNNNNNNNNNNNNNNNNNNNNNNNNNNNNNNNNNNNNNNNNNNNNNNNNNNNNNNNNNNNNNNGAUAACUUCAACACGAGGGGGGGUCGAUAUACCCCCUCCUCGAUAACAUUAUUUUCCCGUGUAUGUAUGUCGUCGUUGUCGAUAUAAAACCCCCUCCCGAUAACUUCAACACGUGGGGGGGUCGAUAUAUACCCCCUCCCCGAUAACAUUAUUUUCCCGUGUAUGUAUGUCGUCGUUGUCGAUAUAUAUAACUCCCUCCCAGAUAACUUCGACAUGAUGGACGGUCGAUAUGUAUACCCCCUCUCGACCGUGAUAACUUAUACCACGGGAGCACCCCCGGCCCUCUCGCUCGACCAAAACUCUCGAGGACACCCAAACCCUAGAAAAAAAACGAUGUCGGUCUCCUACCCCCUCCCGCCGCGCCCCUACCCUUGAAGCGUUGCCUAGGCCACCCCAAACCCGGAAUAAGCUAGGUCUACGUUUGCACUAAUAUAUCCACCUGCUGUCGUGUUUGUGUAAUAAUUGCCAUGUUGUAAUAUUUGCAGAAACAAUGGAGCACGGACGAGAUGAGCAAGCAGAAGAUGUGUUGGGGGACAUAAUCUUAGCCGGAGGUUAUAUCUUGUCGUAUCUUAACGACAAUGAUGGUCUAGAAGAACAGGGUGAAGAAGCAGGCUGUGGUGAUCGAAGAGUGGAGGAGGAAAGACAUGAUUAUGAUGCCUCCGGUGACCCAAUGCUGGUGCAAGAAGGAGCCCGUGGUGACGGCUCCGGUGACCGAACAGAGUCCGGCCAGGUAAAUAUAUUAGUUAAGCCUGUGCUGACUAGCUAAUUGAUGCAUUCAUUGUUUUGGUAUGUACACAUAUUAAUUAACACUCGUCUUUCUUCUUUUUUCUAGCCCUCCGGAUCAAGCACAACUGCGGUAAAGAGACGAGGCCCGAAGAGAAAGUUGCGCUCGGAUGAAAGGUUUGAGAUCACAGCAAUCGCGCGCGACGACCAACCGAUUGAACCCAUCCGGACAAAGGAUGCUUUUGCUGCUCAGUGUGGGGUUCCAGUUAGGGACAAGAUCCCGAUCAGCAUCCACCAAUGGUAUAAGCCUAAGAAGGAAGACCCUGAGGUGUCUUAUGUCAAUGAUAUGCAGAAAGAUGAUCUUUGGACUGAGCUGAAGGCAAAUUUCACCCUACCGCCAGAGGAGGAUCCGGAGAAGCCAGUUAUAGAGCAAUUAAUCAAGUCUCAUGCUCUUAAGAAGAUGGCAGACCUAUUCAGGAGGUGGAAGAAUGAGCUGAAAAAUUUUGUCGACAAAGAAGAGACACCAGAAUUCGUCAGCCGGUAUGAGAAGAUCAGAGAUCACUGGCCCGCAUUUGUGGCCCACAAGACAUCGGAAAAGAGUAAGAAGAUGUCAGCGACAAACAAGAAGAAUGCUGCGAAGAAGAAGCUUCACCAUCGCACGGGGUCAGGUGGCUACCUCAAAGCCCGGCCUAAGUGGGCCAAGUCUGAGAGGGAUCUGCUUGAUAAAGGGAUCGAACCAGAGACAAUGAACUGGCCAGACCGUUGGCGGACUUGGUUCUUCGGGGCUGGCGGAACCUUGGACCCUGUAUCAGGGACGUGUCGUUGGACGGACGAGCAACUUGCAAUACCCGUCAAGAAGCUUAAGCACUAUCGAUGCAGCGCAGCAAGGGACGUUCGUUCCAGACAGAGAGAACGACGAGCUCACAAUGGCCCUCGGGAAUCCUGAGCACCCUGGACGGACACGAGGCAUGCCAGGUUCCGUUCCGUGGAAGGCUGGUUUUUCGGACGCGGGCGGUUACAAAACCCAGGAGAGGAGGAAAAAAGUGGAGCAGAUCCAAAUUCAGCGUCUGCACGAAAGGGUUCAAGUGCUAGAGGAACGAGACGGCAAUAGAGAUGCCGAAACUGCCCCCGAAGCUACACCGCCAUCUCAGCGUAGAAGCAGCGUGGCUUCCACCGAGCUGCCUCAGCUGGAGCAUGCGGCUACUCCUAGCUACCCCGUGGAUGCUAUCAUGGAGUCUCAACAUUGCAACCUUAUGGCGGAAUGGCAGAACUUGAAAGUCAAGGCGGCUGUUGGCUCUGUUUUACCUACUGAACCCGGCGCAACCUACCACUGCCGGCCGAUUCCAGAAGGAUAUGCUAGGGUGAUGGUGGAUGAAAUAACGGAGGGAUUUGAGGACCUCCAGCUUGACCACCCUACCGGUGAAGGGGAGACUCGGCUGGGUUUAGCUCUGAAGACUCCAUGCCUAUGGCGGAAGGAGCUCAUCAAGCUUCCGAACUGGACGGCUCCGGCGAGUAAGGGCACUCCGCCUCCUCCUCCGCCUCCUCCUCUGGCGAGUGAUCAGGGCACUCAGCCUCCUUCUCCGGCGCGUGGCGGCACUCCGCCUCCUUCUCCGCCAGCGCCGGCGCGCCAGAGCAGCCAGCCUCCUCCUUCUCCGCCUCGUCAGCAAGGGCGGAAGAGACCCGCCGCCGCUGCGGCUGCUCCGGCGCGUCGUAGUCCUUCUCCUCCGCCUCGUAAGCAAGGAAAGAAGACAGCCGCAGCUGCUCCGUCUGCUCUGCCGGCGUCUAGCAGUACAGCUGCCAGAGGCGGGAGGCAAUACAGAUUCGGUCCUUCUCUGAAGACUCCAGAGAAGUUACCAUAUGAGAGGACCGAGGAGGACAACGCGAAGAUCUGGCGAGCCGAAGUGAAGAACUUCUUUGAAGGGGUCAAAGCAAAGAAACAUCCACCUCCGGAGGAGAAGGUAGAUCCGGUGAAAGCAAAGCGCACUCUGGCUGCCCUGACAAAACCACCAAAGUCUCCGCCAAGAGGCAACUAUGAGCGCGUUCUUGGAAAGGCAUAUGCCGAAGCGGAGCGGUCGGGAAGUACUAUCAGUGAUAAAAGGAUGAAAGAAUGACGAGCUGGGAAAAAAUUGCCCAGCUCGGCGAACAAGCGAACCAAUCGUGCCCCCCGCUCAAGGUGUCAAAAAACAUCGUCGCUAAUGAUCCGGGUAUGGUGCCCGGUUAUAGCAAUCUUGGAGAUUACCUGCCCGACGAUGUACAUUAUGAAAUCAUGGAGGUGGACGAACACAAAUACCAUUACGGGAAGCCUCUCGUCAAAGAUGUCAGAUCUCUAAGCACGAUGAUGCGAAGACUACAUGAUUGGUACAUGAAAACCUGCAGAGAGUCUGAUGGGAUGAGUACUUUGACGCUGAGAGUUAAACCGGAGCAUGACCUCGUUGGAAUUGAACUGCUGAAUGUUCCAUUUGAGGAUUUCUUCCAGUUUUACAAUCUAAAGUCCCUCGAUAAAACAACGAUCACUUGCUACUGUCUGUAAGUAGUACUACUUCUGUCAUUAAGUCUCUCUAUAUAGGUCAGCUCUUUCAUUGCAUGUAUUUAUACUUAUCCUCACUAUAUUAUGCAGAUUGAAGAUCGCCGAAUUGAAGAAAAGACAAAUCGGUGAUAUUGGGUUCAUUAACACAAAUCUCAUAGAUGCAUAUACGGUUGAAAAACAUCCCAAAGAAGCCGAGGCCAACUUGCUACAAUCGUUGGUAUUAAAUCAAAACAAAGAUAUAAUACUCUUUCCUUACAACUUCAAGUGAGUGUUACUGUCUUCUGCAUAUUCGGUUUCCCUUAUUAGUCCAGGUUAUGGUAAUGUAAUUGAUGACUUAUGCAUGCAUGCGCAGCUUCCACUAUAUUCUCCUAGAGAUUAAGCUUGAGCCGGGAGUAGUAACCGUCUUAGACUCGAGACGAAAAGAUCCCCAGGACUAUGCGAACAUGACUCAAAUGCUCUAGAAGUAAGUUAAAUCGAUCAUUAUCCACCAUAUCAGCAACUUUGUUCAUUUCCUGAUAUCAAGUAAUUGUUUUCUUUGUCUGGCAGGGUUUGGAGAAAAUUCACCUCAAAAGCCCCGGGACUACCGAACCAGCUGCAAUUUAGACACCCGAAAGUAAGUACUAUAGUAGCAUGUUCCGCGCAUCUCCUAGUGAUUCAAGCGCUAGUUUGAUCAAUACCAUUUAGCAUGCUUGCUUAUCAGUUUGAUUGACCUCUAUUUUUUGUAAAGUGGUUGUGGCAGCAACCCGGGAAUAAUUACUAUGGAUACUACGUUUGCGAGUCCAUCCGCUACCAUACCUGUGAGCGGGGCUACACUGAAGAACAAUAUGAAGUGCGUAAGCAAUAAUAUUCACAAUUUUAUUUUAUUACCAUCAUUUGUGUUGAGUUUCAUUUAUUCAUAUAUAUAUGUAUUGACCCCCUUCUUCAAAUUAGAUUUUUCGGAAGCGGGAUCAACUCCUAGCAGAAGAUCGUAUGCGAGGAAUUCAAGAGGAAUUGGCGGCAUUCUUCCUUGACCACGUGAUCGCUGAAAACGGAGAAUACUAUGUGGACCCUGUGUUCCUACAAUAUAAUUAGGAGAUUGUAUUGUAAGAGAUAAUUAUUGUAUAUAUGUAGCCCGUAGUGUCGGAUAGAUAUACGAGAACUUGUUGUUCGACCAAUAUCUCGGAGAAGGAGAGGUGGUCGAUAUCACUUCUCUCUGUAUGCAUAUGUUCAUGACGAUCUUCUGCUUCCUUCAUUUGAUUACUAGCUAGCGUGUCUACUCCUCUCCAUACGUAUAUAGUACGUAGCGUCGACCAAGCACGGAGAUAAGAGAGGACACUUCUCUCUAUUAAUUAGCUAGCUAACACAAUAUAUGAAACACCUAAAUUAACCCCCCAAAACCCCUAAACCACCCCUUUUCAAAAAAACAAAAACCUCAGCUCCUGCCAGGUGCUGACGCAUGGAUGCCUAUUGGUCCCGGUUGGUGGCACCAACCGGGACCAAAGGCCCUCCUGCCUGGGCUCCCCGCACCGGCCACGUGGACGGCCUUUAGUCCCGGUUCGUGUAAGAACCGGGACUAAAGGGCUAGGGCAUUAGUAAUGACCCUUUAGUCCCAGUUCCAGAACCGGGACUAAAGGCCCUUAUGAACCGGGGUAAAAGCCCCUUUUCCUACUAGUAUUUGAUUAUAUGGGACCUUUUCCUGCCUCUAAAGGAUAUACACAUAUUUUAGUUGCUGUUGAUUACGUUACUAAGUGGGUAGAAGCUAUUCCAACUAGUAGUGCUGAUCAUAACACUUCUAUUAAAAUGCUUAAAGAAGUUAUUUUUCCGAGGUUUGGAGUCCCUAGAUAUUUAAUGACUGAUGGUGGUUCACAUUUUAUUCAUGGUGCUUUCCGUAAAAUGCUUGCUAAAUACGAUGUUAAUCAUAGAAUUGCAUCUCCCUAUCACCCACAGUCUAGUGGUCAAGUAGAAUUGAGCAAUACAGAGCUCAAAUUAAUUUUGCAAAAGACUGUCAAUAGAUCUAGAAAGAAUUGGUCCAAGAAACUUGAUGAUGCAUUAUGGGCCUAUAGAACUGCAUAUAAAAAUCCUAUGGGUAUGUCUCCGUAUUAAAUGGUUUAUGGAAAAGCAUGUCACUUACCUCUCGAACUAGAACAUAAGGCUUAUUGGGCUAUUAAGGAGCUCAACUACGAUUUUAAACUUGCCGGUGAAAAGUGGCUAUUUGACAUUAGCUCACUUGAUGAAUGGAGAACCCAGGCUUAUGAAAAUGCCAAGUUGUUCAAAUAAAAAGUUAAAAGAUGGCAUGACAAAAGAAUACAAAAGCGUGAGUUUAAUGUAGGUGAUUAUGUAUUGCUAUAAAACUCUCGUUUAAGAUUUUUUGAAGGGAAAUUUCUCUCUAAAUGGGAAGGUCCUUACGUUAUCGAGGAGGUAUAUCGUUCCGGCGCCAUAAAAAUCAACAACUUCGAAGGCACAAAUCAGAAGGUGGUGAACGGUCAAAGAAUCAAACAUUAUAUCUCAGGUAAUCCUAUAAAUGUUGAAACCAAUGUUAUUGAAACCAUAACCCCGGAGGAAUACAUAAGGGACACUUUCCGGAAUGUUUCAGACUCCGAAAAGGAAUAGGUAUGUGGUACGGUAAGUAAACCGACUCCAAAACAGUUCUAAUGGCAUUUUUUCUCCGUUCUGGAAUAUUUAGAAAAAAAGAAAAAUAAGAAGCAGUCCGGGAAGGACACGAGGCCUCCACGAGGGUGGAGGGCGCGCCCUACCCCCUGGGCGCGCCCCCUACCUCGUGGGCACCUCGUGUGCUCUCCGGACUCCGUUUUCUUGCACGAUACAUAUUUUGGUCAGUAAAAAUUCAUUAUAUAAUCUCCCGAAGGUUUUGACUCCUGUAUCAUGCAAUUGUCCUCUGUUCUUGUUUCGAGCUGUUUUCUGUCAGGGUUGUCAAGGCUGGGCAUCAUGUCGUCCCCCUCCUCCAACAAUGGUGAUAACGAUGCUUGGCUAAUGAAGAUAGAGCUGAAGAGGGAAGAACCCAUGGAGAUCAACAAGGAUGAAGGGAUCAAGAAGGCCACGGAGAACCAAGUUCCGGCAACAGAAGACAUCCUUCAACCUGAUCACAAUCUUCUUACCCCAACUGAGAUCGAAGCUUUCAAGAUGAUUGAGCUAGCUCGUAUACAAAACAAGUAUCUCACACGUGAAAAUAUUUUGUUGAAGGAGCAUAUUGUUGCACUCAAGGGCAUUAUCCGCAAGCUGGAGGAUCUCUUACGCUCGAUGUGCGACUACCCAUCAUCACCACCAUCCUCUUCACCAACAAAGGAGACAUAAUCACAUGGGUAUGGGCACUCCCCUUGGCAACUGCCAAGCUUGGGGGAGGUGCCCCGGUAUCGUAUCACCAUCACAUCUCUAUCUUUACCGCUUUUCUUAGUUCGAUCCUAUUAGUAGUAUCUUGAUCUAGUAGAAUAAAGUUUUGGUAUGAUCUAGUUUUGAGUUUUGCUUUAUGAUCCCUCUACGUAAUCGAGUCCGUGAGCUAUAUAAUAAAGAUUAGUGUUGAGUCAAGGGCUUGAUUAUUUGCUAUGAUCUUGAGUGAAUAAAAGAAAAGAGAAAAGAAUAAAAAGAAAUUAAAAAGAGGUCAUAUUGAUCUUAUUGAGAGUAAUGACUUCACAUAGAAAGAGUAUGAUGAUUAAAAAUUGUUGAGAGUUGACAAACAUAGCCUUGGUCAUCGUUGCAAUUAAUAGGAAGUAAUAAAGAAAGAGAGGUUUCAUCAAAAAUAUACUAUCUUGGACAUCUUUUAUGAUUGGGAGCACUCAUUAAAAUAUGACAUGCUAAAGAGUUGAUGUUGGACAAGGAAGACAACGUAAUGGGUUCUGUUUUCUUAUAUCUAAGAUAAAGUAUAUUGUCAUGGAUCAUCCAACAUGUUGAGCUUGCCUUUCCCCCUCAUGCUAGCCAAAUUCUUUGCACCAAGUAGAGAUACUACUUGUGCUUCCAAAUACCCCUAAACCCAGUUUUGCCAUGAGAGUCCACCAUACCUACCUAUGGAUUGAGUAAGAUCCUUCAAGUAAGUUGUCAUCGGCGCAAGCAAUAAACAUUGCUCUCUAAAUAUGUAUGAUUGAUUGGUGUGGAGGAAGUAAGCUUUAUACGAUCUUGUGAUGUGGAAGAAAUAAAAGCGACAGACUGCAUAAUAAAGGUUCAUAUCACAAGUGGCAAUAUAAAGUGUCGUUCUUUCGCAUUAAGAUUUUGUGCAUCCAACCUUGAAAGCGCAUGGCAACCUCUGCUUCCCUCUGCGAAGGGCCUAUCUUUUAUUAUUACCUUCUACCUUAUGCAAGAGUCAUGGUGAUCUUCACCUUUCCUUUUUACAUUUUAUCCUUUGGCAAGCACAGGAUGUUGGAAAGAUCCUAAUAGAUAUAUCUAAUUGGAUAUGGGUUAGCAUGAAUUAUUACUGUUGACAUUACCCUUGAGGUAAAAGGUUGGGAGGCGAAACUAUAAGCCCCUAUCUUUCUCUGUGUCCGAUUAAAACUCCAUAACCACAAGUAUUGCGUGAGUGUUAGCAAUUAUGAAAGAUUAAAUGAUAGUUGAGUAUGUGGACUUGCUAGAAAUCUCUGACAUAGACUCUUUCUGAUGUUAUGAUAAAUUGCAAUUGCUUCAAUGACUGAGAUUACAGUUUGUUGGUUCUCAAUAAAGUUUCUGAUUCAUACUUUGCAUUGUGAAUAGAUUAUUACUUGAGCAUAAGAAAUCAUAUGACAAUAUCCAUAUAUGUUGCUGUUAUAAGAAUGAUCAUGAUGCCCUCAUGUCCGUAUUUUAUUUUAUCGACACCUCUACCUCUAAACAUGUGGACAUAUUUAUCGUUAUCGUUAUCGUCUUUCGCUUGAGGACAAGCGAGGUCUAAGCAUGGGGGAGUUGAUACGUCCAUUUUGCAUCAUGCUUUUAUAUCGAUAUUUAUUGCAUUAUGGGCUGUUAUUACGCAUUAUGUCACAAUACUUAUGCCUAUUCUCUCUUAUUUUACAAGGUUUACAUAAGGAGGGAGAAUGCCGGCAGCUGGAAUUCUGGGCUGGAAAAGGAGCAAAUAUUAGAGACCUAUUCUGCACAACUCCAAAAGUCCUGAAACUCCACGAAAGUUAUUUUUGGAAAUAAUAAAAAAUACUGAGCGGAAGAAAUACGUCAGGGGGGCCUCCACCUGUCCACGAUGGUGGGGGGCGCGCCCCCUGCCUCGUGGGCCCCCUGUUGGCCCUCCGGUGCCCAUCUUCUGCUAUAUGAAGUCUUUCGUCCGAUGAAAAAUCAUAGGCAAGCUUUCGGGACGAGACUCCGCAGCCACGAGGCGGAACCUUGGCGGAACCAAUCUAGGGCUCCGGCAGAGCUGUUCUGCCGGGGAAACUUCCCUCCGGGAGGGGGAAAUCAUCGCCAUCGUCAUCACCAACGCUCCUCUCAUCGGGAGAGGGCAAUCUCCAUCAACAUCUUCACCAGCACCAUCUCCUCUCAAACCCUAGUUCAUCUCUUGUAUCCAAUUCUUGUCUCUAAGUCUGGGAUUGGUACCUGUAGGUUGCUAGUAGUGUUGAUCACUCCUUGUAGUUGAUGCUAGUUGGUUUAUUUGGUGGAAGAUCAUAUGUUCAGAUCCUAUAUGCAUAUUAAUACUCCUCUGAUUAUGAACAUGAAUAUGCUUUUUGAGUAGUUACGUUUGUUCCUGAGGACAUGGGAGGAGUCUUGCUAUUAGUAGUCAUGUGAAUUUGGUAUUCGUUCGAUAUUUUGAUGAGAUGUAUGUUGUCUAUCCUCUAGUGGUGUUAUGUGAACGUCGACUACAUAACACUUCACCAUUAUUUGGGCCUAGAGGAAGGCAUUGGGAAGUAAUAAGUAGAUGAUGGGUUGCUAGAGUGACAGAAGCUUAAACCCUACUUUAUGUGUUGCUUCGUAAUGGGCUGAUUUGGAUCCAUAUGUUUCAUGCUAUGGUUAGGUUUACCUUAAUACUUUUGUUGUAGUUGCGGAUGCUUGCAAUAGAGGUUAAUCAUAAGUGGGAUGCUUGUCCAAGUAAGGGCAGCAUCCAAGCACCGGUCCACCCACAUAUCAAAUUAUCAAAGUACCGAACGCGAAUCAUAUGAACGUGAUGAAAACUAGCUUGACGAUAAUUCCCAGGUGUCCUCGGGAGCGCUUUUCUCUACAUAAGAGUUUGUCCAGGCUUGUCCUUUGCUACAAAAAGGAUUGGGCCACCUUGCUGCACUUUAUUUACUUUUGUUAUUUGAUGCUCGUUACAAAUUAUCCUAUCACAAAACUAUCUGUUACCUAUAAUUUCAGUGCUUGCAGAGAAUACCUUGCUGAAAACCGCUUAUCAUUUCCUUCUGCUCCUCGUUGGGUUCGACACUCUUACUUAUCGAAAGGACUAUGAUAGAUCCCCUAUACUUGUGGGUCAUCACCCUGCAUGCAGCGCCUCCUACAGUCACGGCACUGCCGCCCGCGGCCCCCUUGGCACCCGNNNNNNNNNNNNNNNNNNNNNNNNNNNNNNNNNNNNNNNNNNNNNNNNNNNNNNNNNNNNNNNNNNNNNNNNNNNNNNNNNNNNNNNNNNNNNNNNNNNNNNNNNNNNNNNNNNNNNNCUCGGAUGACUACGUCCAUGUGGCAUCCACCUCUGAGUCGUUGUCGUUACCGUCCUCCAUUUGAGCCGCUCUUCGUGACCCGCUCAGGAUGGCUGCGAAGCAAGAGGAGUUUGACGCCCUAUUGCGUAACCGGACGUGGCAGCGUGUUCCCCAUCCCUGGCACGCCAACGUGAUUACCGGGAAGUGGGUCUUUAAACACAAGCUCCGUCCUGAUGGUACCCUUGAUCGCUAUAAAGCGCGCUGGGUCGUUCGUGGCUUCCGACAGCUUGCUGGCAUCGACUUCACCGACACCUUUGCUCUGGUCAUCAAGCCCGGCACGAUACACAUGGUUCUCCACCUUGCGGUCUCUCGUGCUUGGCGGUGCACCAGAUGGACGUCGCCAAAACCUUCCUCCAUGGUCACCUUGAAGAGUAGGUCUUCUGCCAGCAGCCCACCGGGUUUGUGGACCCGGCGCUUCCUGACCACGUGUGCCUGCUUUCACGGUCCUUGUACGGACUCAAGUAGGCUCCGCGCGCUUGGUACCAGCGCAUCGCGUUGUUUCUCCACUAGCUUGGGUUCCGCUCUACCCGCUCGGACGCCUCGCUCUUCGUCUAUCAUCAGGGCUCUGACACGGCCUAAUUGCUGCUCCAUGUCGACGACAUCAUCCUGACGGCAUGUACGGCUGGUCUCCUUAGCCAGCUCACGGCUCGUCUUCGCGCUGAGUUCGCCAUCAAGGACUUGGGUCCUUUGCACUACUUCCUAGGUGUCGAGGUGGUGCGCCGUCCGGAUGGCUUCUUCCUUCAUCAGCGAAGUACGCUCACGAGCUCCUGGGGCGCUCCGGCAUGCUUAACUGCAAGCCCGCCGCUAUGCCUGUUGAUACGAAGGCCAAGCUUUCUGCCACGGAUGGUUCUCCUGCUUCGGAUGCUGCUUUCUAUCGGUCUAUCGUUGGUGCUCUCCAGUACCUCACUCUGACUCGACCGAAGAUCUAGUAUGCCGUGCAGCAGGUGUGUCUUCAUAUGCAUGCUCCUUGAGACGUUCACUGGGCUGCCGUCAAGCGGAUUCUCCGCCAUAUCUGUGGCACUAUGGAUCUUGGCGUCACGCUUCACGCCUCCGCCGACACCGCCCUCACCGCCUACUCCGAUGCAGACUUGGCGGGCUGCCCUGACACUCGUCGCUCCACUUCGGGCUAUUGUGUCUACCUUGGACCCUCACUUAUCUCGUGGUCGUCCAAGCCGCAACCUACGGUCUCUCGUUCCAGUGCUGAAGCUGAGUAUCGCGCGGUGGCCAACGCCGUCGCCGAGUGUUCGUGGCUUCGCCAGCUGCUUCAGGAGCUCUCUUGUCCUGUUGACCAUGCCACGGUGGUCUACUACGACAACGUCUCGGCGGUCAACCUCUCCACUAACCCGGUGCAUCAUUGACGGACCAAGCAUAUUGAGUUGGAUAUUCAUUUUUUUCGGGAAUAGGCGACCCUUGGCCAUAUUCGUGUUUUACACGUCCCUACUUCCCAACAAUUUGCCGAUAUCAUGACCAAGGGCUUGCCUACGACGUCAUUUGAGGAGUUCCGGCCCAGUCUUUGCGUCAGUUGCGGUGCUGCUUCGACUGCGGGGGGUGUUGAGUAUAUGUGUUAUGUGCAUAUUGUGUAUUGGGCCCACCUCCUAGUUCCAUGCAUGUAUAGUUGAGGUUCGUGGCCCACCUUUGUACAUCAUAUAUACAUGCCUAUGCAUGAAGAGCAAUACAUCGUGCAAUCAUACACAGAGGAGUAGUGUACAUUGGUCUCUAGUGCACUUUGCUCAACAAAUUGGGUGAAAAUGUUCAGUAGAACCAUGCAAGUCUUCAUACUUUUUCUCAUGGCACAGGUUUGCCUUGUCUUGAUGAUGGCCGCACCGUUUGCACAAGCCGCUGGGAGGCCUGUGGCAUCCUUACCAUGGAUUGCGGGGUGUUGCCCGAGGAACUAUUUGUGUUGUGGUGUUGGUGCGGUUGCCCCGACAUCCCAUGCAUUGCAGGCCACCCCUGUACCUUGAGUUAUGGUUUCGCUUGAUCUCCUCUCAUAACAUAGUUGAUAUAACAUAGUAGCAUCACAAAGGUUGCAUGGUUUCAUUGAUUCAUCUCUUUUCUACUGCUUGAAUCUUGUGAUGCCGCUUUUGAACAAUGUCAUUCCUAUGUCUUCUUAUAACUAAUAAAAUGUGAGGAUAUUUUUAUCUUAUUUGAAUUGUGUUGUAACAUUACCUACUAAUGUGGAUGAUCUGGGUGGACUACAUAGAUCAGAUCUUGUAAAGAUGUAAUCUAGGACUUUGCGAGAUGAUGAAAUUGUCCUUUAUCUUGGUCACCUUUUCGUAGAAGUGUUGGUCGGCUGUCGGCAUCCCUUAAUUUGUGUCUUCUUGUAGUGCAUGCUCUAGAAUCAUCCAUAUUUUGUAGUUUUACAAUAACCUUUGAGGCAAAUGGGGCGUGGUACGUCUGAGGAAGUCAGUUCACCAAAGCAAUGCCCCCCCCCCCUCCAAAAAAAGAAAAACCAAUUAUGUGUGCCAUGGGCGUACAGUGAAACCACUUCCUUUCGACAUGCAAGCCAUCAAUAUUCAUAAUGAGAUCUCGAACAUGGAUGCCAAGUAAUUCGCCCCGUGCUGAUGUCGUCAGGCAACCCGCUCACUUUUUUAUGAACAAAGUAAGGCACCGACCGGUGCCAAUUUCAUUCAGCUCAAAGAAAUAGUACAUCAGGGAAUACAAUGGCAUGAAGAAAACAGAGAAGAGUGGGUACAACCAUUGGAAGUGAGCCAAAGAAAAAUACUACAGAUAGGCUGGCUGAAACACCAACCAGAUGAACUACUCAAAGAACAGAUACAUCUGAAGAAAAUUCAGGAUGGAGGCAGAGUAGAGUGGGCACUGCAUGAAGAAGAUCUAAAUACGCCUUAGAACCACUGAAAGAACAGUAAUCUUGUUUGAUGUCCUCAACAGAAGCCAGCUUGAUUGUAAAUGUGCUUCCUCGAUAGAAGUCCUCAGAACCAUGUGCUCUACUAGUAACAAUGCACCGCAUGCAACCUGAAUCCUUGAACCUGGAAAUUGGAAAUAAGAGACACCACUGGAUAGGAAGCAUGUGAAUGAUUAGAAGCAAAACAAGAAACUUGAGUAUUGCAUCAGACCGAAGUACCUGUUGCGCAAGAUUGUGAGCAAUACCAUUAAUUUCUCGAGAAAUAUGAAACACCUUAGGAUGCAAAUUAGAAGUACAUUUGAAAAAAAAUAGCCAGUGCUUUUCUGAUACUCCAGGGAGAUGUGGGCUCAGAGAUGUUCCCCAAAGUAGCAAACUUAGCUAAUGAAAGACAGUCCAUUAAGAAAGUGGGAGAAGAAACAUUCAGCUGAGAGGCCAAAUGAGCAGCAAAAGAAAGAGCAAUCACCUCAGCUUGCAAAGGAGUAGAGGUUGGGGGAGCCGAAGCUUGAAUUUGUACAUUGUAAUCCCCUCGAUUACAAGGCACAGAGAUGAAAACUCCCACACCUGUAGCAACUUCUCCUUGCAUUAAACCAGGAAUCUUGUUAGACCCGAAAGUUGCGUCAGAAUAUACUUUAGAACCAACAAUUAGUAAAUCUGAUCUAAGUGUAUCUCCCUGUGUAGGGAGAUGAUCCGCAAAAGGCUGAUCCCGAGGUUGAGACUGCUUCAUAGGGAAACAUGGGAGAUUAUCAUAGGAAUCCGGAAGUAAGGCAGUAGUAGCAAUCUGAACUUGGUGAGGAGAAGCUUUUUCCCUGUCAAAGAGAAAAUCAUUCCUAGCUUUCCAGAGCCACCACAAAAAGUUGAGAAUAUUAAAAAUGGAUCCAUGAGGAUGACCCAUACGAACGAAAGCAAUAAGAACCGAGUGAAUAGUGGAAUGGCCUUGGAUUAAGACAUCUGAUCUAAUGAACCAAGGAGAGGAAAACCAGGCCACACGAGCAAAGUGACACAGGAAAAACAAAUGAAACUCAUCCUCUUGUUGGCCACAUCUACAACAAUUCUGAGAAAUGUGAAUGGAGAAACGGCCUACUCGCAAACCCGUAGGUAAAGCCUUUCUAAGUAAUCUCAAAGCAAAAGUUUACACCCUAGGAAGCAUAUGCUUUCGUUUCCAAAUCAAUUUAAGCGGGCUUUUUAAAUCCAAGGAAACAGCAGCAUGCACAUUUCUAGUAUUAGCAUAAAUCUCUUGCAAACAAAGUUUAUAACCAGACUUAGAACAGCAAAUGCCAUUAGGAGUGAGAUCCCAACAUAGCAAAUCUGGACCAUCAUCAUCAAUAAUUUCAGUUUGAACAAUGAUAGAGGCCAUAGGUUGGAGAAAAAGAGAGAAAACAAGAUCAUGAUUCCAACUAUUUUGCCCCGGAAGCCAGAGAUCUCUAACUAUAGAUGGGUAAGCAAAACCAGCUUGCUGAGGAAUGAGAUGGUCAUGGAUAGAGUUCCAAAGACUACACCAAGGCAUGCUCCAAAUGGAAAUGUUUCCCUGAGUUAAUUGAUAGAAAGAAUGAGCCUUAAGUUUAGGUAACAUUUUCAAAAUAGAAGCCCAGAACGCAGAUUUAGGAGGGGUCGCAGCAGCUGUCCAAAUGGAAGUACCAUGAAAAUACUUAGCCUUAAGAACUAGGUACAAGUGAGAAGAAGGAAAUUUAGCUAACCUCUAAGCAGCAGCCAAAAGAAGGCUCUCAUUAAUGGCUUUUAAAUUCCUAAUACUCAGACCACCUUCUUUAGAGUUGCAAAUAUCCUUCCAAGCUCUAAAACAAAGACUUUUCUUAGAAUCAUUUUCUCGCACACCCGUUCACCAGAAAUUCCUAAUAACAGCCGUCAGCUUAGCAAUGAAUUUCUUUGUAAACAAGAUAUUAGCCAUAUAAUAGACCGGAAUAGCCGAGAAAACAGAACAGAUCAAUUCAUGUCUAGCAGCAUGAGAAAGCAUGUUAGCUUUAUAAGUGGGCAGUUUAUUUAAAAAUUUGUCAAGAAAAAAGUUGUAAGCUGCAACUCUAUUUUUAGCAGGAAGAACAAGCGGGUGACCAAGGUGGGUGAAGUUACUAUCCAAAGUAGCAACCGGAAAGAUUUUCCUAAUCUCCUACAUAGCUGUAUGAGAAACAUGAGAGCUAAAAAGAAUAGCAGAUUUAGCCCAAUUUGGAAUUUGACCUGAGAUAGAACAAAAGUCACUACUAGAAAACAGGGCUUUCGUUCGGGCCUGGCCAGCCCAUUAGUCCAGGUUCCGCACGAACCGGGACCCAUGGGGUGCAUUAGUCCCGGUUCGUGAGCCCAGGGGGCCGGCCGGGCCACGUGGGCCACUGGUCCCGGUUCGUCUGGACCUUUUGGUCCCGGUUCAACGCACGAACCGGGACCAAUGCGCCUCGCCCCUGGCCCAUGACCAUUAGUCCCGGUUUGUGCCACAAACCGAGACUAAAGGGUUGGUCCUUGUUGCGGCCAGAGUUUAGUCCCACCUCGACGACCGAAGGGCGCUCACACCGGUUUAUAAGCCCGUCCCUCUGUGCCUUGUUGAGCUCCUCUCAAAAUGAAAAUAGAUGCCCUUAUACAGGGAAUUUGACCAAAAUUCAUAGUGAGUUUCUCUGAAAUUCAUCCAAAUUUAUUAUGAAUUUAGGUUGAAUUUUCUCUAUAGGCGCAUCUAUGCUCAUUUUUUUAUGUUGGGGUUGGCGAUCUUUACAGACUUUUUGUGUGUUGAAUAUGCACCAUUCAAAAUCAGUCUCUGCUUUGAAUGGUUCAUUUUGAACACACAAAAAGUCUGGAGUUCAAAUAAGUUCAAGAAAAUGAAAUCCCUUUGUAACAGAUGAGUUUUCGUCCGAAACCCUGAUACUUCGAAAGAGAUUGUCCAUUUUGUUCACGAAGUGCAUCCACCUUUUGCGGGGACCCUCUCAACUUUCUUGCACAUGCUAUGUGGAUGACAUGAUGAUACCAUGCCAACUUUCAACCUUUUCAGAGUUCAUUUGAAAUGCUUUUCAAUUUUAGGGUCUUAUAGCUCAAAAUAAUUAGUAAAUGCAUGAAAAAUAACAAAUGAAGUCAGAAAGGAUUGAAAAAUGAUGAUGUGGCUUUGAAUGGUGCAUUUUGAACACACAAAAAGUCAGGAGUUCAAAUAAGUUUAAAAAAAUGAAAUCCCUUUGUAACAGACGAGUUUCCGUAUGAAAUCCCGAUACUUUGAAAGAGAUUGUCCUUUUGUACACGAAGUGCAUCCAGUUUUUGUCGUAACCCUCUCAACUUUCUUGCACAUGCUAUGUGGAUGAAAUGAUGAUACCAUGCCAACUUUCAACCUUUUCAGAGUUCAUUUGAAAUGCCUUUCAAUUUAUGGUCUUAUAGCUCAAAAUAAUUAGUAAAUGCAUGAAAAAUAACAAAUGAAGUCAUAAAGGAUUGAAGUGGCUUUGAAUGGUGCAUUUAGAACACACAAAAAGUCAAGAGUUCAAAUAAGUUUUAAAAAAUGAAAUCUCUUUGUAACAGACGAGUUUCCGUAUGAAAUCCUGAUACUUUGAAAGAGAUUGUCCGUUUUGUACACGAAGUGCAUCCAGUUUUUGCCGGGACCCUCUCAACUUUCUUGCACAUGCUAUGUGGAUGAAAUGAUGAUACCAUGCCAACUUUCAACCUUUUCAGAGUUCAUUUGAAAUGCCUUUCAAUUUUAGGGUCUUAUAGCUCAAAAUAAUUAGUAAAUGCAUGAAAAAUAACAAAUGAAGUCAGAAAGGAUUGAAAAAUGAUGAUGUGGCUUUGAAUGGUGCAUUUUGAACACACAAAAAGUCAGGAGUUCAAAUAAGUUUUAAAAAAUGAAAUCCCUUUGUAACAGACGAGUUUCCGUAUGAAAUCCUGAUACUUUGAAAGAGAUUGUCCGUUUUGUACACGAAGUGCAUCCAGUUUUUGCCGGGACCCUCUCAACUUUCUUGCACAUGCUAUGUGGAUGAAAUGAUGAUACCAUGCCAACUUUCAACCUUUUCAGAGUUCAUUUGAAAUGCUUUUCAAUUUUAGGGUCUUAUAGCUCAAAAUAAUUAGUAAAUGCAUGAAAAAUAACAAAUGAAGUCAGAAAGGAUUGAAAAAUGAUGAUGUGGCUUUGAAUUGUGCAUUUUGAACACACAAAAAGUCAGGAGUUCAAAUAAGUUUUAAAAAAUGAAAUCCCUUUGUAACAGACUAAAGCUUCAUGUAUAUAAGGCACACUUGUGAAAAUUUUGGUUUGCAUCUUGCAGUUCGCCCCUGACGACGCGCGCGGAGAGGACGCCGCCAGGCUGUCGGACGCCGUCGCCAUCGCCCCCGCCCCGGAGCCCACGCCGACGCCGUCGCCGUCCGCCGCCCCCGCCCCGGAGCCCACGCCNNNNNNNNNNNNNNNNNNNNNNNNNNNNNNNNNNNNNNNNNNNNNNNNNNNNNNNNNNNNNNNNNNNNNNNNNNNNNNNNNNNNNNNNNNNNNNNNNNNNNNNNNNNNNNNNNNNNNNNNNNNNNNNNNNNNNNNNNNNNNNNNNNNNGUUAGAUUAGUUGAAUUAGAUGUUUUUCCAUGUAUUUUAGAUUUGUUGAAUUAGAUGUUUUUUUGUCAAUUUAUGUAUAUAUGUGCAUAUUUAGAAAAAAUGUGUUGAACUAGUUAAAUAUAAUAGAACUAGUUAAACAAGUUUAUUUUUAGUAAGUGCUUAGUAGUUGAACUAGUUGAUUUAAUAAAACUACUUUAUUUUACUAUAGAAGUGGUUUAUUUUAGUAAGUACUACUUUAUUUUAUUUAUAGUAAGUGCUUAAUUAGUAGUUGAACUAGUUGAUUUAAUAAAACUACUUUAUUUUACUAUAUAUAGAAGUAAUUUAUUUUUAGUAAGAACUACUUCAUUUUAUUUAUUUAUAGUAAGUGCUUAGUAGUUGAACUAGUUGAACUACUUUAUUUUAGCAAGAAAUUUAAUAGAACUAGUUUAUUUUUUUAGUUCAAGCAAUUAAUCCCGCAUCGACGUCGACGAUGCCUAUCCCGCAUCCUCGUCGUCGACUCGGCGGAGGAGGCCGGCUUGAUCAGAGGGGCCAUGUCUGGGACUGGGCUCCGCCGGGCUGGUUUUGGGAGGUGCUACCUUCCGGUGGGUGUAGGUUGGUGAGGAGCCAGCCCGUCGUUGACCUGAUCCUUGUUUGGUUGCGGUUGCGUGGGCCAGUGACGGUGCCGAGGCUUCCGGACACCGCGGAGGUGGUACGUCACCGUGUCAGCGAGGAGGACCAGCACGUCCAUCGCUACAUGUUUGCGUUGGAGGGCAGGUUCGACAAUACCUGGCAGGUUCUUCAGGGUUCUCACUGGAGCUAUGAUCCUGUGAUGGUUCCGUCCCUUUGGGUGUCCACCGCCCGCGCCGAUACCCGUCGGGCGCUACUGUUCUAGCUGUACUAGCGAUGCUAUAUGUAUGAUAGUAUUCGAGGCGUAUUAGUGAUAAUAUUCGACGAUGUACGGACGCAUGGAGAUGAUGUAGUUUUGCUUAUAAUUGAAUGCAUCCUAAUUUGAAUACUACUUUAUUUUGUGAUUUGAUUUUGCUUAUUGAAUGCUCAAAGUGGAAAACUACUCCUACUUUGAAUGCUAAAAUUGGAGAGCACUAUGCAAGGCGUAUGCAUAUGAUUAGUUGAUAGCUUAUAGGGUUUUUGUUUUCGCAGAAAUCUAGGAGCCCCCGGCCCCUCCAUCAUCCCCGCCGUCGUCCCCGUCACUGCCCCCUCCGACAUCGAGGUGAGACUAGCCAAAUCCUCUUUUAGAAAGAUAAUUAAACGAUAUUUCGGGUUGACUGUAAGUCUGUCGAGUCUCCACCAUAUAUGAGAGGACGAAGAAUCCCGACUGUUGUCGUGGGGGUAGCUUCUCCUUCGUUCCCGUGUGCUAGACAAUUUGCUGUAAUGCACUCGAGAACGAAAGGAGGAGCUACCAUACCAUCACCGACGGUCGCAAAUGUCAGAGAGGAAUCAGUGAGGGAGAGUUCCACCAUAUAUAUAUGAGAGGACGAAGAAUCCCGGCUGUUGUCGUGGGGGUCGCUUCUCCUUUGUUCCCGUGUGCUAGACAUUUUGGUGUAGUGCACUCGGGGACAAAUGGAGGAGCGACCAUCACCAACGGUCGAAUGUAUACACCACGUGAGCUGAGAGUUUUCAAGAAAAGACUCGACAAACCGAUAGUCAACCCGUGAUGAAUAAUAAUGAUCUAACUUAGGUUUUUUUUAGUACAUAUAUUUAAUUGUAGACGUUUAAUAUUUGAAUUACGAACAUAGGAAAUGUCGUACUCGGACGACGAAAGUCUCCCGGAGUGCGACUGGUGCCACGACGACCGAGGUCAGUGCGACAGGCCUUCCCUGGACGAAGAUCGGCGCUUCAGUAUUAACCUGGAGGAGACCUUCGAUGUUGAAACGGUACGCAAUGAUGACAAGUGUUAUUUUUUUGUAAUUAAGCACGACUUCAACUAUUUCAACGUGUACUUUUCAUCAUUUACAAUUCGGCUAGCUUAUCCCAUGCCAUGCAAGACGCUACGUCUUGGAGAGGAUGGGUUUUGAAGACCAUGAAAAUAUGGAAACAAAGAAACUUCACCUAAGGACCCAUCAUGAUAUAGAUUUUGAAGUAAAUCUGUAUAAUUCUAAGAGCGUAACCCAUUUUGGUUGCAAAAAUUGGGAAGCAUUUUUCAAGAUGUAUGGUUUUGAUGAGGGUAUGCUUGUCACCAUGGAUCUUGGUGAUCCUGACAUCGAGCAAGACAAUAUGGACAUUUGGGUCCUUGUUGAUACGCCUCCAAUUCUACCGCUAUGUGAGUUUCUCAAACAUAGUUAUUAGCUAAUUUAUAUUGUUCAUUUCAAAAUAGUUGACAGCUUAUUUUCAUUGACAGCUUAUUUGAUUGUUGAAACAAUGUGCGGAACAUGGUAGUCAGAACCUACUACACCGAUGGCUCUGAGUUAACUUAUAAGGAGAAAACUCAUCUGGUCGGAUUUUGUACUGAUCUUGAGAAUUACAAUAUCUAUUGUAAAACUCCUCCACAUUAUGGUCAAUAUGUGCCACUAGUGCACGUGUUGAACUACGGUAACUACUAUGGAGAUACCCUGGUAAGAUUUCUUACUAUUACGACAUCCAUGCAUCUUUUGCAUACUUCUAAAACUAGUACAUCAUUGCUAACUAUGAAGUUAUUACUAUAUUUUUUUAACAGAUAAUCCCAGAGGAUUGUGUGCCUCAUUUGAUGUAUCAGAAUGGUAGGCUUGAUGUUUUGAACAUACAACCAGGUCAUCCUACGAAUCGCAACUGUCCAUACCAGAUUUCUAAAAGAAGUGGAGACAUGCAAAUCAAAGAAUGGAAAAAAUGUAUGGACAGUCGCAAGGAGGUUCUUGGAAGCAAAAGGAAGCGAAGCGCAAGAAUGGAGACAGGAUGAUCUCCAGUCUCCAUAAUGGAGAGUCAGGGUCUAUAUUGUUUUAUGCUAUUUUACCUUAAAGAGGGUAUUUCGGUCCUACCUAAUACUGAUGAUCAUGUGCUAAGAACAAUUAAGUAGGGUUGGUUCGAUGACUAUGAGGAUGAUGAUCGUAUGACUGGUUAUUAAUAACGAGUAGAAGUUGUAUGAUGAUGAUUAGUAGGACUUGUUAUUAUAUAUGAUGAUGCAUGAUGCACGCAUGAAGAGUUAUUAUAUAUCAGCGGGUGAAAUGAUCAUGGAUUGGAUUGAAGUGAAGGCAACAUGCAUGUGGUGCAUGUCGAAAGUAGUACAAUCCAAACUUGAUCAAGUUAGGAUUAGUAUUACUUUCGACAUGCACCACAUGUUGCCUUCACUUCAAUCUAGGCCAUGUUUAGGCAUAGUAGUACGUAGCGUUGGUAAACCAAGCACGGAGAUAUAAGAGAGGACACUUCUCUCUAAUAGCUACCUAAUAACAACCUAAAUUAGCCCCCAAAACCCCUAAAUCAGCCCCUUUCAAACAAAAAAACCUCAGCUCCAGCCAGAUGCUGACGCGUGGAUGCCUAUUGGUCCCGGUUGGUGACACCAACCGGGACCAAAGGCCCCCCGGCCUGGGCUGGCCGCAGCGGCCACGUGGAGGCCCAUCUGUCCCGGUUCGUAUAAGAACCGGGACUAAAGGGUUAGGGCAUUAGUAACGAUCCGUUAGUCCCGGUUCAAAAACCGGGACAAAAGGCCCUUACCAACCGGGACAAUAGGCCCUUUUUCUAUUUGUGAGUGAUGAAUAAUAUUAGCCAUAGCAUGAGCCUCCUAUAAAGUGGCUUUCCCACAAACCAAAAGGGCAUCAGCAAAUAAAAGAGAGUGAAUGGAAGGACAAUCUGGACCAAGAGAAAUACCCUGGAGAUGAUGAGCAGCAAGCGCUUCAUUAAGAGCAAUGGAUAAUUCAUUUAUAGCAAUAACAAACAAAUAGGGGGAGAUAGGGCAACCUUGACGAAUACCUCAAAAACUUCUAAACUUGUGAGAAGGUUGUCCAUUAAUGAGCACAGAGAAAGUGGGAGAAGAGAUGCAAGCAUGAAUCAAAUUAAUAAAAUGACCAUGCAGCCCUUUGCGCGUAAGCGCCGACACUAUGAAAUUUCAUUCUAAACGAUCAAAAGCUUUGGCAAGAUCAAUUUUAAGCAUGAAAACAUUGUGUUUCCAAAAUUGAAGAGAAAAAGAGUGGGUAAUCUCCUGAGCAAUAAUAAUAUUAUCACUAAUUCUUCUACCCGGCGACCCGCUCACUGAUGUUUUGACUCACGGAGUCACUAUGUUCCCUUAAUGAUCUUUUCGUAUAUAACUGGUUGUUGCUUUAAUUAGAAGAAACCACACCAAUCGUAAUUGUUGUUAGUAAUGGAGCGGUAAGCAUAUGCAAAUCGAAGCACCAUUUUCCUUCUAAAUACACUUGUAAAAGCAUUAUGAGUGUCUUCUUCUGAUUUAAUAUUUAUGCAAGACACAUUAUGAGUGCCAGUUGUGUUGUAACUUUUUUUGCGAGGCACAACAACUGGAUUGUUGUCGAUAUAAGGGAAAACAUAAAAUAGUAUCAGAACUUCUGCAUUUAGAAACCUGUUACUAAUAUAUAGUGGCAUCUUUUUGCUCUCGAUCGAUGUCCUGGCAUGACAGGCUUUGUCGCUGUUCCCUCACCAUGGAGUGGGGAAGUAAAAUCGGUAAGUUAGCCUAUUUACCUAGUCGCCGUUCAUUUGUUCACCGAGUCAUGAGACAGCGGGAGGAAGGAGACGAAGGUCCCAAACGUGAGACCAAAAAGGUGGACUAGGGCUCGCCCUAGUUGUGCUCUCGGGUAUUUUUAGUUACUAGUAGGAGUAAGAAGCAUUGCAAAUUGCUCCCUCUGUUCAAUCCGUGCCAACCCUAGCCGCCCCUCCUCCUCACCACCCCCCUCGAACUAGAUCGCCGCCGCCUGAGGCAGCCGCCGGGCAAACGGGGCGCCAACGAUGGUGGCGGCGGGGCCUCGGUUGCCUUGCCUCUGCGUGGGGAACCCCGGAUCUGGAGCGGCGGCUCCAUUGGCAAGGCACGGACGGCUAGCAGCCGUGCGGGCGGUGGAUCUGGUGUCCCGGCCGCGCGGGCGGCGGGAUAAGGUGGUCGUUGGCGGCCGGCGAAGGCUUCUACGGCGGUCGGUGCGGGCGAUCUGGCACCUCCCUUCCUCCUCCGCUCGGCGUGCGGGCCAGCCUGGUCGGGCCGUGCUUCCUCUUGGUCGCCGGUUCUGUACAGGAGGCGCUGCUGGUGGCGGGGAUCUAGUUCGGGCGAAAUCCCUUGCCGGCCAUGACCGGCCGCGCCGACGGCGACGCCUGAGGGCGUCGUUCCGCUCCUUGGAGGCGUCGGUAUGGACUGAUCUCCUCACGGCGCCGUUCCCUUCUUGAAGGCGCCGCUUCGGGAACCUUGGGGUUGGGUGGCGCUUGUAGGUGGUUGGCGACGGCGGUGCUGCGGCCCUAUCCUAGCAUGGAUUUACGUCCGUUGCUUGGAGAUGGACUCGCGUAGGUGGAGGUCGUCGCCUGGCGUCGUGGUGGCGUCAAAGGCGGAGGACCUGCCAAGACUCGCGUAGGUGGAGGUCGUCAUUUGGCGUCGUGGUGGCGUCGAUGGCGGAGAACCUGCCAAGGUUGUCAUCUCAAUCGCUCUGAAGAUGGACCAGUGGAAUAUGGCGGCGACAACACAUGUGAGUGCGUCGGACCGGUUUGAGCCCCGGACCCGGUAGAUGGCUCGGUCGGGGCCUCCGGCUUUAGAUGUUAGGCUUAGGUGAGAGGUCUAGAUAUGUGGCCCAGCUUGCACCCCUUCAUCAUUUGAAUAGGAGUAGCGACAGAUGUUGCGAAGAUGACGGAUUCAAGUAUAUUGUUGUUCUACUUUGUAAGUUCCUCGAGAAUAAUCAAUAAAAUGGCCGCAUGCAUCUUCCAGAUGCAUAUGCCGGAGGUUAUCCUCCUUUUUUUUUAAAAUGUAGUCCAUAUUAAUAUAUUCAAAAUAUUUUAUAGUAUUUGUGAACGAAAGGAGUAAUUAAUAGUAAUGCAACAAUUUCAGUGGAGGCCAGUCAGCAGCUAACUAAAUGUGCUGGAUGAGACUGGAGAAAUGCAUAAACGAUUUACACAUGAUAGAACUACUCUUUUCUUAUUAAGGCGAAUCAGGUUCGUUACUGACUGCCAAAGUCACGGCCGUUUCUGCCUUUGACGCUGAUAAGAGAUUCUACACUGUAAGGCCUCGUUUGAAAUGGAGGGAUUCAGGAGGACUUGAGGUGUGGAGAUUGGAGGGGAUUUGAUGAAUCCCUCCCCUCCACCCAAUCUCCUCAACUCCCCUUGCAAUCAAUCCCUUCCUGAAAAAACGCGUUUGGUAGGCGGAGAGUGGAGGAGGCAUGCACUGCCGCUGCCCUCGAGGUUCUGCUUGUGCAAGGCCCUCGACUAGAGUUCUGAACCGCGCGGGUACGAGGGGAUUGGAAGGGAUCGGAGGGGGUUGGGCUGUGCAAACCCCACCUAUCAAAUGGGCCGAUGAGGUUUCGUGGGGCUUCUGGCCCUCCGGGGGUUCAUCCUCUCCAAACCUCCUGAAUCCUCCUGCGCCAAACGAGGCCUAAAGGAAAAGCUGAAAGCUCUCCUAUCUCGUGUGUUUCUCUUCUCUUGCACCUUGUCGGAAAACAGCGUGCACCAGGGACGCUUGAUUCCAUUGCAGGCAUCAGUUCAAUCUAUCAUGCUACAGGGAACCGGCACUAUCUUCUUUUUCUUCUUCUUUUAGGUCGUGAACGCAAGUCAUUUGAGACAUUCACAUGGGAUUACAUAAUCGGUACGUUGUGACGGAACUGGACGCACAUGAUGAAAUAGAUAGAUAUUCCUACGGUAGAUUUAUCAGCAUCAGUGUGGAGCUAAAGUGUUUGAUGUUUUGUAUGAAUGGUUUGGUCUGAACAAUAAAGCCGACCACUCAGGACCUACUUUUGGGCUUUUUUUUGUAUUAUUGUAUACUAGCAAAAGGGCCCGUGCGCGGAGAAAAAAAUUAUAAUCUUGAAUGGCCAAGAUCACAUUUUUUUGCAUCACCGACAUUUUUCAAAUUCAUGAACACUUUUACGAAUUUGCAAACAUAUUCUAAAAUCAAUAACAUAUUUUGAAUUCAUGAACAUUUUAUAGUAUUUACAAACAUUUUUAGAAAUUGUGAACAUUUUUUAACAAUUUUCUUGAAUAGGCAAAUAAUUCUAAAAUGGACGAACAUUGUUUUAGAAAUCGGUGGAACCAUUUUUGAAAUUCACGAACAUUUUUUGAUUUUACAAACAUAUUUUGAAAUGCAUGAUCAUUUUUUGAAUCAGCGAACAUUCUAUGAAUGAAUAAACUAUUUUGUAAGUCACGAAUAGUUUUUCAAAUAUUUGGUUAUUUCCCCAUUCAUGAACAUUUUUUGAAUGAUGAGAUGUUCUUCAAUUACAUUAAAAAAAAUUUAUACACGAAUUUUUAAAAAGUCAUGAACGUAUUUUGAUUUCAUGAACAUUUGUUUCCGAAAUUUCGAACAUUUUUUGAGUCAGAUUCCUUAAUAAAAUUGCAAAUAUUUUUUGAAUACACAAACAUUUUAUGAUUUAUCAAACCUUUAUUUGAAAAUUAUUUUCUAAAUUUCAAAUAUUUUUUUGUAUUCCGAAAUUAUUUAAAAAAUAAAAAAGGAAAAAGAUAAAAAGUGAAAUGUUAAAAACAGGCCGCCCGGACAUGGGCCCGCCCAGAUAUGCGGCCCACGCCUUAUCCCUCCCCGCAGAGCCGAGUAUGUGAGGUCCCUACUACAUGGGCCUGUCCAGACGGGGAUUUCCCUGUGUGAAACAUUUAUAUCACUUAUAUGUGACAUUUGUGGGUAAUUUCUAUGACGUGCCAUAAGAAGAAAUAGCCCCUUUUAUUACUAGCAAAAGGGUCCGUGCGUUGUAACGGGAGAAAUAAAAUCAAAAUCUCCAAUGACCAUGACCAUAUUUGCUACAUCACUGAGACACCCUAUCACUCUCAAUUUCAUGAAAUCAUGAAUAAUUUUUGAAAUCACGAACAUGUUUUAAAAUUCUUACACAUGUUUGGAAUCAUGAACAUUUUCCAAAUUCAUGAACACUCAUACAAAUUUUCAAACAUUUUCUAAAAUCAAGAACAUUUCUAGAAUUGAUGAAAAAAAUUAUACUAUUUGCAAACACUUAUUAAAAAUUCUGAACAUCUUUAUAAAUAAUUUUGUUUAAUCGGCAAACAUUUUAUGGAAAUUGAUGGAAAAAAAUUCGAAAUUCAAAAACAUUUUUCGUUUUGACUAAAUUUUUUGAAAUACAUGAUCAUUUUUUGAAACAGUGAACAUUUUCUGAAUGACUAAACUAUGUUGUAAGUCAAGAAAUAGUUUUUCAAUUUUAGGAUAUUUUUCCAUUCAUGAACAUUUUUUGAAUUAGCGAUUUAUUUCAAUUUCAUUAACAAUUUUUGAUACACAAAAUAUUUAGAAAAUCAUGAAUAUUAUUUGAUUUCCGAAAAUUUUGUUUUUAAAAUUUUGAACAUUUUUUGUGUAAGCAAUUAUUUUUUGCAAACUGCGACCAUAUUUUGAAUCCACAAGUAUUUUAUGAUUUAUGAAAAAUUUAUGUCAAAUUCUCAUUUUUUUUUUCGAAACUAUUUUGAAAUCUCAAAAUAUUUAUAGUAGAAAAGAAAAAAACAGGAAAGAAAAAUUAAAAUGGAAAACGAAAUUAAAAAAACAGGCCAGCCUGUAAUGGGCCAGCCCAAACAUGCGGGUAGCGUCUUCUCCCAGCGUGCAGAUAGCAUUAAAGGAGGUCCCAAGUGUAGGGCCGGCCCAGAUGGGGGAAUUCCCCUGUGUGAAUUUUUUUAUCACUUAUAUGUGGCAUUGAACUCAUGAAUCAUGCGCUAUCACAUCCAGCUAGCCGCCAUGUCUCGCUCGGACAACCAGAUGAACUUUCUUUCGUCCCUGUAAACAUUUUGACGAUAUAAUAAAAAGCUUUGGAAUUUGUCUAAAAAAAACUUAUAAGUGGCAUUGGUGGGUAAUAUUUUGUAACUUUAGAGGUAAUUUCCACGACGUACCACUAGAAGCGCAAUAGCCCAUUUACUAUUAUUAGGUACUCUUUUUUCCUUGUGGAGGUUUGGAAAUGAGAGAAUUUGAAUAUAGUAACUCUCGAAAACUCUUAUUGGACGAGAGAGAUUUAAUAUGAUAUUGGCAUGGGUUCUACCAACUAAACGAAGAAGUAUUUGACUGGAUAAACAGACAAUUUCCUUUAAUUGACAAACAUUUUUAUGAAAAUUGGUGGAACAACUUUUGAAAUUCAAAAAUAUUUUUUGAGUUAAUGAACAUUCUUUUAACUUAAUGAACAUUUUUUUUAAAUACAUGACCAUUUUUUUGAAUCUGUGAACGUUGUAUGAAUGAAUAAACUAGUUUCUAAGUCAUGAGCAGUUAUUCAAUUUUUAAGAUAUUUUUUCCUUCAUGAACAUUUUUUCAAUUGGUGAAAUUUUGUUCAAUUUCAUUAACAACCCUUUUUAAAAAAUCAUGAACAUUAUAUUUUACCAAAAAAGCAAAUUGUUUUUUUACAAAAUCGUGGACAUUUUUUGAAUCCACAAACCUUUUAUGAUUUAUGAAAUCCUAAAUUAUUUAAAGUAGAAAAAUCAUAAAAAGAAAAGAGAAAGGAAUAAUAGAAAACGAAGUUACAAAAAUAGGCCGACCGAACAUGGGCCGGCCCCAAACAGGCGCACUGCAUCUUCUCCGAGCGCCUAGAGCGUAGUAUAGGAGGUCCCUACUGCAUGGGCUGGCCUAAGCGUUGUCAAAUUUAUUCAUAUAUUAUUUUCGAUUGUACAACCAUAAUUUUUCUUAUCUCUCUCGUUCCACUACAUGCUCCUAGUCAAUGAAUUUCUUUAAUAAUGGUUGUUUUUAUUAACUCAAAAUAUAGCAUCAAGCAGAUACAAAACAUAAUGAGCCACACCCGGUCUAUGCAUAACUAAGAUGCACACAGCCAAAAGCAGAAGUCUGACAAAAAUAAGAUAAGAAGAUCGAUAUAUCGACAACAGUGAGUCAUAUAGUUGGUUUUGGGUUGGGAACGGCGGUGGCCUGCCAGAGGGCAAGACACUGGCUGUGUACGCUGGUGUCACCUGGUGUGGCAUUCGUGGGACCCAAGUGGUAGCGCCUCCUCAGUGAUGGCGGCGAGCGCGGACGUGUUGGACACCACCUCGUCUAUGUCCAUGCAGCCCACUUCUUUCUCUGUAGGAAGGACGCGGUUACACUCGCGUUGACAUCGGAUGACUCGGUCACAGGCACGGGAGGGGUGAGAGGACAUGGCACCGUCAAUGGCAGCCACGAUGCCCGUGCCACCGUGCUCCCUCCCUGUGCCGACCUGGAGCAACUUGCCACUCCUCGGCUCGUGGCCGGCGGGCUUUACGGGCCACCUAGCCAUUUUUAUGCCAGACAACUCUUCUUCCUGCUCGUCAGAUGCCAUGGAGAAAACUGUUCAAGGAGGAAAAUGGUGAGUGGAGGUGUGAUGCGGUUCUUGCCCGACAUCUGGCAUUGUUUAAAUAGCGAGGGGACACGAGGAGCCAAGCGACAUUCUGUUUAAUGCCAACCGGCUCACGAAUGAACAUGUGGCCGGAGUAAUUAUCCUGGAACACACGUGGGUUUAAUGAUGGAAGGCGGGCAGUCUGCAAGAAUGAGGCGAGGAUGUGUGUUUAGCCGGCGUGCAGCGGGCGGCGCCCUCGGCCGGCGCUCUGCUUCCAUUGCGGAGGCAGUGAGAGGCCGCGUCCGCUCUGCAGCGCAUGAAUGCGGGCAGCUGGCGCAGAGCGGGAACGCGUGCGGGCGAGGGAGGAGGGGGUUUGGGUGGGCAUGGGUGGUCAGAAGCGGUCGUGGGUGUUGUCCGAACACCUGCAAAGCCCCCCUCCAUGUUUGUCUCCGGUUUACGGGAGAAAGUACGUCCAGACCUUCCAAUGGACCGAUACAGGCCCGCAUUGGAUGGCACAACACGUCCGGACCAUGUGGUCCGGAUGGUUCAGGACGGUUUAAUUGAGGGUUGACGUUGGAGAUGCCUUAGAGUUUAUGAAUCCAUUGUGUUUUUCUAAUCAUAAAAAAACACUUAUAAUAAGUUAGAAGGAAAGACACGUUUAUAUGUUAGGUUCAGACUCCAGCUUUCCUCUUACAUAUGCUUUAUUCUGAUCCGACUGAUUCCAAUAGAGGGAGCCUGGCGUUGUUUUUCUGGAAACUCGCGGGAUAAAGAGACUUGCAUACACAUUCUUUCAAGCAAAUCACAUCCAUUCUUUUAACUCAUUUUUCUUAUUUUAAUAAUAUAAUAGAUCAUUUAUAUUUUUUAUCUCAAACAGUUGACGUGUAAUUUAUAUUGUAAUCUGAGGAUAAUGUUUGGAUUUUACUUUCAAAUAUAUUUGAAAUGGCCAUGAUGGAAUCACAUCCAUUUAUUUUAUUAUUAUUUGAAUUUGAUCCAAAAGAUAAAUAAUGAGUAGAGGUCAUGUCAACUUUUCUAGAACUUUGCUAAUCAAAAUAUAAUUUGUAUUUAAAAACAUCUAUUUUUUAGCACGCAUGAAAAACAUAACAUUGUAUCUUUUCACACAUAAUGAACGGUUGUCAUAAGAACUCAUGCCAUGCCACAACCUCCCUCCGACCCUGCCAACAUUGUUGCAGAUGCACUAGCAAGCCUUAGCGUAGAUGAUCAUUUAUACGAUUUGCGUAAAACAAAAUAAGAUCUACAAACGAAUAGAAGCUAGAACGUACCUUGGCAUGCACACACAUUGCAAGCCAUACUAAGCUGACAAGUGUUAAUAACUUGUACAAUAUAUACAACACUUAAGACAAGUAAAAACAAUUUCACGAGUCAUGGUCUAUCAAAGCAAGCCACAUUACUAGUCUAAUCCAUCUUAACAGGUCACACAUGAUUAAAAUCUUGUUUGUGUGCAAGUCAAGCUUAUCUAGUUUACAUGUAACAACUUGUAGAACAUUACAAAAUUUAUGUUUGCUAAUAACUUCUAGAACACUACAACACUUGACAUGUAAAAGGAAUUUGAUGAGUCAUGGCCUACUAAAGCAAGUUAUAUUACUAGUCUUAUCUACCUUAACAGGCCACACAAGAUUACAAACUAAGUAACGUGCCAGCCAUGCUUAUCUAGUUUAUGCGCAACAAUUCGCAGAAAAUUACAAACUUAGUUUCAGAAAAUAGGUAAUCUAGAUUAGUGUUUGAGCUGUAAAGUAAAUAAGAUGAGUCAAGCGUGUUAUCACACGUUUUUGGUUGUGGAAUGAUAGUGCAAUAACAAGGAACUUUAAUGACCAGUCCAAGAAUACACUUGUAAGUAGUGCUACCGAACACAACAUACCAAAUUAUGAUUUUGAGAAGCAUCCAAGCACUUUCCACACAGGCAAAUGCCAAUUGUGAAAGAGAUCAUGCCAUGGUAGCUAUAAAUACGCUCGUAGCAUGAUGACCAUCCUUCCUCAUCCAUCAUUCUCAUAAGUAGAGUGCAUCAUUUAAGCCAAGCAAGCAGUGGUCAAUACAAAUCCAUCAUGAAGACCAUUCUCAUCCUUGCCCUCCUUACUAUCGUGGCGACCACCGCCACAACUGCAGUUAGAGUCCAAGUUCCACAAUUGUAGCCACAAAAUCCAUCUCAGCAACAGCCACAAGAGCAAGUUCCAUUGGUACAACAACAACAAUUUCCAGGGCAGCAACAACCAUUUCCACCACAACAGCCAUAUCCGCGGCCGCAACCAUUUUCAUCACAACAACCAUAUCUGCAGCUGCAACCAUUUCCGCAGCCGCAACUACCAUAUCCGCAGCCGCAACCAUUUCGACCACAACAACCAUAUCCACAACCGCAACCACAGUAUUAGCAACCACAACAACCAAUUUCGCAGCUGCAGCAGCAACAACAACAACAAUAGCAACAACAACAGCAACAAAAACAGCAGCAACAACAACAGCAGCAGCAACAACAACAACAACAGCAACAACACCAGCAACAACAGCACCAACAGCAGUAGCAGCAGCAGCAACAACAACAANNNNNNNNNNCAACAACAACAACAACAACAACAACAACAACAACAACAACAACAACAACAACAACAACAACAACAACAACAACAACAACAACAACAACAACAACAACAACAACAACAACAACAACAACAACAACAACAACAACAACAACAACAACAACAACAACAGCAGCAGCAGCAGCAGCAGCAGCAACAACAACAACAACAACAACAACAACAACAACAACAACAACAACAACAACAACAACAACAANNNNNNNNNNNNNNNNNNNNNNNNNNNNNNNNNNNNNNNNNNNNNNNNNNNNNNNNNNNNNNNNNNNNNNNNNNNNNNNNNNNNNNNNNNNNNNNNNNNNNNNNNNNNNNNNNNNNNNNNNNNNNNNNNNNNNNNNNNNNNNNNNNNNNNNNNNNNNNNNNNNNNNNNNNNNNNNNNNNNNNNNNNNNNNNNNNNNNNNNNNNNNNNNNNNNCAACAAUAACAACAACAAAUUUUGCAACAACAACAACAACAAAUUUUGCAACAACAACAACAACAACAAAUUUUGCAACAACAACUGAUUCCAUGCAGGGAUGUUGUAUUGCAACAACACAACAUAGCGCAUGGAAGCUCACAAGUUUUGCAACAAAGUACUUACCAGCUGGUGUAACAAUUGUGUUGUCAGCAGCUGUGGCAGAUUCCCGAGCAGUCGCGGUGCCAAGCCAUCCACAAUGUUGUUCAUGCUAUUAUUCUGCAUCAACAACAACAACAACCGUCGAGCCAGGUCUCCUUCCAACAGCCUCAACAACAAUAUCCAUCAGGCCAAGGCUCCUUCCAGCCAUCUCUGCAAAACCCACAGGCCCAUGGCUCUGUCCAGCCUCAACAACUGCCCCAGUUUGAGGAAAUAAGGAACCUAGCGCUACAGACGCUACCUGCAAUGUGCAAUGUCUACAUCCCUCCAUAUUGCACCAUUGCUCCAUUUGGCAUCUUCGGUACUAACUGAGAAGAGAAGAACUCUAGUACUAGAUAUAUGAAGCAUUGUUUUCUUAGUCCAUGGUUUGGUCGUUGUUGCUGUGAAAAAAUAAAGUGGCAUGCACUAUCAUGUAAGAACCCGAACUAUACUAGUUCAAACUUGGGAAUAAAAGACAAACACAAGUCUUGUCUACAUAUGAUUCUUUGUUUGAUUUCCAUUCAUGUGCGCAUUCACAAGUUCACCCCUAAUUAUAUAUAUAUGCAUUAAGUAGAUAUUUAUGUUGCAUUAAUCUAAAGAUAACAAAAUGACUCUAAAAUUUGAAUUAAAUUGAAGUAUUUCCUUGGAAUUUCAAAUGGAAUAUUAUUAAAGUAGUAAGGACUAUCCACAUCCUUGGCUUGCCCUUGAUCAAUUAUUUGCAGAGAAGCAUUCAAUUUGUCAAUCAACAUGAGUAUAUUCAUCGCGGCUACUCCAAAUCGGCAUGAAUGAGGUACCGGUGCUCUGGAGCACUACUAGCUAACUGCUUCUCAUGUGAAGGGGUGCGGGCGCGGGAGAGGUGUUUCUGGUGGGGCAGGGGAGUAUGAAGCGGCCGUGGCAGCGGUCCAGAUGCCCACAAAGACCCGUAGUUUGUUUUUGGUUUACAGGAAAGUGCACAUCCAGACCGGCCUGCGGGCCGAUAUAGGACCGUAUUGGAUGGCAAAACAUGUCCGGAUGGUUGCGAGUGGUUUGGGGGUUAGCUUUUGUAAUGCCCGGUUAGUUAUGCUAUAGUAAUUCCCUGCUAGUGAUGCCACGUCACCCUGAUUACUGUUGUUAACCUCACAAUUAUUCAAUCCCAUUCAAAUUCAAAUUUAAAAUAAAGGCAAACAUCAAAAGUUUUCAAACAUUAAAACUAAAAUCUUCGAGAGGUGAAAAAUAAUGCGUAAGUAAUUAUGCUGGAGAAACCACACUUUUACAAAAUGUUUAAAUACUAUAAAAUGAAUAAAACAGUGGCUUAAACUAUUAUUAAAAUGCUUUUAAAAUAGUAAAAAUGUUAUAACUAAAUUAAUUGGGUGCCAAACUUUUGGUGGCAGUGGUAUAUUUAGUAGAACUAAUUUAGAUGCUAAUUAUAUAAUUUACAAAAUUAAAGUAAAUUGAAAACAGGAUAAAACAGAAAAGGAGAGACAAAACAAAUAAAAGCAAAAGGGGGCAACUCCUCGCUGGGCCUCGGCCAAGCUGGCCACUGGGCUAGCUAGGCCGACCCAGCCGCCUACAUUAACCCACCACUCCCCAUCGAACCCUAGCCCGAUCUCCCCACUUCCCCCACACCCCCUUGAUGUCUACUACGCAACUUUAUUCUUAUAGACACGUGUUGGGCCUCCAAGCGCAGAGUUUUGUAGGAUAGUAGCAAUUUUCCCUCAAGUGGAUGACCUAAGGUUUAUAAAUCCGUGGGAGGCGUAGGAUGAAGAUGGUCUCUCUCAAACAACCCUGCAAUCAAAUACAAGAAAUCUCUUGUGUCCCUAACACACGCAAUACAAUGGCAAAUUGUAUAGGUGCACUAGUUCAGUGAAGAGAUGGUGAUAAAAGUGUAAUUUUGAUGGUAGAAAUAUAUUUUUAUAAUCUGAAUAAAUAAAAACAGCAAGUUGGGAAAUAGUAAAUGGGCACAAAAACGGUAUUGCAAUGCUUGAAACCAAGGCCUAGGGUCCGUAAUUUUGCUAGUGCAAUUUCUCAACAGUGCUAAUAUAGUUGGAUCAUAUGAUUAUCCCUCAAAGUGCAAUAAAGAAUCACUCCCGAGUUCCUAAUAGCGGAGAACAAAAGAUAGAAAUUGUUUGUAGGGUAUGAAACCACCUCAAAGCUUCGGUUCGAUCUGUUCAAGAUUUCGUACUAAAAUAACACAAAGCUAUUUUUUCCGUUCGAUCUGUCCUAGAGUUCGUACUAAAAUAACACCAAAGCAAAUUCAUAUUCAUAAUACACAAUCCACACAAAGAACUACAAAGAGACCCCAAAGUUUCUAUCGGAGAAAAGAUAAUAAAAACGUGCAUCAUCCCCUAUGCAUAGAUUACCCCAACAUCACCUUGGGAAACCGCAAGUUGAGUGCCAUAACAUAUAUCAAGUGAAUCAAUACGAUACCCCAAUGUCACCUCAAGUAUUCAUACCGCAAGACAUACAUCAUGUGUUCUCAUAUCUGAAUAUUCAAUCCGACAAGACAAAACUUCAAAGGCUAAAGAUUCAGAGUAUAGAGGGGAGAAACAUCAUAUGAUCCAUCUAUAUUAACAAAGCCCAUGAUAUAGAUCACGAGAGAGAGAUUAAACACAUAGCUACUGGUACAAACCCUCAGCCCCGAGGGUGGACUACUCCCUCCUCAUCGUGGUGGCCGCCAGGAUGACGAAGAUGGCCACCAAAGAUGAUUCCCCCCUCCGGCAGGGUGCCAUAAAGGGUCUAGAUUGGUUUUCGGUGGAUACAGAGCCUAGCGGCGGCGGAACUUCUGAUCUAGGUUAACCCCAAAGGGUUUCGGAAUAUUUGGGAAUUUAUAGUGCAAAGAGGGGGUGCGGGAGGCCACCGAGGUGGGCACAACCCACCUGGGCGCGCCAGGGGGCCCUGGCGCGCCCUGGUGGGUUGUGCCCCCCUCAUGCUUCUUCGGCCCACUGUUGGUCUUCUAGUCCAUAAAAAAUCUCCAUGAAGUUUCAUUGCAUUUGGACUCCGUUUAGUAUUGAUUUCCUGCGAUGUAAAAAACAAGCAAAAACGGCAACUGACACUGGGUCAAUAGGUUAGUCCCAAAAAAUGAUAUAAAGAUGCUAUAAAAUGAUUGUAAAACAUCCAAGAAUGAUAAAAUAACAGCAUGAAUACUUCAUAAAUUAUAGAUACGUUCGAGACGUAUCAGCAUCCCCAAGCUUAAUUCCUACUCGUCCUCGAGUAGGUAAAUGAUAAAAGAAAUAAUUUAUGAAGUGUGAAUGCUAGGAAAGUGCACAAGUUUGAUCAAUCACAAUUUCAAUCACUUUUCCUAGCAUCAUAACCGCGAUUCUUUCUUAUAAAACUUCUCAUGAUACAAUGGCAACCAAUUCACAUAUUAAGGUUCAAACAGUGAAUUCUCUUAAAACUCAACAACCUAUGUUCUUAGUCACCAAGCAAUUGCAAUUCAACUUAUUCAACGGAGUUUAAGUAAGAGCUCCACAUACUCAACCAUCUUAUAGUCUUCUAUGAUUGCUAACACUCACCGCAUACACAUGGGCAAAACGUUUCAACCGGACACAUAGAAAGAUAGGGGCUUAUUGUUUUUCCUCCCAACGUAUUCACCUCAAGGGUGAUGUCAACAAUAAUAACUCAUGCUACCCAUAUUCAACUGGACAUAUGUGCCUAGAUCUUUCCUCACCACAUGAUGCUUGCCAAAGGAGAAAAAUAGAAAGGAAUAGAGAGAAAAACUUUGACUCUUUGCAUAAAAGUAAAUACUGGAAAGUAAAAGAUAGGCCCUUCGCAGAGGGAAGCAGAGGUUGCCAUGCGCUUAUUUGUUUGUAUGCUCAACCCAUUAGUGAAAAAGAACGUCACGUUAUAUUGCCCCUUAUGAUAGCAACCUUUAUUAUGCAUUCUGUCGCUUUUAUUCUUUGCCAUCACAUGUUCGUACAAUGCUCAAUUUUCUCUUACACUAAAUGAUCUCACACUUUUAGAAGCAAUUUUUAUUGCCUUAUUGCACUGAUGACAACUUACUUGAAGAAUCUUAUUGAAUCCUUAGGUAGGUAUGGUGGACUCUUGAAAAUAAGAUUUGGGUUUAAGGGUUUUUGGAUGCACAAGUAGUAUCUCUACUUGGUGCGGAAUUUUUGGCUAGCAAAGAUGGGGGGCAAGCACCACAUGUUGAAGGAUCUAUGACAAUAUUACUUCUAUGUGAAUAUGAGCAAACAUAAAUCAUUAUGUUGUCUUCCUUGUCCAACGUCAACAAUUUUGGCAUAUAAUAUUUUGAUGGGGGCUCACAAUCACAAAAUAUUUCCAAGAUAGUGUGUUUGCAUGUGAAAGUUCUCUUCCUUAUACUAAUUAUUCGUGAAUUGAUUGUAUGACCAAAAUUUUGAUUGUCAAGCCUCAGAAGAUUUCACUUUCUAAACCCAAUGUGAAGCUACCACUAGGAAUGAUAUGAUUUCAUCUUCAUGACAUUCAAUUUAUUAAAAAAUUUACUCAUAGGAUAUAAGUGAAGCACAAGAGGAAUUCCAAAGAAAGAGCUUCGUUGACGGGAUGUGAAUGUCGCUUACUUAGCUUCCUUGGCAACUAUUUGAGGACUCUAUUUUUUUUAAAACUUUCAGAUCUAAGUAUUUUAUUAAAACAAUAAGGAAAACAAAAUAAAAUGACAUUCCAAGGAUAGCACAUAUCAUGUGAAGAAGCAAAAACUUAGGCUCAACCGAUACUAACCGAUAAUUGUUGAAGGAAAAAGGUGGGAUGCCUACUGGGGCAUCCCCAAGCUUAGAUGCUUGAGACUUCUUGAAAUAUUAUCUUGGGAUGACUUGGGCAUCCCCCAAGCUUGAGAUUUUGUGUCUCCUUAAUUUUUCUCAUAUCACGGUUUUCCUAAAUCUCAAAAGCUUCAUCCACACAAAACUCAACAAGAACUCAUGAGAUAAGUUAGUAUAGACCAAUGCAAAAGCCUUAUCAAUCUCUACUGUAGCAAAUCACUAAAAUUAUUAUUCAACAUUGCAUACUAAAUGCCUCUUCACAUUUAAUACUCCUAUCCUUAAAUAGAGUCAUUAAACAAGCAAACAUAUGCAAACAAUGCAAACAUAACAGCAAUCUGCCAAAACAGUAUAGUCUGUAAAGAAUGCAAGAGUAUCAAUACUUCCCUAACUCCAAAAAUUAUGAAAUUCUACCAUACUGUAGAGAAUUUAUCAGAUCUUAUUACGCAAAAAGUUUCAACAUUUUAUCACACUCUGACUUUUCUAGGGAAUUUUUGCAACAGCGGUAAACUUUCUGUUUUCAAACAGCAACAUGUAGACUUGUAAAAUAAGCAUAGUAAAGGUUAUCCUUGACAUUUUUAUUGAAAUAAAAGAUGCAAAACAUUAUUAUAAAUAAAAUAAAGCAAUUCCUAACAAAAAAACUUUACACUCCAAGCAAAACUCAUAUCAUGUGAAGAAUAAAAACAUAGCUCCAAGUGAGGUUACCGAUAAUGUUGGAGACGAAAGAGGGGAUGCCUUCCAGGGCAUCCCCAAUCUUAGUUGCUUGGAUAUUCCUUGAGUAUUAUUUUGGGGUGCCUUGGGCAUCCCCAUGCUUAGGGUCUUGACACUCCUUAUUCUCCUCAUAUCGAUAUCUCACCCAAAACUUGAAAACUUCAAUCACACAAAACUUAACAGAACUUCGUGAGAUAGGUUGGUAUAAUAAAGAGCAAACCAUUUCACUUUUGGUACUGUGAAAGACAAGAUUCAUAAUUUUUCUCACACAAUUCCUACUGUAGAAUAUCAUUUCCACAAUUUAUAUUGAGCAAUAUAAGCCAUAGAAACUAGAAAGCAAGCAAACUAUGCAUUGAAAACAGAAUCUGUCAAAAACAGAACAGUCUGUAAUAAUCUGGAUAACUGCCAUACUUCUUGUACUCCAAAAAUUAUGAAAAAAUUAGGACCACGUGAGAAAUUUGUAUAUUAAACUUCUGCAAAAAUAAUCAACUCAAAAUCACUCUUCUGUUAAAAAUGAGACUUAUUUUCAUGAGCGCAAAAGUUUCUGUUUUUCAGCAGGGUCAAAUCAACUAUCACCCAACAUGAUCCCAAAGGCUUUACUUGGCACUUUAUUGAAACAAAAGCUAUAAAAAUGAUCAAUGCAGUAGCAUAAUCAUGUUAACACACAAAAACCGUAAGUAAAAGUGUUGGGUUGUCUCCCAACAAGCGCUUUUCUUUAAUGCCUUUUAGCUAGGCAUGAUGAGUUCAAUGAUGCUCGCAUAAAAUUAAGAUAAGAAUUGAAACACAAAGAGAGCAUCAUGAAGAAUAUGACUAGCACAUUUAAGUCUAACCCACUUCCUAUUUAUUGGGAUUUUGUUAGCAAACAAUUUAUGGGAGCAAGAAUCAACUAGCAUAGGAAGGCAAAACAAGCAUAGCUUCAAAACUUUCAACAUAAAGAGAGGAAACUUGAUAUUAUUGAACCUAAUAGCAUAUGUUCCUCUCUCGUAAUAAUUUUCAGUAGCAUCAUGAAUGAAUUCAACAAUAUAAACAUCACAUAAAGCAUUCUUUUCAUGAUCCACAAGCAUAGAAAUUUUGUUACUCUCCACAUAAGAAAAUUUCUUCUCAUCAAUAGUAGUGCGAGCAAACUCAACAAAAUAACUCUCAUGUGAUUGGAAAUUAAAAUCAUGAUGACAAGUUUCAUGUUUAUAAUUAUUCAAUAUAGCAUAUAUGUCAUCACCAUAAUCAUCAUAUAUAGGAACUUUGUUGUCAUAAUCAAUUGCAACCUCCUCCAAAAUAGUGGAUUCAUCAUUAAAUAAAGUCACGACCUCUCCAAAUCCACUUUCAUCAAUAUAAUCAUCAUAAAUAGGAGGCAUGCAAUCAUCAUAAUAAAUUUUCUCAUUAAAACUUGGGGGACUAAAAAUAUCAUCUUCAGCAAACAUAGCAUCCCCAAGCUUAUGGCUUUGCAUAUCAUUAGCAUCAUGGAUAUUCAAAGAAUUCAUACUAACAACAUUGCAAUCAUGCUCAUCAUUCAAAUAUUUUGUGCCAAACAUUUUAUUGACUUCUUCUUAUAACAAUUGAGAACAAUUUUCCGAUCCAUCAUUUUCAAGAAAGAUAUUAUAAAGAUGAUCAAUAAUAUGAUGCAACCUCAAUUCCAUUUUUUAUGUAGUUUUCUUUUAUAAACCAAACUAGUGAUAAAACAAGAAAGUAAAAUAUUUAAUUGCAAGAUCUAAAGAUAUACCUUCAAGCACCCACCUCCCCGGCAAUGGUGUCAGAAAAGAGCUUGAUGUCUACUACGCAACUUUAUUCUUGUAGACACGUGUUGGGCCUCCAAGCGCAGAGUUUUGUAGGACAGUAGCAAUUUUCCCUCAAGUGUAUGACCUAAGGUUUAUCAAUCUGUGGGUGGCGUAGGAUGAAGAUGGUGUCUCUCAAACAACCCUGCAAUCAAAUACAAGAAAUCUCUUGUGUCCCCAACACACCCAAUAAAAUGGCAAAUUGUAUAGGUGCACUAGUUCGGCGAAGAUAUGGUGAUAAAAGUGUAAUUUUGAUGGUAGAAAUAUAUUUUUAUAAUCUGAAUAAAUAAAAACAGCAAGGUAGCAAAUUUUAAACGGGCACAAAAACGGUAUUGCAAUGCUUGAAAACAAGGCCUAGGGUCCGUAAUUUCGCUAGUGCAAUUUCUCAACAAUGCUAACAUAGUUGGAUCAUAUGAUUAUCCCUCAAAGUGCAAUAAAGAAUCACUCCCGAGUUCCUAAUAGCGGAGAACAAAAGAUAGAAAUUGUUUGUAGGGUACGAGACCACCUCAAAGCUUCCGUUCGAUCUAUUCAAGAGUUCAUACUAAAGUAACACAAAGCUAUUUUUCCGUUCGAUCUAUCCUAGAGUUCGUACUAAAAUAAGACCAAAGCAAAUUCAUAUUCAUAAUACUCAAUCCACACAAAGAACUACAAAGAGACCCCAAAGUUUCUAUCGGAGGAAAGAUGAUAAAAACGUGCAUCAUCCCCUAUGCAUAGAUUACCCCAACGUCACCUCGGGAAUCCGCAAGUUGAGUGCCAUAACAUAUAUCAAGUGAAUCAAUACGAUACCCCAUUGUCACCUCAAGUAUUCAUACCGCAAGACAUACAUCAUGUGUUCUCAUAUCUGAAUAUUCAAUUCGACAAGAAAAAACUUCAAAGGCUAAAGAUUCAAUUCAUCACAACAAGAGUAUAGAGGGGAGAAACAUCAUAUGAUCCAUCUAUAUUAACAAAGCCCAUGAUAUAGAUCACGAGAGAGAGAUUAAACACAUAGCUACUGGUACAAACCCUCAGCCCCGAGGGUGGACUACUCCCUCCUCAUCGUGGUGGCCGCCGAGAUGAUGAAGAUGGCCAUCAGAGAUGAUUCCCCCCCUCCGGCAGGGUGCCAGAAAGGGUCUAGAUUGGUUUUCGGUGGAUAAAGAGCCUUGCGGCGGCGAAACUUCUGAUCUAGGUUAACCCCGAAGGGUUUCGGAAUAUUUGGGAAUUUAUAGUGCAAAGAGGGGGUGCGGGAGGCCACCGAGGUGGGCACAACCCACCUGGGCGCCAGGGGGCCCUGGUGUGCCCUGGUGGGUUGUGCCCCCUCGGGGCACCCCUAGGUGCUUCUUCGGCCCACUGUUGGUCUUUCGGUCCAUAAAAAAUCUCCGUGAAGUUUCAUUGCAUUUGAACUCCGUUUGGUAUUGAUUUCCUGCGAUGUAAAAAACAAGCAAAAAACAGCAACUGGCACUGGGCACUGGGUCAAUAGGUUAGUCCCAAAAAAUGAUAUGAAGUUGCUAUAAAAUGAUUGUUAAACAUCCAAGAAUGAUAAAAUAACAGCAUGAAUACUUCCUAAAUUAUAGAUACGUUGGAGACGUAUCACCACUCGUUAGCCUCCCCACCUCUCGAUCCCAUCUGGAUCGGGGAGGUGAUCGCCCCCAUCAACCCCAUUACCGUCACCGGAUCGCUCGCUCGCCCAUUGCCCACCGGCGUCGCCGGGCCUCCUCCCCGCCCCCCCGUCUCUGGCUCGCCUCCCCCUCGCUCCUCUUCCCCGACCCGAUCUGGAUCCGGAAGGGGCAAUGAGCCUGACGCGCCCCCUUCACCGACGCCGUGUGCCACUACCGCCGCCCAAAGACCUCGCCGUCGCCGGACCUCGCGUCGCCUCCUCGUAUCCUUCCCCGACUCGCCUCCUCAAGCCACGCCGGACCCCUUCUCGGCAAUGUUGUGAGCCGCCCCCCGUUGCCUUCCUCCUCUUUCCACCGCGUUUACCGCGCCGCCAACCGUGCCCCUCGCCGCGCGCACGCCCACCACCACGCCAGCCCCCGCUUCGCACCCUCUCCUGCACGCUUGCGCGCGCAUUACCCUAGCCGUGCCCGUGGCACGAUCCCCUUGUUCGCCCCGCCUUCGUCCCGCGCUCGCCGCGGUCCCCUGCUACCUCUUGAGCACUGCGUUGGUUUUCCCUUGAAGAGGAAAGGGUGAUGCAGUAAAGUAGCGUAAGUAUUUCCCUCAGUUUUUGAGAACCAAGGUAUCAAUCCAGUAGGAGACCACGCACGAGUCCCCCGCACCUACACAAACAAACAAGAACCUCGCAACCAAUGCGAUAAAGGGGUUGUCAAUCCCUCAACGGUCACUUACGAGAGUGAGAUCUAAUAGAUAUGAUAAAAGAUAAUAUUUUUGGUAUUUUUAUGAUAAAGAUGCAAAGUAAAAUAGAAGGCAAUAAAAAUAGCUAAGUGUUGGAAGAUUUAUAUGAUGGAAAAUAGACCCGGGGCCAUAGGUUUCACUAGUGGCUUCUCUCGAGAGCAUAAGUAUUACGGUGGGUGAACAAAUUACUGUUGAGCAAUUGACAGAAUUGAGCAUAGUUAUGAGAAUAUCUAGGUAUGAUCAUGUAUAUAGGCAUGACGUCCGAGACAAGUAGACCGACUCCUGCCUGUAUCUACUACUAUUACUCCACACAUCGACCGCUAUCCAGCAUGCAUCUAGAGUAUUAAGUUCAAAAGAACAGAGUAACGCUUUAAGUAAGAUGACAUGAUGUAAAGGGAUAAACUCAUGCAAUAUGAUAUAAACCCCAUCUUGUUAUCCUCGAUGGCAACAAUACAAUACGUGCCUUGCCGCCCCUACUGUCACUGGGAAAGGACACCGCAAGAUUGAACCCAAAGCUAAGCACUCUCCCAUUGCAAGAAAGAUCAAUCUAGUAGGCCAAACCAAACUGAUAAUUCAAAGAGACUUGCAAAGAUAACCAAUCAUACAUAAAAUAAUUCAGAGAAAAUUCAAAUAUUGUUCAUAGAUAAACUUGAUCAUAAACCCACAAUUCAUCGGUCUCAACAAACAAACCGCAAAAGAAGAUUACAUCGAAUAGAUCUCCACGAGAAUCAUGGAGAACUUUGUAUUGAGAUCCAAAGAGAGAGAAGAAGCCAUCUAGCUAAUAACUAUGGACCCGAAGGUCUGAGGUAAACUACUCACACAUCAUCGGAGAGGCUAUGGUGUUGAUGUAGAAGCCCUCCGUGAUCAAUGCCCCCUCCGGCAGGACGCCGGAAAAGGCCCCAAGAUGGGAUCUCACNNNNNNNNNNNNNNNNNNNNNNNNNNNNNNNNNNNNNNNNNNNNNNNNNNNNNNNNNNNNNNNNNNNNNNNNNNNNNNNNNNNNNNNNNNNNNNNNNNNNNNNNNNNNNNNNNNNNNNNNNNNNNNNNNNNNNNNNNNNNNNNNNNNNNNNNNNNNNNNNNNNNNNNNNNNNNNNNNNNNNNNNNNNNNNNNNNNNNNNNNNNNNNNNNNNNNNNNNNNNNNNNNNNNNNNNNNNNNNNNNNNNNNNNNNNNNNNNNNNNNNNNNNNNNNNNNAAGUCCUUUGGAUCACGUUCGUUCCGAAAAUCACGUUCCCGAAGGUUUCAUUCCGUUUGGACUCCGUUUGAUAUUCUUUUUCUGCGAAACUCUGAAAUAGGCAAAAAACAACAAUUUGGGCCGGGCCUCCGGUUAAUAGGUUAGUCCCAAAAAUGAUAUAAAAGUGUAUAAUAAAGCCUGUUAAACAUCCAAAACAGAAUAUAAUAUAGCAUGAAGCAAUCAAAAAUUAUAGAUACGUUGGAGACGUAUCAAGCAUCCCCAAGCUUAAUUCCUGCUCGUCCUCGAGUAGGUAAAUGAUAAAAACAGAAUUUUUGAUGCGGAAUGCUACUUGGCAUAAUUUUCAAUGUAAUUCUCUUAUUUGUGGUAUGAAUGUUCAGAUCCGAAAGAUUCAAGACAAAAGUUUAAUAUUGACAUAAAAAUAAUAAUUCUUCAAGCAUACUAACUAAGCAAUUAUGUCUUCUCAAAAUAACAUGGCCAAAGAAAGUUAUCCCUACAAAAUAAUAUAGUCUGGCUAUGCUCUAUCUUCACCACACAACGUAUUUAAAUCAUGCACAACCCCGAUGACAAGCCAAGCAAUUGUUUCAUACUUUUGGUGUUCUCAAACUUUUUCAAUCUUCACGCAAUACAUGAGCGUGAGCCAUGGACAUAGCACUAUAUGUGGAAUAGAAUGGUGGUUGUGGAGAAGACAAAAAGAGGGAGAAGAUAGUCUCACAUCAACUAGGCGUAUCAACGGGCUAUGGAGAUGCCCAUUAAUAGAUAUCAAUGUGAGUGAGUAGGGAUUGCCAUGCAAUGGAUGCACUAGAGCUAUAAGUAUAUGAAAGCUCAACAAAAGAAACUAUGUGGGUGUGCAUCCAACUCGCUUGCUCACGCAGACCUAGGGCAUUUUGAGGAAGCUCAUCAUUGGAAUAUACAAGCCAAGUUCUAUAAUGAAAAAUUCCCACUAGUAUAUGAAAGUGAUAUCAUAGGAGACUCUCUAUCAUGAAGAUCAUGGUGCUACUUUGAAGCACAAGUGUGGUAAAAGGAUAGUAACAUUGUCCCUUCUCUCUUUUUCUCUCAUUUUUUAGCUGGGCCUUUUCUCCUUUUUUAUGGCCUCUUUUUUUUAGUCCGAAGUCUCAUCCCGACUUAUGGGGGAAUCAUAGUCUCCAUCAUCCUUUCCUCACUUGGGACAAUGCUCUAAAAAUGAUGAUCAUUACACUUUUAUUUACUUACAACUCAACAAUUACAACUUAAUACUUAGAACAAAAUAUGACUCUAUGUGAAUGCCUCCGGCGGUGUACCGGGAUAUGCAAUGAAUCAAGAGUGACAUGUAUGAAAGAAUUAUGAAUGGUGGCUUUGCCACAAAUACGAUGUCAACUACAUGAUCAUGCGAGGCAAUAUGACAAUGAUGGAGCGUGUCAUAGUAAACGGAACGGUGGUAAGUUGCAUGGCAAUAUAUCUCGGAAUGGCUAUGGAAAUGCCAUGAUAGGUAGCUAUGGUGGCUGUUUUGAGGAAGGUAUAUGGUGGGUGUAUGAUACCGGUGAAAAGUGCGCGGUAUUAGAGAGGCUAGCAAUGGUGGAAGGAAGAAAAAUGUGUAUAAUCCAUGGACUCAACAUUAGUCAUAAAGAACUCAUAUACUUAUUGCAAAAAUCUACAAGUUAUCAAAGAAAAGUAUUACGCGCAUGCUCCUAGGGGGAUAGAUUGGUAGGAAAAUACCAUCGCUCGUCCCCGACCGCCACUCAUAAGGAAGAAAAUCAAUAAAUAAAUCAUUCUCCGACUUCAUCACAUAACGGUUCACCAUACGUGCAUGCAACGGGAAUCACAAACUUUAACACAAUUAUUUCUCAAAUCCACACCUACUCAACUAGCAUGACUCUAAUAUCACUAUCUUCAUAUCUCAAAACAAUUAUCAAGCAUCAAACUUCUCAUAGUAUUCAACACACUCAUAAGAAACUUUUUGUUAAUCUCGAAUGCCUAUCAUAAUUAAAGCAAAUUACCACGCUGUUUUGUAGGACUCUCAAAAUAAUAUAAGUGAAGCAUGAGAGAACAAUAGUUUCUAUAAAACAAAUCCACCACCGUGCUCUAAAAGAUAUAAGUGAAGCACUAGAGCAAAAACUAUAUAGCUCAAAAGAUAUAAGUGAAGCACAUAGAGUAUUCUAACAAAUUCCGAAUCAUGUGUGUCUCUCUCAAAAGGUGUGUGCAGAAAGGAUGAUUGUGGCAAACUAACAAAUAAAGACUCAAAUAAUACGAGACGCUCCAAGCAAAACACAUAUCACGUGGUGAAUAAAAAUAUAGCUCCAAGUAAAGUUACCGAUGGAAGUAGACGAAAGAGGGGAUGCCUUCCGGGGCAUCCCCAUGCUUUGGCUUUUUGGUAUCCUUAGAUUAUCUUGGGGUGCCAUGGGCAUCCCCAAGCUUAGGCUCUUUCCACUCCUUGUUCCAUAAUCCAUCAAAUCUUCCACCCAAAACUUGAAAACUUCACAACACAACACUUAACAAAAAAUCUCGUGAGCUCCGUUAGCGAAAGAAAACAAAACACCACUUCAAGGUACUGUAAUGAACUCAUUAUUUAUUUAUAUUGGUGUUAAACCUACUGUAUUCCAACUUCUCUAUGGUUUAUAAACUAUUUUAUUAGCCAUAGAUUCAUCAAAAUAAGCAAAGAACACACGAAAAACAGAAUCUGUCAAAAACAGAACAGUCUGUAGUAAUCUGUAACUAACGCAAACUUCUGGAACUCAAAAAGUUCAGCCAAAAUAGGACAACCUAUACCAUUUGUUUAUUGAUCAGAAGCACUUGGAAUCAAUAUUUUAUCUCGUUCCGGUGAUUUUUAACAAUUGUUUUCGUGAACAGAAAGUUUCUGGAAUUUUCAGCAAGAUCAAAUAACUAUCAUCCAAGAAGAUCCUAUAGGUUUAACUUGGCACAAACACUAAUUAAAACAUAAAAACAAAUCUAACCAUAGGUUAGAUCAAAGAUUUAUUCCUAAACAGAAGAAAAAAGUAAAAAACUAAAAAUAAAAUUGGGUUGCCUCCCAACAAGCGCUAUCGUUUAACGCCCCUAGCUAGGCAUAAAAGCAAGGAUAGAUCUAGGUAUUGCCAUCUAUGGUAGGAAAUUCUUCAAUAAGACACCUAUCACCCUUAGGAGUUUCUUUCUUUCUAUUAAUUAUCAAACUUCUAGGCACAAAAUCGAAAAAAGCAUUUGCAGCAAAUGGUUCCUUAAUGAUAGCAAGGAGAUUGGGAUGAACACUUAUUGAUUUGAGAUCCGCAGUUUCCUUAUUAGAGGAUUCACCCUUAUUUUUAGGAACAUACAUAAGCUUAGCAAUUUUAGUAGGAGGACUUGGGGUAUUCUUUACGGAAGAAAAGGCGGUUCCCAAGUUGGUAAUGAUACCCUCAAGUUUUUCUUCAUAAGAUUGCAUCAAAGCAUCAACGAUAUGUUUAGUAAAAGCUUUAUUUUGACUAUAAGCAUGUGGAGAAUUUAUCACGGAUUGCAACAAGGAAAUACAAUCUAUCAAAGAGCAAUUAUCAUAAUUAAAUUCCUCGAAAUCCAAAAUAGUGGGUUCAUUAAUAUCUAGAGUUUUGAUCUCUUCAAUCCCACUUUUACCAAUUUUUGCAUCAAGAUCUAUCAACUCCGAAUUUUUGGAACGCCUUCUAGGUAAAGGUGGAUCAUAUUCAGUCCCAUCAUUAUCAAGAUUAAUAUUGAAAAACAAAGAUUUAAUAGGGGACACAUCAAUAACUUUUAGAUCUUCAUCUUUAUUUUCAUAGAAACUAGAAGAACACGCUUUCACAAAGCAAUCUUUCUUAGCACGCAUCCUAGCGGUUCUUUCUUUGCACUCAUCAAUGGAAAUUCUCAUGGAUUUGAGAGACUCAUUGAUAUCAUGCUUAGGAGGAAUAGAUCUAAGUUUCAAGGAAUCAACAUCAAGAGAAAUUCUAUCAACGUUUCUAGCCAAUUCAUCAACUUUAAGCAAUUUUUCUUCAAGCAAAGCAUUGAAAUUCUUUUGCGAAUUCAUAAAUUCUUUAACACUAGUCUCAAAUUAAGAGGGCAUCUUAUUUAAAUUUCCAUAAGAAUUGUUGUAGGAAUUACCAUAAUUAUUAGAGGAAUUACUAUGGUACGGCCUAGGAUUAAAGUUUCCUCUAUACGCGUUGAUACCAAAAUUAUUCCUACCAACAAAAUUCACAUCCAUAGAUUCAUUAUUAUUCUCAAUCAAAGUAGACAAAGGCAUAUCAUUAGGAUCAGAAAGAAACACUUUUAUUAGCAAAUAAUUUCAUAAGUUCAUCCAUCUUUCCACUCAAAACAUUAAUUUCUUCUAUCGCAUGCACUUUCUUAUUAGUAGAUCUUUCAGUGUGCCAUUGAGAAUAAUUAACCAUAAUAUUAUCUAGGAGUUUAGUAGCUUCUCCUAAAGUGAUUUCCAUAAAAGUGCCUCCCGCGGCCGAAUCUAAAAGAUUUCUAGAAGCAAAAUUCAAUCCGGCAUAAUUUUUUUGUAUAAUCAUCCACAGAUUCAAACCAUCGGUAGGGCAAUUACGCAUCAUUAAUGAUUUUAGCCGGAGGAAAAUACUUAGAAUUCAUACAAAACUUAGAGAUAAAAUUCAUAAUAUCGUUUCUAAGAGAGAUGAUUUUAGCCGGAGGAAAAUACUUACAGAUAAAAGCAUCUUUGCACUUAUUCCAAGAAUCAAUACUAUUUUUAGGCAAAGACGAAAACCAAGAUUUAGCACGAUCUCUAAGCGAAAAAGGAAAUAGCUUCAAUUUAACAAUAUCAUUGUCCACAUCUUUCUUCUUUUGCACAUCACACAAAUCAACGAAGCUAUUUAGAUGGGUAGCGGCAUCUUCACUAGGAAGGCCAGCGAAUUGAUCUUUCAUGACAAGAUUCAACAAAGCAGCAUUGAUUCCACAAGACUCAGUAUCGGUAAGAGGAGCAAUCGGAGUGCUAAGAAAAUCAUUGUUGUUGGUAUUGGUAAAGUCACACAAUUUAGUAUUAUCUUGAGCCAUCGUGACAAGCAAGCAAUCCAACAAACGAGCAAACAAGAAGCAAGCGAAAAAGAGGCGAAUGGAAAAGAGAGGGCGAAUAAAACAGCAAGGGUAAAGUGGGGGAGAGGAAAACGAGAGGCAAAUGGCAAAUAAUGUAAUGCGAGGGAGAUGAGUUUGUGAUGGGUACUUGGUAUGUCUUGACUUGACUUGACUUGGCGUAGAUCUCCCCGGCAACGGCGCCAGAAAUCCUUCUUGCUACCUCUUGAGCACUGCGUUGGUUUUGCCUUGAAGAGGAAAGGGUGAUGCAGUAAAGUAGCAUAAGUAUUUCCCUCAGUUUUUGAGAAUCAAGGUAUCAAUCCAGUAAGCGACCACUGUCACGCCCAAGAUGCGACCCUAUCCUAAAGUAACUUGAAGGUCCCACCAAGGAUAGAAGUGCAUCUUGAAGACGCUUUUGCAAGGUGGAUAUCAUUACAUCGACAUUACAUAAUAGAUGGGGAUACAUACAAGGCAAACAAAUGUCGCAAGAAUACAUCAAUAGAUCAUGAUCAACAUCCGACUACGGAUGAAACACAAACAGAAACUCAAACGACAUCCACCCUGCUAGCCCAGGCUGCCGACCAGGAACCUAACCCAAGAUCGGCGAAGAAGAAGAAGAACUCCAACACAAGCAAUCGAGCAUCGCUCUCACGUCAUGAGCAUCACACAACCUGUACCUGCAACUGUUGGUGUAGUAAUCUGUGAGCCACGAGGACUCAGCAAUCCCAUUACCAUGGGUACCAAGACUAGCAAAGCUUAAUGGGUAAGGAAGGGGUAAAGUGGUGAGGUUGCAGCACCGGCUAAGCAAAGUAUGGUGGCUAACUUACAAAACAAGAGCGAGAAGAGGAGCUAAGCAAACGGUCGCCAACUAGUAAUGAUCAAGAAGUGAUCCUGAACUCCUACUUACGUCAAACAUAACACAAACCGUGUGCUCCUCCCGAACUUCCUCGAAAAGAGACAAUCACGGGUACCCACGCGGUUAGUGUAUUUUAGAAGAGUUUACUUCAAGUUUACUACAACCGGAUAUUAACAAAUUCCCAUCUGCCACAUAACCGCGGGCACGGCUCUCGAAAGUUUAUACCCUGCAGGGGUGUCCCAACUUAGCCCAUCACAAGCUCUCACGAUCAACGAAGGAUAUUCCUUCUCCCGGGAAGACCCGAUCAGACUCGGAAUCCCGGUUACAAGACAUUUCGACAAUGGUAAAACAAGACCAGCAAGACCGCCCGAACGUGCCGACAAAUCCCGAUAGGAGCUGCACAUAUCUCGUUCUCAGGGCACAUCCGGAUGAGACAUCCUACGAGUGAAACCAGCCCUCAAGUUUCCCCAAGGUGGCCCCGCAGUCUACUCAGCUCGGACCAGCACUUAGAGGAGCACUGGCCCGAGGGGGGGGGGCUAAAAUAAAGAUGACCCUCAGGCUCCGGAAACCCAAGGGAAAAAUUCUUAGGUGAGGCAAAUGGUAAAACCAAUGUUGGGCCUUGCUGGAGGAGUUUAUUCAAGGCGAACUGUCAAGGGGUUCCCAUAACACCCAACCGCGUUAGGGACGAAAAAUCCGGGAACAUAAUACCGAUAUGACGGAAACUAGGGCGGCAAGAGUGGAACAAAACACCAGGCAUAAGGCCGAGCCUUCCACCUUUUACCAAGUAUAUUGAUGCAUUAAUAAUAUAAGAGAUAUUGUGACAUCCCAACAUAAACAUAUUACCACAUGGAGCAAUCUUCAUCUUCACCUGCAACUAGCAACGCUAUAAGAGAGGCUGAGCAAAUGCGGUAACAUAGCCAAACAACGGUUUGCUAGGAAGGGUGACAAAGGUUAGAGAUUCAAGGCAAUUUGGGAGGCUUGAUAAGCAAGUGGUAGGUAACGCGGCAUAACGCUAGCAUCGAGGCACCUAGCAUAGCAAUGAUAGUAAUGAGAUCCAAGGUGACGGUAAUCUUGCCUGAAAUCCCGCUAGGAAGAAGAACGGCUCCAUGAAGAAGAUGAAGCCACGAAGACGAACCAAGCGUAGACGAACAAAUCCUCACGAUCGCAACAAAACGGGAACUAUCGAGAAGAAGCACACAACAUGGUAAACACACCACACAUGAACAAGGCAUGAUGCUCAAUCAAGUAUGAUGCAUGGCAAGGCUACAUGAGGCUACGCAUGGCAAGAGAUGAUGCAUACAAGAGCAACACAUCAAAGCAAGUUUAAAUGAGGCCGGAAACAACAUAUAACAAUUCCGGUAAGUCCUAUGCAAAUUUUGAAAUUGGUCCAGAUCUGAAUAAACCUUAUGUUCAAGUUGUUAAACAGCAGUCUACUCGGUUCGGACCAGCACUGGCCCCGGUGGGGGGGGGGCUAAAAUAAAGAUGACCCUCGGGCUCCGGAAACCCAAGGGAAAAAGGCUUAGGUGAGGCAAAUGGUAAAACCAAUGUUGGGCCUUGCUGGAGGAGUUUUAUUCAAGGCGAACUGUCAAGGGGUUCCCAUAAAACCCAACCGCGUUAGGGACGCAAAAUCCGGGAACAUAAUACCGAUAUGACGGAAACUAGGGCGGCAAGAGUGGAACAAAACACCAGGCAUAAGGCCGAGCCUUCCAACUUUUGCCAAGUAUAUAGAUGCAUUAAUAAUAUAAGAGAUAUUGUGAUAUCCCAACAUAAACAUAUUACCACAUGGAGCAAUCUUCAUCUUCACCUGCAACUAGCAACGCUAUAAGAGAGGCUGAGCAAAUGCGGUAACAUAACAACGGUUUGCUAGGAAGGGUGACAAAGGUUAGAGGUUCAUGGCAAUUUGGGAGGCUUGAUAAGCAAGUGGUAGGUAAAGCGGCAUAGCGAUAGCAUCGAGGCAACUAGCAUAGCAAUGAUAGUAAUGAGAUCCAAGGUGACGGUAAUAUUGCCUUAAAUCCCGCUAGGAAGAAGAACGGGUCCAUGAAGAAGAUGAAGCCACGACGACGAAUAAACGGAAGACACCUGGCGCAUCCCAUUCCGAGAACAUUCAAAUGCCACUCACGAAACGAGGUCUGAGAGGGGCAACGGGUGCGUGUGGGAGUGUCGGAACGCGAAACGGACAACGGGGAAAAAGACUGGAUGCAAGCUUUGAAAACAUGAGGAUGCAAUGCAGAUGAUGACAUGACAAAAUGCAACACGCAAGCAAAUGACAUGGAAACGACGAUGAAUAAACGGAAGACACCUGGCGCAUCGGAUUCGGGGCGUUACAACCACGCAUGAGUCCCUCGCACCUACACAAACAAACAAGAACCUCGCAACCAACGUGAUAAAGGGGUUGUCAAUCCCUCAACGGUCACUUACGAGAGUGAGAUCUGAUAGAUAUGAUAAGAUAAUAUUUUUGGUAUUUUUAUGAUAAUGAUGCAAAGUAAAAUAAAAGGCAAUAAAAAUAGCGAAGUGUUGGAAGAUUUAUAUGAUGGAAAAUAGACCCGGGGGCCAUAGGUUUCACUAGUGGCUUCUCUCGAGAGCAUAAGUAUUAUGGUGGGUGAACAAAUUACUGUUGAGCAAUUGACAGAAUUGAGCAUAGUUAUGAGAAUAUCUAGGUAUGAUCAUGUAUAUAGGCAUCACGUCCGAGACAAGUAGACCGACUCCUGCCUGCAUCUACUACUAUUACUCCACACAUCGACCGCUAUCCAGCAUGCAUCUACAGUAUUAAGUUCAAAAGAACAGAGUAACGCUUUAAGUAAGAUGACAUGAUGUAGAGGGAUAAACUCAUGCAAUGUGAUAUAAACCCCAUCUUGUUAUCCUUGAUGGCAACAAUACAAUACGUGCCUUGCUGCCCCUACUGUCACUUGGAAAGGACACCGCAAGAUUGAACCCAAAGCUAAGCACUUCUCCCAUUGCAAGAAAGAUCAAUCUAGUAGGCCAAACCAAACUGAUAAUUCGAAGAGACUUGCAAAGAUAACCAAUCAUACAUAAAAGAAUUCAGAGAAGAUUCAAAUAUUGUUCAUAGAUAAACUUGAUCAUAAACCCACAAUUCAUCGGUCUCAACAAACAGACCGCAAAAGAGGAUUACAUCGAAUAGAUCUCCACGAGAAUCGCGGAGAACAUUGUAUUGAGAUCCAAAGAGAGAGAAGAAGCCAUCUAGCUAAUAACUAUGGACUCGAAGGUCUGAGGUAAACUACUCACACAUCAUCGGAGAGGCUAUGGUGUUGAUGUAGAAUCCCUCCGUGAUCAAUGCCCCCUCCGGCAGGACGCCGGAAAAGGCCCCAAGAUGGGAUCUCACGGGUACAGAAGGUUCCGGCGGUGGAAUUAGGUUUUCGUGGAUGCUUCUGUUGGUUUGGGGGUACGUGGGAUAUAUAGGAGUAAGAAGUACGUCGGUGGAGCAACAUGGCCCCCACGAGGGUNNNNNNNNNNNNNNNNNNNNNNNNNNNNNNNNNNNNNNNNNNNNNNNNNNNNNNNNNNNNNNNNNNNNNNNNNNNNNNNNNNNNNNNNNNNNNNNNNNNNNNNNNNNNNNNNNNNNNNNNNNNNNNNNNNNNNNNNNNNNNNNNNNNNNNNNNNNNNNNNNNNNNNNNNNNNNNNNNNNNNNNNNNNNNNNNNNNNNNNNCCCCUACCUCGUGCCCUCCUCGUAGCUUUCUUGACAUAGGGUCCAAGUCCUCUGGAUCACGUUCGUUCCGAAAAUCACGUUCCCGAAGGUUUCAUUCCGUUUGGACUCCGUUUGAUAUUCUUUUUCUGCGAAACUCUGAAAUAGGCAAAAAACAUCAAUUUGGGCUGGGCCUCCGGUUAAUAGGUUAGUUCCAAAAAUGAUAUAAAAGUGUAUAAUAAAGCCAGUUAAACAUCCAAAAUAGAAUAUAAUAUAGCAUGAAGCAAUAAAAAAUUAUAGAUACGUUGGAGACGUAUCAUCCCCAUGCCCCCCGCGCACUCUUUCGGGGGCGCCGGCUGCCCCUGUCCCGCUGCUCACCGUCGCGCUGAAGGAAAUAUGCCCUAGAGGCAAUAAUAAAUUUAUUUUUUAUUUCCUUAUUUCAUGAUAAAUGUUUAUUAUUCAUGCUAGAAUUGUAUUAACCGGAAACUUAGUACAUGUGUGAAUACAUAGACAAACAGAGUGUCACUAGUAUGCCUCUACUUAACUAGCUCGUUGAAUCAAAGAUGGUUAAGUUUCCUAGCCAUAGACAUGAGUUGUCAUUUGAUUAACGGGAUCACAUCAUUAGAGAAUGAUGUGAUUGAAUUGACCCAUUCCGUAAGCUUAGCACUUGAUCAUUUAGUAUGUUGCUAUUGCUUUCUUCAUGACUUAUACAUGUUCCUAUGACUAUGAGAUUAUGCAACUCCCAAGUAACGGAGGAACACUUAGUGUGCUACCAAACAUCACAACGUAACUGGGUGAUUAUAAAGAUGCUCUACACGUGUCUCCGAUGGUACUUGUUGAGUUGGCAUAGAUCGAGAUUAGGAUUUGUCACUCCAAUUAUCGGAGAGGUAUCUCUGGGCCCUCUCGGUAAUGCACAUCACUAUAAGCCUUGCAAGCAAUGUGACUGAUGAGUUAGUUGCGGAAUGAUGCAUUACAGAACGAGUAAAGAGACUUGCCGGUAAUGAGAUUGAACUAGGUAUUGAGAUACCGACGAUCGAAUCUCGGGCAAGUAACAUACCGAUGACAAAGGGAACAACGUAUGUUGUUAUGCGGUUUGACCGAUAAAGAUCUUAGUUGAAUAUGUAGGAACAAAUAUGAGCAUCCAGGUUCCGCUAUUGGUUAUUGACCGGAGAUGAGUCUCGGUCAUGUCUACAUAGUUCUCGAACCCGUAGGGUCUGCACGCUUAACGUUCUGUGAUUAUCGGUAUUAUGAGUUUAUGUGUUUUGAUGUACCGAAGGUUGUUCGGAGUCCCGGAUGUGAUCAAGGACAUGACGAGGAGUCUCGAAAUGGUCGAGACAUAAAGAUCGAUAUAUUGGAUGGCUAUGUUUGGACAUCGGAAUGGUUCCGGUGAGUUCGGGCAUUUACCGGAGUACCGGGCGGUAACCAGAACCCCCCGGGGAGUGUAUGGGCCUUAUUGGGCCUUAGUGGGAGAGAGGAGGAGGCGGCCUAGGAGGGGGCGCACCCCCCAAGCCCAAUCUGAAUUGGGAGGGGGGCCGGCCCCCCUUUCCUUCCUCCCUCUCUCCUCCUUCCUUCCUCUCCUACUCCUACUUGGAAGGGGGGAAUCCUACUCCCGGUGGGAGUAGGACUCCCCUAGGGCGCGCCAUAGAGAGGGCCGGCCCUCCCCCUCCACUCCUUUAUAUACGGGGGAGGGGGGCACCCCAUAGGCACACAAGUUGAUCAUUGUCUUAGCCGUCUGCGGUGCCCCCCUCCACCAUAAUCCACCUCGGUCAUAUCAUCGUAGUGCUUAGGCGAAGCCCUGCACCUGUAGCUUCAUCAUCACCGUCAUCACGUUGUCGUGCUGAUGAAGCUCUCCCUCGACACUCAGCUGGAUCGAGAGUUCGUGGGACGUCACUGAGAUGAACGUGUGCAGAUCGUGGAGGUGUCGUACUUUCGGUACUAGGAUCGGUCGGAUCGUGAAGACGUACGAUUACAUCAACUGCUUUGUCACAACGCUUCCGCUUACGGUCUACGAGGGUACGUGGACUACACUCUCCCCUCUCGUUGCUAUGCAUCACCAUGAUAGAUCUUGUGUGUGCGUAGGAUUUUUUUGAAAUUACUGCGUUCCCCAACACGCGCCUCCCCUGCCCGUGCCUCGCCACCGCUCUGCUGCUACGCUACUACUGCGUUGUGGCUGCCGCCGCUUCCCGCUGCUCCGCCAGCGCCGUAGUUCCCGGUUGGCUCCGCCNNNNNNNNNNNNNNNNNNNNNNNNNNNNNNNNNNNNNNNNNNNNNNNNNNNNNNNNNNNNNNNNNNNNNNNNNNNNNNNNNNNNNNNNNNNNNNNNNNNNNNNNNNNNNNNNNNNNNNNNNNNNNNNNNNNNNNNNNNNNNNNNNNNNNNNNNNNNNNNNNNNNNNNNNNNNNNNNNNNNNNNNNNNNNNNNNNNNNNNNNNNNNNNNNNNNNNNNNNNNNNNNNNNNNNNNNNNNNNNNNNNNNNNNNNNNNNNNNNNNNNNNNNNNNNNNNNNNNNNNNNNNNNUAACCAUUUAAUAAAUUAAAACUCUUAAAUUAACAUUAGUGUAUGACAUGUGGGUCCCCUAUUAAUUAAACUGAUUUAAUUAAUUUCUAUUAACUUUGAGUCUAUGACAUAUUGGCCCCACUGAACAUUUGACUAGUCAACGGUCCAGUCAAAUGCUGACCGGACAGUUGACCAGAGGGCCCCACCAGUCAGCCUCUGUGCUGUUCUGCUGGGUACCUUUCUGAGUACACCUAGCAUUUCGCAUUUACAAUAUAUGUUUUAAAAUAAAUUAGAAUAAUUUAAAAAAAUGAUUAAAACUUUUAAAAUUAAAAUAAAAUAAUCCGUAACUCGGAUGAAAUUACUUUAUACAUGGAAGUUGCUCAAAAAACGAGACGAAUACGAAUACACAGUCCGUUCGUCUGGCACACGUCCCUAGCAUAGCGAAAAUGCAACCACCCCCCUCCGGUUCGACUGUCCGAAAAUGUCAAACACCGGGAAUAAGUUUCCGGAUGUUUCUCCCUUCACCAGUAGCACCUAGUACCAUGUGAGGGCAUACCUAGCACCACUUAUUGUCAUGUCAUGCAUCGUCAAGCAUCUGUUUGCAUUGUAUUCAUUGUUUCUUCCUCCUCUUCUCUCCGGUAGACUACGAGACCGACGCCGCUGCUGCCCCGGUCGACUAUGGUGUUGACGACCCCUCCUUGUCAGCAGAGCUUCCAGGCAAGCAAACCCCCUUGAUCAUCCCAAUAUUGCCUACUCUUUCCCUCUACUGCUUGCAUUAGAGUAUUGUUACUGUUUGUCAGUUUGAUCCUAUACUGCUGCAUGGCCUGUCUUUGAUACUACUUUUGAUACCUUUACCUGCAAUCCUAAAUGCUUAGUGUAGGAUGCUAGUACUUCAUCAAUGGACCUACAUUCUUGUCCGUCUGCCAUGCUAUACUGUCGGGCCGUGAUCACUUCGGGAGGUGAUCAAGAGUAUAUACUAUAUACAUAUUAUACUUGACACAUGAUGUGACUAAAAUCGGGUCGGCACGUAGAGUACCCACGAGUGAUUCAUGACCUAGGGGCUGAAGGGGCAUGUGGUUCCAUCCAGGUUGUGAUGGGCCUGGGUUCCCGACGCCCCCCCCACCCCGAGUGAUUCUUUGUGGCGGAGCGACAGGGCAGGUUGUGACCACCUAGGAGAUAGGUGGGCCUGGUCCUGGUCGGCGUCCGUGGUUACUUCAAAAUAAUACGCUUAACGAGGUUGGGUAUUUGAUCUGAGUUGGUCGUUGGCCUUAUUCGCACUAACCGCCACGUGGGACAAGAUAUGGGCAACCAGUGUCGUAGUAUCAGCCAAAGCUCUUCAGACGUCAGUGACUGAGUGGUGCGCGCCGGGUUGGACCGCGUAAUGCAUCCUCCUUUGUAAUGGAGGUUCCUAGCUCUGCUCACCGACGAUGUUCGCAACAUGCAGGAGUGCAACGGGCGAUGGGCCCAAGACCCCUGCGCGCUUAGGAUUUAGAUCGGCGUACUGACCUCUCUGUUGGGCCUAGGUAGGGUUGCGACGUGUUGAUCUUCCGAGGCCGUACGUGACCCAGGAAAGUGUGCCCAGCCAGAGCGAUCGAGCAUUUUCGGGUAAUGUGGUGCACCCCUGGAGGGAAGAUUGAUCUAUUCGGAUAGCCGUGUCCACGGUAACAGGAAGACUUGGAGUUGCAUUUCGACCUCAUGACAACUAGAGCCGGAUACUUAAUAAAACUCACCCAGAUAUGUUCCAGAUACAACCCGGUGAUCGCUCUCUCACAGGGUGACGAGGAGAGGAUCGUCGGGUAGGUUUAUGCUAUACGAUGUUACUUGGUUAACUUACUAGCUACUCUCUUCUAUAUGCUUCAAGAUGGAGGCUGCAGAAGCGUAGUGUUUGAUAGGACUAGCUUCUCCCCCUCUUAUUCUGAAAUUCUGCAGCUCAGUCCACAUAUACUACCCAUUUCAUUGAUACCGAUGCAUAUGUAGUGUAGAUCCUUGCUUGCGAGUAUUUUGGAUGCGUACUCACGGUUGCUUUGCUCCCACUUUUCCCCAUUUUCCAUUCUUCUCGGACGUCACAACCAGAUGCUAGUGCCUCAGAGCCAUACGCCACCUUCGACGACUCCUACUACACCGAGGGUGCCUACUACUACGUGCAGGCCACUGACGACCAGGAGUAGUUUAGGAGGAUCCCAGGCAGGAGGCGUGCGCCUCUUCGAUCUUUAUCCAUGUUUGUGCUAGCCAUCUUAUGGCAACUUGGUUAACUUAUGUCUGUACUUAGAUAUUUUUGCUUUGGCUGACUUGUCUGUGACAAGCUUAUGUAUUCGAGCACUCGAGGCCCCUGGCUUGUAAUAUAAAGCUUGUAUUAUUUUAUUCAUGUCUAGAGUUGUGUUGUGAUAUCUUCCCGUGACUCCUUGAUCUUGAUCGUACACAUUUGCGUGUAUGAUUAGUGCAUGAUUGAAUCGAGGGUGCCACAGCUUUGGAGAUACCCCUUACUUGGCCCCUCGCUCCGAAAACACGUUUGACGAUAGUUUUCUCUCGGAUCAAAUAUAUGUCAAGUUUAACAAAGUUUAUAUGAAUUAUUUUAUCAUAUCUAUAGUACCAUACAAAUAUACCAUAGAAAAAAAACAUAUUUCAUGCUGCACCAUGAAUUGGUCCGGUAAAUGUCGGGUAUGGAGACUCUAUUCUCUUUUGGCAUAAGUUGCCUCGGUCUCAAAAGUUUCAUGAACCGUUCUCUUUUGCCAUUAAGAAAAAGCUCUAUUUGGCUGAUUUUAUUCAUAGUGACCAUCUGGCUCUCCAUUUUCAUAGGCAUACCACCCUGCAAGCUCUUGCUCAAUUCAUUGACAUCAUUGACUUAGUUCAUAAAAAAAUCAACAAAUGGAAUAAAAUAAUAUCACGAAGAUACCAAUUACACCCGUCCUCUCUAUCAACAAGAUAUCCAAAGACAUCAAGGGUACACACAGCCAGAAAAAGGAUUAGAAGAAAAAAGACCCCCCCCCCUCCCUGAGGUGAUAAAUCACUAGCAUUAGUAGCACUCUCACCACACCGAAGACAACGCCCGGAUUACAAAAAAAGUUCUCCAAAAUCAACCCCCCAAGAAGGAAGCAAUGCACAAGUGUUGUCAUUGUCCGAUCGAAGAUCGUGGGUUUUCACCCUAGAAAAAUUCCAAGCUCAGCCAAAAGCAUUGCCUUGAAGGCCAUUUCCAGGUACAACCAAUAAAGGCUAGACCUUGGAUUUUCACCCUAGGAAUUCAGACUCAGUACUCGAGAGGUACCACCAAAAAUGUAGUCCUCCAGUGAUGGUGCCCCGCACUUCCCCAGCCCGCUGUUUCAAGUCACCAAACACCCCGCGCACAUUCUUCAUCGCAUUAAUUACAUCAUUCCACCAAAGCUUCAAGACCUCCAAUCACAGCCGCCAUGACUUCAUCCACCUCUAUCAAUGCCUUGAGAAUCCUGACUUAGACAUGUCCCAUGACACCAAUAAGAAAUCAAAGCUUCUUGCCAUGCCCUCUUGAGGUCGUGUUGGCUGAUAAUAUGAGCGUGCGCGACCGAAGCCUUUCCAAUCUAGAUAUCCAGGGGCGACAUACACCAAUUCAUAUAGAUAUCCGAUGGGAAAGACCGAAACUCGUCAGCGGCUAGAUCUAAGAGGUCGACGUAUGGCAGAAAGACGACUUGGCGGAAGAAUAGUACUAGGGCCAAACCACCAUUAUUAGGCCGAAGCUAACAUCCCCACACGCCGUCCUCCCCUCAAUCUAGACCUACAGACAAAGAUCAGCGACGCCGCAUCGUGCCACCCACAUGCGUGGAGGCCCGAACAUGGCAAGACGCCAACCAUGGCAGGAGACUAGGACCAGCCACUCCUGGGCUGAUCCGGCGACUCCCAGGCCCACCCCUGCCACUAUGGUGGCACCACCCCUGCCUACAAGCCCAUCCACGAUGAUGCCUGAUUAGAAGGAUACAUGGAUAUACAGAUGGAAAGGCCCUUUUUUUGCGAAUGAAUUCUUUCAUUACUCAGGUAUCAAAGAAUACAAUUCGUCCCACAAGUGCCAAAACAUCUUCCGGACCAGAUCCUAGCCAAACCAAAGUUCAGCGUUGCAACCUACCAAAAUUUGCCAAGGCAUGACUAACCCUAUUACAGCUCCGGCGAAUAUGAGUAAUGCAAGAAUUCCUUUCUCCCAAACUACUAAUGAUCUCUCUGAUGAUGAAAGCAUAUUUAGAUUUGUUGCUAUUCCCUCUCUUAAUCAUAUUGACAGCCUCUAAACAAUCAGACUCCACGUCUAUUGGUAAGAUGCUCCACUGAAGGGCCAAAGAAAUUCCCUCCCUUAUUGCAAGUAACUCUGCCUCCAGUACAUCAUCACAUGCAUAGAGAAAUCUGCAAGCAGUGAAAACAAUUUCUCCUUCCUGAUUCCUUAGGAUCAUUCCGGCUCCCGCAGUAGAGCCCAGGACCGAAGCAUCCGUGUUGAGUUUGACUCUGCCCACCGCUGGAGCGGACCAAGAGCCCUGCACUUCAUCAACUUUGUAUAUGUCCUGAUCGGGAAUCUGAAAACAUGCAGCUGGCAUUUUUCCUUUCACUAAAGCAUCACUUCAGCAUAUGUGAAUGGAGUUUAAGGAUGACAGAUAGCUGGACAGGAAGCACACCGAAACAUCCACGGGCGGUGGUUGUUUUGCAUGCACAAUUUCGUUACGCACAUACCAGAUUUGCCAGAAUAGCAUCAUGAUCCUAGCUCUCUCCUCUUCAUGCAUUUUCGAUAGGAGAUGAAGGAACCCAUCACGACCAACAUGUACAAUGCUUAGUCGGUCCGGCAAUGUCCAUUCCUUCACCAUGGCCUUCCAUAGGAUCGCAGCAUGAUUACAAGUGCAAAAAACAUGGAACGAGUCCUCCUCCUCCGUACCACACACAGGGCAUGUACCUGAGACUUCCAAGUUCCUUUUCACUUUAUUUGUCCAAUUUGCUAGCGAAUCUGUAGCUAAUCUCCAAGCAAAAGACUGAACCUUUGGUGGUACAGUACUUUGCCAUAUAAAGUUCCAUGCUUCUCUUGUUCCAUCCGGCCGGGAACUUGUAGAAACCUCACUAGGAUUUGAGCAUUCAUCACUAGCCAGUUUGUACGCACUACGUACCAUAAAACCUCCACCUUUUUCAGGCGCCCAAGGAACAAAGUCUUCAUCAAGCCGAGCAGAUGGUUUUAUUUUCUAGAUUUCAACAAUGCCGCCCGGGAGAAAAAACUGAUUUAUCUUGUCAAAGUCCCAAUUACCAUGGAUAUUCAGUAGCUCCGAGACCCACCUCAGGCGGCACCUACCACGCUGUGUAAUCAAGCCUCCAGUUGGCUCGCGUGCUAUCCAUCGGUCUCUCCAUAUACGUACAUUUUGACCAUUUCCGAUUCUCCAGACCACGUCUUUUUUUCAGAACUUCGAGACCAUAGGCAAUGGCCUGCCAUGUAGGUGAUGGGUUACUAGUGAACACCGUAUCCAGUAAGCGCCAAUUUGGUAAAUACUUCACUUUUAAAAGCCUUGAGCAUAAACUGUUAGGGAACUCUAGUAUUCGCCACGCCUGACGAGCAAGGAGCGCUUGGUUAAAUAGACAAAAGUCUUUAAAACCAAGGCCGCCUUGCUUCCUUGGCCUAGUCAUUUUCUCCCAUGCAUACCAAUGUGUUUUCCUCUUCCCUUUCUCUGCACCCCAAAAAUAGUUCCUAACCAUGCGGUUUAGAUCAUCACAUACCUCCAGCGGGAGCUUGAACACACUCAUAAUAUAUGUAGGGAUACAUUGACCAACAACACGGAUUAACACUUCCUUUUCCGCUUGAGUAGGGUUCUAAGACUGACAGUAGAAUGGGGGUUAGGUAUGAAGAGGCAAGAUCCCAGCUGUGGUGAAGUUGUACACACGAGAUUUACGAGUUCAGGCCCUUCACGGUGGAAGUAAUAGCCCUACGUCUCGGUGUCCGGAGGCGGUCGACUGGAUUAUAUGUGUGUGGAGUUACAGGGGGUGCGAACCCUUAUCCCUGAGGAGGGGGGUGGCUUAUAUAGAGUUCGCCAGACCCCUCCCGCCCUCAGUUACACAGGGUUUAAGGUACAUAAAGAUGGGGCGUUUCUGGUAACGCCAGUAAUAAAGUGACAUAAAUGUCCAUUAAGUCUACAGACUAAACGUCCGACCUUUGCUAUUCAGAGUGACUUUAGGUCUCCUGCCUGUCGAGGCAUUCCUGUUACGAUCGAGUGAGCUUGAAUCUUCCGAGUGGAAUGCCUCUAGUCGAGUGGAUGAUGAUAUCCCUUGAAUGCUUCUGACUUUAGGGUAAUGACCUAGGGGAGGGUGUCCAGGUCAGGUCUAUGACCCUACCCUAGGUACAUGUCUUCAUCAUUAGCCCCCGAAUGGUUCAGGGUUUGAGUGGAGAAGGAGUUGAUAAUAUUUUCGACUCAAUUUUUGCGCUUCGGAGGCGUCUUGUUGGGAUCAAUGAACAACAUGAUGACUUCAUCUUCUUUUCCAGCCGCCUUGACCCAUUCUUAAUUAGUCAAGUGAACUUUUACUGCUAAGCUUCGAGUGUUGGUAUGGAAAAAAAUCUUCAGUCUGACAGGUUGUUCUGCUGCUCGCGGAUCUUCCGGGAUUCGAAUUUCGGGAAGCGCGCGGGGUGGAGGAGGCCGCGGUAAUCAGAGAAGAUUAGGCAGGGAUGCCUCGAUAUCCGCGCCACCUUUUUCGCCACGUGCUGCGCGCGCAACUGUUGCGGGUUUGACAGGAUCGCCUGGGCCCACAGGUCAGCCACUCGGAAAUGGUUCCAUAUAAGGCGUCGCGGCUGGGGUUUUCUGCACAGUACACCUCAUCUCCUCUCUUCCUCCUCUGUUUUCCAUCGCAUCCACCUCCUCCCUCGGCGCCGCCGCUCUGCCCGAAAUCGACCCUCCGCAAUGGGAAAGGAGAAGACGGUGGCUCUGGAGCGCACGAAGAAGGCGACAGCGAAGGCGAAAGGGAGAAAGACGAGCCGGGGAGGGUCCUCGUCGAGAUCCGGUUUACUGCCCGGCUCAUCCAGGGUGAUUGGAUUCCGUGGACGAUCCGGCAAGUCGACGUCGAUGAUUUGGUCGAGGGGGGACUGAUUCCCCACGGAUCUGGGUGGCUCCCGGAGGACGAGACUGAGCCGCGGCCGCAGGAGGGUGAGUGUGUUCUCCUCGCCACCCAUGUUGACCGUGGUUUUUCUUUGCCUCCCCAUCCUUUCUUCCGAGGCUUCUUGAACUUCUUUGGAGCACAACUUCAUCACUUUUCCCCCAACACAAUCACGUACCUCGCUGCAUUCAUUUCUAUGUGUGAGAAUUUUCUGGGUUGUCGACCACACUGGGGUCUCUUCAAACACAUUUUCACCUGUCGUUCUCAGUCGGUCAAAAAGGCCAAUCCGAGUGACGAGAGGAUGCAUGUGAUCCAGACGUGUGGGGGUCUUGGGAUCCAAAUGAGAGGCAAGAGUACUUUCCCAGCCAUGAUUCUUCCCGAGUCAGUCAGAGGGUGGUAGUCGACCUGGUUCUACUGCAAAGACCAGCCGACUCCAGGCCAGUCGACUGGACUUCCCCCCUUUUCCAUGGCUCGAGUUGAGAAGCCCUCUGCCUUGAAAGUGACUCCAGCAGAAAAAGCGGAGGUGAAGGUGUUGGUCGAGCGAGUGGUCCAGCUCGUUCGUGACGGCGUGACUGGCAGGGAUCUGUUGGAGGUCUUCCUUAGACGACGCAUUCAGCCACUUCAAGCUCGUGACCAUCCGAUGUGGAUGUACUCCGGCAUUGAUGAUACCACUCGGAUCCACCCGGAGGAGGUCGACAAGGAUACAGUGGCACAAUGGCUGAGGGGCAUCACUGGUAACAAGGAUAACCCAGGGGGUCCAGGAGGAUCCCUCCACUCGACAACUCGUAUGAACCAGAUAAGGUCCAACUCUAAAUUUCCGAGUGUUUUCUUGAUCUACCGUGUAAUUACUUUUUGCCAACCGACUGACAUUUGUUCCACCUAUUGUCUUUUAGGCCCUCACUGAGAUGUACUCGAUGCCCAACAGAGAGCAGGAGCAGGAUCCGGAAGGGGAGGCGAGAGCGGCGAGUGGCACUCUGAUGGGGGAGAAGAUGACGAAAGUGACGACUCUGGUGACGGCGAAGAAGUCGACUCACCCCCUCGCACCGAAAGGCGAUCCAAAGAAAUCCACGACCCGGCAAGUAUCUGAGGCAAAGCGACCGCGCAGACUGGGCGGCAGACCUCAAAGUGCCCUCGGACGUCUUCUCCAGCGCCGACUGAGAGGGCCCCGAAACAAUCAAAAGCUACGCCGUCAAAACCGCGGAAGCCUUUGCCCAAGAUCAAAGUGGUCGUGCCCCUUGAUUCCAGGUAAUAAUUGGACUUGAUUUCUUGGUUUAGCAUGAAUUGAAUUUUGGUCGACUCAUUUCGGCAGACAUAACCGACUGAAUCUUGAGAUUUGCAGUGCUGCUACCUUUGAGACUUCUGUUUAUAGGAAUGAAGACGAGUAAAUGGAAGAUGCAGUCACCUCUAAUCCGGGUACGACUCUCGUAAUCCUAUUUUUACUUUCUCGGCCGUUUUAUUGGUCGACUGAAUUCCGGCGAUUGAUUCUUUUUGCAGCUCCUCCCAAUGUCAUUGAUCUUCCAGACGACGACGAGGAUGUGCCGCUGAGGCCUCUGGGAAGAAGAAACAGGAAGACGUCAACUGGCAGAGCGCCUUAGUCGACGCCGGUGACGGAACCGGUAAUCCAGGAGGGCGGUGAUGCCAAUCGGACUUCCCUGAUUUUCGCCGUACCAUUGACGAGUGCCCAGCCCUCAGCGUCGACUGCGCAGACUCCAGCCGAUCCAUCUUCACUCUUUACUGCACAUCACGUCCCAGAGGACCAAGUGGGCGCUGCCAAGGAGGCUAUACACCAGGCGGGCAUCAUGAUGGAGCAGAUGAAGGUGGUACGGGAGACCAGCCAAGCUGCUUAUGACGCCAGCUCAGCUCUCCAGAACAAUGUCCAGGUUAGUUGAUCACCGACUGACUCUUUAGCUUGUUGCUUGUUCUGUUAGGAUAUGCUACCUGAAAACUUUCCUUGAAGGAUCUUUCCAUCAGUCUGCGUUUUGCAUUUGUACACCCACUGGGUGUUUUGAUAUGUCACUGAGUAGUCUUGUAUCUUGAAUCGACUAAGUUGUCUCGAUUGAGUCUUUGAACUAGUGGGGGCACGCUGAGUGCACCCACUGGGUGUAGUCCCCAAGACCAUAGUUGACUACGAGCAGUCAACUAUGGUGUGAGAAUUGGAAUUUUCUCACUCGGCCUGCACAGACCAUGUCGAGUGGAACUUGAGCCAGUGGCGGCACGCUAAGUGCACCCACUGGGUGUAGUCCUCGAGACCAUAGUUGACUACGGGCAGUCGACUAUGGUCUGAGAACAACUUUUUUUUACACUCAGCCUGGACAGACCAUGUCGGGUGGAAACUGGACCAGUGGUGGCACGCUAAGUGCACCCACUGGGUGUAGUCCCCGAGACUACUGUUGGAUGUUCGAUUCGGCAGUAGUCUUAGAACUUGUUGAAUUUAUCACUCUAUUGCUCUGAAGUAACCAAUAUUUCCAUCCGUCGACUGACCGUCUUUUGAUUACAGAAAUCCUGUGAACUUGGAGCCCGUUUUGCUGACCUGGAGCAGAAGCAGAUUCAGCUCAACCUCGACCUAGAGCUGGCCAAGACAAACUUGCAGAAGGCCAAGGAUGAAGUCACUGGUACAAAAAACUUGCCGACUGAUUUGUUUCCGACCCGGGUGUUAUUUGUUUUUUCUGAACCAAGCAUCAUUUCUUUCAGAAGCAAUGAACCAAGCUCUGGCGAAGAAGGAUCUGGACCUUGCAGCCGCGCAGAAAGCAGCCGAAGAGAAAACUGCACUCGCCGACCAGAAGCUGGCUUCAGUCGGCAAACUGGAGGAAGAGAACACCAAGCUGAAGACUGCCUUGGAUGAAGCCAACAAGGAGGCGACUCGUCUGAAGAAGGACAGGAACAACCUGACCGAAAAGGUGGAAGCUAUUGCCCGCAAGAGAGAUGACUUGGAAAAUUAUCUGGGAGGUCUUGCCAAGAAGCUGUUCGUCAUGCUUGAAGGUGCUUUCCUUUGUCCGACUGACUUGUUGCUGUCGACUCGAUAUAUAACCAUUGACUCAUCCUUGUAUUGUGUGCGCAGAAUUUUGCCAGAACUUCGAGGAAGAGACUGGGCGAGUUGAGACAAGCUUGGACCCCAUCUCUCUCCUGUGAAGGAUGAAGCUGCCAUGAACGUGCUCUGACUGGAAUCCCGUGUCGCUGGCAUUAUCGAUUAUCUUGCCCGAUUGAAAGUCGCGGUGUCGCGAAUCGACACAGCACUCUGGCCAAGGGCGACGCUCCAAAAUGACCUCGAGUCUCUGAUGGCUCGACUUAAUGAAGUUCACGGUCGAGUGCAGGAAUGGAAGAAGUCUUCUGCUCCAUGCGGUGCUGAUGUGGCUCUGUCCCUGGUUCGUGUCCACUACAAGGAAGCGCGAGAAGAGAAGCUAGCAGCAAUCAAGGUUGCCAAUACCAAAAGGCACGACUUCCAAUCCUUCAUGGAAUCCUUUAUUGCUGCCGCCACUCGGAUUGCUGACGGAAUCGACCUGGACGAGUUCGUCGAGCCCGCUAGCCCACCUCCUGCGGAGUGAACAAACUUUAUGCCUCACCUUAAAUUUGCCUCGGAAUGCCGAGUGAUUUUGUAACCGUUAAACUCCUUCGGGCCUGACGCCCGAGUACUUUAAUCCGUGGUCUGGUACUUUAGGAUUCAUCUGAACUUGGUUUAUCUAAGAAUAUGCUUGUGUUUGUCUUCGGGUGGAACUUGUUGUUCACUCGGAAUAGUCUUUGUACUUGUGAUGCACCUCCGAGGAGAAGGUCGCAAUCGACCUGCACCUCGUUGUCCUUGCGGAUCGGGAUGGAGCGCGCAUUGUACUUAUGGCGCAGCUCUGAGGAGAAGGUCGCAGUCGACCUGCACCCCAUCGUCCUUGCGGAUCGGAAUGGAGCGCACAUUGUACUUAUGGCACAACUCUGAGGAGAAGGUCGUAGUCGACCUGCACCUCGUCGUCUUUGCGGAUCGGGAUGUGUUUUUAAAGUUAGGCGAGUACUGGACUGCAGCUAAGCCCCCGAGUGAGAGGUUUUCUCUCCACUCGGUAAGAUUUUUCAGACUUAGGCGAGUACUGGACUGCAGCUAAGCCCCCGAGUGAGAGGAUUGCUCUUCACUCGGUGGGAUUUUUCAAACUUAGGCGAGUACUGGACUGCAGCUAAGCCUCCGAGUGAGAGGAUUGCUCUUCACUNNNNNNNNNNNNNNNNNNNNNNNNNNNNNNNNNNNNNNNNNNNNNNNNNNNNNNNNNNNNNNNNNNNNNNNNNNNNNNNNNNNNNNNNNNNNNNNNNNNNNNNNNNNNNNNNNNNNNNNNNNNNNNNNNNNNNNNNNNNNNNNNNNNNNNNNNNNNNNNNNNNNGAGUGAGAGGCUUGAUCACCACUCGGUAGGAUUUUUCAAACUUAGGCGAGUACUGGACUACAGCUAAGCCCUCGAGUGAGAGGCUUGCUCACCACUCGGUAGGAUUUUUCAAACUUAGGCGAGUACUGGACUGCAGCUAAGCCCCCGAGUGAGAGGCUUGCUCACCACUCAGUAGGAUUUUUCAAAGUUAGGCGAAACGGAUUCGCAGCUAAGCCUCCGAGUGAGAGGCUUGCUCACCACUCAGUAGGAUGUUUUAGACUUAGGCGAAACGGAUUCGCAGCUGAGCCACCCACCGGGGGAUUUUAAACAUAUGAAUAAGCAACGACAAUCAUUUUAGAAGACUGUAAAACUCUGUCUUUGAUAAACAAACUAAAAGUUAUUUCUUAUUACAUCUCAACAGACUGAGUACUUAAGUAUAAAAACGACGGAGCAACUCUCCAUUCCAAGCAUGUGGUUCGCCCUUCUUAUGCUCGUUGUUGUAGAGGUGAUACGCUCCGUUGUGGAGCACUUUGGUGAUGAUGAAGGGGCCUUCCCAAGCAGGAGUGAGCUUGUGUGGUUUCUGCUGAUCCACUCAAAGAACCAGGUCUCCCUCUUGAAAUGCCCGACCUUUCAUGUUUCUAGCGUGGAAUCGACGGAGAUCUUGCUGAUAGAUGGUCGACCUGAUCAAGGCCAUCUCUCUUUCUUCUUCCAGAAGAUCAACGGCAUCUUGCCGUGCCAGCUCUGCUUUGGCUUCUGAGAAAAGUUCUACUCGGGGUGCAUUGUGAAGCAAAUCACUCGGAAGCACAGCCUCAGCUCCGUAAACAAGAAAGAACGGGGUUCGACCAUUCGACCGAUUUGGAGUUGUUCUCAAUCCCCAGAGUAGUGACGACAGUUCAUCAACCCAAGCUCCUGCAACAUGCUUGAGAUCACGCAUCAGUCGGGGUUUUAGCCCCUUGAGGAUCAAACCGUUUGCUCUUUCUGCUUGUCCAUUCGACUGUGGGUGGGCGACUGAAGCACAGUCGACCUGAGUGCCUUGGGAAGCACACAAAGCUCUGAAUUCAUCUGAUUCAAAGUUUGAUCCAUUAUCCGUGAUAAUGUUGUGUGGGACUCCAUAUCUGAAAGUUAACUCUUUGAUGAAGCUGACAGCGGUACUCGCUUCGAGGUUCUUGAUGGGCUUGGCCUCAAUCCAUUUGGUGAACUUGUCGACUGCUACGAGCACGUGAGUGAAACCACUUCUGCCAGUCCUCAAGGGUCCAACCAUAUCUAAACCCCAGACAGCAAAUGGCCAGACGAGUAGAAUGGUCUUCAAGGCUGAUGCGGGUUUGUGUGACAUGUUGGAGUAGAACUGACAGCCUUCACAUUUGUCUACUAUUUCUUUCACCAUCUCAUUGGCAUGUGGCCAGUAAAAUCCGGCUCGGUAUGCUUUGGCCAUGAAGGUCCGAGAGGACGCAUGGUGACCACAGGUCCUCGAGUGAAUAUCAUUGAGGAUCAUUCGGCCUUCUUCUGUCGUGAUGCAUUUCUGGCUGACUCCAGUUAAACUUUCUCUGAACUGCUGUCCUCUUAUCACAGUAAAGGCCUUGGAUCGACAGACGAUCUGUCGAGCCUCUUCUUCAUCCUUUGGGAGUUCCUUCCUAAGAAUGUUUGCAAUGUAUGGCACUGUCCAGUCGGGAGUGACGACCAAAACCUCCAUGAUCAAGUCGACCACGGCUGGGACUUCGACUUCAGUCGGAUCAGUGGCACUCUUAGGCUGUGGGGGCUCUUCAGUGAAAGGAUGUUCCUGAACUGAAGGUGCGUGAAUAUGCUCCAAAAACACAUUGCUGGGAACGGUCUCUCUCUUGGAACCUAUCUUUGCCAAGUCAUCAGCAACUUGAUUUUUUAGUCGGGGUAUAUGGUGGAGCUCUAACCCCUCAAACUUCUUUUCCAGUUUUCUCACUUCAUUAUAAUAACCAGUCAUAGCCGGGCUUCUGACGUAUUACUUGAUUAACCACCAAAUCUGAGUCGCUGUAGACCAUUAGGCGACGGACGCCGAGUGAAAUGGCCAUACGCAACCCGUAUAGAGGUGCUUCAUAUUCAGCUUCGUUGUUGGAGGAAUCAAAAUGAAUCUGAAGAACAUAGCUGAGUCUGUCUCCUCGGGGGGAUACCAAUACCACCCCAGCACCAGAACCAUUCAGCAUCUUGGAUCCAUCAAAGAACAUGGUCCAAUGCUCCGAGUGAAUCUGAGUCGGUUGUUGCUGCUCAACCCACUAGAAGAGGAAAUCUGCUAUUGCUUGGGACUUGAUAGCUUUCUUUGCCUCAAACUUGAUAUCCAAGGAACGGAGUUCAGUCGCCCACUUUGCCCCUCAACCAGUUGCAUCUCUGUUGUUCAGAAUUUAUGACAAUGGUGCGUCGCUAACGACUGUAAUGGAGUGAUCAGAGAAAUAAUGCGCAACCUUCUUCGUGGUGAUGUAAAUUCCAUAGACAAGCUUCUGAUAAUGUGGAUAUCUUUGCUUGGAUGGAGUCAAGACUUCAGAAAUAUAGUACACUCGGAGUUGAACUUUAUAGGCUUUUCCUUCUUCUUCCCGCUUGACCGUGAGCACUGUAUUGACAACUUGUCCAGUGGCUGCAAUAUAAACCAGUAAAGGCUGUUUGCUGAUUGGGGCAGCAAGCAUCGGCUGUGUGGAAAGCAGAGUUUUGAGUUCUGCAAACGCUCCGUCAGCUUCAGGAGUCCACUCGAACUUAUCAGAUUUCUUCAUCAGUCGGUAAAGAGGCAAUGCAUUUUCACCGAGGCGAGAGAUGAAUCGACUCAAGGCGGCCAAGAAACCAGUAAGCUUCUAAAUGUCAUGCACAUGCACAUGGCGUUUCAUCCGGAGUAUGGCCCCAACUUUCUCUGGGUUCACGUCGAUCCCACGUUCGGAAAUGAGAAAACCGAGUAACUUUCCUCCUGGAAUUCCGAAUGUGCAUUUCGUCGGAUUAAGCUUGAUAUCAUAUCUUCUCAGGUUGGCAAAGGUUUUAGUGAGGUCAGUCAGCAGGUCGGAACCUUUACGCGACUUGACCACAAUGUCAUCCAUAUAUGCUUCCACAUUUCGACUGAUUUGAGUGAGUAGACACUUCUGAAUCAUCCUCAUAAAUGUGGCGCCAGCGUUCUUGAGACCGAAUGGCAUGGUGACAUAACAAAAGCACCCGAAUGGAGUGAUGAAAGUUGUUUUUAUCUCAUCGGGUCCAUACAGUCGGAUCUGAUGAUACUCGGAAUAGGCGUCCAGAAAAGACAAACACUCACACCCCGCAGUCGAGUCGACGAUUUGGUCGAUACGGGGGAGAGGGAAAUGAUCUUUCGGACAGGCCCAAUUGAUAUGCUUGAAGUCAAUGCACAUACGAAGUGAGUCGUCCUUCUUGGGAACCAUGAAAACAUUGGCGAGCCACUCGGAAUGGUAAAUCUCUCGAAUGAACUCAGCCGCUAGGAGCCGAGCCACUUCUUCACCAAUUGCAUUUCUCUUCUGUACGGCGGACCGUCGAAGAUGUUCCUUGACUGGUUUCACUUUCGGGUCGACUCGCAAACGGUGCUCAGCCAGUCCCCUGGGUACACCCGGCAUGUCAGAAGGUUUCCAUGCCAAGAUGUCCCAGUUCUCACGGAGGAACUGGAUGAGCGCUUCUUCCUAUUUGCUAUCGAGUGAUGUUGAAAUAUGAGUAGGAGCAGCAUUAGGAUCGGUUGGGUGAAUAUGAAUUGGCUUUGUUUCAUCGGACGACUAAAACGCAGAAUCUGUGGCAGGCUUCUUGGCUCGCAAUAAAUCACUCGGAUCCGCAUUUUUCUGAUACUCUUGCAUUUCAACUGCUGCAAUUUGUGCAUCGGCAAUUUUAGAACCCUUCUUGAAGCAUUCUUCUGCCUUCUGCCGAUUGCCAGUGACUGUGAUCACUCCUCUGGGACCAGGCAUUUUCAACUUGAGAUAUACAUAACAUGGCCGAGCCAUGAAUCGUGCAUACGCCGACCUCCCCAUAAUAGCAUGAUAAGCACUCUGGAAAUCCACUACUUCAAAUGUCAACUUUUCCUUACGGUAAUUCUUUGAAUCACCGAAAACCACGUCAAGGUUUAUUUGGCCGAGUGAUUCAGCCUUCUUGCCAGGGAUGACGCCGUGAAAGGUCAUGUUGCUCUCACUAAGUUUGGACAUCGGGAUGCCCAUCCCCUUCAAGGUUUCAGCAUAAGGGAUAUUCAGGCCGCUACCACCAUCCAUUAGCACUUUCGUCAGUCGAGUGCCUCCAACCACUGGGUCGACCACCAACGCUUGCCUCCCAGGGCUGGCUAUGCGAUCAGGGUGAUCAGACUGGUGGAAUGUGAUAGCUGUUUGUGACCACUUCAGGUAUGUUGUCGUUGCCGGAGCAACCAUAUUCACUUGUCUAUUGAUCACUUUCAGUCGACUUUUGCUGUCAACAUCAGCAAAAAUCACUAGGAUGGAAUUGACAUUGGGAAAACCAUCAUCUUCCUCUUUGUCCUCAUCCUUGUCUGAUUCCUUUUCCUUCUCAUUAGGCUGUUUCUCUCGGAAUUGCUGGAUCAGAACCUGACAUUGUCGAGUGGUAUGCUUAGGAUAAAUCAGAUUGCCUUCUUCAUCCUUCUUGGUGUGAAUGUGACAUGGCAAAUCCAACACAUCAUUUCCGGCUUGAUCUUUCACUUUCUUGGGGGUCCAGGGCCCCUUAGGUUUCCCUUUAAAUUUUCCUUGAAUCACUCCGCAGUUUCACCAGGUCCCGCAGGUUCAGCUUUACGCUUCUGUUUCCGAUUGGAAUUGCCUCCACCUGUGUCCUGAUCGACUGGUUUGCUCUUUCCACUGCGGAGUCGAUCCUCUUCUUCUCCAUUAGCGUACCGAGUGGCUAUUUCCAUCAUCCAAGUCAGAGACAUAUCUCCCAUCCGAUAGAACUUCAGAACCAGUUCUCGAUACUUAACGCCUUCCUUGAAGGCACAAACUGCUUGAUGCUCGGGUACAUUUUCCACUGUGUGAUGCAAAGUGGUCCACCGCUGAAUGUAAUCUCUCAGAGUUUCAUUCGGUUUUUGCACGCAAUGCUACAAUUCUGUUAACCCCGCUGGCCGCUUGCAUGUACCCUCAAAUGUUCUAACAAACACUCGGGCGAGUUCCUCCCAACUGAAUAUACUGCUCGGUGCUAACUGAGUCAACCAUGCCCUGGCCGAGCCUUCCAACAUCAUAGGUAGAUGCUUCAUGGCCACUUCAUCAUUGCCGCUACCAAUCUGCACAGCCACUCGGUAAUCCUCAAGCCAAGUAUCAGGCUUGGACUCACCAGUGAACUUGCUGACUCUAGUCGCCAACCUGAAGUUGGGAGGAAUCACCGCAGCUCUGAUGGCUCUGCUAAAACACUCUGGACCUGAAACAUGAACUCUGCUGCGAGUCGGGUCAUCUCUAUCAAGGCCCUAUCUGUGUGCCCUGUUCCUGUUGACUAGACCUUGAACGAGAAUAGAUCUCGCAUCAAAUCCUGGCUCUCUUGGGUCGACUGGUAUUCUUCGCUCACCACUGUGAGGGCGUCUGUCUUCAUAUUGCCGAGGCACAUAUGACCCACUCCUCGGAGGAGGUGUGGUCACUCGACGACGGUCAUCAUGGCCGAGUCAGUGAUCAUAUUGCUCGUGGUUUCUGUACUGAUCUUGCUGGUGCCCACGUCCCUCACGCCGAGGGGGCGGUCUUGGGCUGUGGGCGGACUGGACUAUAUCUGCCAUCACAGAUCUGCUAUGAAUCUUAUUCGGCGACUGAGACACUGCUAUGUUCUGCUCUCCUGCUGCCCGUAGUAAGGCCCGGAUCUGCAUCAAACCUCUGCCAGCUUCCGACUGGGAAGGCUGAAUUCACACUGCGACAUGGGCUGUAGCUGUGAGAUUUUGAAUCGGAGUGCUGUAUACCUGAGGUUGUGGUGGAAAAAGCUGUCGUCGACUAGACUCAGGGAUCCGCUGCCGAGCACGCUCGUCGAUGCAUGGUGAAGGUUCUCCAGUCGAGUGCGCUCAGCCAAGUUGGCCAGGCGCGCCUCCUCCAAGGCCCGAGCCUCGAGGGUUUCCCCAACGAUGGGCGUGUGGAGUGCAUCCACGUUGCGGCGGCGAAGCUCUUCCCUCUGCUGCGAAGAAAGGGGUUCCGGGCGAUACUCCUCGUGAACGCGUGACGGAUCGACGCCACCAUCACCGCCGUCAUCGCGGCAGAAGCCAGGCGGACUACAUGGUCCGUCGACCAUCAAGACUUCAGCUGCGGGGUCGCUGCUAUCGCACUCGGAUGCGGUCUUGAUGUCUACUACGCAACCUUCUUCUUGUAGACGUUGUUGGGCCUCCAAGUGCAGAGGUUUGUAGGACAGUAGCAAAUUUCCCUCAAGUGGAUGACCUAAGGUUUAUCAAUCUGUGGGAGGCGUAGGAUGAAGAUGGUCUCUCUCAAACAAGCCUACAACCAAAUAACAAAGAGUCUCUUGUGUCCCCAACACACCCAAUACAAUGGUAAAUUGUAUAGGUGCACUAGUUUGGUGAAGAGAUGGUGAUACAAGUGCAAUAUGGAUGGUAGAUAUAGGUUUUGUAAUCUGAAAAUAUAAAAACAGCAAGGUAACUAAUGAUAAAAGUGAGCGUAAACGGUAUUACAAUGCUAGGAAACAAGGCCUAGAGUUCAUACUUUCACUAGUGCAAGUUCUCUCAACAAUAAUAACAUAAUUGGAUCAUAUAACUAUCCCUCAACAUGCAACAAAGAGUCACUCCAAAUUCACUAAUAGCGGAGAACAAACGAAGAGAUUAUGGCAGGGUACGAAACCACCUCAAAGUUAUUCUUUCGGAUCGAUCUAUUCAAGAGUUCGUACUAGAAUAACACCUUAAGACACAAAUCAACCAAAACCCUAAUGUCACCUAGAUACUCCAAUGUCACCUCAAGUAUCCGUGGGUAUGAUUAUAUGAUAUGCAUCACACAAUCUCAGAUUCAUUUAUUCAACCAACACAUAGAACCUCAAAGAGUGCCCCAAAGUUUCUACGGGAGAGUCAAGACGAAAACGUGUGCCAACCCCUAUGCAUGGGUUCAUGGGCGGAACCCGCAAGUUGAUCACCAAAACAUACAUCAAGUGAAUCAAUAGAAUAACCCAUUGUCACCACGGUUAUCCCACGCAAGACAUACAUCAAGUGUUCUCAAAUCAUUAAAGACUCAAUCCGAUAAGAUAACUUCAAAGGGAAAACUCAAUCCAUUACAAGAGAGUAGAGGGGGAAGAAACAUCUUAAGAUCCAACUACAAUAGCAAAGCUCGCGAUACAUCAAGAUCGUAUCACCUCAAGAACACGAGAGAGAGAGAUCAAACACAUAGCUACUGGUACAUACCCUCAGCCCCGAGGGUGAACUACUCCCUCCUCGUCAUGGAGAGCGCCGGGAUGAUGAAGAUGGCCACGGUGACGGAUCCCCCGUCCGGCAGGGUGCCGGAACAGGGCCCCGAUUGGUUUUUGGUGGCUACAGAAGCUUGCGGCGGCGGAACUCCCGAUCUAUUCUGUUCCCUGAAGGUUUUAGGGUAUAUUGGUAUAUAUAGGUGAAAGAAGUACAUCAGGGGAGCCACGAGGGUGGAGGGCGCGCCCAGGGGGGUGGGCGCGCCCCCCUGCCUCGUGCCUUCCUCGUUGCAUUCUUGAUGUGGACUCCAAGUCUCCCGGGUUGCUUUCCUUCCAAAAAUAACUUCUCCAGAAGGUUUCAUUCCGUUUCGAAUCCGUUUGAUAUUCCUUUUCUUCAAAACACUGAAACAAGGGAAAAAACAGGAACUAGCGCUGGGCUCUGGGUCAGUAGGUUAGUCCCAAAAGUAAUAUAAAAGUGCAUAGUAAAGCCCAUAAAACAUCCAAGAUGGAUAAUAUAAUAGCAUGAAUACUUCAUAAAUUAUAGAUACGUUGGAGACGUAUUUGCAUCCCCAAGCUUAAUUCCUGCUCGUCCUCGAGUAGGUAAAUGAUAAAAGAAAGAAUUUAUGAAGUGUGAAUGCUAGCAGGUGCAUAGGUUUGAUCAAUGAUAAUUUCAAUCACCUUUCCUAGCAUCAUUAUAUGUCAUAACAGUAGCUCAUACCAUAAAACUUUGCAUGAUCAAGUAACAAACUAUUCACAUGUUAAAGCAUAGACCAUAAACUUUCUUGAAAACUAACAAACCGUGUUAUUAGUCAUCAAACAAUUACAAUUCAUCUUAUUUUCAGGAAGAGUCUAUGUCAGAGCUUUGAUUUAGCAAAUCCCACAUACUCAACUAUCAUAUAGUCUUCCAUGAUUGCUACCACUCAAAGCAUAUUUUUAGAACAAAUAGCAUCCAUCGAACACAUAGAAAGAUAGGGGCUUAAUGUUUCGCCUCCCAACUUAUUCAUCAUAUAGAUAAUUGUCAACAAUAUAAUUCAUGAUCAAAUAUAUUUGAAUGGCCAUAUAUGCUCAGAUCUUUCCAUCACAUGAUGCUUGCCAACUAAAGAGUAGGUUGGAAUGAGAAGGAAUACUACUGACUCUUGCAUAAAAGUAAAAGAUAGGCCCUUCGCAGAGGGAAGCAGGGAUUUGUAGAGGUGCCAGAGCUCGAAGCAAAAACAGAGAUGAAAAUAAUUUUGAGAGGUAUGCUUUCAUUGUCAACAUAACGACCAAGAGUUCCCAAUAUCUUCCAUACUACAUACAUUAUAGGCGGUUCCCAAACAAAAAGGUAAAGAUUUUUACUCCCCCUCCACCAACAAUCAUCAAUCCAUGGCUUGCCCGAAACAACGGGUGCCUCCAACUAACAUCAAUACUGGGGGAGUUUUGUUUGCAAUUAUUUUUGAUUUGAUUUCGAUCUUUUGAUCAUGGGACUGGGCAUCCCAGUUACCAGCCAUUUUCUCGUGAAUGAUGAGCGGAGUCCACUCAUCGUGAGAAUAACCCACCUAGCAUGGAAGAUACUCCUAGCCCCUAGUCACUACAUGAGAGAUUCGGGCAUACAAAACAGAUUAUUAUUUGAAGGUUUAGAGUUUGGCACAUGCAAAUUUACUUGGAACGGCAGGUAAAUACCGCAUAUAGGUAGAUAUGGUGGACACUCAUGGAAUAAACUUGGUUCAAGGAAUUUGGAUGCACAAGCAGUAUUCCCGCUUAGUACAGAUAUUUUGGCUAGCAAAGGAUUCUAAAUAGCAAGCGCCACAUGUUAGAGGAUCCAUAACAAUAUAACUUCUAUACAAAUAUACCCAAGCAUAACUCAUUAUGUUGUCUUCCUUGUCCAACUUCAACUAAUUUGCUCAGGUUUGAAAAUAAUUAAUGGGGAUCACAAUCAUAGAAGAUGUCCAAGAUAGUAUAUUUAUAUGUGAAAUCUCUCUUCCUUCAAUAUUCUUUCAUGAAUUGUUCAAGUGACCAAUACAAUGUUUGCUAACCUUCAAUAAAUUUACCACCUCUACUUCUUAUAUCUGAAGUCAUUACUCCAUGGGAAAGGCAUACGAAACAUAUAUAAUUUCAGAUUUAUGACAUUCAAAUCAUUCAACCAUUUACUCAUAGGAUAUAAGUGAAGCACACGAGUAAAUGACAAACUACUCCAAAAAGAUAUAAGUGAAGAUCAGUGAGUAGUUAAAUAAUUAUGUAUCUAUGUGAAGACUCUCUCUCUCAUUUAAUAAUUUCAGAUCUUGGUAUUUUAUUUAAACAGCAAGCAAAGCUAAAGAAAAUAAAAUGACGCUCAAAGCAAAACACAUAUCAUGUGGCGAAUAAAAAUAUAGCUCCAAGUAAAGUUACCGAUGAAUGAGGGGAUGCCUUCCGGGGCAUCCCCAAGCUUAGGCUCUUGGUUGUCCUUGAAUAUUACUCCCUCCGUUCCAAAAUAGAUGACCCAACUUUGUACUAAAGUUAGUACAAAGUUGGGUCAUCUAUUUUGGAACGGAGGGAGUACCUUGGGGUGCCUUGGGCAUCCCCAAGCUUAGGCUCUUGCCACUCCUUAUUCCAUAGUCCAUCGAAUCUUUACCCAAAACUUGAAAACUUCACAACACAACACUCAACGGAAAACUCGUAAGCUCCGUUAGCGAAACAAAACAAAACACCACUUCAAGGUACUGUAAUGAACUCACUCUUUAUUUAUAUUGGUGUUAAAUUUACUGUGUUGAAACUUCUCUAUGGUUUGUAAACUAUUUUACUAGCCAUAGAGUCAUCAAAAUAAGCAAACAACACACGAAAAACAGAAUCUGUCAAAAACAGGACAGUCUGUAGUAAUCUGUAACUAACGCAAACUUCUGGAACUCAGAAAAAUCUACCAAAAUAGUAAAACCUAGAUAAUUUGAUUAUUGAUCUGCUGCAAUUGGAAUCAGUAUUUUAUCACGUUCUGGUAAUUUUUAACAAUUGUUUUCGUGAGCAGAAAGUUUCUGUCGUUUUCAGAAAGAUCAAAUAAUUAUCAUACAAGGAGAUCCUAUAGGUCUUACUUGGCACAAACACUAAUUAAAACAUAAAACCACAUCUAAGCAGAAGCUAGAUGGAUUAUUUAUUUGUAAACAGAACCAAAAAGCAAUAAACUAAAAUAAAAUUGGGUUGCCUCCCAACGAGCGCUAACGUUUAACUCCCCUAGCUAGGCAUGAUGAUUUCAAUGAUGCUCACGUAAAAGAUAAGAAUUAAAACAUAAAGAGAGCAUCAUGAAGAAUAUGACUAGCACAUUUAAGUCUAUCCCACUUUCUAUGCAUAGGGAUUUUGUGAGCAAACAACUUAUGGGAACAAUAAUCAACUAGCAUAGGAAGGCAAAACAAGCAUAACUUCAAAACUUUAAGCACAUAGAGAGGAAACUUGAUAUUAUUGCAAUUCCUACAAGCAUAUAUUCCUCCCUCAUAAUAAUUUUCAGUAGCAUCAUGAAUGAAUUCAACAAUAUAACCAUCACAUAAAGUAUUUUUUUCAUGAUCUACUAGCAUAGAAAUUUUAUUACUCUCCACAUAAGCAAAAUUCUUCUCUUUCGAAAUAGUGGGAGCAAACUCAACAAAAUAACUAUCAUGUGAAGGAUAAUCCAAUUGAAAAUUAAAAUCAUGAUGACAAGUUUCAUGGUUAUAUUUAUUCUUUAUAGCAUACAUGUCAUCACAAUAAUCAUCAUAGAUAGGAGGCAUGCUUUCAUCAUAAUAAAUUUGCUCAUCAAAACUUGGGGGACAAAAAAUAUCAUCUUCAUCAAACAUAGCUUCCCCAAGCUUGUGGCUUUGCAUAUUAUUAGCAUCACGGGUAUUCAAGGAAUUCAUACUAACAACAUUGCAAUCAUGCUCAUUCACAUAUUUAAUGCCAAGCAUUCUAUGUAAUUCUUCUUCUAGUACUUGAGCACAAUUUUCCUUCCCAUCAUACUCACGAAAGAUAUUAAAAAGAUGAAGCGUAUGAGGUAAACUCAAUUCCAUUUUUUUGUAGUUUUCUUUUAUAAACUAAACUAGUGCUAAAACAAGAAAAAAAAGAUUCGAUUGCAAGAUCUAAAGAUAUACCUUCAAGCACUCUCCUCCCCGGCAACAGCGCCAGAAACUGCUUGAUGUCUACUACGCAACCUUCUUCUUGUAGACGUUGUUGGGCCUCCAAGUGCAGAGGUUUGUAGGACAGUAGCAAAUUUCCCUCAAGUGGGUGACCUAAGGUUUAUCAAUCCAUGGGAGGCGUAGGAUGAAGAUGGUCUCUCUCAAACAACCCUGCAACCAAAUAACAAAGAGUCUCUUGUGGCCCCAACACACUCAAUACAAUGGUAAAUUGUAUAGGUGCACUAGUUCGGCGAAGCGAUGGUGAUACAAGUGCAAUAUGGAUAGUAGAUAUAGGUUUUUGUAAUCUGAAAAUAUAAAAACAGCAAGGUAACUAAUGAUAAAAGUGAGCGUAAACAGUAUUGCCAUGCUAGGAAACAAGGCCUAGGGUUCAUACUUUCACUAAUGCAAGUUCUCUCAACAAUAAUAACAUAAUUGGAUCAUAUAACUAUCCCUCAACAUGCAACAAAGAGUCACUCCAAAGUCACUAAUAGCGGAAAACAAACGAAGAGAUUAUGGUAGGGUACGAAACCACCUCAAAGUUAUUCUUUUGGAUCGAUCUAUUCAAGAGUUUGUACUAGAAUAACACCUUAAGACACAAAUCAACCAAAACCCUAAUGUCACCUAGAUACUCCAAUGUCACCUCAAGUAUCCGUGGGUAUGAUUAUACGAUAUGCAUCACACAAUCUCAGAUUCAUCUAUUCAACCAACACAUAGAACCUCAAAGAGUGCCCCAAAGUUUCUACGGGAGAGUCAAGACGAAAACGUGUGCCAACCCCUAUGCAUAGGUUCAUGGGCGGAACCCGCAAGUUGAUCACCAAAACAUACAUCAAGUGAAUCAAUAGAAUAACCCAUUGUCACCACGGUUAUCCCACGCAAGACAUACAUCAAGUGUUCUCAAAUCAUUAAAGACUCAAUCCGAUAACAUAACUUCAAAGGGAAAACUCAAUCCAUUACAAGAGAGUAGAGGGGGGAGAAACAUCAUAAGAUCCAACUACAAUAGCAAAGCUCGCGAUACAUCAAGAUCGUAUCACCUCAAGAACACGAGAGAGAGAGAUCAAACACAUAGCUACUGCUACAUACCCUCAGCCCCGAGGGUGAACUACUCCCUCCUCGUCAUGGAGAGCGCCGGGAUGGUGAAGAUGGCCACCGGUGAGGGAUCCCCCCUCCGGCAGGGUGCCGGAACAGGGCCCCGAUUGGUUUUUGGUGGCUACAGAAGCUUGUGGCGGCGGAACUCCCGAUCUAUUCUGUUCCCCGAAGGUUUUAGGGUAUAUUGGUAUAUAUAGGUGAAAGAAGUACGUCAGGGGAGCCACGAGGGGCCCACGAGAGUGGAGGGCGCGCCCAGGGGGGUGGGCGCGCCCCCUUGCCUCGUGCCUUCCUCGUUGCUUUCUUGACGUGGACUCCAAGUCUCCCGGGUUGCUUUCCUUCCAAAAAUAACUUCUCCAGAAGGUUUCAUUCCGUUUCGACUCCGUUUGAUAUUCCUUUUCUUCGAAACACUGAAACUAGGGAAAAACAGGAACUGGCGCUGGGCUCUAGGUCAAUAGGUUAGUCCCAAAAGUAAUAGAAAAGUGCAUAGUAAAGCCCAUAGAACAUCCAAGAUUGAUAAUAUAAUAGCAUGAAUACUUCAUAAAUUAUAGAUACGUUGGAGACGUAUCAGGUCUCAACGGAGCCAGUCGAACAGGCCGUAGAGAGUUUCGUCGGGCUUGAUUCCCGCGACUUGUGGGGUGGCCGACUGACGAGCCACCACAUAUUUCACCCACCGCUAAAGCCGCGACCGACCGGAUCGCUUGCGUCGGCGAACAGCGGGGAGCGAGGACAUCACGGGAGCCGACCGAUACUGGGUCGACGGCUGCCAGAGAAGGACGCCGCAAACGCACGCGCGAAAGUGCGUCGCCCCGGGGACGGGGAGCGCCUCGACGUCGAGGGGAGCUUCCUGAAACCAGGCGGAGUCGUCGGCAAAGAAGACGAGCGCGCCGAGACGGAUCUCGCGGCCCUCAGCCAAUCCUCCACCAGAAACCAUGAUGAUGGGAAUCGGAAAAAUCGCAACUUCACCAAAAAGUCGCUAAGACACCUUCCCCACGGUGGGCGCCAACUGUCGUGGUUCUAAGACUGACAGUAGACUGGGGGGUAGGUAUGAAGAGGCAAGAUCCCAGCUGUGGUGAAGUUGUACACACGAGAUUUACGAGUUUAGGCCCUUCACGGUGGAAGUAAUAGCCCUACGUCUCGGUGCCCGGAGGCGGUCGCCUGGAUUAUAUGUGUGUGGAGUUAUAAGGGGUGCGAACCCUUGUCCCUGAGGAGGGGGGUGGCUUAUAUAGAGUUCGCCAGACCACUCCCGCCCUCAGUUACACAGGCUUUAAGGUACAUAAAGAUGGGGCGUUUCUAGUAACGCCAGUAAUAAAGUGACAUAAAUGUCCAUUAAGUCUACAGAGUAAACGUCCGACCGUUGCUAUUCAGAGUGACUUUAGGUCUCCUGCCUGUCGAGGCAUUCCUGUUACGGUCGAGUGAGCUUGAAUCUUCCGAGUGGGAUGCCUCUAGUCAAGUGGAUGAUGAUAUCCCUUGAAUGCUUCUGACUUUAGGGUAAUGUCCUAGCGGAGGGUGUCCAGGUGAGGUCUAUGAUCCUACCCUAGCUACAUAUCUUCAUCAGGCAGUCCCAAAUAUUUCUCUUCAAACCCUGUCGUGAUUACUUGCAAAAUAUGUUUUACUCCAUCUCUGGUUACAUCCGGACAUGAACUACCCACCAUCAUGGAGCACUUGGCAGGGUUUAACAACUGCCUCGUGGCAUUUGCAUAAACUUCCAGAGUGCUUUUAAUAUAUUGUGCUUCUUGGUCACACGACUUGAAAAAUAAGAGUGUCAUCCGCGAAUAAUAAGUGUGAGACUCCCGGUACACUUCUAGUAAUUUUCAGUGGAGAUAUAUUACGGGUAGCAAUCCCUAUAUUGAUAAAAGCAGAGAGACCAUCAGCAACAAACAAGAAUAAAUAUGGGCACAGCGGAUCACCUUGCCGAAGACCACGCGACGGUGCAAACGAAUCCAGGAUGGCUCCAUUGAAUUUUACUGAGUAUCUCACCGAGGUCACACAUGACAUAAUCCAGUCAACCCACCGGUGAGCAAAGCCAAGCUUUUGCAUCAUUUGCCUAAGGUAAUUCCAGUCCACUCUAUCAUAGGCUUUUGAGAGAUCAAGCUUAUAAGCACAAUAACUCCUGGUAGGGUCCUUCUCUUGCUUUAUAUGAUGAAUACAUUCAAAGGCAACAUAGGCAUUGUCGGUAAUCAUACGUUCAGGAAUGAAAGCACUUUGCCAAGGCGAAAUAAUCUCAUCUAAAACAGGCCUUAACCGGUUUACUAAGCAUUUUGAGACCACUUUGUAAACCACAUUACAUAAACUUAUGGGGCAGAAAUCCGUGAUUUUCACCGGGUUAUCAAUUUUUGGGAUCAUUACAAUGAUAGUAUCAUUAACAUAUUCAGGCAUUAUCCCACUUUGGAAGAAAAAUUUUACCGCGGCAAUUAUACCUUCCUUCAUUGUCCCCCAGUUACGCUGAAAAAACGCGCGGGGAAACCAUCCGGACCCGACGCUUUUAGAGGUCCAAUCUGGAAAAGAGCGUCUCCAAUCUCCUUAUCUGAAAAUUCCGCACAUAAAACAUCAUUUAUUUGCUGAGUUACAACAGCCUCAAACAAAUCAGUGACUUGGGCGUGAUCAAGACUUGGGUCAGCCGUAAACAGCUCCUCAAAAUAAUCUGUAACGGCCUUCCCCAUCUCCUUAAUCCCCGUAUGCACAACACCCUGAGCAUCUUCCAACUUCUUAACUCUAUUUUUCCUGGCCCGCCAUACUGAUUUUGCAUGGAAAAUUUUUGUGUUCCUGUCUCCUGCUUUUAACCAAUCUAUCCGUGAUCUUUGCAACCACAUCAAUUCUUCUCGGUACAGUAACUCAUUCAUCUUGUCUGUAACUUUACGUAUCUCGCAUCUGUCCGCAUUCAUCAACAUCAAUUCCUCCAGCUGGGAUCUAGAUUUCUCGAGCUCAUUUUUUAUACUUCCAAACUUAACUCUACUCCACUCAAACAGUUUAGACAUGGUUGACCUGAGCGCAGCAUGUACGUCGCCCAAACUUGUUUUCUGCCCAGCUGCCUCCCAUGCUCGUGCAAUGAUUUCCUGAAGGGCCGGGUCCCUCUCCCACAUUACUUCAUAUUGGCGGAUUUUUUUCUUUAUACGUACAUCCUCCAUACGAGCACAAUUAACAUGCAGAGCCACAUGAUCAGACACGGGCGAUACCAGGUGGCGAACAACAGGAGAUUCAAAAUUAUCGCGCCAAGCCGGGGUAGCCACAGCCCUGUCCAAUCGCACUUUCACAUUUGCCAAACCACCUCUCUUGUUGUCUUAUGUGUGAGGAACACCCGAGAAUCCCAAGUCUGACAACUCACAUAUCUCCAGUACAUCAUGAAAAGCUUGCAUCUGACUCAUUGGCCUCGGUGAUAAGGAGAAGUGCUCAAAGUCCCACAUGCAUUCAUUAAAAUCACCCACAACUAACCAGGGUAGAUUAGACUAGGAGCUGAGAUUAUUAAGCAGAGUCCUCAUGUUAUGUCUAUCUUCCGCCCUUGGCUCUCCAUAGGUCAGUCUCCACAUAAUUUCAUCCGGCCCCAAUCUAACGUGGGCAUCGAUGCAUCUCUGUUUUGAGAACACCACCUCCACUUUGAGGGAUUCAUACCAGUAAAGGGCCAAUCCACCACUGUUUCCCAUACAAUCCACUCCCUCAAAACCUUUCAAACCAAACCGAGAUCUGUAUUUUUCAUCUUACUUUUUUGUUGCCUUGGUUCACAUAAAAACACCAACAUGGGGGAAAGCGACUGAAUGAAAGUCGCCACUUCGCGAACUGUCCGGGAGUCCACCCCCCCUGGCGGUCCCUGACGUGGAGGCCGCCACUGCAACACUUGACGCCCUAUUGAUAGCCGUUUCGUUUUCUCCUCUCAGCUUUUUUCUGUUGGCACUUUUCUGUGGUGUACCAUCCACCCCUUCCCUGGUUAUUUCUUCAUCUGCACCUUCAAAUUGCUCAACAAUUUCAGCAGUAUUACCUACAGGAACAAUAUCAGUGCUACUCACCCCCAAGUUGUUUGUAUCCGGCAUGAGAGUCACUAAAUCAGCAGCUAAUCUUUUCCCAAGGGUGUUCAGAUCCUCCUUAUACCCAUUCUCCCUUUCAGCUGGGUCAUUGACACCCUUACUUGGGUCUAUUACCAAGGGAUUAACUGCGUUAUGUGGCCAGCUCCUCACCCGGUGUUGGCCAUCUGCUGCAUCAUCAGUCCUUUUAUCCCCAUCAUAAUUAUAUGUCCCACUGUCCCUCCAUAAUUCUCGCUGCACUCCAGUCCUACCAGCACCCCGCCCCCUUCCAAAGGCUUCAUGCUGGGUAGCAGAUUGAAAGGCAUCACCUCUGCCAUACCCAUGGCCAGCUCCCCGGCCCGUGCCACGUCCACCCCCACCACGGCCUCUCCUUGGUGCUAGAACGAAGGGGCCCCAUUCCAUCUCUUCCUCCUUGUGAUCACCAGUACCACAUUCCUCAUGCCAAUGGCCCAAAAGACCACACAUAUAGCAAAACACUGGCAGCUUUUCGAACUUAACCUGGUACCAUUCAGUUUCCCCAGCCUUUGUGAAGCUAACAAACCUUGUAAGCUUUUUAUUGACAUCUAACUUCACUCUUGCUCUUAUGAACUCUCCCACGAAACCAUUGGGAAGGAUAUCUGAAGCUCUAACACUUCGCCAAUGCGUGCUGCCAUAUUCUUCACAAACUGCUCCCUUUUCAGUACCAUGUCAGGAAGCUUAUGUAUUUGGCACCAGGUCUCGAUUUUAUCGAGCUUUACUGUCUCCGGCUUCUUGAAGCCAUCAUACUCCUCGAUUAUAAGCGCCAUGCCUUUGAAGUCCCAAGGACCUUGGUGGAUAGCUUUGUUCCAAUCCCCCAAACAAUUGAACUGUACUGAGAACAGAUUUGGAUUAAUCCUACGCCAGAUGGAAAGGCCCUUGUUAUCGCUGAAGCAAUAUAUAUAAAGCUUAAUAGGGCCUAAGAAAGCUCACACAAUUUUGCAGUGGCUAUGGAAAUGUGUUGCCAAACUGAGACAUAAGAUUUUCGUUUGGCAUCCAGACCGUUUGUGUCAUCCUUAAUCUAUGGUUACUCUAAUUUUUUCCGGCCAGGCCUUCCCUGUGGUACCGCAUCAAGGCAUGCGUGUGUAUACGUUUCCUUUAACUACCAUGUGCAGGAUGAGGAUUUACUGCACGCAUGUGCGGCGGCACUCAGGUCCUGGUGCCGGCUUUUUAUUUUGGCUUUAGAUUUUCAAACUUCUAUAUCUUCUAUACAAAAAAUUUAAUUUAAGUUAUGUUUUCAUAUUCGUGUUUCUCGCAGCCAGCACUUUCAAAUAAGAUCCAUUUUGAAUACAGUUUGGCGAUUUUUGAAAACAAUGUUAAGUUUCAUUGUUUGAAACUUAGUACGAGCGGCUGAUAGAAUUCAAUUAUUUUGUGUCUACGACCAACACAGAAAAUUUCUUAAAAUUACAUCUUUGAAACUAGUUUGUAAGUCAUGGACAGUUUUUGAAUUUUUAGGAUAUUUUUUCAUUCAUGAACAUUUUUUAAAUUGGUGAAAUUUUGUUUAAUUUCAUUAACAAAUUUUAGUCACAAACCUUUUUAAAAAAUCAUGAACAUUAACUAGUUCGUGAAAUCCCAAAUUACUUAAAGCAGAAAAAACAAAAACAGAAAAGAGAAAGGAAUAAUGGAAAACAAAGUUAAAAAAUAGGCCAACCGAACAUGGGCCAGCCCAAACGGGCGCACUGCGUCUUCUCCCAGCGUGUGGCCCAAGCGAAAGAUUUCUCUGUAUGAAACUUUUUUUAUCACUUAUUGAUGGCGUUGGUGCGUAAUGUUUUGCAUCUUUAGUGACAAUUUUCAUGACGUACUGCCAGAAGUUAUUGCCACUUUAUUAUUAGGUAGAGAUUAGGUAUAGAUAGGAACUACCAGUAAAUUAGGUAGAUGAUAGAGACGAUGACUCCGAAGAAGAUCACAUGUGUCGAGCUUGGAACAUGCUAACAGAUCUUAGGGCAUCUCCGAUGUAAACCCAUAAAACAGACAUCGCAAAUGUCCGCGAACACGCACCGGACUGGUUCGCGGACACGAUAGGGGAGGGAGCCAUCCAACCUUGAUGGAUGCUACCCGUAUUUCUCUCACAUUUCUCCAGCAUUUCAUCGAACAAUUGAUGUGCAGAAGUAGGACACGUCUGGUUCAUGCAGCUGGGGCGUCCUGGGAGUUCUGCCUCAUCGGGCACGAUUGAUGUGUCACAGGACGAUGGGUGCGGUCUCGGGCGCGUCGGUAGCGGCCACGACGACAAGAGGAGGUCGCGCCACGAGCAGAGCUAGCCACGGGAGCCGCCAUUGGUGCAGCACUUGGCGCAGCCAGCCCACGACACGCCGGGCAUGGCGGCAAGAGAGCUUCAUGAGGCCAGAGCCGAGCUCGGCCUUGAGCUACUUGCCGAGCAGCCAUGGAGGGCAUGGGGAGAUGAGAUGCGCAGGGAGAAGGGAGAGAGGACAGGGAGAAGGGAGAGAGGAGUAGAGAGAUAGGAGGAGGCGGCGAUGAGGAUGGAGCGCUCGCCUGCAGCUGCCCUCACCGUUGUCCGUAGCCGGCAUCGGUGCUCUCCGUUUAGUGUUAUUUGUAAGGAGAGGGUGGGAGUGGAGACGUGGUGUUUUUUUGGUUAGCUGGAUGUUCAGACUCUCACAUAGUCCCUCAAAGUUGUUCGUGUGAUAUCGAAAUUUGAACAUGUGGGCUGUUCCGCGGAUAUUUAGAGGACCCCACUUGAAGAAUAAAAGUGGUCCAAACACUACUGUCUGACAUUUUGCCCUUAGUAGUUGGUGGAUGUCGAUGUGCUAUCCCUCCAACCUAUAUCAAGAGAUCCAUUCACCGUCUGAUCCCUUCUACCAAACACGUCAUUGCUUUCCAUGGUUCUCUCUUGUCGAUGUGUGAAAUAUUAGAAUUUGAGUUGUUUGGUGAAAUGUACGAGCUGACCGCCAAAAGAACAAAAAAUUUCUUUCUUUUUCCUUUUUUUAUAGUUUUGGCAGGUGCAUUUUCAUAUGGUACAUGUCUAGACCAUUUGAACAGUUUAUUUUGAAUUUGUUUCUUCCAUUCUAGCUAAAUAUAAGAGUUUACAAUGUUCGUUUUAAUCCUUUGGAAUAAACAUUUAUUACUAGUAUUAAAAAGACUAAAUUAGCUGCCGCAUUUUUUUCCCUAAUCAACUUGAAGGCUAUCUACACUUUGAUUAAAUUGUCAUUUAUACAUUUCGUGAUAUAUUAUUUCCAUUAUGUAUAUUAACUGCAAUAAAAAUGACGAUAAUCUGUUUUUCCUUAAGUUUUAAUGAAUGUACUAAAUAAUUAAAUAAUAAAAAUUUACUUACAAAAUAUUAACAUGAAAACGUGCCCUAUGAAUAAAAGGUAGAUAUCUAACUCAGGCACUUAUCUGCAAAAUAAAUGUUUUUUUAACAAAAUUGAAAGUAUUUAAAUUAUUUAAAAUGAAUAAAAAGUACAUGGUCCAUUCUACUUUACCGCUCGAAACACACUGAUUUGUUGUGGCAAUAGAAACACUGAAUUUCAGUCCCACUUAUUAAUGUUUGCUAAGUGAUAUCUGACAAUAAAACGUAAAAUAAAUAUUUUUUAUAUUAAAAUUUUUAAUUAUUAAAUUAAUCAUUUUGUCUGUGAUCUUAAUGUGUAAUUUUCUAUUACUUACGUAAAAUAGUUAACCAUAUAACAAUGUUGCUAAAUAAGAGUUAUAAUGUUUCUUUGUUAUGUAGUUGCAACAUAUAUCAGUAAAAUAGUUAAUUCAUAUUUAAAAGGUAUGAUAGAACAAAAGUUAUUUUUUCAAUCAAGUCUUGAAAUUAAAUAAAUUUAUAAUGUAUAUACAUAUAUUUCCAUACAUUUGUAUGUGUUCAUCGAGAUUUUAAUGUCAUUAAAUAUCAUGUUAGAGAUUUCAAAAGUGUGCUUUCUAACAUGUAUCUUAGUAGUAGUUUCUAGUGUAAUACUAUGUAAUCAUAUUUACAGAAAUUUCUAGAGCACGAAAUAUAUGUCUUGCAAGUUGGAUUCGGUAAUAAGUUGGCAUCAUGACCAUGCUAUUUGUUACAAUUAUUUUUUAUUUUAAAUAAUAACAAAUAACAAAAAAAUAUAAAAUUUAUGGGUGAAUCAUGCAAGUGAGGAGAACACACCAAUGAUGAAAGACAGUGCAUUUCUACGUGGAAUUCAUAUUGACAAACCUUAAGAAUCACAUUCAUUUCUAUGUUUUUAUAGAUUAUGCCCCAUUUGCGGGACUCAGAUACAAGUCAGUUCAAGGUGUGGAGCACGAGAAAACAUAGGAUUCAAGACCAGAUCAGCGACCGACUUCAAAAACAAAUAAGUAAAAAUUGCACAUUAGGUAUCAAGAUUAGGAGUAGAUGGAAAAUUAAUUGAAAGAAAUGGAGCAAAUAGCUCUGCAAUAAGUGCUCUCGCUAGAAAAUAAAUGUUGCGUUAGACGAUCCACUUGAAAACACACAUAUGAAGUGGUGGAGCCGGAAUUUUCACAAUGGGUAUGCAAAGCUAUAAAAAAUUGAUGGGCAACACUAACAACCAUGAAACUGCAUAUUAUUCUCCCUUUUUUUCACAUAUCGACAAUUUAAAUAAAAAAUGACUAGUUAAGCUUGAUUGAAUACUACAAUAAAUUAAACAACAGAUUGAGGAUCAGCCUCUGCUCCGAGUAAAAAAAUAAAGGGAAACUCUAUACAUCAGUAGUCUGCUGUUUCAUCCAUCGGAAUCCUCCACGGCCUUAGAUUCAUUUUCCAUUUGACAUACAUGAUGCUCAUCUAUCCUUAGCUGCCAGCCUCUGGGCCAGAAUGACUACCCUACCCGUGCCCCCACCUUCACCCGAGAGACACCCACCUUCACAUUCUUCCUGUCCAGGAAAGCGACUAAAUUUAGCUUCUCCUCCCACACCAGCAAAACUCCAUCCACCUCGGCCAUCUCUUACUUCACCGAUUGAUCUCCACCUGGUCGCAUGAUAUAAGCUCAUUAUCCUUCGAUGGAAGCAUAAUUAACUUGUAGUGCUAAAAACAAACUUGAAGAUCGUUGGGAGCAAAAUGUGCUCCUUAAGAUAGCAAACUAGUACAAGUAUAUUGGGAAACUCAUUUUAGAGUCAUUAAUUUCCGUAACACUCAAAAUCAGUUUCCUAGAAUUUUGGGGGCAUGAAUUAAGCGAUCAUGUUAAUAAGGGAUCUCAUGUAAUGUUCGAUUCCUAAAAAGCUAUAACCCACUACCUAUUUUCCCUUUACAUGCAACCAUUCCACAUAAGCAAGUCAUGCAUGCAAGUCAUAAAUUACAUUGUUUUUGCAUUACUCUAUGCAUACAGCGUUGCCACAUCAUCAACUCAUGCAUGUUAGUCAUAAUCUAUUGUUUGCAUUAGAUUUUUAUUUUUGGGAAGCAAGAGCUUUGAUUCAUUAAUUAGUGGGCUUACAAUCGUUUUGUAGACAGACAACUAAAAUGGUAUGCACAUAAUUGAUCCAAAGACAUCUCCUUCUACUAGCUGGCGCUUGUUGUGAGCAAAGAUGUGCCCGUUCAUUGGCCUUAUGUCCAAUGAAGUUCAAUUUGAAAAAAAAUCCAAAUUGCCGCUAAGAUCCUCAAUUUCUUGUAGAAUCGAAGCAAUCACAGACCGACCCUUGGCGCAAUCCAUCCAAAGCUUGACAACUUCACUUGUAUCAAACUUUAGAUAGGCCGAAAAAUGACAGACUAGCUCGAAUCCAUCCCGAAUUGCUAGAGACUACAAGAUCAAAGCGUUAGCUGCUUGGUCGUACCAGAUAGCUUGUCCCCUAAUCAAGCUACCCAGUGGUGUUAUUACGGCCCUGGGGUGCCUCACUUUGUUAGUUGUCGGCCCACUAGGUUAGUUCCACGCUCAGUCAUCAUGCCGACCCACGUGCCCUAUACAAAGAAGACUCCAGAAGCCUUGCCAUUCAAGACAAGGAAGCCGGAGUGUUGGUGUACAAAAAUAGGGGUCUUUCUGUACCCCUUUACUUGUGCGCGGACAGUUGUAGCCACACCUGCGGCCACGCUUGGCGGGGCAAAGGAAACGAAGAUACAGGACUGCCAGGGCAGUGCUCAAGCCAGAGGCGCAAAGAGCAAAGGGACAAGAUGGAUUUCCCCCGGCGAGAGCCUUGCCGGGGUGACCUACAUAGCCCCGGCAAGAGCCAUGCCGAGGCAACUUGCCCAACACCUGCAAGGCCGCCACCUUUGAGCUUGAGAGUUCUGACACCAUCGACAACGUCGAGACCAAGACUCAGGGGCGCCUGUGUGAUGGCAAGCAGAUCUUUGUGAGGAACAAAGGCCUGCGAAUCUGGACAGAAACCAGAAGGCGAAGACCCACGGCAAGAGCCUUGCCAGGGACAGGCGGAGACCACCGGCAAGAGCCUUGCCGGGGACAGGCGGAGACCCCGGCAAGAGUCUUGUCGGGGACAGAUGAAGACCCCCGGCAAGAUUUUUGCCGGGGACGCCCGCGAGACCCCGGCAAGAUCUUUGCCGGGGGCUUCUGCGGGGCUAAGGCCAGGCUCUCACUUACCAACGUUUCGCUGCCCCGCACCCGUGCCGACGCGACAAUCAGCCCGCCAACCAGGCAGGCGCCUGCGUGGCAGCAAGCAACCUCUAGGCCAACUAGACAAGCACCUGCGUGGUGGCAUGCAGAUCUUCGUGAAGACCCUGCCACCGUACUAGCACAGCAGCCAGCCAGCCAGCGUGGCGCUGCAUGCCUCGUCAGCUUGGAUGCGCGUCGAAGCAAGGCGAGGCGGCGAUGGACGGGACAAGCUUCUUUUCCGUCCCUAAUAAAGCAAGAGGACACGUAGGCGCAUUAAAUGAGUUUGUGCCACGAUGUCAGGGAUAGACUUGUACACUAUAGACACUUUCCACCUCCCGUGUGCCACUGUGGAAACCCCUUUGACAUAUAAAAGGAGGCUCGAGGCGUACUGAGGAAGGAUUUCGGACUUUUUGAACUAGGCAUGCACCGCAGCUAGUUCAACAGCUCAAGAACACCAAAUAUAUACACCAAAGUAGGACUAGGGUAUUACACAUCGCUUGCGGCCCGAACCUGGGUAAAAAAUCCCCUAGCGCUGAUCUUUUAGUCCCGCUCUUUGCACAGCUCUGCGCCCCGCCAACCGUAGUAGGGAUUCCCCGUGAUCCCAUAGGUGUCGUUUCCCCCGACAUCUUUGGCACGCCAGGUAGGGGGCGCAAGCUGUGAAAAUCUGGUCUAGGUGUUAGCGCAUCGACUUCAUCGUCGCCAUGGCCCCCAAGAAGAAGGGGAUCACAACGAUCUGGUCGUCCGGAGACGGCCCGUCCGCACCGGUGCGGGCAGCCAACGGGGUGGCCAUGGAUGGUGCCGGAGGCGCGGCCCGCGAGCAUCCACGACACUAUGGCAAUCGGAGCCAGGCGAGCGGCGUCGUUCGGAUCCAAGACAACGAGCCACACGCGGUUGGGUCCGGGGGCGGGGCCGUGCUGCCCAUGGGCUACGCGGCAACCUCUAGGACGCCCCAGCUGGCGCCCGCGCCGCGGCCCAGGCCGCGCGCCACGAGCAACACCGCGACGUCGGUGCCCCCGGGCGCCGCCGCGGGAAAAGCCCAUUGCGUCACUCUCAGGACGCACAGGGCCGUCGUGCGCACCUGGACGCUGGCGGAAGCGGCGCGCGACCGCGAGACCGUGAUAGAGCUCCUUCUAACGUGGUUAGAAGUCGGACCGCGUCACAAUCCAUGCAGAUUUCGCCGCCACCCACGCCGGCAGAAGCAUUGGCGGUCGUGCAACUGCUCCUCGACUUUCCUCCUGCCGCGGAGAAGCUUGACGAGUGGAGAGUCACCAUUCGAAGCCUCAUCAGCUUUGCCAAUAAAUAUGAACCAUGACCGGCGGGACCCUCGUGUCGGCGCUCCGUCGAGCCGGCGCACGCCGGUGGUGGGAGGACCGCGGCUGCUGCGACCACGGUGCACUCUCCUCCCCUUGCCAGCAACAGCAGCCACCGGCUCGUCGGGCCGACGCCUGUGACAAUGUUUCCACAACGUCGUCCGACCCGCGAGCCCGCUGCGACCAACAUCAAGUUCUGAGCGAGCUCAGGAGGACACUCGGACCACCAUCGAGCGGCAGCGGGAAGCGUGCCAUCAGUCUGGGGCCCACUAUGGACCGCCCAACGCAGGGGGGGCUCCGGCGACCUACCUUACGAGGUGGGUUGUCCACCCUUUACCCGUGAGCUGCGGCAGUUCAAGUGGCCCACCCACCGCAUGUUCAAGCCUGAGGUUGAAGAGAAGUACAACGGCAAGACUCACCCGUCGGAGUUCCUCAGCAUCUACACUAUCGCGAUGCAAGCUACCGGGGCUCGCGACAAGGUGCUUGCCAACUACUUUCCGUUGGCGCUUAAGACCAACGUCAUGUCAUGGUUGAUGCACCUGCCAGUGGAUUCCAUCUCUUCCUGGUCGGAUCUGUGCCACGAGUUUGUUGGCGCCUUUACCAGAGGCCACCAAGCUCCUGGCCAGGCAAAUGAUUUGCAUGUCAUCCCCCAGAAGGACGACGAGACCCUGCACAAAUACAUACAAAGGUUCAGCCGUGUGCAGUACAACAUCCCAGAUGUUCACCCCACCGCUGUCAUUAGUGCAUUCCAUCAGAAUGUGCGCAACCGCAAGAUGCGUGAAGAGCUGGCGAUGAACAAGGUUAAGGAUGUAGCCGAGCUUUAUGUUCUAGCUGAUAUAGGUGCGCUCGGGCUGAAGAAGGAAGGAAGUACCCCGGCGAGGACGCGGGCGCGGAAACCGACUCCAUGGAUGAAGAUGCCGUUGCCCCGGCAAAGAAGGGUCGACGCCGCAAUAGGAAGUGUAAGGGCAAGACCGUGCUUGCCAUUGAGGGAUCCGGCAACCCCGGCGCCGCCAAGAAGGCCAAGGCUGACGACCACGGCAAGGAAGUUGCCGGGUGCGCCAUCUGCCGGGCUUUGGCGGCUGCCAACAAGCAGUACUGCAAGAUCCAUCGCACCAAGGGCCAUGACCUCCAGAACUGCCAACAGGUUGAGCUGCUUGCGGAGAAGUAGAAAGCUGAAUAUGAAAUGCGGGACAAGGAGAAGGGUCAGGAUGGUGCCGUGGGGUCCGGCAAGGAGCGUGUCAGCCAGGGAGGUCACUGCGGCAAAGAUAAUCAACAAGAGAGGCCCGCUCGGGGCCGUGAUAAGAAAGAGGGGGACGAUGACCAUGAUGGCGAUGACGAGUCCACCAAGCAUGAGUUCUAGAAGGCCACGGAUUCCAUGUGCGUCAACGGUGGUGCCUCGUUUCACACCUCUCACCACCAGCUGAAGCAGUGGGCGCGUGAAGUCACUGCGGCAGAGCCAUUGUUCGAUGCCCAGACGCCACUGAAGUGGUCCAGCACACCUAUCAUUUUUUACACCGAGGAUCGAUAUCACCCCGAUCGCACAACUGCGGUCGGGUGCUUGCCGUUGUUGGUUUCACCAACGAUAAGCAACCUCAAGGUGACAAAAGUGCUAGUUGAGGGUGGGGCCGGUUUGAACUUGAUCCCGCCCGCCGUGAUCAAGAGACUACAGAUCCCUGAUGGAGAUCUCGAGGAGACUGGCACGUUUCAAGGGGUCAACCCGGGGAGGAGUCAGCCGAAGGGUAAGGUCACGUUGCCCGUUACAUUUGGGGGCGAGCUGAAUUAUAGGAUGGAGAAGAUCGUUUUUGAUGUCGCCAAGAUCCCCUUGCCCUGUAAUGGGAUCCUUGGCCACCCGGCACUGGCCAAGUUCAUGGCGGCGUCACAUUACGCCUACAACACGUUGAAGAUGCCCGGGCCAAUGAGCAUCAUCACCGUCCCUCCGACAAGAAGGACGCUCAUCUGUGCCGACCAACUUUAGCGGGAGGCAGUUGCAGCAACUGCCGCCAAGGCACUUGCUCCUGCCGCUGAAGCCCAGGAAGGGAAGAGAACUGGCAAGACCUCCUGCACCCACUCCGGCAAGCGCGCCUCUUCGGAGUGCUGCACUCCCGUCGAGGGCGUGCCAGAGAGCUCCACCGGCAAGAGCAAGAAAUCCAAGGCAGCACCACCUGAGACCAAGAAGGUGCCCAUCAAGGAGGACGGCACGGGCGGGGAUUUUACUAUAAGAUCCACCCUUGACAGUAAAUAGGAAAGCGCGCUCGUCGCCUUCCUGCGGGCGAAUGUCAAUUUGUUUGUGUGGCAAGCACCGGACAUCCCCGGCGUUCCCAGGGAGUUGAUUGAGCACCAUCUUGAUGUCUGUCCUCAUGCGCGGCCUGUCAAGCAGAAGGUCAGGAAGCAAGCUUUGGAACGAAAAGAAUUCAUCGUCGAGGAGAUCAGGAAGUUGGAGGCAGCAGGCUUGGUCAGAGGAGUGCUCCACCCCACGUGGUUGGCGAAUCCAGUGGUGGUGCGCAAGGCAAAUGGGAAAUGGAGGCUGUGUAUUGACUAUACAUAUAUCAAUAAAGCCUGUCCAAAGGAUCCUUUCCCUCUGCCACGCAUUGACCAGAUAGUGGACUCCACUGCUGGGUGUGACUUGCUGUCAUUCCUCGACGCCUACUCAGGAUACCACCAGAUCUUCAUGAUGAAGGAAGACAAAUAAAUGACUGCGUUCAUCACCCAUGUGGUAUGUACUGUUUUGUACGGAUGCCUUUCGGGUUGAAAAGCAUUGGUUCGAUAUUUUCCCGAGCAGUCCAAAUUGGUUUUGAGCCAUAGCUGCAUAGAAAUAUGGAAGCUUAUAUGGACGAUAUAGUGGUCAAAACCAAGGACAAGGCUACGCUCGUGCAGGAUCUGGAGGAAACAUUUGCAAACCUACGCAAGAUCAACCUCAAGCUCAAUCCAGAGCAGUGCGUGUUCGGCGUUCCGUCCAGCAAGCUUCUUGGUUUCUUUGUGUCUCAACGUGGAAUCGAAGCAAAUCCCGACAACAUCAAGGCGAUUGAGCAAAUUGAGGCACCAAGACGGGUCAAGGAUGUCCGUAGACUUUCCGGCUGCGUUUUUGCUCUAAGUAGGUUCAUCCCCAAAUCUGCUGAGCGCGCCCUCACCUUUUUCAAAGUUUUGAAAAAGGCGGGUCCAAUGAAAUGGACUCCGGAGGCAGAGGCAGCGCUGCAAGAUCUGAAGAGGUAGCUCUCCUCCACGCCAACACUGGUCACGCCUAAGCCACAAGAGCCGUGCUACCGUAUCUAGCGGCAACGAAUCAAGUGGUUAGUGCUGCACUGCUGGCGCAGGGGAACUUGAGGAAGAAACAGCGGUAGCGGCCGAGCCGUCGGAUGAUGUGCCAAGGCAUUCCCCAGCACGGCCUGAUAUCGGCAAGGUGGGACCCCCGGCAAGGCCUGAUCCCGGCAAGAUAGAGUCUGCGCAAGUAGGCGAAGUUGAACAGAAGAAGAAGGUGGUGCAGCACCCGGUUUAUUUUGCCAGUUCCCUCUUGCAGGGGGCUAGAUCAAGAUAUUCUAGUAUGCAGAAGCUACUUUUCGACCUCCUCAUGUCCUCGAGAAAGCGGCGCCACUAUUUCCAAGCACAUGAGAUCACCGUCGUCACCCUCCCUUUAAAGUGAAUCUUGCACAACCCAGAUGCGACUGGGAGGAUUGUGGAGUGGGCGUUGGAGCUGUCAAGCUUUGGCCUCAAGUUUGAAAGUACUUCAACGAUCAAGAGCCGGGCCUUGGCAGAGUUCAUAGCAGAAUGGACCGCAACGCCCGACGAAGAGAUUCAAGAGACCACCCUUCCCGGUAAGGAGAUGUCCGUGAUUGGGUUAUGUACUUUGCUGGAGCUUUCCCACUGCAAGGUGCUGGUGCCGGCAUGCUACUCGUCACACCCACUGGAGAGAGCCUCAAGUACGUAGUCCAGAUGCACUUUCACUUGGAAAAAUCAACGAACAACAUGAUGGAGUAUGAGGGAUUGCUUGCCGGUCUCAGGAUCGCAGCAGACCUCGGAAUCAGGAAGCUCAUCAUCAGAGGUGAUUCGCAGCUAGUCGUCAAGCAAGUUAACAAGGAUUACCAGAGCCCGUUGAUGGAGGCCUAUGUGGAUGAAGUGAGGAAGUUGGAAGAGCGUUUUGACGGUCUACAAGCAGAGCAUGUUCCCCGAGCAGAGAACAGCAUUGCCGACGACCUGUCGAAAUGCGCUGCCCUCAAGUUGCCUGUGGAACCAGGUACCUUUGUGCUUCAAUUAACUCAGCCAUCCGUUGAGCCGUCAGUAGGACAGAACAAGCGAAGGAAGGCAGGCCCCGGCAAGUACUUUCCCACUGAGCUCCCAGGAGCCGCGGGCAAGGAAGUUGCCGGGUAUCCCAAGCUUGCCGAGGAGCAGCAACCUCCGGCAGGGCACCAGGCCCUGACCGUAGAGGCAGCUGCCCCUACGGCCGAGAAUGAGCCUUUAGUCCUUGCCGUCGAGCCCCAGGCUCUGGCAUGGGCGCAGCGCACCGUCCGUUUCCUCCAAACGGGGGAACUCCCUGAGGAAUAGGAAGAAGCAGAGAAAGUAGCCCGUCGGUCCAGCACGUACCAGUUUGUGGAUGAUACCCAAUACAGAAGGAGACCAAACGGUGUGAAAUUGAAGUGCAUUCCUCAGGAGGACGGACUGGAGUUGUUGGCGGAAAUACAUGGAGGCAUAUGUGGCUCUCACAUAGGAUCAAGGGCCCUUGCCGGCAAGGCAUUCUGGCAAGGUUUCUUUUGGCCCACUGCCCGCCAGGAUGCAACUGCACUAGUAACCAAGUGUGAAGCGUGUCAGUUCCAUUCAAAGAAGCUCCAUCAGCCAGCUCAAUCUCUUCAGACAAUCCCUCUCUCCUGGCCAUUUUUGGUCUGGGGGCUCGACAUACUGGGGCCCUUUCCCCGUGCUGUCGGGGGCUUUGAGUACUUGUACGUUGCAAUCGAGAAGUUCACAAAGUGGCCAGAAGUGGAACCGGUGAGAAAGGUGACAGCACAAUCAGCUGUCAAGUUCUUCAAGGGACUAGUAUGCCGUUUUGGUGUGCCAAAUAGAGUCAUCACCGACAACGACACACAGUUCACAAGCCGCACCUUUAUGUAGUAUAUUCGAAACCUCGUCGGCAAGGUUUGUUUUGAUUCUGUUGCUCAUCCCAGAAGUAAUGGCCAGGCUGAGAGGGCGAACGCAAAGGUGUUGUGAGGACUCAAGACCAGGAAUUUUGACAGGCUACACAAGUGCGGAAGGCGCCGGAUUGAUGAGUUGCCAACUAUUCUUUGGUCGAUCAGAACGACGCCAAAUCGAGCCACUGGCCAGACACCCUUUGCCCUGGUAUACGGGGUAGAAGCAGUUCUCCCCACGGAACUCAUAUACGGGUCACUGAGGGAGUCCUGGACAAAGGGGUCCUCGGGCGUCCGGCCUGUUAGCCAUGGGCCGGACUGAUGGUCUAUGAAGAUACGCAGACCGAAGACCCUACCCGUGUCCGGAUGGGACUCUCCUUGGCAUGGAGGGCAAGCUUGGCGAUUAAAUAUGUAGAUUCCUUUCUUUGUACCGACCUUGUGUAACCCUAGAUCCUCCCGGUGUCUAUAUAAACCGGGGGGACUUAGUCCGGAGGGGGGAGAGACUCAUUACCAUAGUCAUACAGGCUAGACUCUUAGGGUUUAGCCAUUAUGAUCUCGUGGUAGAUCAACUCUUGCAAUACUCAUAUUCAUCAAGAUCAAUCAAGCAGGAAGUAUGGUAUUACCUCCAUAGAGAGGGCCCGAACCUGGGUAAACAUUGUGUCCCCUGUCUCCUGUUACAAUCGACCUUAGACGCACAGUUCGGUACCCCCUACCCGAGAUCCGCCGGUUUUGACACCGACAUUGGUGCUUUCAUUGAGGUUCCACUAUGCCGUCCCCAAAAGGUUUGAUGGCCCCUUCAAUCGUCAACAAUGAUGCUGUCCAAGGAGAAACCUUCCUCCCCGGACAGAUCUUCGUGUUCGGCGGCUUUGCACUAUGGGCCAACUCGCUUGGCCAUCUGGAGCAGAUCGAUAGCUACGCCCCUGGCCAUCAGGUCAGAUAUGGAAGCUUGAACUACGUCGCGGACAUCCGUGGAGACUUGAUUUUUGACGGAUUUGAGACCGCGGCGACCGCUCCUUGUCGCCACGAUGAACAUGAGUUAAAUCUGUCAUCGGACCGCAUCCAGGAGAUAGCUUCCGUAACUGCUCUGGCUCUAGAUCCGGAGCAGACCGCGCCAUCCGAGGACGGGAAGCUCAACCCCGCCAUGGAGGUCACAGAUUCUGCAGCGUUGGAGCCGCACAUAGACUUAACCUCACGCAAUAUCUGUGUCACCGGAACUCCGGACUCGUCUCCGGCUAUAAGUUCCGAACCAUGUGCGUCCGCAGAGGCCGAGCUUGAUCAGUUAUCGAUCUUCGAAUUCAGUGCCGCAGACAUCUUCUGACACUCGCCCCUCGGCCUUGUGCUGAACUCGUUAAAGAAUCUUUCCUUGGCGAGGGACUCACAGCCGAAUUAUGUCCGGUUUGAACAGGAGGCUGACGAUGGGGGAGAAUUUCGCUUCCCACCCGCCACCCACUUCAUAGCCACUGUCGAGGACUUAACCGACAUGCUUGAUUAUGGCUCCGAAGACAUCGACGUUAUGGACAACAAUGCUGAGGAGGAGCAAAGGCAAAACCCGCCAUUUACUGGACGCUGGACGACCACCUCUUCGUAUGAUGUGUACAUGGUGGAUACACCCAAAGCAACCAACGACGAUGACAAAGAAAAUACAGUUGAGAGUAAACCUCCUGAGACACAGCACAAACGUCGGCGUCCUCGGCGCCGCUCUAAGUCACGUCGUUCAAAAGACAGCAAUACUAGCACCGGAGAAAAUAAUACUCCGGACGAUGCCGAAAACAAUGAAGACCCUGUUGAGGUAACAUCCGAACAGGAGGAACAAGAAAACAGGCAAGUUAGCCCCGAUGAACAGGCCAUGCCCAACGACUCGUAGGACGGUAGUUAUCGUCCGCUCUCCGAGGAUGAGGAAUGCCUCGGCAACGAGGAUUUCAUUGUGCCCGAGGAACCUCUUGAGCAGGAGCACUUCAAGCGGCAGCUAAUAGCCAUUGCAAGGAGCCUGAAAAAGAAGCAGCAGUAGCUUCAAGCUAACCAAGAUCUGCUCGUCGACAGGUGGACUGAUGUCCUGGCAGCCGAGGAAUACGGCCUCAGACACCCAGCCAAAAGUUACCCGAAGAGCAGAUUGCUACCUCAGUUCGAUGAAGAAGCGCCAGAGCCCAUACCUCCCUUGCAUAAUGCGGCCGAUCGACCACUACGCGGUCGGGAUAGUGCGGCGGACCGACCACCAUGCGGUCGGGAUAGAGCGGCAACUCAGGCCGAACAGCAGCCCGCCCCACCGCCAUGUAAAAAUAGAGACAAAACAGUUCGGGGUCAUACAUACGACCUUCGGCAGGACCUGGAUAGUAGAGCAGGAUAUACCAGAUCGAUUUACGGAUCGCGAGGAUGUUCCUCGACACGCGAUGAUGGCUACUUAUUCGGACGUGACAAACCUAGUCACGCCCGGGCCGACAACCGCAGACGGACUCCAUCAGAGCUACGUCGCGAUGCGGCCAGAUAUAGAGGCGCCGCACACCCUCUUUGCUACACUGAUGCAGUAAUGGAUCAUGAAUUCCCCGAAGGGUUCAAGCCCGUGAAUAUUGAAUCAUACGACGGGCAACUGAUCCCGCGGUAUGGAUCGAGGACUUUAUCCUCCACAUCCACAUGGCCUGCGGAGAUGACCUCCACGCUAUCAAAUACCUCCCACUAAAGCUUAAAGGACCAGCUCGGCACUGGUUAAACAGCCUGCCAGAAAAUUCUAUCGGCAGCUGGGAGGACUUGGAAGAAGCCUUCCUCGACAACUUCCAAGGUACAUAUGUCCGGCCACCAGACGCCGAUGACUUAAGCCACAUAGUUCAACAGCCUGGAGAGUCAGCAAGGAAAUUCUGGACUAGGUUCCUAACUAAAAAGAACCAGAUCGCCGACUGUCCGGAUACCGAGCGGCCUUUAAACAUAGCAUCCACGACGAAUGCCUCGCCCGCCACCUCGGCAAAGAAAAGCCAAAAUCUAUGGCAGCCCUUACGGCACUCAUGACCCGCUUUUGCGCGGGUGAGGAUAGUUGGCUGGCUUGUAGUAAAAACACAGCCAGCGAGGCAGGCCCCUCUGAGGUCAAAAACAACAACGGCAAGCUCCGACGUAACAGACACAAACGCCGAAGCAAUGGUGAUAAUACCGACGACACUACAGUCAACGCCAGAUUGAGCGGCUCCAAGUCCAACCAACAGAAGAAACCGUACGAAAGAAACAAUCAGGGACCAUCCAGCCUAGACCGCAUACUCGAUCGUCCGUGCCAGAUACAUGGCACCCCAGACAAACCAGCCAAUCAUACCAACAGAGAUUGUUGGGUUUUUUAACAGGCCGGCAAAUUAAAAGCCGAGAACGAGGAAAAGGGAUCGCAAAGCGAGGACGAUGACGAGGAGCCCCGGCAACUGAACACAGGGGGGCAAAAGAAGUUUCAUCUCAGGUCAAAACAGUAAACAUGAUAUAUGCUACACACAUCCCCAAAAGGGAACGCAAGCGCGCACUCAGGGACGUCUACGCGAUAGAGCCAGUCGCCCCAAAAUUCAAUCCAUGGUCGUCAUUCCCGAUCACCUUUGAUCGUCGGGAUCAUCCGACUAGUAUCCGUCAUGGCGGUUGAGCCGCGCUAGUCCUCGACCCAAUCAUUGAUGGAUUUCACCUAACGCGCGUCCUUAGGAACGGGGGUAGCAGCCUCAAUUAGCUCUAUCAGGAUACAGUGCGCAAAAUGGGCAUUAAUCCAUGAAACCCACCAAGACUACCUUCAAAGGAGUCAUACCAGGUGUAGAGGCCUGCUGUACGGGCUCAAUCACACUAGAGGUUGUCUUCGGAUCUCCGGACAAUUUCCGAAGCGAGGAGUUAAUCUUUGACACGUCCCCUUUCGCAGCGGCUAUCACGCACUGCUCGGACGGUCCGCAUUCGCUCGAUUCAAUGCAGUGCCACACUAUGCUUAUCUCAAGCUCAAGAUGCCCGGUCCACAUGGCGUCAUAAUGGUCAAUGGAAAUACGAAACGCUCCCUCCGUACAGAAGAGCACACAGCUGCCUUAGCAGUAGAAGUACAGAGCGGCCUUCUCAAGCAGAACCUUAAUUCGGCUGCCGAGCCCACGGACACCGUUAAGAGGGUCCGAACUACCCUGCAGCAGGACAGCUCGGCUCGUUAGGAGCUCGACUAGCAAUUCGGCCUCCGUCUCAGUCCCGGUCAAGUGGUGGCAUUCGUACCACGCGUACAUAACUACGCACUCAAAAUUCCAUGGGCAUCGACGAAGGCAUAGCUAGUUUGUGAUCCACAGUAUGGCUCAACCAGCACCGGAUACACACAAACUUUCACUUUUAUUCGUUUCCUUUUCAGGUUUCAAUCCCGCAGGCCCCAUCUGAUGGCCUGAUCACCGGUCCUCUUGAAGGAUAAACACACCUAGACGGCAAGAAACACAGACGUUUGGGGGACUUUCAAGGUGGUUUCAUUAACGAUCACUCUACCUGUUUUUCAGGACCCACAUGCAGCUCUCCCUUGGUUUUUGGGCAUGUUAAAUAGCCUGUUGCUUAUCGCACUACUUGUAUCAAUGCGCCUUGAUGUAUUAAUCAAAUUACAAUGGAAACAGUUCGCGGCCCGAGCUUUAGGGCCCCAGCUUAUCACCUUUGCACCCUUUCUGUUUUCUUUUCUUUUUUUCUCUCCUAUGGGUAACCUUAUCAGGUAGCACCCGUACACUUUGGUACGUUUCAUAUUUGCCAUGGGCUUCACAGCACCCCGCACUACGGCAACAAAAGUCCAAACACUUUUUAUAAUAUAGUUCGGCACCCCGAAUUUAACAAUAUAUGCAUUGGCUCCGAAUCAUGUCUUUGGUCAAUAGUUGGGUUGCCCGGCUCCUGUGCUUGCUACCUUAUGUUCCGCUAUAUCGGCUAAGGUAGUAAAGGGAGAACUACUGCGAUUCGGCCUUGGUUUAUCGAAAGGAGCACCUCAGUAGAGAAUGCCGAAAACUGACUGCCAUGAUGCGGCGAGAGCCGGUCAGCUCUUCGGAGGUCGCAAAUCGUUGGAGAUUUCUUUCGCAUUACGCGAACGAUCGGUACUUCCAAAUCAGGCACUUAUAGCACUCUAGUUCGGAUACUAGGGUCUAUGCCAACAUUUUUAUUAUCAAACUCCUAUGGCUAAGUGAGGGCGUUAAAGCCGCAUAGUCUGAUUACCUGGUUCGUUGCGCUAAACAACUCCUUGAAGGAACAUAUAAUUGGAUCAAGAGUGUUUAGAUUCCAUCCCGAACACCUCCGUACUACCUACGAGGGGGCAGAAGCCGAUGACUGGCCAACCCUCAGAUUUCAUACAACACUGCCGCACAGGAGGUAAUUUUUUUAACAUAACAAACAUUAUAUUACAAACCGAAUUUGUUUUAUCAUACAAGGUAGAGGCAACUCGAAUACAUUCAUUCCAAGAUAAUGUCCUGCGAACACUGCGUCGCUACAAUACGAGACCCCUCCAGGACGUCUCCAAAAUACCACUCGGGUGUGCGGUGCACCUUGCCCUCGGGUGGCCCCUCGGUCACAAUCUUGAUGGCGUUCAUCUUCGCCCACCAGACCUUGACGCGGGCGAAGGCCAUACGCGCACACUCGAUGCAGACGGACCGCUUGACGGUGUCCAGCCGAGGACAGGCAUCCACCAGCCGCUUCACAAGGCCGAAGUAACUACUGGGUAUAGCUUCGGUUGGCCACAGCCGGACUAUUAAAUCCUUCAUGGCCAGUUCGGCCACCCUGUGCAGCUCGACCAGCUGUUUUAGCUGAUCGCUGAAGGGCACCGGAUGUUCUGGCGCAAGAUAUUGCGACCAGAACAGCUUCUCCAUGGAGCUCCCUUCUUCGGCUCGGAAGAACUCCGGAGCAUCGGCCACACUACGUGGCAGAUCAGCAAAAGCCCCUAGAGAACUCCGAAUCCGGGUUAGUUAAAGAUACUUCCUCUUCACAUACUUGCUUUGCAUACUAAAUGCCUUACCCGCCGCGAUCUUCCUGGCGUCCUGGAUCUCCUGGAGGGCGCCCUAGGCCUCAUUCCGGGCCGUCUCCACGCUCUGACGAGCCUUGGCGAGUUCGGUCUCUUGAGCCGACGCAUCAUGCUCCAAGGUCUCGCACUUCCUCACCGCGUCCUGGAGCUCUUGCUCGACCUCGUUGACCCUGGCCUUGAGCUUCUUACGGGCGGCCUGCUCCUUGACAGCCUUCCCCUCAGCUUCGGUCAGGGCCUUUUUUAGGGCCUCGACCUCGGUCGUCGCUCGUAUACAUAUCAUGACACUUCAGUCAAUAAAUAUCAUUUUACUCUUUUCGAAUAUAUAACGGGUUAUUACAUACCUUGCUUCUCUUAGAGCUGCCUCCUCACCUGGUCGAGCUCCUCCUCGGCCUACUCCAGUCUUUGCUUCAGUCCGGAGACUUCGGCACUAUGCGAGGCCGCGGCCAGCAGCGACGCCUGCGUAUUCAUUUCAGACAUAUUUAGUAGUUUCCUGCAAUAAGGGGAUUAUCAUCUGUCCGUCUUUUCUUUCCGAACACCGGACAAUGUCUCAGGGGCUACUGUCUGUAUUGGGAUCUUCUCUUUUUUCGUCGCUUACCUCAAAACCUGUUAGCAGGCUGCUGCAGGCUUCGGUUAGUCCGCUCUUGGCGGACUGAACCCUUUCAAUUACCGUGCCCAUAAGAACACGGUGCUCAUCCAUAAUGGAAGCGCCUCACAGCGCUUCCAGCAGAUUAUCCGCUGCCCCUGGUUGGACAGGGGUCACCGGCGGAAUAGGCAUACCCCUUCUUUCGAAGGAGGUUGCAUGCCGGAUUCCGGAGCCGUAUCGGUCUCCGGAAUCAAGUUCGGCUGAGGGCCGAACUGAAUAUGGCCCUCAUCACCAGUAUCCAUGGGGAUUGGCUCCCCCUGGUGUCCGGCAACGGAGGCUUCACCUUCUGGCGCCUCCUGAACCUCUCCUCGGCCUGGGAAAGUCCUUCAAGACAGCACCUCGGCGUCGCCCUUGGCCUUGGGGGAGUGAGCGGUCGGCGAUGAAUCGCUGGCCAUCGCCUUUGAAUCCAACGAACCUCUUGACGAGGAUCGCUGGGAGCUGUCGUGGGCCGACUUCAAUAGCAUAAUUAACCAUGUCAAUACAAUGAAGAGGAGAGGCUCGAUUUAUGAGUAUGUAUGAGUCUUAGCACUUACGAUGUAGCCCGAGGCUUAGUGCGGGGGCGUCGCUCCGGACUGCUGUCGACAUCCCACGCGGAGUUAUCCGCAAGGGAGCCCUUCCCCUUCUUGGACGUCUCCGCCUCCAGAUUCGUGGAGGCCGCCCUCUUCUUCUUUUCCUCAUCAGGGGGAGGGUUGUUCUCCUCCUCCUUCUCGUCGUCGUCGUCCUCAGCAGCGGAGGCAAGGGUCACUUCGUCUUCGGACGUCACGUCCGAAGCACCCUUGCGACAGGGGCCACCUUUGGCCCCCUUGGCCUUCUUCUUGGCCUUCUUUUUCGGCGGCUGAUAGGGCGCCGGAACCAGCAUCUUCGCCAGGAGCGGGAUGACUGGCUCUUCGGGCAGCGGAGCCAAACUCUGGAUCCGCUCCGCUCUCUCCGUCCACACCUGAAAAAAUACAGCAAAGAUUAGGCAUCCUCCUUGAAUAGACAAGUAGAAGGUACGCCUUAAGAAAAGGAGAACUUACCGCAUUGGCGGAUGGGUGUGAUCGUGCCCACGGUCCGAAUCUAUGACCAGCGGCUUCUUGUUGCCCUUGAAGAGCAACUUCCAGGCAUCUUCAUGAGUAGUUCUGAAGAGCCCUCCUAGGGUCUGGUGCUUCUCCGGAUUGAAUUCCCAUAAAGGGAAGCUUUGGCUUUGGUAGGCGAGAAUCCGGCGAACCAGCAUCACCUGGAUCACGUCGACGAGCUUGAUGUUUUUAUCCACCAUACUCUGAAUGCGCAUUUGCAGCGCUAUCAGCUCGUCCGACGCAGACCAGUUGGGGCCCUUCUCCGUCGAGGAGGUGAGCCGCAUUGGAGAUCCGGCCUUAAAUUCGGGAGCCACUGCCCAAGUGGCGCCGCGUGGCUCUGUGAUGUAGAACCACUGCUUCUGCCACUCCUUGACAGUCUCCACAAAAGUGCCUCUGGGCCAAGUAACGUUGGGCAUCUUGCUCACCAUGGCGCCUCCGCACUCCGCCUGCUGACCAUCCACCACCUUCGGCUUCACGUUGAAGACCUUGAGCCAUAGGCUGAAGUGGGGCUGGAUGCGGAGGAAGGCCUCGCACAUGACAAUGAAUGCCGAGAUGUUGAGGAAGGAGUUCGGGGCUAGAUUAUGGAAAUCUAGCCCGUAAUACUACAUCAGUCCGCGGACGAAGGGGUGAACUGGAAACCCCAAUCCGCGGAUGAAGUGAGGGAGGAAAACUACCCUCGCUAUAGGCUUCGGGGUGGGGAUGACUUGCCCCUUGGUAGGCAGGCGAUGGACGAUUCCUUUCGCCAGAUACCCGGCCGCACGAAGCUGGGUGAUGUCCUUCUCCUUGACGGAGGAGACCAUCCACUUGCCUUGGCCUCCGGAUCCGGACAUGAUUGAGUGCUUCCUUGAGGAGGAGAAGAUGGGAACUUGAGCUGGAGCUCGAGAAUGGAAGGACAGAGAGGAAGAGAAGGCGUGGGUAAAGAAAGAGAAUCCUUAUCUCCUUAUAAAAGCAGUGAAUAUUGAACGCCUCCCCACUCACCUUAAAACUCACCUCUUUACAAGGGCUGUGUAAACAACACGUUGGGUUACCCACCCCCGUAUUGAUGAGAAUCCCGCAAUAAGGGGACACGAUCUCUGCUUCGACAAGACGUGCCAAUGGCAACCGCGUCUCGAAACAUGGAGGAACAGACGAAAAACGGUUCGAAAUUAUGACCGGGCGAACGUGAUGUCAUGUUGCAAAAAGUUGUCAACAGAUUGGACUCGUGGAGUGUUAUAUUCUUUGCGGUUCUGUGUGGUGUGCGUGUUACAGGUUCAUACACGAUCAGUGCGUCCGAAGACUAUCUUGGAGUUCGGAAGGAGGAACCCGCCUUGCAAUGCCGAAGACAAAUCUGCGUGCUGGAUACCUCAUCAUUGAAGCCAGGUUCAGGGGCUACUGGGGGAGUCCUGGACUAAGGGGUCCUCGGGUGUCCGGCCUGUUAGCCAUGGGCUGGACUGAUGGGCUAUGAAGAUACGAAGACCGAAGACCCUACCCGUGUCCGGAUGGGACUCUCCUUGGCGUGGAGGGCAAGCUUGGCGAUCAAAUAUGUAGAUUCCUUUCUUUGUAACUGACCUCGUGUAACCCUAGAUCCUCCCGAUGUCUAUAUAAACCGGGGGACUUAGUCCGGAGGGGGGAGAGACUCAUUACCAUAGUCAUAUAGGCUAGACUCUUAGGGUUUAGCCAUUACGAUCUCGUGGUAGAUCAACUCUUGUAAUACUCAUAUUCAUCAAGAUCAAUCAAGCAGGAAGUUGGGUAUUACCUCCAUAGUGAGGGCCCGAACCUGGGUAAACAUUGUGUCCCUUGUCUCCUGUUACCAUCGACCUUAGACGCACAGUUCAGGACCCCCUACCCGAGAUCCGCCGGUUUUGACACCGACAGUCACAUCGAGUGCUCGCUUAUGAUGAGCUUGAGAAAGAGCAGUUGCGCCAAGACGAUGCGACGCUCGUCGAGGAAGAUCGUCUUCGGGCUCCUGUGCGAGCCGCUCGCUAACAGCACCUUGCGCCGCUACCAUAGCCGGAAGGUUCAUGCCCGAAGCCUUGAGGAAGGCGACCUUGUUCUUCGGCGAAUCCAAUCCGCCAAGAAUUCCAACAAGUUGACGCCAAAGUGGGAAGGCCCUUAUCGGGUAAUACGAGUCACCAGGCCCGACAUAGUCCGCCUGGAGACUGAAGAUGGUAUCCUAGUGAGUAAUUCCUGGAACAUCGAGCAUCUUCGCAAGUUUUACCCAUAAGGCUCGGUUGCCGCCCCCCGGCAAACCACCUUUUUGUACAAGCCUUGUCGGCGAGGCAUGUAACCCUUUGUACAAAGCCAGGCGCAGACCCUGAGCAACAGAUGAAUAAAUGAAGCGCUGGCGCCCUAAGUUUUAGCAUGCAUGUUAGGUUGAGUCUCCCUCUGGUAGGGUUGAUAGUGCUUAGCGGCUACUAACCCCUAGCAUAGAGGUUGAGUUUGUGUCUUUGCGUCCCUUCCAGUCCUUCUUGAUUCACAGGCUACACGGGCGCUUCAGCGGAACUUUUUGGGGAAAGGAGACGAGUUGGCACCCCGGCCCCGACAAGCCAUUCUUGCCGGGGGCAACACAUUCAGAUAAGUCUUUUUCCCAGCCACGUACUUCCGUAUGAAGCUUGAACGUAUGAACCCUCGCUUGAUCCCAUGCCACCAUGCUCCCUCCUCCCUAAAUCCGAAUCCCUUUCGGGUUGGAACUUGAUUGUAGUUGCGGUGGAAGGGAGACAGACGAAGGGCCCAAUCCUACUUUUCCACUACCCUCGCCAAGGGCUUGAGUGUAGUCGUGGUAUAAGGUGGGAGGACGGCAAGGCCUGUUGCCGGGCGACGUUGUUUACUUAAAGAAAAACAAGGAUUCGUUCCUUGGUGUGGGCCUCGCUCGCGCACAAAAAACCUGGCAAACCCCCUUUUCAUUGAUACGUUGAUUAAACAAGUACAGUUCAUACGGAAUGUGAACAUGAGCAAGGGGUUGCAAAGUCUAAAUUCGACAAGUGCGCGUAGGCUUAAUAUCUAGAAAAAGAUAAGAUGCAGGUAAUCCGUUUCUUGUCCCUCUUCUCAGGAGGCGGAUUAAGAUAGCGGCAGGGCAAAAGGAGUGGCUAGGCGAGAUACGAGCAGCAGAUGGCACCAAGUGAACGUCCCGGCAGCCGGCCAGAAGAGGGCUGGUGAUGACGGUGCCGGGGAAGAAGCCGAAAGAUGAGGCAGCGGGCCGACAAUACGAGACGAGGGCGUCGAUGCCAUCGUACUCCCACUUGACGGCCCGCCACCCGCCUUCUUCGUCUUAUCCAGCCUUCUAGCGCCAGCCGCCAGAGGCAACGACCCCGAGAAGUUCAAGGAGCUGGCUCGAGGAGCCGCGCCAAGAACUACCCCCCGGCAAAUCACUCUGUCGGGGAGAAGGCCAGGUGCAGAUGGUGCUGCUGUCGGCGUCGCCUAUGGACGGGGCGUCCGACGUCUAGUCGGACCCGUCCCCGUCGUCCUCCCCACCACCCCCCUCCUCGUCACCGUCGCACGAGGAGGAGCUCUCGUCAUCGGUCAAGCUCUCCGCGGAACACCCUAACCUGAUUCCCGAGCGCCCGAAGACCUUGACGGAGAGCAGGUCGCUCUUCACUAAUUUGAAGUGGGGAACGUGCCCCUUCAUCAAGCAGUGGGUGCGUGCGAAGGUUUUCCAACGCCGACGAAGGAGCAUUACAUGAGGGACGGGGAACCUUGUGUUCACCCACAUGUCGCCGUUACAACAACCCUUCAUGUGGAGCCUCAACCUCGGCGGUUGGUCGAUCUCCAGCACCCUCGCAAACGCCUCGGGAAGACGAAGGCGGCUAUGCGGCGGCUCGCGCAACUACAAGAUGAACUCCAACGCUGUGUCUCCAACAUGGCCGCUCGACGAAGCAUGAGGAGAUGGUGGCGGAGACGGCGGCGUUGCGGGUGUCCCCCUUCUGCCCCCACCUCUGCCUCGACCACUUCGCCGAUCGCGACUCCGUCCGGCGCCUCCGCCUUGAGCGUCUGACUCUUCCUUAACCGCCGUGGCCCUCUGGCGGGAGGAAGACCUAGUCGGCUCCACAGAAGGACGGCCGCGGCCGUGCCCUCUCGGCAUGGCAGUCGAUGGAGAAUGGAGAAGAAGGGUAGAAACGAGAGGAUGCCUCUCCUCCUUCUCCUGGUCCCCUUCUUAUAGCCAAGCAAAGAAGGCUGAAGACUGGCUCUACAUCUCCGAAGAGCCCUUUCAAGUCCGGCUUAUUAAAGCCAUUUGAUAACAAGCAAGGGCAUCGACCGCCCUCCCAACGCCAAUCAAAGGCGCAUGGGUAUCGGCCAUGGAGCGCCUUCCCAUACCCUACACAUCCUCCACCUACCCCAUGCCAUGCAUGCAGCAUACGUGACGAAAAAGGCGGGCGUGGUGGGAAACAUGGAACAGCGGUUCCAAGAUUAGCAAAGGCACAGAGGGUAAAUGAGCAGCACCCCUGCUUUUCCCUCUUUUUUAUGGGGAAGAUGUGGGCCGCCUCUUUACUAUUCGCCGCAGGGUGACGCAAGCACGCUGCAAGAGUCCCAUGCAUGAUCCCCACGUUACGCACUCAAUGCGGGUCGUGGGGAAGCGCAAGGAGUUACCACAGUUAAAACCCUGCCACGCGUGCCCGCGCACCGUUCUGGGCCUAGCCCAACAACGCUUUACGCUUAUGUGUGGCCCAGGCCCGAAGGCUCCUGUCGGUGUACAAAAGUAGGGGCCUUUCUGUACCCCUUUACUUGUGCGCGGGCAGUUGUAGCCACACCUGCGGCCACGCUUGGCGGGGCAGAGGAAGCGAAGAUACAGGACUGCCAGGGCAGUGCUCAACCCAGAGGCGCAAAGAGCAAAGGGACAAGAUGGAUUUCCCUCGGCGAGAGCCUUGUCGGGGCGACCUACAUAGCCCCGACAAGAGCCUUGCCGAGGCAACUUGCCCAACACCAGCAAGGCCGCCACCCUUGAGCCUGAGAGUUCCGACACCAUCGACAACGUCGAGACCAAGACUCAGGGGCGCCUGUGUGGUGGCAUGCAGAUCUUUGUGAGGAACAAAGGCCUGCGAAUCUGGAGAGAAACUAGAAGGCGAAGACCCCCGGCAAGAGCCUUGCCAGGGACAGGCGGAGACCCCCGGCAAGAGUCUUGUCGAGGACAGAUGAAGAACCCCGGCAAGAUCCUUGCCGGGGACGCCCGCGAGACCCCGGCAAGAUCCUUGCCCGGGGCUUUUGCGGGGCCGAGGCCAGGCCCGCACUUACCAACGUUUUGCUGCCCCGCGCCCGUGCCGACGCGGCAAUCAGCCCGCCAACCAGGCAGGCGCCUGCAUGGCAGCAAGCAACCUCUAGGCCAACUAGACAAGCACCUGCGUGGUGGCAUGCAGAUCUUUGUGAAGACCCUGCCACCGCAGCAACGUAGCUGCCAGCCAGCCAGCGUGGCGCUGCAUGCCUCGUCAGCUUGGACGCGCGUCGAAGCAAGGGGAGGCGGCGAUGGACGGGACAAGCUUCUUUGUCGUCCCCAAUAAAGCAAUAGGACACGUAGGCGGCGCAUUAAAUGCGUUUGUCGCACGAUGUUAGGGAUAGACUUGUACACUGUAGACACUUCCCACCUCCUGUGUGCCACUGUGGCAACCCCUUUGACAUAUAAAAGGAGGCCCGAGGCGUACCGAGGAAGGAUUUCGGACUUUUUGAACUGGGCAUGCACCGCAGCUAGUUCAAUAGCUCAAGAACACCAAAUAUAUACACCAGAGCAGGACUAGGGUAUUACGCAUCGCAUGCGGCCCGAACCUGGGUAAAAAAUCCCCUCACGCUGAUCUUUCAGUCCCGCUCUUUGCACAGCUCUGCGCCCAGCCAACCGUAGUAGGGAUUCCCCGUGAUCCCAUAGGUGUUGUUUCCCCCGAUAGGGAGCCGUGGAGGACUCCCCUCCACCGACGUAGCGGAUUAGGUUGAGUAACCAUAGGGGCUCUGGUAUCUUAUAUAAGCCGAGGUUGAGCUAGUCGAUAGAGCACAUUAGAAUCUCUCGGUUCAGUGAGAUCUGCUCACUGAAACAUGGUAUUGGUAUAUUGGAAAUGCAACGCAUCAUUAUGGUAGAAAGAAAAGAUUUUUACACCAGGUUAUGUUUUAGUUGUUUCGCAAAACAAAAGAAGUUUUAGUAGAAUUGGAAGCAACUUUCAGUAACAUAGGAACCAAUUCUUGCUUGAAAAGGAAGCAAAUUGCAAGGCAGGAAAGAUAACAGCAUCUCUAGCAGAUUCCCUAAAACUCAUACUCCCUCUGUUCCUUUAUACAAGGUGUUUGGGUGUAGGGCUGCUAGCUACUGCCGCAUGUCGAGUGCGUACCUUCUGCUGCAGCUGCCUUCUGCUGUUGUUGGAACUUGUCCGGGUGAGGGAGACUGGCGCGCCAUCUGGCUGUCGGACAAUGACAGGUGGUCGGUUAGGCAUGUAGCUUGGCGGCCGGCGGCGAGUAAAAUUUCACCUGGGGAAAGGUGAAUCAUAGACUGAAGAGCUUUACAUUGGGUCACCUAAGAGUAAGAGUGCUUGCUGGGAUUUUAUUUUUUUGGGGCCAAUCUCUAUUCUCCUAUGGUAUAACGGUCAAACCAAAAUAUCAAGGGCGGGCCACGGCACAUCGGGCUUUUCUCGAAAUCACUAAUUAAGGAGCACUCUUUGCAACGGUCACUCCCACCUUCCCAGGUUGCGACAAGUGGUGUCACAACCUGGGAUUUUUUUUCUGUAGAUCCGUUUAUUCAAAAUGUUUUACCUCAUAAAUCGUGCGCCUAAAUCUUGAACCGUUUUCACCAUUGGAUUCCUUGCGUCGAGAUCUUCAAAACUACACCCUAUGUUGAUAGGUUGUAACGAACUUUUUUUCACGAAAAAAACAGGCGAAAAGACCAAAUCGGGAGCACUUUUUUUUACCUUUCUGAAGGCGGCACGACUGUGCCUCUCGCGGAAGCAAAUCCGUGCCUCCAUGAGAAAUAAACUCGUGCGUCUAGUGGAAGGAAAAAAAUUCCGAGAAGCUUGGCCAUGCGUCCCGCGGAAGGAAAAAAUGACAGAAAUCGCGUUUUUUCGUCUCCAGAGACACGGCCGUGCCUCUCGCGGAAGGAGAAAAAACCGCAUUUUUAUUCGUUUCCAAAAGGCACUCGCGAAAGCAAAACCGUGCCUCUCACGGAUGGAAAAAAAUCUGUUUCCGAGACUACCGUGAAAGCAAGACCGUGCCUCUCGUGAAAGGAAAAACACAUUUUUUCCGUUCCUCUAGCGGAAGCAAAACAAAUGAAAAUGAGUUUUUUCGUGUAAAUGUUUUGUCCAAAAGCUAAAAAACCAGGUGGAAAACCGAAAACCCAGAAAACAUCAUCUAAAAACCAAAAACAUGUGCGAAAAAAAAACAAAAAUCCGAAGGACACACACCCAUUGCGUGACACGUGACGGCGAGUGAACUCUCAGGCCACCCCAAGUGAUCCUUGGGAAGGCUCCCGAAGGAGUGCUCCGUCGUGAGUUGCUCACCUUUUUCCUCAAUUUCAGUAUAGGGGAUCUUGCAAAAAUGUAGGAUCAGCUUGACUUCCCAAAAUCUGGGAUUUGUUUUCACAAACCAUGCGAGCAGUUAUUAGGAAUUGUUUGGCUUCCUAAGAUCUCCCGUCAUGGCGUCCAUGCUCUCGGGGGGCCCCGCGACUUGGCCCGCGCCGCCCACCAAGUUGUGUUGGCUGCUCGCCGGGCAGCGCUGGUGAUCGUGGCUCGCCUAGCCCCCUCAGAUCUGCCGAGCGCGACAUGUGAUGGUGAUGUACGUUCAGUGGGAGGAGACGUUUCCCUCGACUAUGAAAUCGAUUUCGUCGAUCUCAAGAUGAAGUGCCGGCUCAGUACCAAGAAAGUGCUCAUAGGAGUUGGUUGUGCAUGUGUGCGUUUAUAGGGGUGAGUGUAUGUGCGUGUAUGCAUGAACGUCUGCAUAGUGUGUUAAGGAUCUAUUUUGCUUCCUAAAAUCUAUGGUGGAAACUAGUGUGUUAAGGAUCUAUUUUGCUUCCUAAAAUCUAGGGUUUGUUUCCACAAACCAUGCGAGCCGUUAUUAGGAAUUGUGUAACGCUUGCAUAUUAAUAUACUUCCUCUGUUCCUAAAUAUAUGUCUUUGUAGAGAUUACACUAUGAACCACAUACGGAUGUAUAUAGAUGCAUGUUAAGUGUAUAUUUAUUCAUUUUGCUUCGUACGUAGUCCAGCUAGUUGAAUCUUUACAAAGACUACUUAUGUUUAGAAACGGAUCUUGCUUUAUUAGUAGGUAGGUAUAGGUAUAGAUAUAGAUUGUGUAACCAUUUAUUGCAAAAUAACCUAAAAACUUAAGACCCGUCUCUUUCCUAAAAAAACAAAAAACUUUAAGACCCGUCUCUCGUCGCCGCCAUCCACAUCUAUCAGAUCCACACUGUCGAUCGUCUCCCGACAUGGCGUCUAUCCUCUCGCGGGCCUCCCGUGACUUGGCUCGCGCCGCCCGCCAAGUCUCGUCGGCUGCUCGCCGGGCAGCGCCGGUGACCAUAGCUCGCCCAGCCCCCUCAGAUCUGCCGAGCCGCCGCCUGUCCGUCCACAGCGGCGCCACCGACGCCAACAUCCCCGGCUACACCAACCCACCCCCCGACGAGCCAGUGGAAUUCGUGGCUUCAGACAACGACCUGGAAUCUGACGAGGCCCUGUGGGCGCUCUACGAGCGCUGGUGCGAGGCUUACAACGAGGAGCGCGACCACGACGAGAUGGUUCGCCGGUUCGACACAUUCAAGGAGGCUGCUUUCAUGGUGGACCGCGUGAACAAGGCCAAUCUGCCCUACACCCUGAAACUAAGCCAGUUCGCCGACGGGAAGCUGGCAGAGUCCGUGUGCAAUAAGUGGUGUGGUGAUAAACCUCGCCCUGAUCCCGCAGCUUAUCAUCGGGAGGGUGAGUUUUACAUCUAUGAUGAUGGCGGAGAUGAUGUGCCGAAAUAUCCCACGAUGAGGUUCCUCUUCUGUGAACGUGGAGGUCCCAUCAUCCCCUUGGAAUGAAUUGAUCAUCCCAUUAGCAGCAACCCUGAAUAAAGUUCUGCGUGUAUGGUGUUAUACAUGCUUAUUUUUACAAUGAUGGGCGUUUGCACACGCUGCUACCGUAGCGAUUGUAAGGCUUCGUAAACCUUGCUGUUGUAAUCUCGCUGGUUCUUCAUGAUUAGGUUUGAUAACCACCAACUAUCCCCUCUAUCCUAAUUUACCGUGUAUUAAAAUAUUUGGUUUAUUCAUUAAAAAUCAGGUGGAAAUACUUUUGCAGGGGAGGGAUUAUUCUCCGACUCAUGCUUGUGGAUUUUCAUCAAAAUGACUUUCAUGCCAUUCAGUUUAUUUUUGAAGUUAUUUAUUAGUUUAUUUUUUUAAAUCAUUAUUUGUGGAGAUGUCGAAGUAAUGGUUAAAGAAGGAAAUUAUACUGUUUUAGGGACUGCACCGAUGUCAAGUACGUUAAUCAGCAUAUUUAAAUCCCAAUGAGUCAUCGACUAUAUAAAAUUCAUAUGCAAUGAUUAACAAAGAAAUCUCGGCCUUGGAUAUUUUAAUAGUUAAAUAAUCAUUUGCAGAGAUAUUGAAGUAGCGGUUGAAGAAGAAAGUUAUAUUUUAUAGAUAAUGAUGAUAUCGGAUGGUCGGAUUCCUUUUGGUGAAAUCUGGCUAUCCGGGAUGAAGGUUUACACUUAACAUGGCAGUGACGGAGCUACAAAUACAUUGUUGGGCGGGAGAAGCCAAAGAACACGAAAGUUUGGAAUCAAAAGAUCAAGUUAGCAGUUGUAAACAAAAGAAGCCACACCAAAAUAUAGCUUCACAUUUAGAUAUUUUAGUUAUCGAUUACAGAAGUAUGGAGAAUUGAGUGAAAUUUUGAUGCAGGGAAAAUUGUGAAUGAACCAAACCAAAUUGGAUACAUGCCUACAAUCAAUCAAUUUGGAUAAAAAUCAAGCUCUAGGUGAAAUUUAAGGCAAGGACAUUGUCAAUGUGUCGAAGAAAAUGAGUUGUGCAGCUGGCAUUCACAGAAAUUGGAGUGUGCCGGAGAUGAGAGGAUCAAAUUCAAAGAAGAAAGUUAUGCGCCUAUGCCUCACUUGUAGCAAGACCGAAGAAGCUCUCACUAAAGGAAUGCCCUCCCAGACGCAAGUAAUGUGCCCGCCCAACUUUCAGUUUAGUUCCUUUUCUUUACGUUUCUACAUUGUUUCGUUUUGUUUUGUUUUCAAAUAUAUUUUUAAUACAUGCAUUAAAAAUAUAAAUUUACUAUAAAAAUAAAACCAAAAUUUGAUUUUUUUUUUAAAAACAGUGUAAAGUUUUUGCCAGCAUAACUUAAAAUAUGUUGGUAGUUUUCAAACAAAUGCUUGUGACAUUCUAAAAAUGUUCCCGUAUUACAAAAACAUGUACAUGAAAUUUUAUAAAAAUAAAUAUACAAAGUAAAAAUAAUCCAUACAAAAUGCUAAACAUGUAUAAAAAAAAUGUUUUCGAUGACUAAGAAAAAUGUAUGAUGUGUACCAAAAAAGGUAGACGUCAAGCCAUAUAUUUAGGAAAAUGUUAAUCAUGUUUAUUAAAAAUGUUAAACAUGUAUAAAAAAUGUUGUAGAUGUAUACAAAAAAAUAUACAAUGUGUAUGAAAACAUUAGGCAUCAAAACAUAUAUUAAAAAACAGUUAAUCAUGUAUUUGAAUAAUGCUAAACAUUAUUGAAAAUUGUUUUAGAUGUAUACAAUAUGUAUGUAUGAAAACAAUAAACAUCAGACAUAUAUUUGAAAAAUAAUAAUUAAUCAUGUAUAUGAAAAGUGUUAAACCUGUAUAAAAAAUUGUUUUAGAUGUAUACCAAAAGUAAAUUCCGUAAGAAAACAAUAGCCAUCUAAACAUAUAUUUAAAAAUGUAAUCACGUAUUUAAAAAUUGUUUAACAUGUGUUAUAAAAUAUUUGAAGUGUAUACGAAAGAUGUACAAUGUGUAUGAAAAUAAUAGGCAUCAAAACAUAUAUUUGAAAAAAGUUACUAAAGUAUAUGAAAAUGAUAAACCUAUAUAAAACUAUUUUUGAAUUAUACCAAAAAUAUACAAUGUGUAUGAAACUAAUAGAUAUCUAAACAUAUAUUUGAAAAAUUAUCUUGACACAUACGAGAAAUGUACAAUAUGAAAGAAAAUAUGUAGACAUGUGUUAAAAAAGGAACAAAGAAACCCGAAGAGAAAAAAGAAAACAAGAAAAGCAGAGAAAAACAAGUGUAGAAGAGAAAAAGGAAAUAACGAAAACAAGAAAAUCAAAGGAAAACUUGAAAGAAACAAAAAAGAAGAGAAAAGAAAUAAAAGUAAAAUGUCAGUGAAAACCAAGAAAGCAACGAAUAAAACCAGUGAGAAAACAAAGAAAAUGGGAAAAUUGGUGAAGAAACAAAGAAAACAAAAGAAAAAAAAAACUAGCAGACGUCGAGCGAACGAACAUGCAAAAAUAGCCCGGCCUAAAUACUGUGGCACAGAGGAAAAAUCUGUAGGCGAGAGUAUCAUACGACUCGCUGUAUGCGCGAGAUAGUCGCCACACAUAGAUGAGUCCUAGCGUAGCGGUGCUAGUCGGUACAUCUCUAUAGGAACACCUCUUCAUUGGACCGGCCUGCGAACUACACUCACCUACCAAUUGCGCCUGUCGCUUAUCUGUAGUCCUGUCGCACUGCACUGCGAUCUUGUUCCUUUUUCAAAAUCUUGUCCCCUUCGUUUACUACAGUCAUCUUACAAAUUCAAAAUGCUUAACUUACAUGGUUUUUUUUGCAAAUCUGAAAAAUGUUUCACUAAAUAUUAAAACAAAUGUUCACCUUUUAAAAUUGUUCACGCAAUUUAAAGAAAAUGUUCAUCUCAUUCUAAAAAUGGCGACAACAUUUAAAAAAAUGUUCACAUUUUUAAAAACUUAGCUAUAGGAGGUGAAGGCAAGGGGGGCUGGUGCGUGGGGAGGGAGACUCCUGGAGCUAGGGAGCACGCCGACGCCAUUGCUCACGGUGCAAGUUCGUUUCAAUCUUCGAUCCUGCUCGCUCUUGAUUCUGGGUACAGUAAAUUUUAGCUAGCUACGCUGCAAACUAAGUGGUGUGCCUCGUAUUAAUCUAUCUAUCUAUCCUAUCUUUUAUUCGGCGAGAUGGUUGCGCCUGUGGCGGAUGUGGCCGCCGCCAUCGCCGGCACCUAACCUGGUCUAGAUCCCUCCACUAUAGGAAUCAGCUACUUGACCGUCUGCCACGGCAGACGGCAAAGGCAAGGAUGGCGGACGGCAAAGGCCUUCGCCGUCUGCCGCGGACGGCAAAAGGCUCCGGCAAAGUAGGCUACGGUAAAGAGCUUCUUUGCCGUCUGCUUUCUGAAGGAGAUGGCAAAGGGGCCUUUGCCAUCGGCGGCGGACGGCAAAGAAAGCCGACGGCAAUAAAUUCGCUGUUAGUCCGUUAGGCGUCUAACGGCAGUCUUUGCCGUCCGCCGCUGACGUCAAAGAGCAUCAAGCCUUUGCCGUCUGCCACUGUAGGCAAACUGACCAAAUGGGCCAGCAGCCAGGAAGCAUAGGUGGUUGCCGUCGGUGGCAGACGGCAAAGAGCCCGUUGCCGUCGGUGGCAGACGGCAAAGAGCCUGCAUUGCCUCUUUUUUCUUUUUUUUCUUAUACCCAUCCAUUUUCACAGCAAAUAGAUGAUACAUAUAUAUUUUUCACAUGGCAAGUUCACAGCAAACAUAUGAGAUAUCCAACACAUAUAAUUUCAUCAUACAUGCAUCGUUCCAUCAACCAUACAUAGCAAGUUCCACAUACAUGCAUCCAACCAUACAUAUUACGAUAGUGUCAUCCUACCAUACAUGCAUAGUUCAUCGAUACAAAAGAAACAUAGUUCAUCCAAACAAGCACUCCAGUUAUAAAAGCAUAAAUGGAAAAGAAGCACUCCAUCCAUGCAAGCUUCCGUGAAUUAAAUCAAAUAUGCAAAAUGAUAAACAAGAUGUUAGAAAAAGAAGAAGAAAAUGAAGAAGAAGAAGAAGAAGACUAUAAGAAGUAAGCAUACUUAUGUAAAAUGGAGCUAACCUAGUGGAAAAUGAAGAAGAAGAAGAAGAAGAAGAAGACUAGAAGAAUACUAGAAGAAGACUAGAAGAAUACUAGAAGAAGAAGAAGAAGACUAUAAUUAAGCUUAUUAUGUAAACUUGGUCAUUUUGUGCUAACAUAAGUAAUUUUGGAGUUAACCUAUAGGAAACUAAGCAUAUUAGAGAUAACUUAGCAUAUUAGAGCCAACUUAGGUAAAAUGGAGCCAACCUAGCUAAUUAUGCCAUCUUUGAGUGAACUAAGCAUAUUAGAGCUAACUUAUAGCUAACUUAUGUCAUUUUGGAGAAGAAGAAGAAGAAGACUAUAAUUAAGCUUAUUAUGUAAACUUGGUCAUUUUGUGCUAACAUAAGUAAUUUUGGAGCUAACCUAUAGGAAACUAAGCAUAGUAGAGAUAACUUAGCAUAUUAGAGCCAACUUAGGUAAAAUGGAGCCAACCUAGCUAAUUAUGCCAUCUUUGAGUGAACUAAGCAUAUUAGAGCUAACUUAUAACUAACUUAUGUCAUUUUGGAGAAGAAGAAGAAGAAGAAUAUAUGACAUUUAUGAGCUAAUUUAGGUGAAAUUGAUAGUUUGUGAGCUAACCUAGGUGAAAUGGAUCGUUUAUGAGCUAAUCUAGGUAAAAUGGGUCAUUUUAGAGUUAACUUGAGUAAAAUGCAUCAUUUUGGAGCUAACCUAGGUAAGAUGGGUCAUUUUGGAGCUAACCUAGGUAAAAUGGGUCAUUUUUAGAGCUAACAUACGUAAAAUGGAUCAUUUUGGAGCUAGUCUAGGUAAAAUGGGUCAUUUUAGAGCUAACUCGGGUAAAAUUGAUCAUUUAUGAGCUAACUAAGGUAAAAUGGGUCAUUUUAGAGCUGACUUGGGUAAAAUGGAUUGUUUAUGAGCUAACUAAGCUAAUUAUGCCAAGUCUAGGUCAUUGUGGUAAGCAUAUUGGAGGAAAUAAGGCUAAGUCUAGGUCUUUAUGCAUUUGUUAAGCAAAACACUAGAUAAACUUACCAUGAUCAUGGAGGUGUAGGGGCGGGAUGGCUCGUGCCGGUAGCUGGAAAAGGAUCGUGCGAUGCUUGUCUGGAGUUACGCUGCACCAAAGAUCAUUUCCAAUGUCUCGUUAGCAUGAUGACACUCAAAUGUUAAGACUAGCAAGUAAUGUCCAUUCAAAUUAAACCCACCAUGGUCCCAGGAGCAAUCACUGGCAUCGGCGGAGCGGUCUGACCGGUCUUCUCGCACACAGACUGCACAUUUGGUUUUGACGACUCAGUCAUACUAGUUAGUAAUGAGACAAACACUACAUGAAUGUUUUGGCUAAUCUGCAGAAGAAACUUACCACAAGGAGCUCGUACAUGGCCCUUGCCUGCAUGUCAUUCCGUGCCCUCUCCUCCUCCAACAUCUUUGUCGUCCUCUCCUCCAACUCCCGCUGCCUCUCCGCCGCCUCCGCCAGAAGAUUCUUCGUUCUAUCUCUCUCACUCUGUAUAGCAGCCUGCAACGCGACUCCUCAUUACCAUUUGUAAUCAUUGAUGGAAGCACACACAAUGUAAUGGAGAAAGAUAGCUGAGUACGUGUAACUAACCUUGAUGGCGAGUUGGACUGGCCGUUCACGAGGCCUUAUCUUAGGAGCGGAGCUCGACUGGCGCGCCUUGAUCUCCUGGAGAGUGCUAGGACAACGGAUAAGUCCAUCUUCAAUGGCUAUGGAGCCAUGGGACCUCCCGCCACCAGAUAUCAUCACCAGCUCUGGAUCAAUGGGACCCUGGCUCGGGUUAAAGUCCUCCCCUUUCCUCGCCUUCCCCUCAUCUGUAUAUUUCACGAGCUUGUCGUGGGAGGAGAUGUUGGUGAAGUUUUUUGCAUCAUCGAGGUCACACGGAGAGAAUGCCUUGACUUUCUUGAAAGAGGCAGUGUGGGCCAUGGCAUACAGGUCGUACACCUCUGGCACCUUAUCCGCCUUAUUGUAGCGUGCCUGAAAGAGAGAAACAAAGUAAAUUAGUAAUUAAAGGGCUCAAGCUAGCAUGAUGAAUGAAUUGCAUGAAUCAUGAAGCAAACCACAUACCCAGUUCUGCCCGAACUGAUAUAAGUUGGCGCUGCCUUGAUGGUGUGGCACACCUUCCAUUUGGGCACGUUUGUCCUUGGCCGCGUUGUGGACGGCUAGCCAUUCUUUUGAGCACCACUCAUUGACCAACACCUCCCAACAAUCCAUCCGAUCCGCACACCAUCUCGGAGGCGCCUAAGUUAGCAAAUAGAAACUUGAGCGCUACGGCUAUGAAUUACUAAAUGAAGGAAGUAAGUACAAGGCCUUAAGAAUUACCUUCAUGUACUGCUCCUUACUUAGGAACUUAUCGCGGCACGCCGGCUUGGGCUUCUUGAUAUAUACCACGCAAGGCGUAGUAGUCUCGAACAGCCUGCACCCGAGCCUCGUGCCGUAAGUUCUGUAGUAGGCGCUUGCAGACGUUCUCGAUAACAUUUGCCGCCUCCUCCUCGUAUCCCUCCUCACACCUGUAGAAUGUCUGCAAUCAAAUGAGACAAUAUUAAUUAGUACAAUUAAUAACUAGCUAGUUGAAGAUUUUUAAAUGUGUAAAGGAGAAAUUACCCAGAACUUUCUGAUCACCACGUCUGCCCUCGUGUCGCACAAGACACCGUCGAUAAUCUCACCCGGCGGGGCCGGGGCAGCCAAGUAGUGCUCCCAGCUCAAUCCAAGCUCUGGAAGCCGACCCUCACCAGGCAACGUGACAAACCCCGGGACGUUUUGCCGGCAAAGCACUCCAAGGACAGAGUUGGGCCGGCGGACACUAUGAUGGUGGUCCCAACCCCUACAGCAUGACAAGACCAACGCAUUAGAUAUUUGAAGAAACGUCAAUGCAGAAGGUACAAAAAGAUUAAAUGCACUUACCUCUCCCCAUCAGGGUAAAUCAACCACCUCUGCUCGCGGGUCGUCGGCACGGACGGGAGCCGUGUACAACCACGCUGGUAGACGGUGCCCCCUCCUCCUCAAUAUCAGUCGGCUCCCCGCCAUCAUCAGCAUGGCCACUCGGCCCCUCAGGCUCAUCCGGCCAGGUACCCCAUCCAGACGUGUGCUCCUCCGGGGUCUCGUGGGCCGAAGGCCCGUCGACCCGAGGCUCGUGGGCCGAAGGCUCGUGGACUGGAGUCCAUGUAGCCUCCUCCUCGGACGAGUCCACCCUAGCAGUCACGUGCUCGGGUGAAACAGCUGGGGGUGGCGGCGAGGAAGGCGCCCUAGCAGUCACCCUACCUCCUCUCCCGCGACCACGUGCUCCUCUCUUCUUCCCUCCCUUACCUCUUCCCCUGCUGGGCACUGCUCUCGACGAAGAAGGGCCCGGCGGUGUCGCCAUACUGUCCAGCAACGCUCGGCGGAGAGGUGCAUGUGGAAUGGAAGACCUCCCACCACGCGCCGACGAAGAAAGGGCCUCGGAGCGCUCCCGACCAGCGCCCAACAUCUUUCAACACCUGCCAUGACAAAGAGUAAACGAAAUUAGUACAACAUAAAAAAAAUACCGACAUUAAUAAUAAUAUAUGAUGUUUUUCAUAAAAAAAUCAAAAAAAUAUAUAUGAUGUUUAAAUCUACCCGAUCAACACAAUUAUAUAUGAUGUUUCUCAUAACAAAAUCGAAAAAUAUAUGAUGUCAGGGUGUCGGGGGUCGGGGUCGGGGUGUCNNNNNNNNNNNNNNNNNNNNNNNNNNNNNNNNNNNNNNNNNNNNNNNNNNNNNNNNNNNNNNNNNNNNNNNNNNNNNNNNNNNNNNNNNNNNNNNNNNNNNNNNNNNNNNNNNNNNNNNNNNNNNNNNNNNNNNNNNNNNNNNNNNNNNNNNNNNNNNNNNNNNNNNNNNNNNNNNNNNNNNNNNNNNNNNNNNNNNNNNNNNNAGGGGGUCACGGGGUAGGGGUGUUUCCUUCUCUCCUUCUUCUUCUUUCCUUCUCUUCUUCUUCUUCUUCUUCUUCUUCUUCUUCUUCUUCUUCUUUCCUUUCUUCUUUUUCUUUUUUCCUUCUCUUCUUCUUCUUCUUCUUCUUUUAUUUCUUCCUUAUUUUCCUUUUUCCUCUUCUUCUCAUCUCUCCUCUUUUUCUUCUUCUUCUUCUCCUCCUCCUCCUCCUCCUCCUCCUCUUCUUCUUCUUCUUCUUCUUCCCCCUUCUACAUAUUCUUCUUUUCUUAUUCAUCUUUUUUCAUCUUUUUCUACUUCUUAUAAUUAUAUAACUAAUUAACUAAAACCCAUGCACUAGUCUAAUCUAAUAUAAUCUAGCACUAAAUCGAACACUAACACAUAUCUAGUAUAAUCUAACAAUUAAACAGCAAAAAAGAAAAAACAGAAAAAAACUCACCGGAGAUGGCGUUGGCUGGGGCUUCGCAGCGGCAGGGUGGCGGUGGUGACGGGGGCCCCAGGGCUUCGGGGCGGUGGCGCCGGGGCGCUGGGAGGUGGUGGGGGCGGCGGGGCACCGCGGCGGUGGGCUGUUCGGGCGGUGGGGCGGCACGGCGCCGCAACUGUGGGCCNNNNNNNNNNAAAAAACUCACUGGAGAUGGCGUUGGCCGGGGCUUCGCAGCGGCAGGGUGGCGGUGGCGACGGGGGCCGCAGGGCUUCGGGGCGGUGGCGCCGGGGCGCUGGGCAGGUGGUGGGGGCUGCGGGGCGCCGCGGCUGUGGGUUGUUCGGGCGGCGGGUGUUGGGGGCGGCGGCGGGUGGCGGUGGUUGUCGGGGAGGAGACAGAAACAGAGAGAUGGAGGGGCGGGGUGGGGCUCGGCCGUUAGUUAGGUUAGCUCUUUGUCGUCCGCCCCACCUUUGCCGUCCGCUUUUUUUCUCUUUGCCGUCUGCUGGUAGACGGCAAAGAAGGGGCUCGUUAAGUUUUUUAUGAUCAGCUCGUUAGCGGGGGCCACCACUCUCUUUGACGUCCGCUAGCGGACGGCAAAGAAUUGGCUGAUGGCAAAGACCUUCUUUGCCAUCAGCCCAUUCGUUGCCGUCCGUUUUCCUGAAGCGGACGGCAAAGACCUUCUUUGCCGUUAGCCAGCAGACGGCAAAGAACUGGCAGACAGCAAAUAAGCUAAUUCCAGCAGUGCUCUUUUGUAUUUGAGAAAAAAAGAUUUCCCUCUUCUCUUGUGAUGAGACUGGGUGGAGAUGGUGAGAGAUGAGGUCGAUGACUUUGGGGAGAGGAUAAGGGCGGACGCCGGCGGUGAGGCGGCGUGAGGAAGACGAGGUGGUUGGCGUCGGCGAGACGUGAGGGGAGGGGAAGGGAGGGGUAUCAGUGUGCGGUGGGAGAGGGUGUGCGGCGUUCCCAGUUCGCGAGAGAGGAGAGAGGUCGGCAAGGGAGCGAUCCAUGGGAGAUUUUUUCCUUCCGAGCGAGCCUAGUUGGGCUAUCUGCGCCGUCCAAGGCCCAAUGCACCACAUGUCUUCAAAUUGGCGACCAGUAGCAGCCCUUAGAACAGACAGGGCCAGUUUGCAAAUUUAAAAAUAUAAGUUCUUAGCACGCAUGGAAAACAUAACAUGUAUCUUUCCAUACAUAAUGAACUAUAGGUACCAGCCAAAAAAACAUAAUGAACUAUAGGUUGUCACAAGAACUCAUGCCAUCCCACAGCCUCCCUCAGACCCUGCCAACAUUGCUGCAGCUGCACUCACAAGCGUUACCGUAGAUGAUCAUUUGCAUGAUUUCACGCAAAACAAAAUAAGAUCUACAAAUGAAUAGAAGCUACACAUACCUUGGUAUGCACACACAUUGCAAGCCAUACUAAGCUGAUAAGUGUUAAUAACUUGUACAACAUAUACAACACUUAAGACAAGUAAAAGCAAUUUGAUUAUUCAUGGUCUAUCAAAGCAAGCUACAUAACUACUCUAAUCUAUCUUAACAGGUCACACAUGAUGACAAUCUUUUUUGUGUGCAAGUCAAGCUUAUCUAGUUUACACGUAACAACUUGUAGAACAUUACAAAAUUGAUGUUUGUUAAUAACUUGAACACUACAACACUUGGCAUGUAAAAGGAAUUUGAUGAGUCAUGACCUACUAAAGCAAGUUACAUUACUAGUGUCAUCUAUCUUAACAAGCCACACAAGAUUACGACCUAAUUUCUGUGCAAGCAAUGCUUAUCUAGUUUACACGUAACAACUUGCAUAACAUUACAAAUUUAGUUUCAGAAAAUUAGGCAAUCUAGAUUUGUGUUUGCGCUGUAAAGUGAAUAAGAUGAGUCAUGUGUGUUAUCACAUCUUUUUGGUCGUGAAAUGAUAGUGCCACCAAACACAACAUACCAAAUUAUGAUUUCGGGAAGCAUCGAAGCACUUUCCAGACAAGUGCCAAUUGUGAAAAAGAUCAUGUCAUGGCAGCUAUAAAUAGGCCUGUAGCAUGAUGAUCAUCCUUCCUCAUCCAUCAUCUCAUAAGUAGAGCGCAUCAUUUAAGCCAAGCAAGCGGGGGUCAAUAAAAAUCCACCAUGAAGACCUUUCUCAUCCUAGCCCUCCUUGCUAUCGUGGCGACCACCGCCACAAGUGCAGUUAGAGUUCCAGUGCCACAAUUGCAGCCGCAAAAUCCAUCUCAACAACAACCACAAGAGCAAGUUCCAUUGAUGCAACAACAACAACAAUUUCCAGGGCAGCAAGAACAAUUUCCACCACAACAGCCAUAUCCGCAUCAGCAACCAUUUCCAUCACAACAACCAUAUCCGCAGCCGCAACCAUUUCCGCCACAACUACCAUAUCCGCAGACGCAACCAUUUCCACCACAACAACCAUAUCCACAACCGCAACCACAGUAUCCGCAACCACAACAACCAAUUUCGCAGCAACAAGCACAACAACAACAACAACAACAACAAAUCCUUCAACAAAUUCUGCAACAACAACUGAUUCCAUGCAGGGAUGUUGUCUUGCAACAACACAACAUAGCGCAUGCAAGCUCACAAGUAUUGCAACAAAGUAGUUACCAACAGUUGCAACAAUUAUGUUGUCAGCAACUGUUUCAGAUCCCCGAGCAGUCGCGGUGCCAAGCCAUCCACAAUGUCGUUCAUGCUAUUAUUCUGCAUCAUCAUCAACAACAACAACAACAACCGUCGAGCCAGGUCUCCUACCAGCAGCCUCAGGAACAAUAUCCAUCAGGCCAGGGCUCCUUCCAGUCAUCUCAGCAAAACCCACAGGCCCAGGGCUCUGUCCAGCCUCAACAACUGCCCCAGUUCCAGGAAAUAAGGAACUUAGCGCUGCAGACGCUGCCAGCAAUGUGCAAUGUCUACAUCCCUCCAUAUUGCUCGACCACCAUUGCGCCAUUUGGCAUCUUCGGUACUAACUGAGAAGAGAAGAACUCUAGUACUAGAUAUAUGAAACACCGUUUUCUUAAUCGACAGUUUGAUCGUUGUAGCGGUGAAAAAAUAAAGUGUCAUGCACUAUCAUGUAAGAACCCGAACUAUACUAGUUCAAACUUGGGAAUAAAAGACAUACACAUGUCUUGUCUGCAUAUGAUUAUUUGUUUGAGUUCCAUUCAUGUGCCCGUUCAGAAGUUCACCCCUAAUUAAAUAUAUUAUGCAUUAACUAGAUAUUUAUGUGGCAUUAAUCUAAAGAUAACAAAAUAGGUUUGAAACUUGAAUUACAUUGAAGUAUUUUCUUGGGCUUUCAAAUUGAGUAUUAUUAAAGUAGUAAGGACUAUCCACAUCCUUGGCUUGCCCUUGAUCGAUUAUUUACAGAGAAGCAUUCAAUUCAUCAAUCAAUUACAUUGAUUUUUGUGGCUGGUACUUCUCCGCAUCAUGAGUAUAUUCCUUGCGGCUACUCCAAAUCGACCACAUAACCGAAGCAUUAAUAACGCCCUU